rnacentral:lncRNA from 1 species
UCUCAAUGCCAUCAACUUGCCAUCUAAUAUUUCAACCUCACUUGGUUCGGAACCUCCUGCAUCAAAAGGUGAACCUAAAACCCCACUACAUGGUGAAAUGGUCUUCCAAAAAAUUGAACUUUACAAGGAAUUCUAAGUUAACGAAAUCAUUAAAUAAUAUUAACUUCAUCAAUUAAAUAGAUCCUCUAGUAAGUUAACAAGCAAUCGUAAUUUGUAAAUCAAUAAAAAAAAAUAGUCAAUUGUGAACCAAAUAUCAAGGAAGAGAAACCACUAGAUGUAAAACUACGAAAUCCGACGGAGAGGAAUUAUAGAAGUUUGCACAUUAAAUGCACACUUAUAAUAUGGAGAUAAGCAAGUUAAUUUGAAUUUUAGAGAGAAAAACAAUGUACAUUUCAUUUCCUUUUCGACAUUCCGAUCACAUAAAAAGAUAAGAAACAAUAUGAUACAACAUUAAUUCAAAAAAUAUAAAUUAAUUUAUUUUUUCAUCUCAGGAUUGCAACCGCAUAAAAUUACAAUGAAUAAUAAUCUUCAAAAAUAAAUUUGCACACAAGAUGAAUGAUGUUUAUACAUAUAAAAAUAAAAGAGUAAGCAUUUUAAAUUGACUUCAUUCUCUUGUCUCAAUCUCAAAAACUCUUCGAUCAUCUUCAGUGGCUGCAAUACAAGCAAAAAAAUAUUCACCACAGCACGACUUUACUGAGAAAAAAAAAGAGAGAGAGAGAGAGAAAGAGAAAAAGAAACUCCCAUGUAAUCUAUAAUCUUUUUGAAACAAUAAUGUUAUCUUCUAAUAUGUACAAGUUAAGGACCAGUAUAACACUCACAACAAGAAGAUAAUGAAAGAAGCAGGAACAAGGGGUUAUUAAGGUUAUCUGAUGUACCCAACUGAGAAUUGUCAUUCUCCAGUUUAUUCUUGAGUGGAGGAUCACACUCUACCUCCGGUAGGAUGCAGCAAUCUACCAAUAAACACAAACAGAAAGCACUCUGUUGUUGAGUCUACAACCAUUGAAAUGCUAUUUUUUACUGCUACAGACUCGUAUUGCCCAAUCUGAUUCAGGUUAUAAACAUAGUGACACAGUUUUGAAAUGUUAAAAGCAAUUAACAUUGUCGAUACUGUUGUUUGAGCUAGUGAAUUUAUGUGACUUUCCAUACUAAAAGUCUAUAGUUUUAUGUGAUUUUCAUAAUUUUUUCGACUAAGAUAAAAAUGAUUAGCUUACACACUUAUCCCAAGAGAAUAAAGAAAAGAAAAUACAUGCACGCGAACAACGAUUAUUUAGUCUUGACAGAACCUUGCAUUUUAAUUAAACUGACAACAGUACAGUUACAUAUUUAAUAUGGGUACAAGAAAAUUAAUUAAUUAUUUGAAGAUAAAGGUGGCAGAAUGAAAUGACUUUCAUUAAAAGGAAAAGAUCAAGCAAAUUAGGAAAUGAAGUUUAAUGGUGUUUACCUCUGUCACAGCUCUUGGCCCCAUGCAGUCAUCGUGAAGACCCUUUGGAAGUAGUAAACUGAGAGAUCUGCAACAAUUAUUCCUGCUUUGGAAGAGGUAAACUGAGAGAUCUGCAAAAAUUUUCAGCACAUCAAAGCACUAAUUCAUGAAACUUAAUAAAAUUGUAUGAUUUGAUCUCCCAUUAAGAAAUUAUUUGCAAACAAAACUUAGCAAAGCAAUAUCUGCAGAGACAAGUGAAAAUAGUAGGUUGUUCAGACAAACUUAGAAUAGAUGAUAGCAUCUAAAAGCACCACCACUUGUUAUAGAAAUUGAAUUUGGCUGCAACGUUCCUUGGGCGAUGCAAUUGGAAAACUUUAAAGUAGAUGGAAAAAUCAGAUUGAUUGAAAAUGCUUCCGAAAUAGUUACGAAGGUUCUCUAUAAAUUGAAAUGAACAUGUUUAUCUCAUUCUUACAGGCGUGCAUUAAAUACACGAAUUAUUAUAAUACAACUAGAGAGGCUUUAUAAUUUUACAUCUCCAGAUUUUUUCUCCUUUGAUAUUUUGUACACUGAUGAUGGUUAUGUUUUAUUCAUUCACAAAUCACAUUUACUUGUCACAUCUUGUGUGCCACCCCAAUAUCUCACGUAACGAUUAGAAGAAUCGAGAUUCAAUCACUAAUAGUGACAGAAAAUGCAUUCCCUUUUCUAGGACUUGUUUGCUAACGAUACUACAAAGACUUCACAUCAAACAGCUGAUUAUAAUUAAUUUGCAUGCCAUCCUAGAUGUCGUAAAUUGCAGCAAUUAACUCUACGAAGUUAGGAAGAUAGCAACAUAUAUCAUGAUGCUCUUAGUUGAGAAUAUAGGAAGUUCUCCAACGUACUUUAAUUAGGAAUUAUCUUAUAUUAUUAUGCAAUCUAAAUCUUAUUAACUGAUCUAUUGUCCUUACCGCUGGAAUAUUGUAAUAAAAGAUUAUUUAUUGUGCUUCCUUUGAAUGAGUGAAUUUCGGAUGAGUGAUGUUUAUACAUAUAAAAACAAAAGAGGUAGCAUUUCAAAUCGAAUUCAGUCUCUUUUACCAAUCUCAAUACCUCUUACAUCAUCAUCAAUUGCAGCAAUACAAGCAAACUAAUUUAGCAUCAUAUUCGCCCACAACCCGACUUACAUGUCCAAUCUAUAAUUUUUUUGAAAGUCUAAUAUUUACAAGCUAACGAUCAGUUUAACAGAUUGAUAACAUGAAGAUCAUGAAAGGGGAUGGAACUGGGCAACCCAUCUUGAGAAAGUUUUGAAGGUCGAGGCCUUGGGAUCAGAAACUAUUGAUGGAGACAUAGGAAGAAGCUCUAGAUUCAGUUGUCAGAGAACAGGAGGUUGUGAAGGUUGUAUGAUGUUGCCCAACUGAGAAUUGUUAUUCUCUUUAUUCUUGAGUUCGGAGGAUCACACUCUUCACUUUCAGUAAGACGUAGCGAUCUGCCAUUAAAUACAGAUAGAAAGCACUCCGUGGUUGAGUCUACCACUAUUGAAAUUCUAUCUUUACUGCCUUAGUCUCAUAUUGUCCAAUGUGAUUCACGUCAUAAACACAGUGACACAAUUUUGAAAAGUUAAAAGCAAUUAACCUUGUAUAUACAUAAGUUUGAGCCUGUGUUUCUAUAUGUGUAUUGUAUCGAAAGCAAAUUUUUAAAUUUAUAGUACUAUCCAUACAAAAACUCUAUAAUUGAGCUGCAACAACAGCAACAUGAUUUUAUGGACUAGGAUAGAAAUGAUUACUUAUACAUUCCCCCCCCCCCCCCCCCCCCCCCCUCCCAAAAAAAAAAAAGGUAAGGAAAAGAAAAUACACGCACGCCUACGAGUACAGUACACCUACAGCACUUUCACAAUUGUUGGGCCCACAAUUAAUUUAAUCAUGAGCCCCACUUCUUGUAUGUGGGAGGGCUGUCAACCAUGAUGUUAAAAUUGCUGUACUUGUAGCAAGGUUCUUCCAUUAAAGAAAAAGAUCAAGAAACAAAGAAAUGAAGGUUAGCACCCAGUAAUGAUACAUCUAAAUAAUCGACCACAUAAGAAAUUUUCAAAUCAAAAUGCCAUAGGAAACUAGAUUAGACACCUAUUCAUGCACGCACUCAUUGUGCAUGCAUUGAUCAAAAGUGUGAAUAAGCAUAUACACUAAUAAAACUUAAUCGUUCUAGUAAUAUCAAUGUCUACGGAAAUUUAUAACCAAAAUUUAUUGCAAAAAUGCAAUCUUUUAUAAAAUCUAUGCUGCAUUCACUUGGGUUUAAAUUUGACUUGCAUUUCCUUAUCAUUCCAAAUACUAUAGCCAUUUGUGAAUCAAUAAAAAAUAGAUGCUUUCUGUUUAAAAAUAUCAAGGGAGAAAUAUCCAAGUAAUGUAAAACUAUGAAACCUGCCGAGGUGGUAUCAUAACAAUUUGUACAUUAAUUUUUUUAAUUAACACCAUAGUUCUUUCAAUCAUAAUACACUGAAUUCCACACAGACCUUGUAAAGGGGGGGGGGGGGGGGGAAAAAAAAAAGAAGAAGGGGGGGGGGGGGGGGGGAAGAAAAAGAAAAAGAAUUGCCUAGAUGCUAAGUUUUUUAUUGAGAUAAAGAUAUUAUUGAAGAAUCAUAUGUUUUCACCAUAUAUAUAAAAGAGAUGGACAUAAAACUUAGAAUUCUUUGCAAUGAUUUUACUUUGUAUUUGUCACUAGUAUUUUGAUGACAAACAUUAAUAUUAGAAACCCAAUGUUGAGUAGUCAACACUCAUCUUAUGCAAUGUACAUCAUCACUCAUCCAGAACACUAAAUAGUAAAAUUUACAUUAAUUUUUCUCCUUUUGGUAUUCCAAUGACGUAAAAAAAGAAUAAACGAAAUAAUAUGAUUCAACACUAAUUCAAAGUUCAAACAAUGUAAAUUUAUCUAUUUUCCUUUUUGGCAUUCCAAUGGCAUGAAAGAAUAAGUGAAAUAAUUUAUAUGAGUCAGCAAUAAUUUAAACAAUGUUUAUCAGAUUAUUCCCAUUUUAAAUUCCAACAGCAUAAAAUAAUCCGAUUCCGCUCUAAUUUGAACAAUUUACAUGAUCCUUUAUUUGUUUCGACAUAAUACUGUAAGUGAAAUAAUUUGGAACAGAGCAUUCUUAAAAAUGUGUACACAUGGGGGGUCAUAAUUUUCAUUAAAUCAUGGACAUUGUGAAUUCAUAUAUAUGCAUACGUGGGGUUCAUAAUUUUAGAAAUGAUAAGGAUAAGCAAGUCAACCAAAAACCCAACUAUAUGGCGAAUUGGUCUUCGAAGAACUUUACAAGGAAUUCUAAGUUAAUGAAAUCAUUAAAUAAUAUUAACUUCAUCAAUUAAAUAGAUCCUUUAAUAAGUUUACAAGAAAUUGUAAUUUGUAAAUCAAUUAGAAAAAUAGUCAGCUGCGAACCAAAUUAAUAUCACAGAAGAAAAAUCCAUAAAUGUAGAACUACGAAAUCCGAUGGAAAGGAAUUAUAGAAAUUUGCACAUUCAGUGCACACUUGUAAUAAGGAGAUAAGCAAGUUAAUUUGAAUUUUAGAGAGAACCUAUGGAGCACAAAUUCGAACAAUAUACAUUUAUUUUACAUCUUAGCAUUCCAAUCACGUAAGAAGAUAAAAGAAAUAAUAUGAUUCAACAGUAAUUUAAAAAACAUCUAUUAAUUUAUUUUUUCAUUUCAGAAUUGCAACAGCAUAAAAUUACAAUGAAUAAUAAUCUUCAAAAAUAAAUUAUUGUUUAUUAAGUUCAUAACUAAAAGAAAUUAUUACAUAAUAUCGAAAUUAAAUAUUAAAAGUAAUUCUGAUUUCUGAAUCAAAAAAAAUAGGCAUUAACUAUGUAUAAAAUAUCAAGGGAGAAAAUCAAAGAGAUGUAAAACAAUGAAACGUGACUAUGUGGUAUUAUAACAAUCCAUACAAUAAAUGCAUGCCUAUAAGAUCUAAAAAAUUUAAUGAGAGACACAGUUCUUUUCAAUCCGAAAACAUCAAAUUCCACACAAAAAUGCAAUGAAAAAAUUGGUUAGAUUCUGAGCUUUUUUUAUUAAAACAAAAAUACAGUUGACUUGUCAUGUGCUUUUAUAGUAUAAAUUGAAUGCACAUAAAAUUUACUUUGUAAAUAUCACUAAUACUUUGAUGAAUAUUUUUCAUACUAGGACCCCAUUUAUGUACCUACAAAGUUGAACAGUGCAUUGCCUUGGUAACAGUGCAGCCACAUUCUCUUUUCUCAAACAAUCUAUGAAAACUAGCAGACUCCUUGUCAGUGAACAUACCUGCAACCUUUCGCUUUCAAAUACAAUCAUUUUCCUACAUUGCAAAAAUAGUUUUAUUAGUCUUUGUAGAAGAUUUAAAUGUUUAAAAAGAAAAAUAAUUCAACAAAGACCUUGCAAAAAAGGAAUUGUUCGGAUGCUAAGUUUUUUAUUGAAAACAAGAUAUGUUUGAAUAAUCAUAUGCUUUUACUGUAUAUAUAAGAGAUGCACAUAAAAACUUAGAAUUCUUUGCAAUGAUUCUACUUUGUAUUUUGAUGACAAACAUUAAUAUUAGAACCCCAUCUAUAUACCUACAAUGCUGAGCGGUCAACUCUCAUGUUAUGACAUGUGCAUCAUCAUUCAUUGAGGACACUAACUCAUAAAAUUUACAUUAAUUUUUCUCCUUUCAGCAUUCCAACAACAUAAAAAAAGGAUAAAUGAAAUAAUAUGAUUCAUCACUAAUUCAAACAAUGUACAUUUAUUUAUUUUCCUUUUUAUCAUUCCAGUGCAUGAAAGAAUAAACGAAAUAAUAAAUAUGAGGCAGCACUAAUCCGAAGAAUGUUUAUUAAUUUAUUUCCAUUUUAAAAUUGCAGUGGCAUAAAAUUAAAAUAAAUUAUACGAUUCUUUUCUAAUUCAAACAAUUUAGAUUAACCAUUUUUCCUUUAAAUAUAAUACUAUAAAUGAAAUAAUUUGGACACAGAGCAUUCUUAACUGUGUACACAUGGGGGAUCAUUAAAUCAUGGACAUUGUGCAUUCAUAACUGUGUAUACAUGGAGAACCUAAACCCCAACAAUACCGAGAUUUGGUCUUGGAAAAAUUGAACUUUACAAGGAAUUCUAAGUUAAUGAAAUCAUUACAUAAUGUUAACUUCAUCAAUUAAAUAGAUCCUCUAGUAAGUUUACAAGUAAUUGUGUUUUGUAAAUCAAUAAAAUAAAAAUAAAAAAUGGUCAGCUGUAAACCAAAUAUCAAGGAAGAAAAACCAGUAAAUGUAAAAUUAUGAAAUCUGACGGAGAGGAAUAUAGGAAUUUGCACAUUAAAUGCACGCCUAUAACAAGGAGAUAAGCAAGUUAAUUUGAAUUUUAGAGAUAACCUUUGGAAUUAUUUUGGAAGCAAUUGCUAUCAAUCUCAAGUUUUCCGUCAACAAAAACUCUAUGUUUUCCAACUGUGCCGUCUUGGUAACAAUGCAACAACAUUAACUUUCUAAAGAUUCUAUUUUCUUCAACAAUCCAUGACAACUAGUUGAUGAACAUACGUUCAACUUUUUCCUAACAGUUCCAGUCACCUUCCCCGUUAUUUAUAAAUAGUUUUCUCUGCUCUUGUAGUAGAUUUAAAAUUUUAAUAAGAAACACUGUUCUUUUCAAUCAGAAAACAUUGAAUUCGAUAUCAGUGAUCCUCUAGUAAGUUUACAAGUAAUUGUGUUUUGUAAAUUCAUCACGAAGAACAGUUUGUUGUAAAGGUCUUUAGAAGGCAUGUUUAGUAAAGAAGUCGCCGUCAAAGAAACUCCUUCCUAUCACUAAUAGUGACCCAAACUUGAGCCUUCCAAUUGUAUGAUGAUUUUUCUAGCAUCAUUUGCAAACUCAAAGACAAAAUGAUGUCAUGAUCUAAGAUAGAAUUGUUAGUUUUUGUUAAAAUAUCUCAAAUCAAUAAAGGAACAAGUACACUUCCUAGAAAAACAUAAGUCCUUGAUUUAGAGGAGGUUUUUUUUUUUCUUUUUUUUUUUUUUUUUGGCUUCAUUAAUUAAAAUUUUGAUCUCAUGCUAUUUUAUAUGUUGUUUUAUGUUUUUGGAAUGUCAAUGAGUAGAAUAAUUAAUGUAAAUUAUUUGAGUUAGUGUUGCCGAUGGGUAAUGAUGCUCAUUCCAAAUAACUGGAGUUGACUACUCGACAUUGUAGGUAGAUAAAUAUAAAUAGGGUUCGAACAUAACUGGUCAUCAUUAAAUUAUCAGACAUGAUUAUCUCCUACAGGCGUGCAUUAAAUGUGCAAAGUGAUAUAAUACAACCGAGAGGGGUCUCUUAUUAGUUUUACAACUUCAGGUUUUUUGUCCUUUGAUAUUUUGUACACAGCUAAGGGCUAUUUUUUAUAUUACAUCUUGUGUGCCACCCCAGUAUCGUAGAGGAAAAGCAAGAAUGGUUAUAAAUUACAAAAGAUUAAACGAUAAUACCAUAGAAGAUACCAAAUAAAGAUAUUUUAGUAAAUAAAAUACAAAAUAACAAGAUAUUUUCUAAAUUUGAUUGUAAAUUUGGAUUUUGGCCAAAAAUUCUAUUCCAUGAAUAGCUUUUACUACUUCAUUAGGACAUUUUGAACGGUUAGUUAUGACUUUUGGUUUAAAAAAUGCACCUUCUUUUUUUCAAAGAAAAAUGGAUAGCUUAAUUCUCUCCCAUUUGUUUGUAUAUAUAGAUUAUAUUUAGGUACAUAGUAAAAAUCAUAAAGAACAUAUGAAACAUUUGGAGAUAACUUUGAAUAAGUUCAUAGAAAAUGGUUUAAUUAUAAGUAAAAAGAAAAUGGAAAUAAAUAAACAAAAAUUUGAAUUUUUAGGGAUAAUUUUAGGAAAAGGAAAGAUCCAAUUGCAACCAGAAAUAGUACAGAUCAUUUUACAAUUUUCAGGUAAAAUUGAAGAAACUAGAAAAUUACAAGCUUUUUUACGAAUAUUAAAUUAUAUUAGACAUUUUUUUAUAGAUUUGGGAAAGAAACUAGGAUCAUCAUAUAGUAAAUUAUCUGAUAAAAGAGAAGAUUUGUAGAUAUGUUAGUGGAAAAUAUAAGAUAAAUGAAAAAUAUUUAACUAGCUUGGAUUAUGAAGCAAUGGCCAUCAUAAAUAGUAUAGAAAGCUUUAAAUUAUUUUUAAACACUGAAUUUACAAUAAGAACAGGCUGUGAAGCUCUAGCAAAAUUUAUUAAAAAGACAAAUUUUGAUAAAAUAAGACAUGAAAGAUAGUUAAAAUUAUAUGAGAUACCAAAUAGUGAUAAAAUUAAUAUAGAACAUAUAGAUGAGGAAAAUAAUAUUUUAGCAGAUAAUUUAAGUAGGGAAGUUAUUAAUUUUCUAACCCACUAUCUUCAUGAUGCAGAUGAAUCAGAGGAUGAUGAACUUUGGAAAUGUUACACUAAAAGUGGUCUCAUAAGGAUCAAAUCUCCUAUUCAAAAGAAAUAAUUUGAAAAGACUACCAGAAAGGGAGCAUUGUCUACUAGAUAAUUUAUAGAUGACACGUGAAUCUAAACAAAAAUUAGAUAGCAUUAAUGUCCUAACUAAUCAUUUUACAUAGAUUCAUAAUUAAGUAGAAAGUAGAGAUUUUAGUUUCUUUACAGUAAUUAAAAGUAGAAAGCCUAGUAUAUACAAUUGUUGGUCCAAAGUACUAAAACAAAUAGAAAGAUAUCUUGACCCAUUUUUCAAAGGAUUUUAUACACUUCAAGAAGCUUCAAAUUUCUGUAAAGAAAUUAUAGGAUUUACCUUUUAUAUAUCUGAAAGAGUUAGACAGACUAUGUAAAACACUACAUCCCAAGCUUCAUCUUCAUCCUCAUCAAUACAACUUUGCGAUAAUUGUGAAAUUAUAACUGAAGUUUUUAGAAAUUUGAAUCUUAUAAGCAUUCAUUAAAAGAAAGGCUAUACAUCCUUGAAAAUGAAAUCUCUUAAUCCUAAAAAACUAUAAUUAAAUAUCAAAAUGAGAUUCUUCAAUUACAAGAUAGUUUAAAAAGACUUAGUUCUAGAGAUAUUCUUGAGACCCGUUUUUCUGAAGACAUUGUUUCCACACAUAGAAAUUAUUCUAGUAAAAUAAAAGGACUUAUUGAACUAAUAGAUUCUACAGAUACAGGGUAAGAAAAUACUUUAUAUGAAUUAGAAAAAAAAUUGGUGAUUGUGCCAGUAUUGUACGAAGUUCUAUAAACAAUUCAGUCAUACAAGAGAUUAUCAACUUUUAUCAAAUUUUAAACUAUUAUCACAAUGAAAAUAGAUACUAUCUAAAAUAGGUCCCAAAUAUGAAUUAGCCAAAAAUUUGGCCUUCUUAAACACAAUUAUUUUACAAUUUUCUUUUAUUAUACAAUCCUUGAAGAAGAAUAUAUUUUUUGUCAUGCUUUACUAUUUGGUAUAAUAGAUAUUAUAUACAUUUUAAACAGAUCUUUCAAAUUUUUUCCAUCAGAGCUUAAUGGAUUCUUGAUCAAUUAAAUGAUCAUCCCUUGAUAAUUUAAUUCAUUUUCAUACCCCCUCUUGUAAAUAAUGGUAUUGUAAUCCUAGCCCAUCAUCAUAUCAUAAUAUAUGAAGGAGUCACAAGAUCUAGACCCUCUUCAAAGACAAAUACUAAAAUAAAAAUUAGACAAAUUGAUUAUGGAAGACGUAUCUAAAAAAUCGUUGCCAUGAGGAAACUCAAAGUAACGAUUUUAGACUAGUAACACAAUAGAAUAAUGGGAUCAUUUUCUGCCAAGACCAUGUUGCUAUAAAAGUCAACACCUAAAAAAUUCCAAUACCAAUUAUUGAGCGAAAAAAAUUAUAUCUGACGACAUUUCAAGAAGUAAAUGCUAAAUCACAGAAACUCAAAUCAGAUACAGAAGAAAGAGAAUACAUAUCCGAUGGCAAAAAUAAUUAAAUGGAUGUAGAGCUAGGAGAAACAUGCAUAGAAAUGAUGGACAGACAAAUGCAAUAAUUGAAAAGAAGAAAAGAUAUAAAGAAAAAGGCAAAAUGCGGAGAAAUGAUGACUAAAGGACAAUUAUUAAGAAAAGAAAGUCAACAAGAAGAAGCAUAAAGACAAAACAAAGCUUUCGGAAUAAGUCGCAUACAGUUGUAAAGUUGUACAGUAUUGAUUCAUUUUUCUUUAUUAUAGAUCACACAUAUGUAAAGAUGAAGAGCAUGGAUUCCUUUUCUUUAAUUGUAAAUCAUGCACUUGUAAAAGUUACACGGUAUCAAAAUAAUAGAUGUGAUGUACCAGCAUAUAUAAAUACCAAUAUCACUCACAAAGGAAGACGCACCAAAAAACAACACAGAGCACAUUAUAACACCUACUGAAAAGCAUUCCUUUCUCGGUCCUUGUAAAUUCAAAGGCAUCUUUGUGAAUUCAAAAACUUCAAAUUAAAAAUAAGUUAUUCUCAUACUUCCUCUUGUUUAUUUACCUUAUUUAUUUUCGAGCGAGGCCUAAAAGAGGAAAGACAAAGUAAGCAAUUAAUUUAUUCAGAAGAAGAUUUUUAUCUUUUCUAUAUUUAUAUAAAAUAAAAAAUAAAAAAAAUUAAUGCUCUUAGCUUCUUUAUUCUAGAUUCCAUGAUUAAGAAGAUAAAGUAACCCUCUGAGUUAUGCUGACUGUUUUGUAUUUCAUCUUAGGAGUUUGUUUAAGCCUUUUUAAACAUGAUGAACAUCUUUUUAAUUAGCCUUAUGCCUUUCUUAGAAUGUCAGGAAAAAAGCUAAGAGAAAGUUUAAAAAAAAGUGAAGAAAUUAAUUGUUGAACAAUAAAGUACUCUAAGACCAUUAUAAAACAUAUUGUUUUUAAGUACUAAUAUUUUAUGCCACUAGACAAUCAUACUUCAUCUACUUUGCUUUGUUGUUCAGUAGAAAGUUUUUGAAGCAACCUCAUUUCAAUCAGAGCUUUGAUCUUUUUAGGGCUGGCCUCAAACAUCUUUGAUUGACCAUGUAGCUUAGAAAUUUCCCUUAAACAACUCUGAAGCGCAUUUGAUGGGAUUAAGUCUCAUCCUAUACUUCAUAGUAUUCGAAGAGCUUUGUCAAGAUGUUUAACACGAUCCUCUACUUUCUAGCUCUUCACCAACAUAUUUUCCACGUCCUCCAUUGUUUUUUCAAUAAGGUUUAGGAACAUCUUGUUAACAAGUCUCUAAUAAGUGGCCCCGGUAUUUUUUAGACCAAAGGACAUCACCUUAUAGUAAUAAAGACUUAUGUUCGUUAUGAAUGACAUAUGUUUUUUGUUCGUUGGAUGCAUUAAGAUCUAAUUGUAGCCUAAGCAGACAUCCAUGACGUUCACCAAUUCAUGCCCAGCAUUGAAAUCAAAUCAACAAGCUAAUCUAUUUGUGAAAGUGGGAACAAGAUUGGAGAAACCUACGUAUAACCUCCAUUUCUCAUUGUGCUUCUUAACAAGAAUGGGGUUUGAUACCUACUUCAGAUAAAUUGAAUCUUGGAUGAAGAAAUUGUCAAUCAAUUUCUUUACUUCAUCUACUAAUGCCUCAUACCUUUCUGGAUUGACAUCUUCUUUUUUUGAUGAUAAGGGGUAGCUUUGGGAUCAAUCUUUAAAUGGUGAUAACUAACCUUUGUGUCAAUAGCAACAUGUCCUCGUAUUUCUAGGUGAAUAUAUUCAAGUUGUCACCAAAAAAACACUUCAACUUUUUCUUAGCCUCCACUGGUAGGUUUGUCCAGACCUAUGAGGAUUAGGAGUGGUCCCUAGAAUCUACUGUGAAGCUCUCUAGUUCUUCAAUUGGGGCUGUUAAGGUUCGCAAUCAAUUAUGUAAGGAUCUUGUUUAUUAAGAUUAGGCACUUCUUCAGUAGCUCUACCUUCUUCAGGGGCUGAUUGUACUUCAAAAACUGCAUCUUUUUUAGAUGCAUCUAUUAUUUCGACGUCCUCUUCUUGUUUAGGGUUUCACCUUUAAUCAGAGUUGUUCUCUAUGUCAAUGUCCAUUAAAAUUACAUCGAUAUAUCUUGGUUUGGCCUUCCUAAGAGAGUUUGAAUAGCAUUCUCUUGCACUACUUUGAUUGCUUCUAACCGUGGCAAUGUCGCUUUUCAUUGGGAUAUUCAUACAUAAGUGAUGAAUGGACGUGAUGGCCCAUAGUUCCUUUAAUACUUGCCUCUCUAGCACUUCGUGAUGGGUUGAAUGAUUGUUUACCACCAACAAUUCCACAAAAUGAUGAGCAGUUAAUGGUGUCGUCCCCAUCUCUACUGCUAGCGUGAUUUUUCCUUGGGAUGAUGUUAUUACUAGUGAAACCAUACACGGGGGAGUUCAUUGGGGUCGGCUCAUUAUCAACUUCUAUUUUAUCAAUGGUUGCUCCAAAUAUAAUGUUGACCGAACUCCAUUAUCCACCAGUAUUCUUUUGAGGCCAUUUUGUGCCGCAACGACCCUUACUACUAAAGCGUUGUACAUUGGAAAAUGCACACCGAUGGUGUCGUCUUGUGUGAAAGUGAUGGGUUAAGAAGCUCGCCAUUGGGGGGGUCCUUGGCCUCCAUUGCAUAGUUUCUUUGGGCAUUUCUUUUUUUCCCCAACAUAUGGGCCUCUAAAAAUUGUGUCGUUUUCUUGAAUAGGUUCACAACCAACAUUAGUUAGGGGGUCUUUCUUUGUCUUUGGCCUUCUCUAGGUCUUUCUCCAUCAUUUUCUUGCCUCCAUUGGGUAUUAUUCCUGAUGGGGUACUUUAUCUCAUCAUUCCGAGGUUGUUGAUCCUAUUUAGAAAGAAGUACAUCUCUCGUGGGCAUCUACUCCUCAUUCAAUUGUCGAUUUUGGGAGUGUAGUGUGAUAUCUCUAUGGUCAACAGUACUAUGGCUAUAGGAUUGGUGGUAGGUACAGUGGAGGGGUGUUUCAUACCUAUUUCUAGGUUCAGCGCUUCGUCCCUUGUCUCUUUUCUUUUGAAGAAACUGUUGAUUACACUAUUUUUGGUGAGUUUCAAUGCUAGAGUUCACUUCCUUGUAGGUCAAAAUAGGUACUUCAUUUAUUGUUGCCAUAGCUAGCGCUUGCACAGGAUUGAGAGGGGUCGAUUGUCCGAUCUGGUGGUCAAUCAAAUGAGAGGUGAAACCCUCUUUUCAUUGCAUCUAAGGAGCUGAGAAUCCUUGAUUGGCCCUAUUUCAAUGAUCUUUCAAUUCUUCAUUGAUAAUAUCACAUCUUCUAAUCCAGAAAAGCUUCAUAGCUAAUAGGUUCUUUAUUUUGUACAUCUAUCUAAAAGAGAAAAUUCAUAUCCAGCUAUUCUCUUAGGGCUAACAGUACCUCUAUGUCGAUAACUUGUACACAACAUGUCAUUUCAUAAUGAAACGGGAUAAAAAUAAUUUCAACGACUCUCUUAGUUGUUGCCUCAUGUCCUUGGGGCGUUGUAUUGACCCUUUGUCCUCUUUGCUAGUUGCAAAGCACUUAAGGAAAGUCUUCUUGAAGUUUGGCCCACUUUGGAUGCUUCAUUUCGAAAGUCUAGUAUACUAUACUUCAGUCACUCUACUUAGGGUCAAGUGGAAGAUUCAGCAUUUUACAGUGGGUGGAAUCACUAAGGCUUAAGUCGGCUUUGAAGUUGUUAAUGUGCUUCACAGGAUCAUUUCUUCCAUCAUACUUAGGAAUUUUAGGAAGCACGAAGUGGCUUGGAACAGGAGCAUCCCUGAUUUCUUGAAAUAAUGGCAAACUGUUACCAUCAUCAUCAAGGUGGAACGACCUUUGUGGUUCAUCAAAAUCUUCAUCCUCUCUAACUUGAGCUUCUUAAGUUGGUUGAGAUGGUCCUACUUCAUUCAUGGCAUGUUCUACGCUCCUCUCAUGCUUAUUUCUAAUGGAAUAUUUUGAGGCAUGUUGUCAUAAAUAUGUUUGUUUUGUUUUUCAACUUGAGGUGGUCUCUACUACUUAUUUCUAGGUGUAAGGAAAGGUUGAGCCAGCCUAUUUCUAGGUUAUUUAGGGCUCAGCCUGUCAAAGACGCUUAUGAACCUUUGAAGCAUAUCAUUUGGAUUGUAGUUUGGAGAAAUGUUGAAUGGAACCUCAUUGGGUCGGUCUGUGGCAUAGUUGACGGAGGUAUCAACCCCAACUUUCCUUUCCUGAGGGGCUAUCUUCCUUGCGUAGUGUUGGUAAUCAGUCAUUUAGCUUUGGAUAUACUUUUCACCCUGGUUGUAGUCUCCUUGUGAGGGUCAUGCAAGAAUGCAUUUUGUUAAGUUGCGUACAGAAAAAUUAGGUAUACUUCUUGGUCCCGUAUGCUCUUUAGCAGCUUAUGCAUGGCAAUGUUUUGCUAAGUUAUAUCUCAGUUAUAGGCAAACUUUGCAAGAGCUAGCAUAAGUUCCCACUGACGAAUAUUCUUACCCACUAGACUCCUCAACAGAUUGCCUAAACUUUGAUUGACAACUUUGGUUUGUCCAUCAGUUUACUGGUAAUGAGACGUGCUAAAAAAGCAAUUUUAUACCAAGCUUGCAAACUUGGGCAUCUUGAUCUGAGACAAUUGCUUUUGGUACACCAUGAAGUGGCACAGUCUUUUGAAAAUACAAAUCAACUACGUGUGAAGCAUCCAUAGUCUUGUUACAAGGAACAAAGUAUGUCAUCUUGAAGAAGCGAUCAACAUCCACCAUGAUUGAAUCUUUGUUCCUUUGUGUUUGCGGUAACCGCAAUACUAAAUCAAUGAUAACUUCCUCCCAUGGUGAAUUUGGAAUGGCCAGGAUUAACAGUUGAUGUUUCUAGCCUCGGACUGACUUUUGAUGAUGUCAAUCUGGUAGGAUUGCUCCUAGAUGGACCUGUAUCUCAUGAUUAAAAUUAGUCUCGCAAUUCAUGGAAUGAAAUGCUUCCCUACGAUGCUCUUGUAACUACUUUUCAACCUUAGAUGCAAUUUUACACACAUCCUUGAAAGUCCAGUAAGGCUGUAGCUGCACCACAUCAUAGAUUUCAGUACAUAACCCAUGAAGAUAACGGGCUAUAGUUUGCUCUUCGGGCUUCUCAAUCUCACACCGCACCAUCAGAUAUUGAAAUUCAGCUGUAUAGUCGUCAACAAAUAAUUCUUUCUGCUUAAAAUUAUUAAGGAAAGAAUCCAGCCUAUAGUUAUCUCGAAGAAAUUUUUUCUUGAAGGCCUUUCGCAUCUUCUCCCAAGUCAAAAUACAGCUCUUCCCUUCACGUACCCACUAUUUCUUAAGAUGCUCCCACCAAAUCGACGCUUGUUUCUGUUGGAAAUCUACUUAUCAUACACAACGGAAAUAAAAAUAAUUUUCGAUUCCCACCAGGACUCAUUUUUGUGUUUAGAUAGAAACUAUGAUAAAGAUGUAACUUUUACAAGAUCUGCAAACUCUUUUGCCAUAUCUCUGUUCCAGCAACUUGGAUCUAUCUCCCAUAGCUGUCCAAUUGUCUAGCCUCCAACGGUGAUCCACACAGAGAACAAUAUUGUAGUAUUAGGGUUUUUUUUUGUACUAGCAAGAAUAAUGAAUUCACUACUAAAUUAUAAACCCUAAUAAGUUAUUUAUAUAAGUCCAAACGGACUUGGCCUGACCCGGUCCAACAUUUAAUUAAUCCAUUUAAUUAAAUCCGGUUCGUGAAUUAAUUAAUCCAAGUAAUUAAUUCGAGCCUAUAAAUAACCAACCAAAUUAAUUAAUUUAUCCAAUGAUUGUUAAAUUAAUUAAUUGACAAAUUGCAAUCUUCCAAUUCUCUUUUCUGUGCGACCCAUCAGGUUCCCGAUCACGAUAUCUAUGUGUUCAUUUAAGUAUAAAAACAUGAAUAUGACGUGAUGUAAUAUGGUAUUAAAAGUAAAUUUUGUAAUCAUAUCUUUCAUGUUAUGUUAAGAGACAUUUUUAUAGACUUUUUCUUGCAAGUGAUAAAAGAGGCAGAAACGGGACAGUUUUUGGGUCAACUUCAAAGUGCUAUUUCCAACUCUAUAAACAUCCAUUUGAGACUCUAAAAAUAUUGAUGCGUUCCUUCUUGAGUUUUCUUAGUAUGAACGCAGGAAUCACUCAAUUUGGAUAACUGUGGCCUGAAAUAUAAAUUUUUAAGUGUCAAAGGGUCAAUAUGAAUUUUCUGUACAAUGCCUCACUGUUUUCAGUAAAACGCCAUAUCAUAUGAUCUUGGAAAUUUUCAAUAUUUUUGCCUAGAAAACUGCUUGAAAAUAUAUUUCUUAUGCCAUAAAUUUCAUGAAAAACAGAGUUGGGAUGAAUUUUAUAAAAAUAGUUGGACUGGCUACCCCAAUUAGCCGUGGCAGCACCGAGUCCAUAUACCUAAAGUAUAAUUUCAUGUCGACAUGUACUUUUGCUGGCCAUUAAAUUUUAUCAGAGAUAUUUUACUAACUUGAAAAGAAGUUUCAACAUGUAUUACUUUUGUUUAAGAGUCUUUACAUGUAGCAAAGGCAGAAGUUAUUAUGUUUAGUGCGUGGCACUCGAAGUUUAAGUUCGGGGCGUUACAGCGUGGUAUCAGAGCGGUUAUACUUUUCUGUAGAUUUUUUUUUGAGAUAAUGAGUUCAGUAUGAACUUUUGAUUAUGCAAUAUAUAUAUAUAUAUAUAUAUAUAUAUAUAUAUAUAUAUAUAUAUAUAUAUUUUAAGAAAAAAAUUGUUCAUCAUCAUUGAGCAAGCUAGCAACUGACUUUCAACCGGCGAUCAAGGUAAAAAUCUUUUUCAAAGUUUAUGAGUUUUCUUAUGCAAUGAACUACUAUAUCUAUGGCUGGAUAUAGGAAUAUUUUGAAUCAAGUCAUAGUUGAGAUUAAGAAGUCGUUAACACUUAUAUGUAAUUAUUUAUUAGAGCCUUGUAGAGUAAUAUAAUCUUCCAAUAUCUAUGUGUUCAUUUAAGUGUCACCACACUUUAGCUUGUGAGAUCAGCUACUUACUUCACAAGUAAGAAAUAACACACGUGAUGGUCUAUUCGUAAUAACAAUAUUCGUAUCUCGUUAUUACUUAUGACCACGGACGAUUUAAGAUUCAAUCAUAUGCAAUUUGUAUCUCACAAUUACAACUCCUUGUGAUUAACAAAUUACGAAGAUUUGAAUCUACGGACUCUAUUAUUUAAUUUAAUUGUCUAUUAAUUAAAUAAUAGAUCUGUCAUUAAAUUGCAUUAAUUAUAUAUCAAAAGUAUUUAUGUCCAAGGUUGAUUGGACCUAGGGCAUAACACUUACAAACUCCCACUUGCACUAGAUCCAAUCACUUAUGUAUCCAAUAUCAUAAGAGUCUACAUGACGAUCAUGUUUAUGCUACGACAACUCUUUGUCAGUAGAUUUGCAAUAUUGUUAAAUGUGAGAAUUUGUUCUUCUCUUUACAUCAUUUCUAUGUGUUAUCUCUCUGAUGAGAUUGUACCGCCUUAAUACAUGUUUGGAUCAUUGAUGAGAUCUCAAUUCCAUCGCUUUCGCGGUGGCUCUAUUGUCACACAAUACAAUGGCAUGUGAUCAUUAAUAUUAGGAACUACUCCAAGUUCAUUAAUGAACAUCUUGAUCCACAUCAUAACUUAUUGCUACUUCUGAAGCAAUCAUGUAUUAGGUUUCGGCCAAUGAACUAACGGUUGUUUCAUGUUUGGAACCUUUCCAACACACCGUUUAAGAGUAAACCAAUUUCUCCAUAUAAAAUAUUUUGAAGAUUUUAUCUAUAUAGACUAGGAUGAGUUAAGCAAUUUUCUAGAUUUAUUUCUAUAGAUCAAGUUGCUUCCCCAUAUCAUUCAUGAAUAAAUGCUUUAAUAACCAUUAUUUCAGUGAUUAGGGAUGUCAUUUCCUAUAAUAUUAGGAAUGCGACAAUGCUCCCACUAUCUUCUUAUAAGCACACAAUUCGUCUUCAUAUUUGAUAAAAUCAAACAUUUUUUAUUUUUCCAUCAAAUCGAAGAUUUCAGUUCCAAGAGAUUUGUUUUAACCCAUAGUCAUGGUAUGCAACUAUUGCAACCAAAAUCCGAAUGGACCUCAACAUGGCCACAUGCGAAAAGUUUUAUCAAAGUCAACACAUUGUCUUUGUCAGUUACCUUUUGCUACUAGCCUUGCUUUGUAUGUAUGGAUAUUCCCGUCCAUGUCAACCUUUUAUUUUAAACCAUUUACAACCUAUGGAUUUUAUCCCAUCAGGAGGGUUGACCAAGAUCUAAACCUUGUUCACAUACAUCGAGUUCAUCCCAGGUUUCAUGGUUUCUUGCUAUCUCUUUUAAGUCAACACUUGACUUUAUUUUUGUGCAAUUAGUACGUCAUCACCCUAGAUCAGUAAUACCUAAUUAGUAAUCAUGAAUUCGCACCUUCUUGAAGGUCGAAUGAUCCUACUAGACUCACAUAGAGCUGACAUGUCCUCAGGAUUCUUUACUCCCUGAUUAAGAGUAUGUCCCAUAUCAGAUAUGGGAUAAAACUCGGAUUCAUUACUUGAUCUGUGGACUCUUGAACUCUUUCAAGUUCUAUUUUGCUCCCACUGUCCUUUCCUAGAGUAAACAUUUUCUCCAAAAGGGUGAUAUGUCGUGAGACAAAGACUUUCUUUUCAAUAGGUUAAUAGAACUGAUAUAUAAAUAUCUGCUUUGAAUAUUUCACAAAUAUGUAUUUAUCGGAUUUAGUCUCACACUUAUCCGAUUCAAUGUGCUUCAAAUAAGCGUCACAGUCUCAAACUUUCAUAUGAGAUAAGUUGGGACUAUUGCCUUUUCAUAGCUUGUACAGAGUUCUGUUAACCAACUUAGAUGAGACAAGAUUUAGUGUGUAAACACUUCAAUCAGUGUAUGACUCCAAAAUGAUUUUGGGAGAUUUACAUGGCUCAUUAUUAAUCGCACUAUAUCUGAUAGUUAACGAUUCCUCCUUUUAGAUACACCAAUAUGGUGCAAUGUAUAUAGAGGAAUCCACUGCAAGAGAAUCUCGUUCUUUCUUAAAUAAUUUAAAUUUUAUCUUUAAGAUACUCUCAUUUCAAUCGGAUCUUAAUGUGAGGGUAUCUUUACUUAUUUGUUUCUCUACUCCUAGCUUGAAUCCUUUGAACUUUUCAAGAACUUCAUACUUGAAUUUCAUCACGAUAAUUGAUGACAUAAGAGAAAACUCAUUUGACAUAUGUCCAUAUACAUCACUCUGUAUUAUGCCAAUAUUUAUGCAAACUUAUUCCUUUUCAUGUAAAAGGAGAUUUGGUCAUUGUGCCAAACGAUUCAAAAUCAAUUGACUUUACGUAUACAUCUGAAUGUAAUUAUGAAAUUCCAUUUCAUCUAUAUGACCAAGUCUGCAAUGCCAUAUUUGAGUAUUAUUCAGAUUAUCACUUUUAUGUCUCUUAACUUCUAUACUCAUUAUAGAAUGCUUAGCGUUUAGAAUAUAAAUGUUAUUUUGUGGCUUACCAUAACUAUUAAGAUCUUAAGCUAGAUAAGCAGGAAUAACAAUUGUCCUUAACAUUAAAAUAGUUCAUGUCUGAACAUGAAACUCAUUUAAUGUUUCAGUUAUAGUGGGUAUAAAGUAGCAUUUCUCAAAUUCUAAUACUAAGCCAAAAGGCAACGGCAAGAAGUAUGCUUCUACAGGCAAUGCAACAACUGUUGCUCAUCUUCAACGUGUAGAUUAACUUCUCCCACUUACAGUGGUCUACUUCUAUUUAGUUUCACCAUAUUUGUAUAAAUAUGAGAUCUACAUCUUGUAUCAAAUACAUAAGAAAAGCCACGCUAUAUUCCUUCCAAUGACCAUUCAUUCUAUAAUGAAACCAAAAGUCAUUAGAUUUGGUAUUGUCCUUCGCUCUGACGAUCUUAGCCAUAUUGGACGCUUUCACAAAGCCCCUUUAGACUUCCUCUUAAUAUCCUUAGAGGAAUCAAUGGCUUGCCCACUUAUAACUUUGAUAUUGGGCAUAACAGUUUUAAGCAGGUUAAGCAACUCAAUGAGUGUGCAUUCGAGCUUAUUCACAACUAGUAUAAAUAAUUCUCUGAUAGAGAUUGCAUAGCUAAGUCAAUAAUUAGUUCAUAGUUCAUGACUGGACCUUAUUGAGACAACCAAUCAAUGACAAUCAUCUAAAGUACAUAAGCACCGAUCGAAGAUUGCUAUGUCAUUUUGCAUCGGUAUAGUUGUUUGAGAUUCUCGUAUCCUUCCACACAUGAUUAUUAUCACACAAUUCUUUGUAAUGAAGAAUUAUGUGUUAACAUCUAUACUCUCAAGUUGCUUUUGUAACUCACGUGACAUAGUUGCAACAUCACAUGUGUGCAAUACUAUCUUAUCAUUGUUUUUAUUACAGUAGCCACAUUUUUCUUCAUUGAGUCAUCACCAAGUGUCUCUGGAAAUUAGCUACUUAAGGACAACCAACUUUCUCAUGUCUGAGAACAAUUCUCGACUCGCAGUGCCAAUCAAGAAGAUUUAAUUUGGUUGUUGGCAUCCAGUAUGCCUCUCAAAUAUACAUGGUUACUCACGAUUCCAUAAAUAUAAAUGACGAAAAAGAAAAGAAUAAUAUAUAAAAUGCAUUAAUUAAUUGAACAUGAACUUUUAUUAAAUUAAUUAUGCUCCCACUGUUUAAUUCAAAUUUAUGACCCUCUCAUAUAAAUUUAUAGAAUCCAUACUUGACUCAUAGUGGUCGAGAUCCCAUCUGUUAUACCAAGACCUUGAGUGUACUCAACAAGCCUUAAUAUAACAUUUGGGUAGAUACUAUUAUCAAUUGUAUCUCCAUACAACUCCCAAAUCAUUAAGCCGACAACUCUUUAUCUUCACAUAUCUUAUGUGUUAACUUAAUAUGCCUCUUAAAUUUAUCUUCUUGAGUGUACUCAACAAAAGAUAAACUUUAGUUAAGUCAAACCUGUCAUUGAGAAAUAUCAAAUAUUUCAUAAUGUCAAACAUAUCCCUAAUGGACUAGCCUUGAGUGUACUCAACAAGUUGAGACGAUUUGGGACUCUGAUUUUUCACUAUAAUGAUGGAAGACAAUUAUAAAUAUGACUUAAUAUUUUAUUGAGGGGUUUUGCAUUCAAAAGUCUCAUUGUAACAAUCAUAUAUAUUGUAACAUCUACGAUGCAAAUAAACAUACAUAUACUAUAAUAAUAAUAGUGUGGACGAUUAUGGACUUUUACUAUCUAGUCUUCCCGAACCAUAAGGAAGACUAGUUGGUCAAUUCCUAGGAGAUAUAGUACUGAUUCAAUAUCUAUGCGCCAUCUCCAUGGUCUCCUCCCCUUCUUGGUUCUUCAAUUAGUCCAGCUGAAACUUAUAUCCUAUAGUAGUUGGCAAGCAGGGCUAAAUAUAAUUAGACUUGCAAGCCCAUAACAAUAAUAAUAACAAUAAUGGACUCGCAGGUCUAAAACAAUUAAGAGCUCGCAGGCCCACAAAAUGACAAGAUUAAAAAUGAACCAUUCAAUACAUCCAUAUGGUCGAGUCCAUAAUUAUCCAUUAAUAAUGCAUUUAUCACGUAUUCUUAUAUAAUAUCUAAUAUUAUAUGCAAACACGUUUCUAGUUUCUAGCAAUUACGGUAGUCUAAACUCUUUUAAACAAAUGGAUCGUGACAAUUAAAUAAUUAAUUAAUUAUAUUAAUUAAUUAAUUUAAUUAGCAGGCAUAUAUAAUUAAAAUCAUAUUUUAAUUAAACAUCGAAUUAGAGUCCAACUCUAAUUUCACAAUUAUAGGGCAGGAUUACUUAUUCAAAAUCAAAUUUUAAUUAAAUAUCAAAUUAGAGUCCAACUUUAAUUUCAAAACUUAACACGAUUGAAUUUAAUUAAAAUCAAAUUUUAAUUAAUUAACAAAAAUAGAGUCCAACUCUAAUUCAAAGAUUUCAGGGCGAAUUUUAUUUAAUCAAAAUCAUAUUUUAAUUAAAUACCAAAUUAGAGUCCAACUCUAAUUCCAAGAAAAAAUUUAGGGCGAGACAAUUUAAUUAAAUUCCAAUUUUAAUUAACACCAAAUUAGAGUCCAACUCUAAUUUCGAGAAAAUUUUAGGGUGAGAUAAUUUAAUUAAAAUCAAAUUUUAAUUAAUUAUCUAAUUAGAAUCCAAUUCUAAUUUCAGGAACAUAUUCGGGCGAAAAAUUAAUUAAAAUCAAAUUUUAAUUAAAUACUAAAUUAAAGUCCAACUCUAAUUUAAAUUGAAUGAAUAUUUUAAUUUAGGAUAAAAUUCCUAAACAAAAUAAAUUCAAUUUAGGGUCAUAUUUAAUAUUUAAGCUAAAAUCAAAUUUUAACGAAAAUAUAAAAGGUUGUCAAUUUUGAAUAAAAUUUUUGCUUUGAGUCAAAAUUAAAAUUAUGGGUUAAACCCAUUUAAAACAUAAUCUUAAAAUCAUUUUAAAAUUAAAAUUCAAAAUCAAAACAAUUUUGCAAUUUACAAAUUGACCCAAGAUUAAAUUUAGAAGGUAGUCCUUCAAUUAACUUAAUUGCAUGACAGACCCUUCAUUCAAAAAUUGCAAACUGACCCUAAAUCAUUAAUUGCGGGCAACCCUCUUAAAUUUCACAAAUUGCAGAGUAAGCCCCCAUCUUCAAACAUCUUACCCGUUUGAGAAAACCUUAAACUGUCACCCUUCCUCUUGUUGCGGCGCCGUGCGUGGAUGAGGCGGUGGUGUGCCGUCGCCGUCUAACAGAGGCGGCACACCCCCACCCAAGUAGUUGCCUGCUUCGCUACUGCAAUGUUUAGCAGCGGCACUGGCCGCUACCAAUGACGCAGCGACCAGAGCAACAGUUCAUGCGACUAGGCGCUGCUUCCUGAUUGCAGCGGCGCCCAACGCUUCUGCAAGCGCAGGGCAGUGCGCGGCCUUGCACUGCGCGCCGACCAACCCAAACCAACCCUUUUUUUUUAAAUACGAAAAUUUAAUUUAUUUAUUUUAUCUCAAAACAAAUUUUUGAAUGUGAUAAUAAAUUUUCUGAAUUGCUAGAAAGUAGAACAUAUAUAACAAUCAACUUUUGAUUGCAUAAAGACAUUAAACAAUCUCUAACAAACACAAAGAAUGCUCUGAUACCACUGUUAAAAAUAAAAACAAUUUUUGAUUCCCACCAGGAUUCAUCUUUGUGUUUAGAUAGAAACUAUAAUAAAGAUGUACCUUUUACAAGAUCUGCAAACUCCUUUGUCAUAUCUCUGUUCCAGCAACUUGGAUCUGUCUCCCACGACUAUCCAAUUGUCCAGCCUCCAACGGUGAUCCACACAGAGAGUAAGAUUUUAGUAUUAGGAUUUUUUGUGCUAGCAAGAAUAAUGAAUUCACUACUAAAUUGUAAACCCUAAUAAGUUAUUUAUAUAAAUCCAAAUGAGCUUGGCCUGACCCGGUCCAACAUUUAAUUAAUCUAUUUAAUUAAAUUCUGUACAUGAAUUAAAUAAUCCAAUUAAUUAAUUUGGGCCUAUAAAUAACCAACCCAAUUAAUUAAUUUAUCCAAUGAUUGUUAAAUUAAUUAAUUGACAAAUUGUAAUAUUCCAAUUCUCUUUUGUGUGCGACCCAUCAAGUUCCCGAUCACGAUGUCUAAUGACGUGAAAUAUUAUUUUGAUCUAAUCAAAAUUGAUAAAUUAAAACACCCUUUUAAUUUAUCACCAAUCAAACUUACCGUCCCAGAUUGAUAUCUAGCAAUGUGUCAGGGCAAUACAUGUGAUGGGAAAUGUCAUGUGGUAUGACAAAACCAAACUCGUUCGUUUAUCGUGAAACUAUAAUCCCUUUCGUCAAUAUGAUCCGAUCAAUUACGAGAUAUGGAAGUGUGUCAAUCUCGAUUAUCGAUCAUAUCUUUCACUCCACUAUUAAGUCAAUAUAAGUCGAAAACUCCUUUUCGACUUAUGAGUACACCUUGACCAAGGAUUUCAUUAUCGACUUAAUUGAAUGAAACAUUGAUCAUAAUCUCUUACUAUCUAAGAGUGACGAAUCCUCUAUUGGUCAUUCACAACCUUCAUAUGAUUCUUGACAUACCCGAACGAUGCCGUAAUAGCGGCCCUUGGCAGAGCAACAUCCAAUACCGUCAAAGCAUGACCGUCCUCAUAUAAGGUACUAUGAUGACCUCAAGUCAAAAGGACUGAUCCCACUACUGAACGUUAGAGAUUAACCACUGAUGCUCAGAUAGUUAUCCAUGUGGAAUCUCUCGACGGGUCUCCAAUGUUUUGUUCUAUAACAAAACAUUCACGUGUUCAUUUAAGUGUCACCACACUUUAGUUUGUGAGAUCAGCUACUUACUUCACAAGUAAGAAAUACCACACAUGAUGGUCUAUUCGUAAUAAUGAUAUCCAUAUCUUGUUAUUACUUACGACCACGGACGAUUUAAGAUUAAAUCAUAUGUAAUUUGUAUCUCACAAUCACAACUCCUUGUGAUUAACAAAUUACGAAGAUUUGAAUUUACGGACUCUAUUAUUUAAUUUAAUUGUCUAUUAAUUAAAUAAUAGAUCUGCCAUUAAAUUACAUUAAUUAUGUAUCAAAAGUAUUUAUGUCCAAAGUUGAUUGAAUCUAGGGCAUAACACUUACAGUUUCUUCAACUUUAUGGCUACAAUCUUCACCUUGCGGUCUUCUGGCACAUCCUUGUACUCAAAUAUUCUCUCCACUGUACGCAACCAUCAAUGAAUUCAUCUGGCUGGUUCUACCUUCAAAUUCUGGAACAUCAACUUUGAUGUCGAAAUCUCGCUCAAACUUGCGAUUCCUUCGAGAACAAUUAGACCUCGAGCUAUGAUCUCGAUGGAAAGGAUUACCCUUUUCUUCAUCAUCAUAUGAAUUUUCUUCCUCAGAUUCCUGAUUUGCUGCCUUUCAUCUCCCGAUUUGAAGAUACGCCGAUUGCUGUUGAACUGUUGCACUUCCAUGUACAAUGCUUCAUUCUCAAUAUCACGAUGAUCCCGCUCACGAUUUGGUCUUUCAACAUCAGGCAUGUCGACAUGACUCGAUAAGCCAUAAUAACCUGGAGCUCUGAUACCAAAAUUGAUGCUGAAAAAUCACAGCAACAAAUUUAUUUAGAAAAAAGGGAACUGAUAGUUACCAAGUAUUAGUGAUCACCACUCACAGACAACUUUCGUAAGAUACAGAGCUGGGCACAACUCACCACUUAAAUGAAAAAAAGACUCGAGAUACAAAACACUCAAAGAAGAAAAAUUCUUCUUAAAAAAAAUGGCCAAGCCUUCAGAUUAUUCUAAAAAAUAAAAAUAAAAAAUCCCAUCCUUUAAGAUUACAUAGAGCCUGUCUUUAUAGGCAAUAAUCUCUAAACUUAGAAUGUAAUAUUUUAAAAAUUAGAAACAAAAUUAAUACUAAACUUAAAGAUAAGAAAAUCCAAAAAAAAAAAACACUAGAAUUGAUUGUUUAAAAUUCUUCUUCAUUUUGUGUAGAACUUUCCAUAAUUGUGCCACCCGUCUCAUAUAACAAAAUACAGAUUUAAAAAAAUUGAAUUUAAAUUUAAGAGGGUAAACAUAAUUUAAUACUGUGAAAUUAAUGAAGCAUAACAAAGUUUCAAAUUUUGCGAUAAGUAAAAAUAUAUUUCAAACUAAAUUUCUAAAAUAGAAAAUAAGUUAAUCUAUAUCUUUUAUCACAUCACCCUCAAUCAAAUGGUCAAUAUUUCCAUCUGGAUCAACAAAAAAAUUGAGGACAUCCAAAUGAGUCAUAUCAAUCAUAAUCAACAAAAUUUGUCUCUACCUUUCCCUUCCCCAUGAUUGAUUUUUGGAAAAGAUCCACAAGAUUUUUUCUCAUACGACAUGUGUCCAAUGCCCUUUCAUUCAAUAUCUAAAGCAACUUUCUUCCUAUUCCUUGUUGGAAUUGUUACUUUCAUUUGUUUUGUGCCUUUUGAAAUUGUUGUCUUGUUGUUGAUAGCUUUGUUGAUUAUUUCGUCCAUGGUUUAUUCGACGUGCACGUCUGCGUCCACAUUCAAACCCGUGUUCAUGUCUUUGUCUUGAUAUUGUAUUUACUUCAGGCAAUGUAGUACUAUUUGUUUCAGGCAAUGGUAAAGAACCAAUUGGACAUAGCCCAUGUUUUUUUAUCAGUAGUUCAUUAUUUUGUUUAACAAACAGGAAGAUAUAAGUUUUGAGUUCUUUUUUAAACCAUGCUCGCGAUAUUACUGCUGUAGGAGCACAUUCGAGUCAUGAAAAGUAGAAAAAGUUUUUUUUCAAACAUAUCUUUAUCAAUGAUUUUUUUCCACACAAUAUCAAUUUUGUACAUAUUCUAAAAUUAUAUUCGCUAACAGUUUUUAAAUCUUGCAAAUGAAGGUGUAUCCACUCAUAGUAGGCUUUGGGGAGACUAUAGUCUUUUGAUGAUUAAAUAUCUCGGUUAAAUUUUUUGAAAAAAUCUGUAGAUUUUUCUUAUUGAGAUAUACAAUUUUCAAUCCAUUGUGAAGAUGAUGGUGAAGGAAGAUGAGGCUUUUGCAUGAUCUUGUAGGUAUUCUUUGUUUCCUUAUUUCAUUGUCUCCCCCAAACCUUUUGAAACAAAAUGAAUAUCAUCAUCGAGUACUCACGUCAGAUACUUUUUAAAAGAUAUGUCAAGUGUAACAAAAUUAAGCUUUGUAAUGUUUGCUAUUUGAUUAACUACACAAUAAAGUAAAAGAAAAUAAAAGUAGCUUAGAAGAAUGUGAUUAUACAUCACAAAAUGGUUGAUCAAAUAAUAAUAUCAACAUGACAUAAGUAACGUGUUUUCCUUAAGGGAUAAAUUUUAAAAUAAUAUAUUUUUCGAAACAUGUGCUACUUCAGGAGAACGUUGCAUUUUACUAUUACUUCUUAAUGAGAAAUAUGCCAAUAUUCUUUUGAAAUAUUGAAAAUUAUAAUUUAUGCUCUUCAAUAGUAAGUAUUAUUUUUCAAGAAUAUCAAUUAUAAUAUUGUGUUAUUUUAGGAGCAUCAACCAACUAUUUAUAAUAGACAAAUCUACAUUAAUAUUCUUUUGGAAUAUUAAUCAUAAAGUGUGCUACUUUAGGAGCAACAACAUGAUAGAGUAUCAAUUUAAAAUUUAUAAUACAAUAUUUAAAGUUAUUUAAUCAGGUUAAAAAUAUUAAUGACCAUACAAACAUGAAUAUAAAUUACCAAACAUGCACUAAGAAAAAAACUUCAUAUAUAAAAGCUGACAAACUUGAAUAAAUCUUUUCCCAACAUGUAUUAGUAAAAAAGAAAGAUGCCAAAGAUGCACGUGAUUUCAUAAAUAAUUUUUGUUUUGCAUUAGUACAUGAAAUGGUUAGUGUUAACGGAACAUGAAAUAAUUGCAGUCUUGUUAGUGCAUUAGUAUAUGAAUUCAAUGCAAACAGGAACAUGGAAUAAAUGCAGUAAAUUCAUUAGUUUAUUGGUGCAGCACAUGAAAAAAAGGAAUUGUAGUAAUUGGUAGGCAAAAAUUGAGGUCACGUAUUUCGGCAGAAAUAAUAUGAUGUAUAUGUGAAAUUCAUUUGUUAUCAAAUUAAUUUUGGUACACAUAAUAGAUGAUUAUGCUUAAAAACAUUACUACCUUCUCUAAACAUUAAAGAAUUAAGCUUUCGUACUCAUAAUGUGUUAUGAAAAGAGAGAAGAGAAGAGAGAGAAUAGAGAGAACUUGCGUGUGUUAAAUUAAGUGUGUAUUUGGUAGGGAUUUUGUUAAUUGAUUUUUUAACCGUUAGAGAUAAAGUGGGUCCUACCAGCUAGAGAAGAAUUCAAAAAUGACGUCUGGAAUAGUGAAAUAAUGGUUAAAAAAAAACUGAUGUUAAUUGGAUUAAAAUCUCUACCAAACAUGCUCUAAGAACCAAAGUCCUAUAUUUAUAGAGUAGAAUUAGGGAUAUAACAGUAAUAAUUUUCAGGGUUGUAAGGUUAUAAUUGUCAUUUACUUAUAAACCCUAAUAAAUUUACCAUUUACGACAUAGAAAAAUUUAAUGAAUAUUGUUUUUCUAAUUAUUUUGUCUAAGUAGAUUUUAUAGUAGUAAUCAAGGGGCAUGUAAACCUCAUGUUUACAUUUGAAAGUAGCUAGAAAUUGGUGGCGGCGAUCUAUGUAUUGAUUGUAAGCCAUCUGCAUCAGAUGUGUUAUGAAGAUAACGAAUCUAAUUUAUAUAUUAUUGAAUUGAUCAGGCAAUCAAUCUAUAAAAUGUGUUUCCAAUUCAUCAUAUUAAUUAGAAAAAUUUCCACCAGAGUAACAUUUGUUACAACAAAUAAGACUUGCUCCGAGUAACUUGAAUAAUUUUUUGCAAUUCCAUUCAAAUCAUUACCUGAAUUACUCAAAUAUCUACUUAUCUUCUAACUCAAUCACGAGUAGGUGCAUAAUCUUGUAGCCUAUGGCCUUCUGUUUCAAAAACUUCUCGCGUUUCAAAAACUUCUCGUGUAAUAGAAUUUUCAGAUACUUCACCACUUACUGAAAAAUAUAUAAUUGGACGAUCCUUUAUGUCAUAUUACAAAUAAACGAGCCACAUAGGAGACGUACUUGACUUCUUGGCAACAACUUUAAAUUCAUUUUCAAAAUAACUGAUGAUGAUGACCUCUCAUCUUUAGACCCAAUUUAUACAACAGCAAUCUCCAAAAUAAUGAUACCUUUACGAGAAUGAAGUUAAUUUGAUAUGUUAUCUCUGCGUUUUUUGUAGGUAUAAUCAUCACCAAUCAAAAUUUACUCAUUCAUAGGAAUGACAAUAUUUUAUUUUUUGUUUACAAUAUUUCAUUCGGUGGUCUUCCCUAUUUAACAUCCCCGCCUUUAUAUUUAUUAUCAUUAAAUAAUAAACAAGCGUGGUAUAAUUCAGUAAACCCCAGCUCUAUGUAGUGUCACAAUACACACAAGAGGUAAUUUUCAUUCAUACAUUCAAUAGGUGGGUUACAGAGUUUAUAUAGGAAAAAAAAACUCCUAAUUUUGGAUAAUCAAAAUCUGCAGCUAGUUAAUUGAUUCUACACAUAAUUCCCUAAUUCUAUUCCCUUAAAAUGAUACAAUUAUAUAUGAUUUAUGUUUCCAGAAAAAUAUUUCUAACAACUCACGCCAACACUCCCCCUCAAGUUGAUGCAUACAGGUCUCUGAUGCCCAACUUGUCAAGUGAGUUGUGAAAGUCUUUGCUUGAAACUGCCUUUGUGAGUAUGUCUGCUAGUUGAUCCUCGGACUUUACAAAAGGGAAACGAAUUGUCUUUGCUACCAAGUUUUCCUUGAUGAAGUGUCGAUCUAUUUCCACAUGUUUUGUUCUAUCAUGUCGAACCGAGUCAUGAGAUAUGGCAAUGGCAGCUUUGUUGUCACAGUAUAGAUCCAUCUCAGUAAUAGGAGCAAAGCCAAGUUCAGUGAGCAGUUUUCUGAUCCAGAGGAGUUCACAAAGUCCUUUUGCCAUUCCACAAAACUCCGCUUCAGCACUCGAUAAUGAUACCACUUUUUGCUUCUUACUUCUCCAUGUAACGAGAUUACCGCCUACAAACAUGAAGUAGCCUGAGGUAGACCUCCUAUCUGAACUGUUCCCUGCCCAAUCUGCAUCUGUAUAGCCAUCAACUUUCAAUUGAUCAUUCUUUGAAAACAUCAGUCCCCUUCCUAGUGAGGACUUUAGAUAUCGAAGUAUUCGAGUCACAGCAUCCAUGUGGUCUUUGCUAGGGCUAUGCAUAAACUGGCUAACUACACUUACGGCAUAGGCAAUAUCUGGACGAGUAUGAGACAAGUAUAUAAGUUUGCCAACUAAUUUUUGAUAUCUCCCUUUAUCCAUUGGCACUUGAUCUGAACACUCACUCAGCUUAAGGUUUUGAGUGGUAGGAGUAUCUGCUGGUUUACAUUCCAACAUCCCUACCUCAGCCAGCAAGUCUAGCACAUAUUUUCUUUGGGAUAGGAAUAUGCCUUGUCUUGAUCUAACCACUUCAAUUCCCAGGAAAUACUUGAGGCCUCCCAAGUUCUUUAUCUCGAACUCAGAUGCUAGCUGUUUCUGAAUUCUGGAUAUCUCUUCUUUACCAUCCCCUGUGAUAAUCAUGUCAUCCACACACACUAUCAAUGCAGUUACUUUGCCUCCAUUAUGCUUAAGAAAGAGUGUAUGGUCUGAGUCACUCUGUUUGAACCCAUAUUUCUUCAUUGCCACACUAAAUCGUCCGAACCAUGCUCGAGGUGACCGCUUCAAGCCAUAUAAUGCUCGCUGCAAUUUACACACGACAUUUUGUGAAGACCCUGUAUAGCCCGGAGGGAGAUCCAUAUAGACUUCUUCUUCAAGGUCGCCAUGAAGAAAUGCAUUCUUCACAUCAAGCUGAUGUAGUGGCCAGUCAAGAUUAGCAGCGAGGGACAAUAGUAUUCUAACAGUGUUUAGUUUAGCAACUGGUGAAAACGUCUCUUGGUAGUCUAUCCCAUAUGUCUGUGUAUACCCCUUCGCGACUAGCCUUGCUUUGUACCGCUCAAUGGAUCCAUCUGCCUUGUGUUUGAUGAAAAAUACCCAUCUGCAUUCUACUGUCUUCUUUCCUUCAGGUAAUGGAACUAGUAUCCACGUGUUAUUCUUUACUAGUGCCUCCAUCUCAUCUUUUAUUGCCUGAGUCCAUUUGGAAUCUGAUAAGGCAUCCUGAAUUCCUGUUGGAACAUGAUUAGAAGAGAGAACAUGUACAAAAGCUUUCAGUGGAUCAGAUAACUUCGUGGUGGAUACAUAGUUGGCAACUGGAUAUCUUGAUCUUCAUUUUUCAAUGUCUGGAGAGUUUCUGCUUGGCGGUUUGCCUCGAUUAUGCCUGAAAGGUAAAUUAUAGCCACCAGGAGUAUCUAAAUUGCUUAUAUGUGAAGGAGUGCUUACCUCAGAGAUAUUCUCAGGAGAUGGGCCUGCAGAUACUGAAGAGAAAGGGGGCUCUGGUUCGGUGGAGUUUGGUUCAGCUUCUACAGUUGGUUCCGGAUCUUGAGUCAUAUCAUUCCUUAAGUCAAUAUCUAUCGAAGCUGUCUCUAUCUCAGUAUUAUUUGACCACUCAAACUUCGACCAAUUGAACUCUUCAUCCCUUGUCUCCCCCUGAAGAGGAGAAUUGGAUGUUGGAGUAAAAAAUGUGUCAGACUCCGAGAAGGUAACAUCCAUAGUUACAUAGGUCUGUUUGGAGGAUGGAUCAUAGCACUGAUAGCCCUUUUGAUGUGUAGCAUAUCCCACAAAAAGACAUCGGAGAGCACAUGGGUCAAGUUUUGUCUGUUGAUUCUUGUGAAGAUGUACAUAGGCCACACAAUCAAAUACUCAAGGAGAAAGCAUUAGAGUUGGUGGUAGAGCAACAUGGGAUGAUAGGACCUGGAGUGGAGUCUUAAAAUUUAAGACUUUAGAGGGCAUCCAAUUGAGUAAGUAUACAGCUGUGGACACUGCAUCAGGCCAGUAACAGUUUGGAACAUAGGUUCCAUGAAGGAGAACUCUUGCAGUUUCAAGAAUAUGUCGAUUUUUCCGUUCAGUAACACCGUUUUGUUGAGGGGUUUGAGGGCAAGACGUCUCAUGAAUGAGACCGUGUUGUUCAAAGUAAGUGCAAAACCAUUGGUUGAUAAAUUCACCACCAUUAUCGGAACGAAGAACUCUUAGUUUGGCAGAGAACUGAGUUUGAAUCAUGGCAUGGAAUGACUAAAAUACUUUGAACACUUCAUCUUUAUCUUUUAGUAGAUAGAGCCAGGUCAUGCGAGUGCAGUCAUCAAUAAAUGUAAAAAACCAACGAACCCCAAACCUUGUAGCAAUAGGUGAAGGGCCCCACACAUCAGAAUGUACUAGGGAAAAAGGAAUACUACUUUUAUUCAUGCCUGAUUGAUAAGAAGUGCGUUGACUUUUCGCUAAAAUGUAGGUAUUACAUUUAAAAUCAGAAACUUCCUUAUUCGAAAAAAGGCUAGGUAAUAAAUGCUUUAAAUAACCGAAUGAUGGAUGCCCAAGAUGACGAUGCCACAUCCAAAUCUGUCUUUCUAUCACAUUACUUUGAACAUGAUGAGUGCGAUCGACACUGAAAUCCUCCAUGUAGUAUAACCCCUUUCUCUUAGUACCACGCCCAAGUAUCUCCUUGGUGAGAAUAUCCUGAAGAAGACAAAAGGUUGGAUAAAUAAGUACCACGCAAUUUAAUUCAGCCGUCACUUGGCUUACAGACAAUAAUUUAUGUAAGAGUGAUGGAACAAGUAAAGUGUGGGAUAAAUGUAGAGAGGGAGACAAAGAUAUAGAGCCAGCCCCGGUGACUGGGAAAAUAACUCCAUUUGCAUUCGCAACCCUGUUGCGUCGAGGUGAGGUCCUUUGAAUAAAAUCUCUUUCAUCAUAAGUCAUAUGGUCAGUUGCCCCGGAGUCAAGUAACCAUAAAUUAUUAUUCUUGUCACUGGAGGAUGUAACACAAGCUGAACCAAAAUUACCUGGUUCUGAUGAGGGGUCGGUAUCCUGAAAAUAAUCAUUUUUAGGAAUCAAAGAUAGUUGAGAGUCAGAUGUUGCCACGGCCGCCUUGCCUAUUCGCUUAUUGGUACCCGUCCCAUUUUUGUUCUUUUUUUCCUGCAACUCAUGCCACCAAUCGGGGUAUCCAUUAAGUUUAAAGCAGUUUUCUCGUGCGUUCUUGUUAUUUCUAUAGUAUGAACACUUAAUUUCCUCAUCCAAACCCUUUAACUUAUUUGGCCCACUUUAUUUGGGCCUCUACUUUUAUUUGGGUCUCCCUUUAAAGAAUUUAUUCCAGCAACAGCAAAUGAUCCCAUCUUCACGCCUUUGGUUGCCAAGAUCGCUCCAGGAAGAACAUUGUCGGAGUCUGUAGAAACCAUGACUGCUUGUCGUAGUGCCUCACGACGGACGUACGCAUACGCCUGCUCAAAUGUAGGAAACGGGUCCAUCUGCAAAAUUCUACGGAUGCUAUUGAGACGUUCAUCGAGCCCAUCAAGGAAGGUGUAAACUCUGUCUUCCUGGGUCAAAUUAUUGAAGUGGCGAAUGUCAGCGGCACACUUCAUUGGAUUUGGGCAACGGAAGUCAAUUUCGCAACCCCUGCAGUUCAGUGUAAUAUUUCUCCACAGAUCCGCCUGCUUGUUUGAGGCGACUCACCCUUCGUCGAAGAUCAUAGACUUGGGAUUUAUCAUUCCCAUCAAAGUAUGUAGUGGCAAUAGCAUCCCAAACUUCCUUAGCAGUGUGGAAACGAAAGAAAUUGCCAAUGAGAACAGGGUCCAACGAAUUGAUAAUCCAUCCCUUGACAAUGGCAUUCUCAGUUCGCCAUUUUUCGAAGGAGGGAUCAGUUGGUAGGGGUGGAGGUGUAUCUCCAUUAAUGUAACCCAGUUUAUCUUUCCCGGAAAUAUACAUUUCCAUAACCUGGGACCAUAGGCCAUAGUUUUGUAUCAAUAUACCAAUCUGGGGCGAAUUUUCAGUGAGUGGGGCUGAUAUGUGUGUCUUGGUUAAGGCUUCAGAAUUUUUGGUGGAAAUAUCUGUAAGUAUAGCAUCAGAAUUAGGUGAAGAUUGGUUGGGAUCGGUGAUGAAGUUGGGGUCUUCCAUGUGUUUGUGAAAAUGUUCACAAGAACCGGGCUACAGGUAACUUGGAGAAGAGGAACCAGGACCGUGUGUCCUGCUCUGAUACCAUGUGACAAUACACACAAGAGGUAAUUUUCAUUCAUACAUUCAAUAGGUGGGUUACAGAGUUUAUAUAGGAAAAAAAAACUCCUAAUUUUGGAUAAUCACAAAUCUAUAGCUAAUUAAUUGAUUCUACACAUAAUUGCCUAAUUCUAUUCCCUUAAAAUGAUACAAUUAUAUAUGAUUUAUGUUUUCAGUAAAAGAUUUCUAACAACUCACGCCAACAUGUAGUAGCUGUUGCUGCUACUGGAACGAUUGAGUUCUUCUAGUCUUGGGAUUUCAUCGCCCACAAUAUCAAUGUGAGAAAAUAUGUGCACGCAAAGCUAUGUGAUGAUUCUGUUGUAUGUAAUUCCUUUUGAUUUGAUGAAAUAAUGAAUAAUUGAAUUUUCAAAUGAACUUCAUAUGCAAAAGCUAAUAACAGAGAUAGAUACAAGAUAAACUAUGAAUUCCAUGCAACUGUAACUUUUAUUUGCUCAAUAGUUUACUAUCACUUUUCAUUUUCAAACUCAGUUAAUUCAACUGCAACAUCAACAUUAAUGACACGUGUAUUAAAUGCAAGCUCUCCUUUUUGGUAUUUAUAAUCAUCAUUCUUCCACAGUUCACUAAUUCAAAUGAAGCAUAUUAAUUGAUUUUUCAUCUACAAUGUUCCAACGGUAAAAUACAAUUAAUUGAAUGAGGUACAUCAUGCUUGUUAUAACUCACUCACUCAUAGUCAAAGUAAAGAAAAUUAUUUAGUCAAAGUCCAAAAUUCAAUUGGUCAAAGUCAAUGUCAAAUACGGAUUUAAAUGAAAUAAAUUAUUUUAUUGGGGUUUAAUUUAUUAUGAAAAAUAGUUCAAGGUUUAAAAUGGAUAAAACUUAAUUUUAUGGAUCUACUUAUAUAUUAUUGGAAGUAAAGGACUAGAUGUUAUAUUAAAUUGAAGAAUAAGGACUUCCUUUGCAAAAAUGAGUUAGUGGAGUCCAAAUGUCCAAAUUUUAAUCCCAUUGCCUUGAAUUUUCAUUUGCAUACAUAUGUAUAGAAAAAUUAGAGACGGCAGAGAAGAAGAUCCAAGAGAAAGGAAGAAAAAGAGAAAGAAAAGAAGAAAAAAAAGAGAGGAAGAAGAAAGAAGAAAAAAUAGAAAAUAGAAAAUUUUUGCCAAGUUGUUAGAAAAUAAUUGGUCUAUACUAUUAUGCUUGGAUUUUUCAAUUUUGAAAGGUAUGUAAAAAGUUACUUAUUGUCAAGUUAUGUUUAAUUUUAUAGUUAGAUUUUUAGACUAAAUUCAAUUUUAUUGAAAAUGUUAAGUAUAAUAAACUAUGAAAUUGAGUAAAGUGAAAGAAAAACUAGUUUUAGUUAUUAAAGAGAUUGUAGAAAUCACCUAAACGUGAAAUGAUUAAGUUUGGAUAUCGCCUAUUUCAUUAUUGAGAUUACUUAAAAUAGUUAAUUCUUGAUUUAAAAGUUAUAUUAUAUUAUAUUAUAUUUCAGACGGCGAUACGGACAUCGGGACAGCGUACCAUUCGAGUUAAUUUUGGUGUACAUAAUUCUGUGAGUAGAAAAAUAUAAAUAUUUUUAAAGUAUUUAUAAACUAAGUAUAUUAUAAAAGUAUGUGUAAUUAUGUGAAUUAUUUGCUCUAUUAUGUGAUUACGAUGAAAAUUUCUUUUAAUAUGAUCCAUAAGGAAUUUCAAGGAUUUUUUAUAGUACGUUUGUGAUUUGGGAGGUGAGACAUGUGAUAUUGAUAUUUGUUUUGGUAUGUGAGACAUGUAAUAUUGAGAUCGGUCAAAAAAAUUUCCAUGAUUAUGUACUUCUUCUAGUUCACAGAGGGGCCUUGGCCGUAUUCUAUCCUACACGGAGGGUUUUGACCUGACAUUGGUCUUGAUCGUGUACAUAUAGUUCACAGAGAGGCCUUAUACAUGUUCUAGAAUUGAUUAUAAAAAGUCUUUGAGAUCGGUUUUCGUUCAAGGAGGGGGCCGGCCAAAGGCCCGUAGUGAACGUUCUUAGCCCGAGAGGCAGAUUACAGAUUUCAAUCAGAGGGUACAUUUUUGGUGAUUUUUUCAGUACAUUUGAUGUGAUGAGAUUAUAGCAUGAUUACCAGCUUAUGUUCAUAUCACGAUUUGAGAUGAUAUUUUACCACCUUAUGUGAAUAUCUCACGUUUUUCUAUAACUAUAUGAUGUCAUCUUACGAACUCGGUUUUCGAUAAAAAUGUAAAUUUGGAAAAGUAUAAUUAUUUGCAAAAUUCUUCACUCACUGAACUAUCUGCUCAUAUAUUUUUCCACAAUUAGUUGAAUUGAUGCUCUAUAAAAAGACUACAACAACAUACAAAUUCAUCAUUAAGAAUGAUUUGACAUAAAGAUCUUUGAAAGGUAUGUUUAGCAAACAAGUUCUCAUCAAAGAAACUCGUUUCCGAUAACUGUUAGUCACCCAAACUGGACUCUUCCAUUUGCAAACUUCAAUAGGGAUAGGUUCACUGCCAAAAUGAUGUUGUAGUCUAAGAUAGAAUGGUCUGUUUAUGUGGAAAUAUCCUUAAUCAAUAAAGAAACAAGGACCUGUACUAGAAAAAAAAUAAAUCCCCGAUUUAGCUGAGGUUUUGUGUAAUCAUAUUUUCCUUCCUUCGCAAACUACCUACAAUAAUAAAAGUGAAUUUUAAGUUUAAGUAAAAGAAAUUAUUAUAUGAGAUUAACUUCAUCAAUUAAAUUGCUCAUCAUGUACAAUUAUAAUUAAUCAUGAAUCUAGAAAAAGUAUUGCUUAAUUAGCUGUGUAAAAUUAUAUUAUAAUAAGAAAAACAUGGAGAUGUAAAGUGGUGAAACCCAAAUCUUUGGUAUUAAAACACUUCGCACAUUUAAUGCACGCCUAUAAAAACAAGAUAAGAAUGGUAAUUUGAAUUUAGCUAGAACCUUUUUGGAAUAAUUUUGGGAAAAUUUGCUGUUGAUCUCAAGUUUUCCAUCAACUGAAACUCUAGGCUUCCAAGUGCGUCUCUGGGAACCGUGUAGCCACAUUCAAUCUUUAUGUAUUAUGUUUUCUUCAACACUCAAAACUAGCCAACUGCUUGUGAAUGAACGUAGUGCAACCUUUUGCUAUCUCCUCAAUUACUUUCCCGUUUUGUAAAAUAGUUUCUUCGUCUUUGUAGAGGAUUUUAGAUUUUUGAAAAGAAAAAUAGUACUAUUCAAUUAGUAACAUUGAAUUCUCAUUAAUUUCAAAAACCUUGCAUAAUAGACUUUUUUUAUUUUUGGAUAGGGUCUUGCAUAAUAGACUUGUAUAGAUGCUAAGUUUUUAAUUGAAUCAAACAUAUAUUGGACAAAUUUUAUGCUUUUACAAUAUAAUUCUUUGUAACGAUUCUACUUUGUAUUUGUCUAAUAAUUUGAUGACAACUGUCAUUCCGACCUUAUCUAGAUACCUACAAUAAUGACUCAUCAACAACACUAUCUCUAACAAUUUGGAUAAUUUUUUUUCUCCUUUUCGACAUUCCAAUGACAUAAAACAAUGAAUGAAAUAAUAUGAUUUAAUGUCAAAUUCGAACAGUGUACAUUAAUACAUUUUUCCUUUUAAUCAUUCCAUUAGCAUAAAAUAUUAAACGACAUAAUAACAUUCAACAUUUAAUCAAACAUUGUAUAUUAAUUUUUUUUCCAUUUCAAAAUUGCAACAACAGAAAAUUAUAAAUGAAUUCUAAAUUAAACAAUGUACAAAAAUUUUUUGCACUUUUUGACAUUCCAACGACAUAAAACUAUAAAUGACAUAAUCUGAACAAUGUAUACAUGGGGGAUAGUAAGUUUCGUGUGGCCAUUGUGCAUUAUGAACUAUAUAUACACAGGGGAUCUUAGUUCUCAAAACGAUAAAGUUAGGUUAUUCAAGUCAAUAAAAGCCCAAACCCUAUGCAGUGUAGAUUGUGAAAUUAUUUGAACUUUUGCAAUUCUUGCAACUUUUAGAACAAUUGAGUUCUAGUUUAUUUGUCUUUAGAUCAAUAUGUGAGUUUUGUGUUCUAUUGCAAUUCUUGAUUUGACUACUUCUUGCAUAAUAGAAUUUUUAGAUACUUCAUGACUCACCGAAAACAUAUAUACUUGGACGAUCUUUAUAACACAAUAGAAAUAAAAGAGACAGAUAGGAGACAUACCUUGAAUUCUUGGCAAAUAACUCUAAUUCUUAUUUGCAAAUAACUGAUGAUAACCUCAUUUUUUGACUUGAUUUAUACAAUAGCUGUAAGUAUUAUGCCCUAGGUCCAAUCAACUUUGGACAUAAAUACUUUUAUAUGUAAUUAAUGCAAUUAAAUGGCAGAUCUAUUAUUUAAUUAAUAGACAAUUAAAUAAAUAAUAGAGUCCGUAGAUUCAAAUAUUUGUAAUUUGUUAAUCACAAUGAGUUGUGAUUGUAAGAUACAAAUUACAUCUGAUUGAAUCUUAAACAUCCGUGGUUGUAAGUAAUAACGAGAUACGGAUAUCGUUAUUACGGAUAGACCAUCACGUGUGGUAUUUCUUACUUAUGAAGUAAGUAGCUGAUCUCACAAGUCAAAGUGUGGUGACACUUAAAUGAACACGUGGAUGUUUUUGUUAUAAAACAAAACAUUGGAGACCCAUCGAGAGAUUCCACAUGGAUAACUAUCUGAGUGUCAGUGGUUAAUCUCUAACGUUCGAUAGUGGAAUUGGUCCUUUGACUUGAGGUCGUCAUAGUACCUUAUAUGAGGACAGUCAUACUUUGGCGAUGUUGGAUGUUACUCUGAAAAGGGCCGUUAAUACGAUAUCGUUCGGGUACGUCAAGAAUCGUAUGAAGGUUGUGAUUGAUCAAUAAAUGAUACGUCACUCUUAGAUAGUAGGAGAUUAUGAUCUGCGUUUCAUUCAAUUAAGUCGAUGAUGAAAUCCUUGGCCACGGUGUACUCAUAAGUCGAAAAGGAGUUUUCGACUUAUAUUGACUUAAUAGUGGAGUGAAAGAUAUGAUCGAUGAUUGAGAUUGACACAAUUCCAUAUCUCGUAAUUGAUCGGAUCAUAUUGACGAAGGGAUUAUAGUUUCACGGUAAACGAACGAAUUUGGUUUUGUCAUACCACGUGACAUUUUCUGUCACAUGUAUUGCCCUGACACAUUGCUAGAUGUCAAUCAGGGACGGUGAAUGUGAAUUGACGAUAAAUUAAAAGGGUGUUUUAAUUUAUCAAUUUUGAUUAGAUCAAAAUAAUAUUUCACGUCGUUAGGCAUUGUGGUCGGGAAUCUAAUGGGUCACAUACAAAAGAGAAUUGGAAGAUUGCAAAUUGUCAAUUGGUUAAUUUAACAAUCGUUGGAUAAAUUAAUUAAUUGGAUUUGUUAUUUAUAUUUUCGAAUUAAUUAAUUGGAUUAAUUAAUUCACGGACCGGAUUUAAUUAAUUGGAUUAAUUAAUUAUUGGACCGGACCGGGCCGAGCCUGUUUGGGUUUAUAUAAAUUCAUAACUAGGGUUUGAGGUCCAUAUGAUUUUCAUUAUUCUUGCUGACACAAGAGAAAAUCCUAGAAGCUGCAAUCUUAUUCUCUGUGUGGAUCACCGUUGGAGGCUAGACAAUUGGACAGCUGUGGUGGCGAAUCAAGGUUGAUGGAAUGAAAAGAAAAGCAAAAAGAUUGCAGAUCUGAAAAGGUACAAUCUUAUCACAAUUUCUAUCUAAACACAAAGGCGAUUCUUGGUGGGAAUCGAAAAUUAUUUUAAAUUCCGCUGUGCAUGUAUAAGUCGAUUCCCAACAUUGGUAUGAGAGCCGGGUUGUGUUUGUUAGAAAUUGAUUUGCAUAUCAUUGAAAUCAAAAGUUCAUUAUUCAUGUUUUAUUGUUUCUAGCAAUUGAAGAUUUAUUUUUGUGUUCAAAAUUGUUUAGAAUAAAUUAAAAAAAAAAACCUGAAAAUUGGCAACUGUUGCCGGCGGGAAGAAGAGCGGCGAUUGUCACCGCUCGUGGAAGAAGCAGCGGCGAUAGUCGUCUCUGUGCGUCGCAGCGACGAUGGUCGCCACUGCUGGGAGCGGCAGCAGGCGCCGCUGCACCAGGCAACAGCCCCUGCUGCCUACACAGCAGCGCGAAAACGCUGUUGUGUGAGCAGCGUUUUCACGCUGCUGUAGCGGCAGGAGCCGCCUGAGCGGGGCAUUAAGUGCCGGCCGGCGCCAACAACAAAUAACUAAAAGAAAAUAAAAAAUAAAAAAUUUUGUUUAGGGUUUUUCAGAAAUCGGGUGGAGGCGGGGGUUCCUCUGCAAUUAAAGUAAUUGUAGGACCCUGUCUGCAAUUAAAGGGUCAAGUUGUAAUUUUAAAAGGAAGGGCAUGUCUGCAAUUUGAGAAAUUGGAGGUCCUUCUCUGCAAUUUAGUAGUAAGGGUCAGUUUUGCAAUUUCUGAACUAGGACCUAUUCUGAAAUUUUCGAAAUAUGAAGGGCCUGCAUGAAAUUUGCGAAAUUGAGAGGUCUUGAGUUUAAUUUGAAAAUGGGCCAAAAUGUAAAUUUCAAAAGGGGAUUUGAAUUUAGAUUUUAAAAUGGUUUUAAAUUUUAUUUUAUAUGGGUUUUGACCUAUUUUCACUAGACUUCUAAUUUUGACCCAAAUUAAAAUCUUAUUUAAAAUUGACGACAUUAUAUUUUCGUAAAAUUGGAUUUUGACUUAAACAUUAAACUUUGAUCCAAUUGAAUUUUUAUUUUAUUUAGGAGUGUUAUCCUAUAUUAAAAUAUUAAUUCAAUUUAAAUUAAAGUUUAACUUUAAUUUAUACUUAAUUAAAAUUUGAUUUUAAUUGGUUAUUCACCCGAAUAUAUUCUUGAAAUUAGAAUUGGAUUCUAAUUUGAUAUUUAAUUAAAAUUUGAUUUUAAUUAAAUUGUUUCGCCCUAAACUUUUCUUUAAAUUAGGGUUAAACUCUAAUUUAAUGUUUAAUUAAAAUUUGAUUUGGAUUAAACAUGUUCGCCCUAAAAUCUUAGAUUUAGAGUUUAGACUCUAGUUUUACCAUUUAAUUGAAAUUUGAUUUUAAUUAAAUUCAUUCGCCCUUAAAUAUUGGAAUUAGAGUUAGACUCUAGUUUUGUCAUUUAAUUAAAAUUUGAUUUUAAUUAAAUUCAACCGCCUUACAUUUUGAAAUUAGAGUUUGACUCUAAUUUGAUAUUUAAUUAAAAUUUGAUUUUAAUUAAAUAAUCCCGCCAUAUAAUUGUUGAAUUAGAGUUGGACUCUAAUUUGUUAUUUAAUUAAAAUUUGAUUUUAAUUAAAUAUUCCCGCUAAUUAAAUAAUCGAUUAAUAUGAUUAAUUAAUUAUUUAAUUAUUCCGAUCCAUUUGUCUAAAAAGAGUUUAGACAACUUAAUUGCCAGAAACUUAAAACUUAUUUGCAUAUAAUAUUAGAUAUUAUGUAGGUAUACAUUUAUGUGAUGAAUGUAUUAUUAGUGGACGAUUAUGGACUCGAUCAUAUGGAUGUGUUGAAUGGUUAAUUUUUAAUUUUGUCAUUUUAUGGGCCUGCGAACUCUUAAUUGUUUUGGGCCUGCGAGCCCGUUAUUAUUGUUAUUAUUUUGGACCUGCAAGUCCAUUAUUAUUAUUGUAACUAUGGGCCUACGAGUCCAAUUUCAUUUAGGCCUGUGUGCCAACUAGUAUAGGAUACAUGUUGGAAUUGGACUAAUUGAAGAGACAAGAAGAGGUGGAGACCAUGGAGAUGGUGCAUUGACACUGUUCAAUGCUAUAUCCCCUACGAAUUGACCAACUAGUCUUCCUUAUGGCUCGGGAAGACUAGAUAAUAAAAGUCCAUUAUCGUCCACACUAUUAUAUUAUGUUAUAUAUAUAUUUAUUUGCAUAAUUGAUGUAUAAUAAUAAUAUAUAUAUAUAUGAUUGUAUUGUUGUUGAUGAGACUCAUGAAUGCAAAAUCCCUCCAUAAAAUAUUAAGUUACAUUUGUAAUCGCCUUCCAUCAUUGUAGUGAAAAAUCGGAGUCCCAAAUCGUCUCAGCUUGUUGAGUACACUUAAGGUUGGUCCAUUAGGGAUAUGCUUGACAUUAUGAAAUAUUUGAUAUUUCUGAAUGAUGGGUUUGACUUAACUAAAAUUUAUCUUUUGUUGAGUACACUCAAGGAGAUAAAUUUUAGAGGCAUGUUAAGCUAACACAUAAGAUGUGUGAAAACAAAGAAUUGUCAGCUUAAUGAUCUGAGAGUUGUAUGGAGAUACAAUUGAUAACAGUAUCUACCCAAAUAUUAUAUUAGGGCUUGUUGAGUACACUCAAGGUCUUAAUAUAAUAGAUGGGAUCCCAACCCACUGGGAGUCAAGCAUGGACACCAUAAAUUUAUGUGAGAGGGUCAUAAAUUUUAUUUAAACAGUGGGAGUAUAAUUAAUUUAAUAAAAGUCCAUGUUAAAUUAAUUAAUGCAUUUUAUAUAUUUUAUUCUUUUCCUUUUCGUCAUUUACAUUUAUAUUGAAUCUGAGUAACCAUAUGUUUUGAAUGGCAUACUAGAUGCCAACAACCAAACUAUAUUUUCUUAAUUGACACUACAAUUUGAAAAUUGUUCUUAUGCAUGAGAAAAUUGGUCACGUCCUUGAGUAGCCAUUUCCAGAGACACCUGCUGAUGACUCGAUUAAAGAAGAGAUGGCUACUAUAGUAAACGCAGUAAUGAUAAUAGUACUGCAACAUAUGUGAUACUUGCAACUAUGUCACUGAGUUACAAAAGCAACUUGAGAGUAUAGAUGUUAACACAUAAUUCUUCAUUACAAAGAGUUGUAUGAUAAUAAUCAUGUGUGGAAGGAUAUGAGACUUCCAAACAACUAUACAGGUGCAAAAUGACAAAGUAAUCUUCAAUCGAUGUUUAGAUACUGAAGAUGAUUGACGUUGAGAAAUGUCUCAACUGUAUUCAAUCAUAAACCAUGAACUAAGUAGUGACUUGGUCCUGUAAUCUCUGUCAGCUAAAGCUAUUCACAACUAAUUAUGAAUUUAACGUGAAUAAGCUCGAAUGCAAAAAUAUUGAGUUGCUUAACAUGCUUAGGACUGUUAACCCCUUUAUCGAAGUUGGUAGUGGGCAAACCAUUGAUUUCUUUAAAGAUAUUAAGAGGAAGUUUAAAGGGGCUUUGUAAAAGCACCCAAUAUGGUUAAGACAGUAUAAGCGAAAGGACAAAUACCAAAUCUAAUGACCCUUGGUCUCAUUAUAGAAUGAAAGGUCAUUGGAAGGAAUAUUGUAUGACUUACGUCUACUUCACGAGUUUCUUAGGUAUAUGAUACCAGGUGUAAAUAUCGUAUUUAUACAAAUAUGGAGAAACUAAAAAAAAGUAGACCACUGCGAAAGGGAGAAGUUGACAUACACGUUGGAGAUGAGCAAAGGUUGCAACAUUACCUGUAUGAAUAUACUUCUUACCAUUGCCUUUUGGUUUAGUAUUGAAAUUAGAUAAAUGUCGUUUUAUGCCAACUAUGGCUGGAACAUUAAAAUGAAUUUCAUGUUCGGGCAUGAACUAUUUUAAUAUUAAGGACAAUUGUUGUUCUUGUUUAUCUAGUUAAAGAUCCUAAUGGUUAUGGUAAAUUAUAAAACGACAUUUAUAUUCUUUAAUAACUAAAGAUUCUAUAAUAAGUAUAGAAAUUAUAAGGCAUAAAUACUAUAAUCUAAUUAUUACCAAAAUCUGGCAUGACAGACUUUGUCAUUUAGAUGAAAUAUAAUUCCAAAGUUACAUAAAGAUGUAUACUUGAGAUUAAUUCAUUUUGACAAGUACAAAUUAUGCAUGUCUGGCACAAUAACCAAAUCUUCUUUUGCUUGAAAAGAAGAAAGGUCAGCAUAAUUACUGGUCUAAUGCAUAGUGAUGCAUAUGGAUUCAUAUCAAUCAAUGUUAGGUAAUGUUUCUCUUAUUUCAUAAAUGAUCAAGUAUACUUGAUGAAAACUCAAACAUGAAACUCUUGAAAAGUUCAAGGGAUUCACACUAGAAUUAGAGAAACAAAGAGGUAAAGAUACCUUCACAUUAAAAUUCGAUCAAGUGAGGGUAUCUUAAAGAUAAAAUUUAGAUUAUCUAAGAGAGAAUGAGAUUCUCGUGCAGUGGACUCCUUCAUAUGCACUACAGUAAGGUGGUGAAUCUAAAAGGAGAAAUCGUUAAUUAUUACAUAUAAUGCGAUUAAUAACAAGCCAUGCAAAUUUGUCAAAAUUGUUUUGAGGUCACGCAUUAAUUGCAGUGUGCAACACACUAAACCAUGUCCUAUCUAAAUUGGUUAACAGAACUCCAUACUAGUUAUGGAAAGACAAUAGUCCCAAUUUAUCUUAUAUGAAAGAUUGGGGCCAUGACGCUUAUUUGAAGCGCCUUAAAUCGGAUAAGUUUGAGACUAAAUUCGAUAAAUACAUAUUUGUGAGAUAUUCAAAGGAGACAAUUGAAUAUAAAUUCUAUUAUCAUGAAGAAAGUCUUCGUCACAUAUCGUCUUCUUAGAGAAAAUGUUUACUCUAGGAGAGGACAGUGGGAGUAAAAUAGAAUUUUGAAAGAGUUCAAAAGUCCACAAAUAUAGUUAACCAAGUAGAUAAAUCUGAGUUUGAUCCCAUAUCUGAUAUGGGACAUACCUUGAAUCAGGAAGUAAAGACUCCUGAGGACAUGACAGCUCUAUGUGAAUCUAGUAGGCUCAUUCGACCUUCAAGAAGGUGCGAAUCCAUGAUCAUUAAUCAGUGAUCCAGGAUAAUGAACCUGCUAGUUGCAACAAAAUAAAGUUAAGUGUUGACUUAAAAGAGACAGUAAGAGGCCAUGAAACUCGAGAUGAAACUCGACGCAAGUGAACAAGGUUUGGACCUUGGUCAAGCCUCCUAAUGGAAUAAAGCCCAUAAGCUUUUGUAAAUAGUUUACAAAAGAAAAGGUCGAUAUGGAUAUGAAUAUCCAUAUAUACAAAGCAAUGCUAGAAGCAAAGGUUAAAUGUUGACCUUGGUGAAAUACUUCUCCUGUAUCCUUGCUUAAGUCCAUUCGGGUUUUGCUUGCAGCAGUUGCAUAUCGUGACUAUAGGUUAAGAGAAGUCUCUUGGAGCUGAAAUCUUAGAUUUGAUGAAAAGUCAAAGUGUUUGAUUUUAUCAAAUUUGAAAACGAAUUGUGUGUUUACAAGAAGAUAGUGGGAGCAUUUUUCGUAUUCCUAAAACGACAUCCCUAUGUUUCAAUCGUUGAAAUAAUGGUUGUUAAAGGAUUUAUUUAUAAACGAUAUGGGAUAAGCAACUUGAUCUAUAGAGGUAGAUCUAGAAGAUUGUUUAAAUCAUCCCAAUUUAUAUAGAUGAAAUCUUGAGAAGAUUUCAUAUGGAGAAACUGGUUUACUCUUAAGUGGUAUGUUGGAAAGGUUCCAAACGUGAAGCAAACGUUGAUUCAAUAGUAGAAACCUAAUACAUGGAUACUUCAGAAGUAGCAAAGAGUUGCAAUAUGGAUCAUGAUGUUCAUAAAUGAACUUGGAGUGGUUGUGAUAACAAUAGAGCCAUUGCGAAAGCAAAGGAACUAAGGUCUCAUCAAUGAUCCAAACAUGUAUUAAGGCGAUAUAAUCUCAUCAAAGAGAUAAUACAUAGAAAUGACGUAAAGAGAAGAGCAAAUUUUCACAUUUAAUAAUAUUGCAAAUCCACUGACAAAGAGUUGUCGUAGUAUAAACAUAAUCAUCAUGUAGACUUAUGAUAUUUGAUACAUAAGUGAUUGGAUAUAGUGCAAGUGGGAGUUUGUAAGUAUUAUGCCCUAGGACCAAUCAACUUUGGACAUAAAUACUUUUAUAUGUAAUUAAUGCAAUUAAAUGACGGAUCUAUUAUUUAAUUAAUAGACAAUUAAAUAAAUAAUAGAGUCCGUAGAUUUGAAUAUUUGUAAUUUGUUAAUCACAAUGAGUUGUGAUUGUAAGAUACAAAUUACAUCUGAUUGAAUCUUAAAUCAUCCGUGGUCGUAAGUAAUAACGAGAUACGGAUAUUGCUAUUACGGAUAGACCAUCACGUGUGGCAUUUCUUACUUAUGAAGUAAGUAGCUGAUCUCACAAGUUAAAGUAUGGUGACAAUUAAAUGAACACGUGGAUGUUUUUGUUAUAGAACAAAACAUUGGAGACCCGUCGAGAGAUUCCACAUGGAUAACUAUCUGGGUGUCAGUGGUUAAUCUCUAACGUUCGAUGGAGGAAUUGGUCCUUUGACUUGAGGUCGUCAUAGUACCUUAUAUGAGGACAGUCAUACUUUGGCGGUGUUGGAUGUUGCUCUGAAAAGGGCCGCUAAUACGAUAUCGUUCGGGUAUGUCAAGAAUCGUAUGAAGGUUGUGAUUGAUCAAUAAAGGAUUCAUCACUCUUAGAUAAUAGGAGAUUAUGAUCUGCGUUUCAUUCAAUUAAGUCGAUGAUGAAAUCCUUGACCAAGGUGUACUCAUAAGUCGAAAAGGAGUUUUCGACUUAUAUUGACUUAAUAGUGGAGUGAAAGAUAUGAUCGAUGAUUGAGAUUGACACAAUUUCAUAUCUUAUAAUUGAUCGGAUCAUAUUGACGAAGGGAUUAUAGUUUCACGAUAAACGAAUGAAUUUGGUUUUGUCAUACCACGUGACAUUUCCCGUCACAUGUAUUGCCCUGACACAUUGCUAGAUGUCAAUCAGGGACAGCGAAUGUGAAUUGACGAUAAAUUAAAAAGGUGUUUUACUUUAUCAAUUUUGAUUAGAUCAAAAUAAUAUUUCACGUCGUUAGGCAUCGUGGUCGAGAACCUAAUGAGUCACAUACAAAAGAGAAUUGGAAGAUUGCAAAUUGUCAAUUGGUUAAUUUAACAAUCGUUGGAUAAAUUAAUUAAUUGGAUUUGUUAUUUAUAUUUUCGAAUUAAUUAAUUGGAUUAAUUAAUUCACGGACCGGGUUUAAUUAAUUGGAUUAAUUAAUUAUUGGACCGAACCGAGCCAAGCCUGUUUGGGUUUAUAUAAAUACAUAACUAGGGUUUGAGGUUCAUAUGGUUUUCAUUAUUCUUGCUGGCACAAGAGAAAACCCUAGAAGCUGCAAUCUUAUUCUCUGUGUGGAUCAUCGUUGGAGGCUGGACAAUUGGACAGCUAUGGUGGCGAAUCAAGGUUGAUGGAAUGAAAAGAAAAGCAAAAAGAUUGCAGAUCUAAAAAGGUACAAUCUUAUCACAAUUUCUAUCUAAACACAAAGGCGAUUCUUGAUAGGAAUCGAAAAUUAUUUUAAAUUCCGCUGUGCAUGUAUAAGUCGAUUCCCAACAAUAGCAAUAUCCACGAUAACGAUAUGUCAAUGAGAAUGAAAUUAAUGAAAUGCUACUCUUCUUUUUUGGUAAGUAUAUUGACCAUCUAUCCAAAAUUCAGUAAUUCAUAGGAACCGCAGUAAUUGAUUUUUUGUUUACAAUGUUGGAUUGGUACAACACUUUAAACUGAAUAAUAAGAUUAAUUAGAUUCUCGUAACAAUAGAAUAUAAUUCUUAUAUAAAGCACGUUGGAGAACUUAUUUUUAUAGUAUGAGCAUCAUGAUAUAUUGUGCAAUCGUGUUUUCUUUGAACUGUGAAUUGAUGCUCAUUGUGACCUAUAGAACAGCACACAUUUGUGAUGGUGAAAUGUUUGAAGUAAAGGUGUUUUGGAUUUCUCUUUAGAUAACAAUUCCUCCACAAAGCAAUACUCGUUUUUUAUCACUCAGUGAUCCAAACUUUACUCCUUUAAUCAUUACGUGCAAUAUUUGAGUGACAAAUAAGAUACAUGUUGAAAGUAUUUGCCUGGUUGAUACUUUUUUGUAUCUCCAUCUUUCAAUUUAUUAUACCAAAAUAAUAGACAAGCAUGGUGUAAUUCUGUGAAACUCCACUUCGAUUGUGGUAAUUUGCAUGUAAAAGUUAAUCUAAACCCCACCUCUAUGUAGAAAAAAUUGUACUUCUGCAAUAAAAUUUGGGUUCAUUGAAUUUUCUAUUUGUCUGUUGCCGCUACUGGAACAAUUCAGUUCUUCUAGUCUUGGACUUCAUAACCCAUAAGAUCAAUGUGAGUAACAUUUGUGCUCGCACGACUACAUGCUGAUUUUAUGUCCUUUAGUUUGACGAAUUCAUUCAUCCACAAUUUCGAAUGAAGCAUAUUAAUUGAGUUUUCAUUUACAAUGUUACAACAGUAUAACACAAGAAAUUAAAUCAGGUAUAUCUUGCAACCUUCUUUCCAACAGAGAAUUGACGCUGUCUAAGAAAUUUAGGACAGCAUACAAAUUCAUCACGAAGAACGAUUUGACAAUAGGUCUAGGUCGAAGAACCUCCAAAUUUUUCUAUGUAGCGACCAAAAUAAAAUUUCGCUUAUUUUAUUUUGGCAAGUUUUGUUAAUUUUGAGAUAUUGAGGGACUAAUUUUAAAAUAAGUUAUUGCUGUCAAUAUUUUUUUGGGUCAGUUAAUCAAGUACUAAUUAAGCGAGAAUUUCCCUAUUAAUAUUUGGCCUCAAAAAAAGAUAUUUCAGAUGAGUUAGGCCCAUGAAGAUAAAUCGCAUAUUUAAUAAAAGCAAACUAAGCAUUUAACAUAUUUUUGGCAGCUAAGUGUGAUAAAUGGAAUUUGAUAUUUUUUCGAUUAGGAUGAAAGCUAUUUGAGAUUUGAUUUAACUGAUUUCCAUUUGAAUUCUUUGUAAUCCUAUUAACCAAUUGAUCAUUUUUGCAGCCAAUUUUCUUGUUAGUUGGAAUGUUUGACUAGGAAAAACCAUCUGUUUAAUAUUAUCAAAUCUCUAUAUGUUACACUGUUCAGGACUCUAAUUACACAUUAAUCCAAAGAGAUACCAGGUUAUAGGUUAUUUUAUACACAUGUAUCACAUGAUACACAUAGAAUACAAAUGCAUGCACACACAGCAGACACACAAGCGCAGAAAGCAUUUUUACGUUUAAAAUUUGUAGAGGAAUCCGGUGCAACGUAAUCACUACCAUAUCAUCACAAACUAAGUUGGGCUCCCUACACUAAGUUGAUCAUUAUAUGAUUUUAAUUUUUAUUUGUUAAUGUUCGUUAAUUCAUUAUGUUGCUCAUGAAGUAUUUGAAGCACCUUUAAUUGUUCUUCUUAAAUGUUAAUGUAACGAAAAUUAUAUGUUUAACUAGUGGUCACAGAAGUUUAUCGGAACUUUAAGUAAAUUGUUGGAUCAUCGAUUUACUUAUUUAUGAAGGCAAUAUGAGAAAAUAUAUGAUUAGAUGCAUGAUUAUUAAGUUUGUAUAGCAUAUGUAGCCUACUGAGUAUUUCUUUGAAAUGCUACUUCCAAUCUAACAUUUUUAGAGUAAUCGGAGAUCAUGAGGUGGCUCAGCAUGGAUGACAUGUUUUAUUUUUGAGGAAUCGAUUCCUUUAUGUCCAGUUUUAAAGUACUGCUUUUUUAGGUCAAGAUCCCUUAGUGUACGUGUUCAAAGAUUUAUACUUCUAAGUUUAUAUUUUAAAAUGGUUAAUUUUAACAUUUAAACAUACAUUUCAUGAUUUUCAGCAUUAUGCCAUUAUUUUUAAAAUUUACUACCGUCAAUAUAUUUAAAAUUUUAACAUGAUUUUAAUAGAAACAACCCUUUAUGAGUUAUCUAUCAUAUAGAACUGAAAACAUGUCAAUAGGAGUCCCGUUGAAUUUUGUCAUAGCAUUUUUAGUAAACUGUGAUGGGUCAGAUUUGGGAAUGCGGUCUAGCCUGUUUGAUUAAACCCAUGGCUUCGUCAUGACGUAUGGUGGAUUUUGGCCAUUUGUCAAACAAUGAGCACUUGCAUAUUUGGAACGUUUGGAUUGUCGGUGUUCGAAGAAUUGAGCAUAACUUUUGCAAACUGUAUCCGUUUUGGGCCCGUAAGUACAUUUCAAAAAUGUAUCGACCAUUCUGGAUUGAUUUGAUGGCUUUGUCAUGACGUAUGAGGGAUUUUGGCCGUUUAUCGAAGAACAAGCACUUGCAUAUUUGGAUUGUUGGCGUUAGAAGAAUUGAGCGUAACUUUUGCACACGGUGUCCGUUUUAGGCCAUAAGUACUUUUUGGAAAUAUAGUGACCGUUAUUGAUUGAACUCAUGGCUUCAUCGUGACGUAUGAGGGAUUUCGCCCAUUUUUGACGAAUGAGCACUUGCAUAUUUAGAUUGUCGGCGUUCGAAGAAUUGAGUGUAACUUUUGUAGACGGUGACCCUUUUUGGCCCAUAAGUACUUUUCGAAAAUGUAGCGACCGUUUUGGAUUAAACUCAUGGUUUCAUCGUGACGUAUGAGGAAUUUUGGCCAUUUUUUUAGGAAUGGGCACAUGCAUGUUUGGAUUGUCUGCGUUCGAAGAAUUGAGCAUAACUUUUGCACAUGGUAUCCGUUUUGGGCCCAUAAGUACUUUUCGGAAAUGUCGCAACCGUUUGGGAUUGAACUCACGACUUCGUUGUGACGUAAUUGGGAUUUUGUCCAUUCUUCGAAGAAUGAGCACUUGCAUAUUUGGAUUGUCGGCGUUCGAAGAAUUGAGCGUAACGUUUGCACAUGGGGUCCGUUUUGGGCCCAUGAGUACUUUUUGAAAAUGUAGCAACCGUUUUGGAUUGUACUCACAGCUUCAUCAUGACGUAUGAGGAAUUUUGGCCUUUUUUCGAGAAACGAGCACUUGCGUAUUUGGAUUGUUAGCGUUCGAAAAAUUGAGCGUAACUUUUGCACACGAUGUCCGUUUUGGGCCAAUAAGUACUUUUUGAAAAUGUAGUGACCGUUUUGGAAUGUACUCACGGCUUCAUCGUGACAUAUGAGGAAUUUUGGCCAAUUUUUGAGGAAUGGGCACUUGCAUAUUUGGAUCGUCGGCGUUCGAAGAAUUGAGCGUAACUUUUGCACACGGUGUCCGUUUUGGGACCAUAAGUACUUUUCGAAAAUGUAUCGACCAUUUUUUAUUAAACCCAUGGCUUUGUCGUCGAGAUCCCAAAUUUUGAUAUGAUGCACUUAUUUGAGUUUUACUCUCUAAUAAAUCUACAUAAAUUUUGGUCGAGAUUUGCUAGGUCAAAUAAUCUUUGUACCUUACUAUGCAAUCGGAGCAAAACUGUUUUACCUUGCUGAAAUUUCCUAAAACUCAUUGCAAAUCAUGUUUUUUUUCUGAGUCCAUAAUAUAAAAAUUGUUAAUAGUCAUAGUAGGUAGAUUUAUUUUGAAGAAGACUAUUUAUUUGACUUUACCCCAUUUUUUCCCAAAAUUUAUUAAUUAAUCCAAACUUAAAACACUUUUCUUAAUAACGCAUUUUUAACAGUUAACAUUAAAGAACUCAUAUUUGGUAACGCAUCGAGUUACAAGAAUUUGGCGGCAUUACAUUCUAGGCCAAGCAUCAUGGUAUAUCAUGCAAUCCUCCUUACUUUGAAGAGUGAACUGAUGCUCUUUAUGACAUCUUGAACAGCGUGCAAAUUCAGGACGAUGAAUUUUUUUGAUGUAAAGGUCUUGGAAAAGUAUCUUUAGCAUCAAUUCCUCAACAUAGCAAUACACUUUUCCCAUCGGAAUUAGUGGCCAAAAUUUUAUACCUGUACUCGUUACUGCGAUAUUUUAGUGAUGGUGGUCUACACUUAAUAUCCCCAUCUUCCCACUGAUUAAACCCUAACUUUAGGCAGGAAAAAUUAAACUUUUGCAAUAAACUUUAAGCUCAGAUUACUAUUGAUCUAUUGCUACUACUAGAACGAUUGAGUUAAUAACCAUUCAUUUUUGGACUCAAUUUAUACCACUGGAAUAUCAAGAACACUGACAUGUGCAUGAGAAAACAGUUACUUUGAAAUGCCACCUCUCCUUUUUGGUAUUUAUAAUCACCAUUCAUCCAAAAUUCACUAAUUCAAAGGAAGCACAUUAAUUGAUUUUUCAUUUAUGAUGUUCCAACAGUAUAGUAAAAUAAAUGAAUUAAGUUAUAUCUUGCUAACUUCCUUACUUCAAAGAGUGAAUUGAUUCUGUAUUACACAUCCGGAACAGCGUACAAUUUUAUCAUGAAGACCGAUUUGACAUAAAGAUUUUGGAAAGAUAUGUUUAGCAAACAAGUAAUCCUCAAAGAAACUCAUUUCUGUAACUAUUAGUGAUCAAAACUUGUUUCUUCCUAUUGUUACGUGUGAUGAUUUUUCAAGAAUCAUUUACAAACUGAACUAGGGACAGGUUCAAGGUCAAAUUGAUGUCGUAGUAAACGAUAGAAUUAUUUGUUCUUAUGUAAAUAUCUCUAAUCAAUAAAGAAUCGAGGACACAUACUAGAAAAACAUAAAUUCUUGAUUUGGGGGUUGUUUUCGGUAAUCAUAACAUUCUUCAUUUGUAAAAUACCUACAACAAUAAAAACAAUUCUAAGUUUAAAUAAAAAUAUUUAUUAUAUGAUAUUAACUUUAUCAAUUAAAUUGUUUAUCUAGAAAGUGUAUAAUUCAUUGUUAUUUGAGAAUCUAGAAAAAAAUAGUCCUUAAUGUGUUCGAAUUAGCAAGGUAGAAAAAACCCAGGAGAUAUAAAACUUUGAAACCCGACUCAAUGGUAUUAUAACAAUUCACCCAUUUAAUGCAGGCCUAUAAAAUUAAAAUAAGCACGUUAAUUUGAAUUUGGAGAGAACCUUUACGGCUGUUUUGGAAGCAUUUGCAUUCAAUCCCAAGUUUUCCAUCAGCUAAAACUCUAGGUUUCCAAGUGCAUCGACGUGGUAACUGUGCAACCAUAUUCUCUUUUGUGAAACAAUAAAUGAAAACUAGCCAACUCCUUAUGAGUGAACCUACCUGAAACCGUUUGCUUUCAACUCCAAUAAUUUUCCUACGUCAUAAAAAUACUUUUAUUUGUCUUUGUCUACGUAGAAGAUUUUAAAAUUUUUAAUAAAAAAAAUAGUUUUCUUCAAAAAGAUAUCAUUGAGUUCCAACUCAUUUUACACAACUCGCAUAUAAUAAUUGUUUAGACACUAGAUUUUAUUGAAACAGAAAUAUAUUUGACUAAACAUAUGCUUUUACAGUGUAAAUAAAAGAGACGCACUUAAAAAAUAUUUUGAAUUCUUUGCAACAAUUCUACUUCAUGUUUGUCUAAUAAUUUGAUGACAACCAUUAUUACUCUGAACCUAUUUAUAUACCUACAAUGCCGAGCAGUUAACUCUCAUGUUUUGGAAUGUACAUCGCCACUCAUUGACAAUAGUAACUCAAACAAUUUGUUUAGAUUUUUCUCAUUUUCGACAUUUCAAUGACAUAAAUCAAUAAAUGUAUAACAAGAUUCAACACAAAUUCAAGCACUGCACAUUUAUUUAUUUUUCCUUUUUUGCAUUCCAAUGGCACAAAAGAAUAAAUGAAAUAAUAUUAUCCAGCACUAAUUCUUAUAUUUCUAUUAAUUUAUAUUUCCAUAUCAAAAUUGCAACAUCAUAAUAUUAUAAAUGAAUAACACGUUCAGCUCUUCAAACAAUGUAUAUUAAUUUUUUUCGUCUUCUACAUUCCAACAGCAUAAAAGUAUAAAUGAACUAAUGACGCCACACUGCAUCCUGAACUAUGUAUGCAUGGGGAUCAUCAUUUUCAUUAUACCGUGGGCAUGUGAAUUCUGCACUAUUGAAACAUGGGGGACCAUAAUUUUCGAAAUGAUAAGUCAAUAUAAACCCCAACUUUAUGUAGAGUAGUUUUAACAAAAGAUUGAUCUUUUAUAAUAAAAUUUGGUUAUGAGUUUUUAUUGAGUUCUUCCUACUGCUAGAAUGAUUAAGUCCUAGUGUAUGGCUUUCUUCUCCCUUUAGAUCAAUGUGUGUGUGAUGAGUGUACACACGAGUAUAUGCACAAUCACGUGUCCUAUGGCCAUUUGAUUUGAUAGCUUCUUGCAUAAUAGAAUUUUAGAUACUUCAUUAUUUACUGAAAAAUAUAUACUUAAGUGAUCUUGGUAUCACAUGAGAAAUAAAAGAGAUAAAUAGGAGGCAGACGUAGAAUUCUUUGUUGCCAAUAUUUAAUGAUAACCUCUCAAUUUUGGACCCUAUUUAUACAACUGCAAUAUCAAUAAUAAUGAGUUGCCUACAAGAACGAUGUUAAUAUGAAAUUCUACCUCUCCUUUUUCAGUAUGUUCAUUCAUCACCAAUCCAAAAUUCACUCAUUCAAAGGAAGCACAAUAAUUGAUUUUUUGUUUAUAAUAUUCGAAUGGUUCAAAAGAAUAGGGUGCAAAUUCAUGACUUGUUUGAUGUAAAGGUCAUGGAAAAGUAUAUUUAACAACAAUUUCUCAACACAACAACACUCUUGUCCCAUCUCAAUUAGUGACCGAAACUUUAUUUCAGUAUUAGUUAGUACGAUAUUUGGGUUGCACAAAAGUGCGUGCAGAAAGUAUUUGGUGCUCUAGCCAUCUGUCUACUUCUUGUUUAGAGUAAUUUACAUGUAAAAAACAAUCUAAACCCCAACUCUAGGUAGGAAACAUUGAACUUUUGCAAUAAAAUUUGUGUUUGUAAUUGUUUUUUCAUUUACAACAUUGCAACGGUAUAAAACAAUAAACCAACCUUCCUUUCUUUGAAGAGUGAAUUGAUGCUCUGUAAGACAAUUAGAACAUCAUUCAAAUUCAUCACAAAGAAAGAUUUGUUGUAAAGGUCUUUAAAAGUUAUGUUUAGAAAACACUCAAAGAAACUCAUUCCAAAUCAAUAUUAGUGACCUAAACUUGAGUUUUCCAAUUGUUACGUGUGACGAUUUUUCUAGCAUAAUCUGCAAACUGAACUAGGGGUUGGUUCACUGCCAAAAUGAUGUCGUAGUCUAAGAUAGAAUUCUUAGUUCGUGUGAAAAUAUCUCUAACAAUAAAGAAACAAGGACAUUUGCUAGAAUAAACAUAAAUCUCGAUUUGGUGGAGGUUUUGGGUAAUCAUAACAUCCUUCAAUCAUAAACUACCUACAAUAAUAAAAACAAUUCUUAUAAGUUAAAGAAAAAGAAAUUACGAUAUGAUAUUAACUCCAUCGAUUAAAUUGUUCAUCUUGUACACUUGUAAUUAAUUGUGAUUUGAGAAUCAAAAUAGUCCUUGGCUGCAAAUUAUCGACAAGAAAGCCUAGGAGAUAUAAACAUAUAAAACCCAACUCGGUGGUGUUAUAACAAUCGCACAUUUAAUGCACGCCUAUAAAAACAAGAUAAGCAUGUUAAUUUGAACUUAGAGAAAACCUUUAGAACUAUUUUCGAAGCAUUUGCAACCAAUUAAAGUUUUCCUUCAACUGAAUCUCUUGGUUUCCAAAUCAUUGCCCUGGUAAUGGUGCAGUCACAUUCUAUCUCUAUGUAUUCAGUGCCCUGGUAACAUUGCAUUGAGACAUGCAUGGAGGUGCUGAUAAUAUAUGUUGUUCAUUGUCCGUGAACAUACCCGCAACCUUUUGCUAUCAACUCUGAUCACUUUCUUAUGUAGUAAAAAUGGAUUUAUUUGAGUUUGUAGAAGAUUUUAAAUGUUUAAAGAAAAUAGAUCUAUUCACAGAGAUUGAAUUUGGCUACACAUUCCUUGGGCGGCGCACUUGGAAAACUUUUAAGCUGAUGGAAAAAUUAUGAUUGACUGCAAAUGCUUCCGAAAUAGUUCCAAAGGUUCUCUAUUUAUUGGACAUUCUGACAUCCGUGCAUUAAAUAUGCGAAAUGAUAUAAUACAACUGAGUUGGGGGUUCCACAGUUUCACAUCUCCAGGUUUUUCCAUCUUUGCUAUUUUGUAUACUGCUAAGGGCUAUGAUUUAUUGACCCACAAAUCACAUUUACGUUUCACAUCUUGUGUGCCUCCCCAAUAUCUCACAUAAUGAUUAGAAGAGUCAAGUUUCGGUCACUAAUAGUGAUGGGGAAAAAUGCAUUAUUUUUCGAGAACUUGUUUGCUAACCAUACCAUGAAGACCUUUACGUCAAAGAACUAAUGAUAAUUAAUUUGCAAGCCAUCCUAGAUGUUGAAAAUUUCAUCAAUUCACUCUACAAAGCAAGGAAGAUUGCGAGAUAUAUCAUGAUGCUUGUCUUGAGAAAAUAGGAAGUUCCCUAACAUACAUAAUAUAAGAAUUAUCUCCUAUUAUUGUUGAAUCAUAUUAUUUUCGUAUGUAGUUUUACUUCGUUGGAACGUUGAGAAUAAGAAAAAUUAAUGUAAAUUGUUCGAGUCAGUGUUGUCGACAGUUGAUAUCCAUUCGAAAUACAAGAGUUGACUCCUUAAUAUUGUAGGUAUAUAAAUAGAAAAGUACAGAGUAGAAUCACUGCAAAGAAUUUUAAGUAAGUUUUAUGUGCAUCUCUUUUAUUUUAUGCUGUAAAAUCAUAUGAUUAGACAAAUAUAUAUAUUUUUUUAAUAAAAACUUGGUAUCUAAAUAAUUCUUUUAUGCAUGGUUUAUAAAAUUAAUUGGAACUUAAUACUUUCUAGUUGAAUAGAACUAUUUUGCUUAUUAAAAAUUUUAAAAAUUAAAUUCUACAUUUGGCAUUGAUGUCAAAAUGUAAUAGUCAACAGUUAUCCCCUUAUCAUACACAACUCUCUUGGAGUUGCCAGGAUUCUCAGUAUGUUCCUUGAGACACCACCUCAAUCACAAAAUCAAGUUUGUACACAAUAAGCACAAAAAUCAAAUUAUGUUUUUAAUUCAUAUAAUUUUUCCUAGUAAGUUGAUUUUGUUUUAGAAUAAUUGAAAAUUGACUAAGAUAUAUUUUGCUGAAAAGUAAUCAUAUAUUGCAUAUUAAAAUUGAGCAGUUGACAACAUUUUAUCAUAUGAUGCACGAUUAUACAUGUAGAUUCAUAAAAUUACAAUAACUGCUAAUUGAUCAUUAUGAUCCAAUAUGCCUGUCUCUAUACGUUUAUUGAUCAAGUUGAAACUCUCUCAAUAAACAAAUCAUAUUUGCAAAUAUCUAAAUAAGCCAAGCAUCAUUUUAUUAGUCUCCAAAACCACAAACAAGAGUCUUUAUAGGAGGUUCGUAGAUGACCUUGAUAUAAGUGCCAAAUCGUUGUCUUGAUCUCUAGGUACUUGAAAAUAAUUCCACCAUUUAUAGGAAAAUUGCCCUUAAAUUGUAGGAUGUAUAGUCCUUUUGUUUGUUUGUUUGUUUCUAUUUUUUUCCACCAUAGAAAAUACUUUUUUCUAUUUUCUCGUAUUUUGAGUCAAUUGCCCUUACAUUGUAGGAUGUACUUGAAAAGUAUAAUGAUACUUAUCUCGUAUAACUGAAAAAAUAUAUUUGUUUAUCUCCUAUAAUUAAACAAAUAUUUUUUUUUCUUUUGUCUCUCUUUUUCAAAAUUUUAAUUUUUUUUUUCCUUGUGUUUUAUUUAGAUUAGUAUUAUUUUUAUAUUAAAAAAAUUUAAUCUGAUUUAUUCUACCUUUCUGUACAAGUUAAUCCAUCUCAAAAUAUUUUGACAAAUAAAAUUUUUUAUUUCGAAAAAUAAGGUUAUGCAAGUCAAUAUAAACCCCAAUUAUAUGUAUAGAGUAGAUUUUUGUAUGAGUUUCUAUUGACUUCAUGCCAAUUUAGUUUUCUGCACGCUUUAGAUCAAUUUGCGCACGAUAGGUGCAUAAUCUUGGAUCAUAUGGCCUUUUGUUUUGAAGACUUCUUGCAUAAUAUAAUUUUUAGAUUCUUCAUCACUUACUGAAAAAAUAUAUACUUAAUAUCAAUUAGAAGUAAAAGAGAAACAUAGGAGAGGUACUGUGAAUUCUUGGCAACAACUCUAAAUUCAUUUUCUAAAUAACUGAUGAUAACCAGCUCUCAUCUUUUGUACCAAUUAAUACAACAGCAAUAUCCAAAAUAAAAAUACGUUUACGAGAAUGAACUUAAUUUGAAAUGCUAUCUCUCCAUUUUUGGGAGGUAUAAUCAUCACCCAUAAAAAAUGCACUCAUUCAUAGGAAUCACAAUAAUUUAUUUUUUGUUUACCAUAUUCCAUGGUACAACAUAGCAAAUGAAAUAAUAAGUUUUAGAUUCUCGUAACAAUAGAAGAUAAUUCUUAUACAAGGCAUGUCACAGAACUUCCUAUUUUUGCUAGUACAAGCAUCACGACAUAUCUUGCAAUCUUGUUUUCUAAGAAGUGGGAGGUGAUGCUCAUUGUGACACCCAGAAACAGCACACAAAUUCAUGAUGGUGAAUUGUAUGAUGAAAAGGUGUUUGAAAUUUCUCUUUAGAAAACAAGUCCUCCCCAAAGCAACACUCGUUUCCCAUCACGUUUCGUUAUCCAAACUCAAUUCUUUUAAUCAUUAUGUGCGAUAUUUGGUGGCAUUCAAUAUAUUUCUGGAAAGUAUUUGGGUGGUCUACACUUCUUAAUAUCACUGGCUUUCUAUUUAUUAUCACAAAAUAAUAAACAAGCAUGGUGUAGUUCCGUGAAACUCCAGUUCAAGUGUGGAGAAAUUUGGAUGUAAAAGCAAAUCUAGACCCCAACUCUAUGUUGAAAACUGUUGCUUCUACUGGAACAAUUGAGUUCUUCGAGUCUUGGGUUUUCAUCAACCACAAGAUCAAUGUGAGCCAAUCUCUACACGCAUGGCUAUAUGCUGAUUCUGUUGUAUGUAUUCCCUCUAGAUUUGACGAAAUCAUGAAUAACUGAAUUUUCAAACGAACUUCAUAUCCAAAAAGCUAUAUACAGAGAUGGAUACAAGAUAAACUAUGAGUUCUGUGCAACAAUUGCAAUUUUUAUUUGCUGAAUAGUUUACAAUCACCAUUCAUUUUUCAACUCAGAUUAUUCAACUGCAAUAUAAACGAUAAUGAUAUGAGUAUUUGAAUAAAGAUACCUUAUUCUUCCACAAUUCACUAAUUCAAAUGAGACAUAUUAAUUCAUUUUUCAUUUACAAUGUUCCAACAGUAAAACACAAUAAAUUAAAUAAGGUAUCUCUUGCUACCUUCCUCAUUUUGAAUAGUUGAAUUGAUGCUCCAUAAAUCUAGAACAGCAUACUAAUUCAUCUCGAAUAAUGAUUUGACGUAAAUGUCUUCGAAAGGUAAGUUUUGGCAAACAAGUCCUAAUUAAAGAAACUCAUUUCCUAUCACUGUUUAUCACCUAAAAUUGACUCUUCCAAUCGUUAUGUCAGAGUUUUUUAAAUUACCAUCAUUUGCAAACUUAACUAUGAAUAGGUUCACCGCAUAAAUGAUGUUGUAGUCUAAUAUAGAAUUGUUUUUGUAAUGCAUUAAUUUAUAAAAAAAAAAAAAAAAAAAAAGGCAAAACAGUGAUGCGGUGAAUUGGAUAUAUCAAUCCAACUCACAUUAAACAAACCCAUUAUAAUAAUAAUAAUAAUAAUAAUAAUAAUAAGGCACACAACACACACCCAACAAGAAACGUACCAGAGAGAGAGAGAGAGAGAGAGAGAGAGAGAGAGAGAGAGAGAAUAAGGAAGAGGAAGAAGAAGAGAAAAAAAAAAUAGGAAAUUUCAACGAGGUGGUCUAAAAAUAAGUGAUCUCUAAUAUUAAACUUGAAUUCCUCAAUUUUAAAAGGUAACUAAAAAGUUACUUAUUGUCAAAUUAUGUUUAAUUUUAUAGUUGUUAGAUUUUUACACUAAAUUCAAUUUUGUUGAAGGGGUUAAGUAUAAUAGACCAUGAAAUUAAGUAAAGUGAAAGAAAAACUAGUUUUAGUGAUUAAAGAGACUAUAGAAAUCGCUUAAACGUGAAAUGAUUAAGUUUGGGUAUCGCCUAUUUAAUUAUUGAAAUUAUUUUAAAUAAUUAAUUGUUUAUUUAAAAAUUAUAUCGUAUUUCAGGCGACAAUACUAACAUUAGAACAGCUUACCAAUCGGAUUGAUUUUGCGAACAUAGUACUGUGAGUGAAAAAAUAUAAAUAUUUUUGAAAUAUUUAUAAAUUAAGUAUAUUGUUAAAGUAUGUGCAAUUAUAUGCAAUUAUGUAUUCGAAUUACAUGGUUAUUAUGGAAACAUCUUUUAUUAUGAUACAUGUGGGAUUUCAAAGAUUGUAUACAUUACAUUGUGAAUCGAAAUAUGAGAUAUAAUUUUGGGAUCGACCAGAAAAGUACCCAUGAUUAUAUAUUUCUUCUAGUUCAAUGAGGGGCCUUGACCGUGUUCUAUACUACACUGAGUGGUCUUGGACUGGGGAUGAAGGGGUUUCGACCAUGUACAUAUGGUUCACUGAGGGGCCUUGACCGUGUUCUAGAAUUGAUCAUGAGAGGUAUUUGAAAUUGACUUUCAUUCACGGAGGGGCCCAAGCCUGUGGCGAAAGUUCUACCCAUGAUUAUAUAUUUCUUCUAGUUCAAUGAGAGGCCUUGACCGUGUUCUAUACUACACUGAGUGGUCUUGGACUGGGGAUGAAGGGGUUUCGACCAUGUACAUAUGGUUCACUGAGGGGCCUUGGCCGUGUUCUAGAAUUGAUCAUGAGAGGUCUUUGAAAUUGACUUUCAUUCACGGAGGGGCCCAAGCUUGUGGCGAAAGUUCUUAGCCCGAGGAGCAGAUUAUAUAUUUCAGUUAAAGGGUACAUUUUUGGUGGAUUUUUCAGCAUGUUUGAUGUGAUGAGAUUAUAGCAUGGUUAUCGGCUGAUGUUUAUAUCAUGAUUUUAAGAUUAUUUUAUGACUUUAUGUGAAUAUUUCACUCUUGGCUAUAAUUACAUGAUGUUAUCUUGUGAAUUAUCAAAUGAUAUGAAUUUGAUUUUCGAUGAAAAUGUAAAAUUGAAAAAGUAUAUUUAUUUUCGAACUUCUCCACUCACUGAGCUAUCAACUCAUAUAUUUUCUCGUAAUUUUCCUACAAGUGGAAAUUGAUUAUUUUUAGCUGGAAGAGCCUAAUGAUUUCCAAAUAAGAGUCACACGACAUGUUCAAUAUUAUAACUCAUAUUGAUGAAUCACGAAGUAAAUAUUUUGGGCCCAUCGCAUUAUGUCUUACAUAAGCAUUUGAUUUUGUUACAUAUCUUGAAAUAACUCAUAGUCAGCCUUGGUGAUAGAUUUGACAUCUAGUCGACAUCUAUCAUCGGUGUACGUCACAUUUCGGGUCCACUAGGGUGAUUCGGGACGGGUCGUGUCAAAGUGGUAUCAGAGCAUGGUUAUAAACCUUUGAAAGUCUUCAUAGUUCAAACAUUGGCAUAUCAUGCAUUAUUCAGUGUGUGAGGUUACAUGUCAUGGUGGCAGAAAUCAUUGGCUCUCUAGCUCGAAUGUAUGAAACCAAAAAUAAUAGAAAAAAAUAUUUUUUAACAGAUUUAGAAACAGUUCGUAUGUAAGUAUGGUAGUUGUAAUGAUAUGAUGGUUGGAAAUGUUAUUAGUUAUUGGGUUGGAACUAUGUGUGUAUGUAACCUAUUAAGAUUUGAACAGAUUGUGAUGAUGUAGCAGGGCAUACGAAGUUGUAGAUGUUACAACCACUUAAUUAUCAAUUUAUAUGUAGAAGAACUACGUGAUUUUUUUAUGAGUACAUAAAAAAAAAUUUAGUUAUAGCUUGCACGAUGAAUACAAGGAAAUGAUAUGAUGUGUGAUUUGUGACAAUCAGUGAGGAAUUUUAGUUGUUCUUGAAGCCAAAUGGUCAUUAGUGUUAUCAAAUUUUGUGGUGAUUUGUGGCCACUUUUAUAGGAUGAUAAUAGAAAUUAUGAUGGUGUAUAUUUAUGUCAUAUGAUAAGAAAUUGUUGAUGACAAAAUGAUGAUUUGUUGAUUGAUAGAUAAUAAUGUUUUAUUGUGUACUUUAGGCAUCGAGGAAAUUAACGGUAAUUCCAAUUAUUUCGAUUAUUUAUGAGUGAUUUGAUUACAAGGAAUGUGAGAAUAAUAGGGAUGAGCUUCAUAAUGAUUACCUAUUAGGGGGUGAUUUGUUGCUUUAAAAAAUAGAAAAAUGAAUAUGUGCAUUUAGGUAUGUUUAUGUGGAAAAAAAAAUUAGAGAACGGUAAAAUCGAAAUUUGUUGAGAUUGGGAAAUUAACAUGCAGUAUAUUGAUGUGCAAAAUGUUCACAUGAUAAAUAUGAAGGUUAUCAUCUUGAGAUAUUAAGGAAAAAUUGAUAUAAUUAAACGUUUUAGGUCAUACAAUAUGACGAUAAAUGCCAAGGUUAUAAGAUCAUAACAUGAUAUGGUGAAUGGCAUGUACGUGAAUAUAAUGGUUGUCCUAUAGUAAAAUAAUGUGAUAAUAGAUUUGGGUUAUUAAGUUAGUUAAUUCUGUUAAGGCCUUUCGUUGGAUUAUUGUGUUAUAUUUCAUACAAUUAGGAAGCGUUGAGUUAAAUUUUAAAGUUAAGAUGAAUUUAUUGAAAUUUUAAUGAUGUAAUUUUUGGGCUAUUUUCAAUUGUAUGGAUCACAAACAAAGUAUUCAAUUUUCAUCAAAAUAUAUUUUUUAAGGAAUAUAAGUAGGACAUGUUAGAUUUGGAUAUUUCUAAAGUUUAAGAUGAUCAUCAAAUAUAGAGUUUACUCAUUGUGAAAUAGUAUAUUUAGGUUACAUUAUCUCAAUUAAAGGUCUUUAUGCGAUAUACAAGAAUGAUUAUGCAUUGAUGAUAGAUCAACGACCCAUUUAUGGAAUAAGAGUAUAGAUUUUCACAGAUUAAAUGUUAUUAUUGUCUCUUCAUAGAAAGAAAGAACAAAAUUUAUAUGGGUAUAGAAAUGUCAAAAGUUUUGCUAUCAGAAAAUUCUGAGGAAAUAUUUGUUUUUAUAUCUAAAGAAGAUAAGUGAUUGAUUCACGAUAAUGAUUUAUGUUAUGGUUUAGAAAAUGUUCUCUAAGUGGAAUGAUAAAAUAUGGAUUAGUUGUGGAUUGUUAAAGAGAUACUAUUAAAACCUGAUAUAUGGUUUGCUAUAUUGAGAUUGACAUUUAGGAAUUUUGGAGUUAUCUCAUGGUGAGAAGAUUAAUACUUACUGAACACAUGAGGUUAAAGUAUAUUUGUAUUCAAAAAAAGAGCUAAACUUGAAGCUGUGGUUAUAUUAUCGUUAGGUGAUAAAAUGAAAAGUUAAGAAUAUGAUAUACUGAUCAUUAGGAAGAUUUUUAAGGUAUCGGUUCAACAUGUAUUCCAUAUGUUCGAGGCUUAGUAAAUAGACAUCAGAUUUAACUUAUGCUAUAAGAUUAUCAACAGAAUGGAAAGGAAAUCUUAUAUAUAAAGAAGAAUCAGUUCAAAUAUUUGACAAAAAGGAACAUGUCUAUCAUCGGUGCAUAUCACAUUUCGGGUCCACUGAAGUGAUUCGGGACGGGUCCUGUCAGUUUUUUUAUGUGGAAAUAUCUUUAAUCAAUAAGGAAACAAGUACACAUACUAGAAAAACAUAAAUCCUUGAUUUAGAUGAGGUUUUGUUUAAUAAUAUUGUCCUUCCACUGCAAACUACCUACAAUAAUAAAAAAGAAAUUAUUUAUGAGAUUAGUUUCAUCAAUUAAAAUGUUCAUCAUGUACAUUUAUAAUUAGUUGUGAAUCUAUGAAAAGGUAGUGCUUAGCUGUGUAAAAUUAUAUAAUAAGAAAAACCACAAGAUGUAAAGCGGUGAAACCCUAAUCUUUGAUAUUAUAACAAUUCACCUAUUUGAUGCACACCAUGGUAAUUUCAAAUUAGUUGGAACCUUUUGGAACAGUUUUGGGAAAAUUUACUGCUGAUCUCAAGUUUUCCAUCAACUGAAACUCUAGGCUUCCAAGUGUGUCUCUCUUGGAGUUGUGUACGCACAUUUAAUCUCCAUGCACUCGGUUUUCUUCAACACUUUUAUUUAUGGUCCCUCUUUAUGAGACUGCAAUGACAUGAAUUUUUACUUUGUCCACCUCAAUCGCAUUAGUUGAAAUACGAUCUCCUAAACGAUGCCCUCUUGUACCAUAAAAUGGUAUUUUUCUAAUUCAAUGCCAAGUUUGUUUCAUUACACCAUUGUAAGACCAAGCUCACAUGCUCCAAACACCCAUCAAAUUAUGAUCCAAACAUCUAGAACUCAUCCAUGAAGACUUUUACGAAUUUCUCUACCAUAUCAAAAAAGAUGGCUAUUACGCAAUGCUAAAAAGUUGCGGGAGCAUUGCAUUAACCAAAUGGCAUUCUACGGUAAGCAAAACUAUCAUAGAGGCAAGUAAAAGUAGUCUUCUUCUAAUCAUUGAGCGCUAAUGGGAUAUGAUCGUAUUCAAAAUAUUCAUCAAUGAAGCAAUAAUGAGAAUGCCAUGCUAAAUCCUUCCAACAUUUGAUCGAUAAAUAGAAGGAAAAAGUGAUCCUUCUGAUUAGCAGUGUUGCAAUAGUCAACGCAAACUCUCCAUUCUGUAACAGUCCUGGUGGAAAUUAGUUUGUUCCUUUCAUUCUGCACCAUAGUAAUACCACCAUUCUUCGGCACAACUUGAACUGGGUUGAUCCAUGUACUAUCUGAUAUCGGGUAGUUAAUACCUACAUCCAAAAGCUUCAAUACCUUGCUCUGACUACCUGAUCAAUAUUUGGAUUUAGCUUCCCCUGACCGUCUAUACUUUGUCAAAAAUUCUCUUCCAUGAGAAACUUAUGAAUGCAAAGUGAAUUCUGAUCCUUUUAAUGUGUGCAAUGGAUCAUCCAAUAGUUAUUUUACUAUCUCCGAGUACUCGAAGUAGUUUCUCCUCCUUCACUUUGCUGACUAAAUUUGAAAUGAUGACUAGUAAUGUAAAGGAAUAUCCCAAAUAAGCAUAGUGGAGAUGAGGUAAUAGUUGCUUGAGCUCCAACUUAGGAUGCUGUCGAAUUGGCUGUAGUGGCUUUGUAGGACCGGUACCCAAAGCAAUACUCAUUUUCCAUCACUUUUAGUGAUCCGAACUUGACUCCUUUAUUGUUAUGUGCAAUAUUUUAGUGGCCAAUGACAUGCGUGUUAAAGUAUUUGGCUGGUUGACACUUCUUAAUAUUUCCAUCUUUCUAUUUGUUAUAACAAAAUAAUAGAAAAGCAUGGCGUAAUUCCACGAAACUCCACUUCGAGUGUAGAGGAAUUUGGGUGUAAAAGUGAAUCUAAACCCCAACUCUAUGUAGAAAAUAUUUGACUUUUGCAAUAAAAUUUGGGUUCAUUGAACUUUCCAUUAGUUUGACGAAAUCAUUCAUCAUCAAUUUCAAAUGAUGCACAUAAAUUGAGUUUUCAUUUACAAUGUUACAACAGUAUAACACAGUAAAUGAAAUAAGGUAUAUCUUGCAACCUUUCUUCGAACAGAGAAUUGAUGCUGCCUAAGAAAUUUAGAACAGCAUACAAAUUCAUCAUGGAGAACGAUUUGACAGUAUGUUAGAGAACUUCCUAAUUUUUCAACGUGUCAACCAAAAAUAAAAUUUCGUUUAUUUCAUUUUAACAUAUUUUGUUAAUUUUGAGAUAUUGAAGGAUUAAUUUAAAAAUAAGUUUUGACGUCAAUAUUUUUUUCAGUCAAUUAAUGAAGUAUUGAUUGAGUGAGAAUUUCCCUAUUAAUAUUUGGGUUCAUUUUGUAACUAGUAUUAAACAACGCAUUUUGGACUAGAGAAAAGUUAUUUUGAAUAAGUUAGGCCCAUGAUACUAAUAAUGCGUAGUUAAUUAAAGUAAAUUAAGCGUUUAACAAUUUUUGGCCUGUGAUAAAUGGAAUUUGAUAUUUUUUGGCUUACGAUGAAAGCUAUACGGGAUUUGUUUUAACUGAUUUCCAUUUGAAUUCCUUAUAAUCCUAUUAAUCAAUUGAUCAUUUUUGCAGCCAAUUCACGUUUUGGUUGCAAUGUUUGACUUGGAAAAAUCAUUUGUUUAAUAUAUAAUCAAAACUUGUUUUAUUUGAAGUCAAUCUAUAUCUAAUCUUUCUAUGUUAACACAACUUAAGACUCUAAUACACAUUAACCCAAACAGAUACUACACGCACACACAGCAGACACAUAAGGACAGAAACCAUUUUACAUUUAAGAUUUGGAAAGGAAUUCGGUGUGACGUGGUCACUACCUUAUCAUUCAUUAACGCAUGUUUAUGGAUUAUACUGCCCAUGAAGUAUGUGAAGUCUUAAAUGUUAAUUUCAAUUUAAUUGAUGGUUGUAUAGGUUCAUUUCCUUCUUUAAAAAAUUUAUGUCGGUCUAUAGAAUUUCAGCAUGAUUUUAAUUGGAAAACGACACUUUAUAAGUUAUGAUUAUCAGAGAGAAUUGAAAACAUGUCGAUUGGAGUCGGUGGAAUUUAUUAUGGCAUUUUUAGUAAACUGUAAUGGGUUAGAUUUGGAAAUACAGUACAACCUGUUUGACAAUUUUUUUCGUGCAUCAAACGUCAUCACCAAUAUCCCAAAUUUUGAUAUGUUGUACUUAUAUGAGUUUUAUGCCGUCUAAUAAAUUUUCAUAAAUUUUGGUCAAGGUUUGUUUGGUCAAAUAAUUUUUUCAACUUACUGUGAAACCUGAGAAAAAAUGUUCCAGCUGGCUGAAUUUUUCUAAAACUCAUUCCAAAUCAUUUUGUUACAUAUUUUUGUAAGUACAUAUUAUAAAAAGUGUUAAUAUUUUCCUAUAUUUAUUAAUUAAUUAAAACUUAAAAACUUUUAAUAAUAACAUAUUUUUGACAGCUAACGUUAAAAAACUUGUGUUUAGUAACGCGUGGUUUAUAAGGAUUUGGAGCAUUACAUUCUAGCUAGGCCAAGCAUGUACUUUUAUCUUCAACGUGCAGUCCGGCAUUCAAUGCGGGUCGAAGCAUCUGGUUGCCCAGUUGGUUAAAUGCUAUUAAUGAUAAUAGUAAAACAUUAUUCUCGACAAAGCUUGAGCCCAAUUCCCGCAGUGAUGAAUAUGAGUGCAAUUGAAAUUCCUGGGAUAAAGGAACCAUGUGUUGAUUGUCCUUUAAAGGAAAGUUUUCUUCUUCCUUAUGUAAAAGGGGAAUAAAUAAAUUAAUCAAAUUCCAGCAAGCUUCAUGAAGUGCUUCUUUUGGAGUUACUUAUACCGAGCAUUCAAUCUCCUAGUCUCUACAGAAAGGAAAACCUCUUGACUUUGAGGAGUGAGUUGAUGCUCUUUAUGACAUCUGGAACAUCGUGCAAAAUCAGGAAGAUGAAUUGUUUGAUGUAAAGGUCUUGGAAAAGUAUCUUUACCAACAAUUCUUCAACAUAACAAUUCAUCAUGUUCAAUUGUUAUGUGCAAUGAUUUUUCUAGGAUCAUUCGAUACCACAGUAUAUGAUAGAAUUGUUAGUUCAAACGAAAAUAUAUCUAAUGAAUAAAAAACAAGGACACAUACAAGAAAAACAUAAAUUCUUGAUUUGGUGGUCGUUUUUGGUAAUCACAAUGGUCUUCAAUUGUAAACUAUGUACAAUAAUUAAAACAAUUGUAAGUUAAAAAUAAAAAAAAUUAAAAAUAAAUUGUAGGAUAUUGAUUAACUUCAUCAGUUAAGUUGUUCAUCUUGUAAGUGUAUAAUUAAUUGUUGUUCGAGAAUCUACAAAAAAUAGUCCUUAACACGUACAAAUUAGCAAGAUAGAAAGAACCCAGAAGAUAUAAACUUUUGAAAACCAACUCAAUGGUAUUAUAACAAUUCCCACAUUUAAUGCACUCCUAUAAAAUCCAGAUAAGCAUGUUAAUUUGAAUUUGGAGUGAACCUUUAGAACUAUUUUGGGAGCAUUUGCAUUCAAUCUCAAGUUUCCCAUAAACUGAAACUCUAGGAUUCCAAGUGCAUCGCCGUGGUAACAGUGCAGCCACUGGCGGAUCCAGCACCUGGCGAGCACCCGCGGCCGCGCGUGCUGGAUCCGCCGGCAGCUCUUUUUUUUUAUGAGAACAUAUACAUUUUUUAUGUUAUAUUACUGAUAUUCACUUUCACUUCAAACUUUGCUUCUAGCCGAUGUGGGUAGGGGCGGCAUUUUCUUAUUGCAAGUCCCGGGUUCGAUUCCUUUUACAGGAAUUUAUUGUAGGAAUUUUUUUGCUUCUACAAUUUUUACCAAAAUUUGAUGGAACAGGGAUGAGGGGAUUCGAACCUAGACAUCUUCUAAAAAUUGUUAGGAGAUUGACCACUAUGGCACUUACUAAUUUGUGACACUAAAUUUAACAAAUUUAUAUAUGUUAGUUAUAGUGGUUUUGUAUUCAAACCCUUACUCUUCCUUUGAAUUAUAUAACAUUUGGCAAUAAUGUCAUUUGGUGAAUAUGGUUUAAUCUUAUAACAAAAUUAUAUAUGUUCAAUUUCAACAAAAUAAUUGUCAUAUUUAAAUUUUAUGACUUAUUUAAUUCCCAUUUAUUUUAAAAUACAUUUUUCUCUCUUAUUUUUAACCAUACAUUCUUUAAUAAAAUAAUAUUACAUGUAAAUUAAUUUUUUUUAAAAUUUUAACCACUUAUUCUUCAUCAAAUCACUAUUCCAAAAUGCAUUUUUUGCAACAAAAAAAAGUACAUCAAACGAGCUCUUAAUAUUUUAUUACAGCCGACAGUCAACGGUCAACCCCCGCCCGUGCUGAUUCUAAAUCCUGGAUUCGCCACUGAGUGCAGCCAUAUUCUCUUUCUCAAACAAUCCACGAAAACUAGCCAACUCCUUGUUAGUGAACAUACCUGCAACCUUUAACUUUCAAAUCCAAUCAUUUUCCUAUGUUGCAAAAAUAGUUCUUUUUUUUUCUUCUGAAGAUUAUAAAUGUUUAAUAAGAAAAAUAGUUCUAUUCAAUAAGAUAUCUUUGAAUUCCGACUCUUUUUACAGACCUGGCCUAAAAUAGUUGUUUAGACACUUAAGAUUUUAUCCUACACACACACACACAAGACAUACAUACAUACAUACAUACAUACAUACAUACAUAUGUUUUAAAUCGUUUUGAAACUUCAAAAUCUUUCAAUUCUGAUUUAAAAUAAGAAGUCAAAUCCAUGAAAUCUCAAAUUUCUAUUCUUGAGCAUCAAAUGAAAGAUAUUAGAAUGGAAGUUUCUCUUUUCAAAACUAAAGAUAAGAAGCUAAAGUCAAAUACUCUCCUUCUUAAUAAUCCUCUUCGAGCUCUUCUAGUGAAGAAUCUAAUCCUCUCAUUCCUUCAAAUAUUCAAUCUAACGAAGAAAUGAUUAAUGUUAUUAAUCGUUUUAACUUCAAAAAUCAUACUGCAAUAUAACUAUUGUAGUCAAUAAAGAAUUCAAAUUUACUUCUAGAGUCCUUAUAGAUUAUGGAGCUGAUCAAAAUUGUAUCCGUGAAGGAUUGAUACCUUCAAAAUAUUUUGAAAAAACUACAGAGCGUCUUUUUAGUGCUAAUGGUAUGAAACUCAAUAUUCAAUAUGAACUUUCAAAAGCUCAUGUUUGUAAUUCAAAUAUUUAUUUCAAAAAUAUUUUUUAUCUUCUAAAAGAUUUGGAUCAAGAAGUAAUUUUUGGUACUCCUUUUAUUGUUCAAAUUUAUCAUUUUCAAGCUACUUCAAAAGAUUUAACUACAAAUAUAUUUGAUCAAGAAAUUUGUCUUAAAUUUACAAAUUCUCCUUAUCAUAAAGAUGUUAAUUCUUUAAAAGAAGCAUCAAUUUCAAAAAUAGCCAAUAAUAUCAAUUUCAAGAAAAAUCAUAUUCGAUUUCUCAAAGAAGAAAUUAAAUUUCAAAGAAUUGAAGAACAAUUGCAAAAUCUUUCAAUUCAAGAAAAAUUUCAAAUCUUCAAAAAAAAAUGAAAAAAGAGAUUUGUGCUACUAUUCCAAAUGCUUUUUGGAAUCGUAAGAAACAUGUGGUAUGUCUUCCAUACAAUUCUGAUUUUUAUGAAUCAAAUAUUACUACAAAAUCUCGUCCUAUUCAAAUUAACAAAGAAUUUCUAAACUCUUGUAUCAAUGAAAUCAAUGAUUUAAUUGACAAAUGUUUAAUUCAUCCUAGCAAAUCUCCUUGGAGUUGCUUAGCAUUCUAUGUCAAUAAUUCAGCUGAAAUUGAACGAGGUGCUCCUUAUCUUGUUAUCAAUUAUAAGCCUCUCAAUUCUACUCUUCAAUGGAUUCGAUAUCCACAUCCUCAAAAGAAAGAUCUUUUGAAUAUGAAGUCAAGUUUAUGGUAGAUUCAAAUUGAAGAAGAUAAGUACAAAACUGCAUUCAAUGUUCCUUUCGAUCAAUAUGAAUUGAAUGUUAUGCCAUUUGGUCUAAAAAAUGGUCCUUUUGAAUUUUAAAAAAUUAUGAAUGAUAUUUUCAAUUAUUUUUCAAAUUUUAUCAUUGUUCACAUUGAUGAUGUUCCCAUAUUUUCUGAAAGAAUAGAACAACAUUUCAAAAACAUCAAUACAUUUAUGCAUGUAAUAAAAAAAAAUGGUUUAGCGGUUUUUGCUAAAAAGAUCGUUUUAUAUCAAACAAAGAUAAGAUUUUUAUGUCAUAACAUUCAAAAUGGUUCAAUUAUUCCAAUUCAGAGAAGUCUAGAUUUUACUGAAAAGUUUCCUAAUGAAAUUUUAGACAAAUCUUCUCUUCAAAGAUUUCUUGGUUGUGUCAAUUAUGUUGGCGAUUUUAUCAAAGAGAUAAGGUUGAUUUGUGCUCCUUUUUUCAAAAGAUUAAAAAAGAACCCGGACCCAUGGAGUCACAAGUGUACAUUAGUUGUCCAAAAAAUCAAAAAAGCUGUUAAAAAUAUUCCAUGCUUAUCAAUACUUGACCCUACUGCUUCAAUUAUUAACAAAACUUUGUCCUCUAAAGAAUCUUUCAAUUUUUCGAAGCUUCACGUAUUUCAAAACAAAAAUUUUCUUUUUGACAAGAUAUUUUAUCUUAUCUUUAUCUCAAAAUACUAUUCAUUCGAAGAAAAUCAAACAAUUUUGUACAACUUAUCUCCUGAAAAGAUGGAAAGAGAGAUAAAUACAAAAAAAAUUAUUCAGAUAUUGUUUCAAGAUCUUCAUCAAAAUCCUUUAAAGAUAAAAUUCUAUCAAGAAACAAACCAUUCUCAAUCAAAGAAUCAAAUUUUUUGAAUAAAGGUAAAUUUUCUCAAUCAAAUUCUUAUUCAGGAACUAAAUCAAAACUUUAUGUGUUUAAAACUCAUACAAGACUUUUCAAAUUUCAAAAAGAUAAUCUUGAUGAUAUUCUUACUACUUGCUACCAAAGAAGUAAUAAGGAUAUCGUAAGAUGUCUCAAAAUUACUACUGAAAUUUUUUAUAGUAGUAACAAAAUAAUAAAAAAAUUUCAGAAAAAUUCUCAAAAAGGUGAAAGACUUAUUCUUCAACAUCUUUCAAAAGAAAUAUUCCAAUUAAAAAGGAAUAAAAAAAAAGUCUUACAACUUCCUGAUGAUAUUCUUCAACAUCUAAAAAUGAUAUUUAUCAAAAUAUUAUCAACAGAGACCUUACUUGUGCUCAAACAUUCAAAAAUAUCAUUUUUAGAAUAUUCGAUAACUUUUAUUUCAACGGUUUUGCAACGUAUGAAAGUUAUCACAAACUUUAUUUUACCCUCAAAGGUAUUUCAAUCAUUAAUGUCAUUAAUGAAGAAAUUCGUCAAAUGAUCAAAUGAUGAUUUAUUUCCUCAAUAUACAUUGAUUCAAAAACAGAUAUUUCACUUUUUAAUAGCUCUCUCAAAGAGUUAUUAAUCAUCUCUUUGAAUUCAAAUUCAAAACUCUCAAAAUUGAAUUCUCAACCAUUCUUCCUGAAUGGAUUGUCGAAGAAGUCAAAUUCAAUGAUACUCUUUUUACUAAAAAGUAUUUUUUAGUCAAACAAAUUGUUACUAUCUAGAAUACUUUUUCAAAUAAUCUUCCAAUGCUAGAUUCAAAUAUCUCUUCAAAAACUUAUGGCCCUAAAGAAAAAGAAAUUAUAUUCAAAACCCAUGUAAGAGAAAUUCUUACAAAAAUUAGAUCAAAAUCUAUUCUUACUGCAAAGAAAAAGCUUGGAACAAAUAUUGACAAUUCAAGAUUGCAAUUAAGGAUUCAUGAUGAAUAUUAUGCCAUUUUUACUAUUGAAGAAAAAUGGACUUAAACUCAAGUUCCUUUGAUUAGAAAAAUAUUUGAUGAUGAAAUAUUAAUGUCUCAAGAUUAUUUUGAUGAUCUUUAUCAAUGAACUAAAGAACCUUUUGAAGGAAUCUCAAUUAUGAUGAUAAAGAAUUAUUCAAUCUCAAUAAUUUGCUUGAGAUUUAGUCUAAGACAAAAUCAAAAGCAAAUGUCAAAAGAUGAUCAAGAAUUUUCAAAAGAUGACAUAAAGUUGAUGCCAACUUUUCAAAAUGGGAGACAAAGAAAAGAUUCUUUGAAGACUUUUCUUAUGGUUGAUUAACUUUUGCAAAUGGUUGAUACAAAAGUUUCAAAAGAUACAAUAAUUCAAAAUUCCUUCUCCAAAUUGAAGAAAUUUUCAAGUCUGAAACUCAAGAAUUCAAGUAUAAAAGUAGAUCAAGUGUUCAAGAUCUCUGCAGAGUUAAUUGAGUGUAGCUAUCAAGAGAGUUGAUUUAGCGGGAGAUAAAUCAUUUUCAAGAUAGUUUGAGAAAUCCUUGUAUUCUUUUACUAUCUUUAUUUUUCAAUUUUUAUCUUUCAAUCAUAUAAUUCAAAGUUCAUUGUCGAGCAGUUAACUCUCGUGUUCUGGAAUGUACAUCAUCACUCAUUGACGACACUAAAUUAAACAAUUUGUAUUAGAUUUUUUUCAUUUCCGACAUUCAAACAGAAUAAAUCAAUAAAUGAAUAACAAGAUUCAACACUAAUUCAAACAGUGCACGUUUAUUUAUUUUUCCUUUUUGGCAUUCCAAUGGCACAGAAGAAUAAACUAAAUAAUAUUAUUUAUCACUAGUUCAUACAUUUCUAUUAGUUUAUAUUUCCAUUUCAAAAUUGCAACACGAUAAAAUUAUACAUGAAUAAUACAAUUCAGCUCUUCUAACGAUGAACAUAAAUAUAUUAUUUUUUAAUUUUUGUUUUCUACAUUCCAACCGCAUAAAAGUAUAAAUGAACUAAUGAGGCCACACUAUAUCCUGAACUAUGUAUGCAUGGGGAUCAUCAUUUUCAUUAUACUGUGUGGAUUGUGAAUUCUGCAAUAUGGAUGUAUGGGGGACCAUAAAUUUUGAAACGAUAUGGUUAUAGAAGUCAAUAUAAGCCCCAACUUUACGUAGAGCAGAUUCCACAAAAGAUUUGAUCUUUUAUAAUAAAAUUUUGGUAUGAGUUUUUAUUUUCUUCUUCCUACUACUAGAAUGAUCGAGUUCUUCUAGUCUUUAGCUUUCUUCACCCUUUAGAUCAAUGUUUGCGCGAUGAGUGCACACACGAGUAUGUGCACUAUCAUGUGUCCUAUGUGUAAGUGUUAUACUCUAAGUCCAAUCAACAUUGGAUAUAAACGCUUUUAAUAUAUAUUUAAUUCAAAUUAUAGUAGAUCUAUUAUUUAAUUAACUAAUAUUAAAUUGAAUUAAAUAAUACAGUCAGUAGAUUCAAAUCUUCGUAAUUUAUUAAUCACAAGGAAUUGUGAUUGUGAGAUACAAAUUAUGUACGAUUGAAUCUUAAAUCAUUCGUGGUCGUAAGUAAUAAUGAGAUACGAAUAUCGUUAUUAGGAUAGAUCAUCACAUGUGUCAUUUCUUACUUGUAAAGUAAGUAGCCGAUCUCACAACUACAGUGUAAUGAAACUUAAAUAAACACGUGAAUGUUUUGUUAUAGAACAAAAGUAUUGGAGAUCUGCCUAGAGAUUCCAUAUGGAUAACUAUCUGAGUGUCAGUGGUUAAUCUCUAACUUUCGGUAGUGAGAUUAGUCCUUUGACUUGAGGUCGUCAUAGUACCUUAUAUAAGGACAGUCAUGUUUUGACAGUGUUGAAUAUUGCUCAGCCAAGGGCCGCUAAUACGGCAUCGUUCGGGUAUGUCAAGAAUCGUAUAAAAGUUAUGAAUGAUGAAUAGAGGAUUCGCCACUCUUAAAUAGUAAAGGAUUAUGAUCUGCAUUUCAUUCAAUCAAGCCGAUAACUAAAUCCUUGGUCAAGGUGUACUCAUAAGUCGAAAAGAAGUUUUUGACUUAUAUUGACUUAAUAGUUGAAUGAAAGAUAUGAUCGAUAAUCGAGAAUGACACAUUUUCAUAUCUCUUAAUUGAUCGGAUCAUAUUGACGAAAGGAUAAUAAUUUCAUGGUAAACGAAUAAGUUCGAUUUUGUCAUACCAUGUAACAUUUUUCAUCACAUGUAUUGCCCUGUUACAUUGCUAGAUGUCAAUCUGGGAUGAAAAGUGUGAAUUGGUGAUAAAUUAAAAGAGCGUUUUAAUUUAUCAAUUUAGAUUAUAUCAAAAUAAUAUUUCACAUCAUUAGGUUUCGUGAAUGGGAACCUGAUGGGUCGCACACAAAAGAGAACUGGAAGAUUGCAAUUUGUCAAUUAAUUAAUUUAACAAUAUUGGAUAAAUUAAUUAAUUGGGUCAUGGGCCCGAAUUAAUUAAUUAGAUUAAUUAAUUCACGAACCGAAUUUAAUUAAAUUGAUUAAUUAAAUAUUGGAGCGGGUCAGGCCAAGCCCAUUUGAGUUUAUAUAAAUACAUGGCUAGGGUUUUUUAAUUCGCAGUGAAUUCAUUAUUUUUGCUAGUACAAAAAGAAAACCCUAAUCCUGCAAUCUUGUUCUCUAUGUGGAUCACCAUUGAAAGUUGGACAGUUGAACACUUGUAGAUGACAGAUCGAAGUUGCUAGAAUGAAAAGAAUGGCAAAAUGUUUGCAAAAUUUUUCAAAGGUACAUCUUUUAUCACAAUUUCUAUCUAAACACAAAAAAGAUCCGUUGUGGGAAUCGAAACUUAUUUUAAUUUUUCACUGCGCAUAUUAAGUAGAUUCUCAACACUAUGGCCAUUUUAUUUGAUAGCUUCUUGCAUAACAGAAUUUUUAGAUACUUCAUCCUGACUAAAAACUACAUACAUGAAUGAUAUUGGUAUCACAUUAGAAACAAAAGAUACAUAUAGAAGGCAUACAUAGAAUUCUUUGUUGCCAAAUAUUUAAUGAUAACCUCUAAUUUUUGGACCCGAUUUAUACAACUGCAGUAUACACAAUAAUGAGUUGCUUACGAGAACGAUGUAAAUAUGAAAUUCCACCUCUCCUUUUUGGUAUGUUUAUUCAUCAACAAUCCAAAAUUCACUCAUUCAAAGGAAGCACAGUAAUUUUUUUUUUAAAUAUACAAAUGGUACAAAAGAAUAAAUGAAACAAUAAAAUUUAGAUUCUUGUAAGAAUGGAAAUAAUUCUUUUGCAAAGUAUAUCGGGAAAGGUCCUAAUUUCUAAUAUGAACAUCAUGAUAUAUCUUGCAAACUUACUUCACAAGGUGAAUUGAUGUUCUUUAUGACAUCUAGAAUAGUGUGCAAAUUCAUGACUUGUUUGAUGUAAAGGUCAUGGAAAAGUAUAUUUAGCAACAAUUCCUCAUAACAACAAUACUCUUGUCCCAUCAUUAUUAGUGACCAAAACUUUAUUUUUGUAUUAGUUAGUACGAUAUUUGGGUUGCACAAAAGAUGUGCGUGGAAAGUAUCUGGGUGCUCUACAAUAAAUAUCUCUAUCUUUCUACCUCUAGUUUAGAGUAACUGCAUGUAAAAAAUAUCUAGUCCCCAACUCCAACAGAAUAAAACAAUAAACGAAAUAAGGUACAUAUUGCAACCUUCCUUUCUUCAAAGAGUGAAUUGCUUCGCAAGACAUCUAGAACAUCUUACAAAUUCAUUACGAAGAAAGAUUUAUUGUAAAGGUAUUUAAAAGGUGUGUCUAGGAAACACUAGUCAAAUAAACUAAUUUCGUUUCACUAUUAGUGACCCAAACUUCAGUUUCAUUUGUUAAGCGUUUAUAAUUUUUCUAGCAUCAUUUGCAAACUAAAAGAAAAUUACUAGUUUGACCCUAAUAUCAGGUGAACAGGUGAAAACAGAGGAAUUAAAAUUAUCAAUUAACAGCAAUAAGUCACUUAUUAAUUAAUCCUCAUGAAUUCACAUGUACACUAUCCUAUUUUUAAUUAUCACAGUUUAAUAAAUUUGUAGAAAAAUAAAUAAUACAGAAGAAUUGUUGAUGAAGAAAACCCCUUGCUAGAUUAAAAACUCCGAGACCAAACUAGUAACAUCCACUAUAGACAAUAAGAAAUUACAGUGUUAUCCAUCCUAGAAAAUCCACUAGACUCGUUGACCUAAUUUCUGCAAUCUCCAAGCCCUGUUAGAACGUGCUUCACUCACACCUGUUCCCAAUCUUUUGGAAUUGUCUAUUUACUAUGGAUCACCAAGAACACUUUGUUCUUGUAUUCAUCCUAUGUUUUUGGACCAACUUGCCUCAAUCAUCAGUAACCUCUGAAAGCGAUUGAGAAUGUACCUUCUUGUAUGUGUAUAUGAAGUGAGUAUUUUUAAUUAUAUGAAUUUGAUAUUUUUUCCAAAGUUGUGGAUGCAUGAACUCAAGAAUCAAAGGAUUAAUCUAAAGUUUGAUAGUAUUCUUGAAUCUUUGGAUGAUUUUAUGAAGAGAAAUAUAAUGAACAAUCAUAUACAAAACGUUUUAGGGCUUGGGUAUAUAUAGUACAAGGCAUUUAGGUAGCAAGAGUAAGAUAAAACUCUUGAAAAAUGCGAAUUAGGGUUUUACACAUAACAAUGUUGCUCGAGUUCGAGGCUGACGAUAGGCAAAUGGCAAAUGGCAACUGAGCAGUGGUCAGUAUUUUCAUCAUAAUUUUUUUCUCUUGAUAUUCGAUUAAGGUGAUUCAAAAUACAUUGUAAAGUUUACUCAAAAAGCUAUAAUUAUUGCUAGAAUUGACUUGUCCAAAUUCCAAUGUUUUUUAUGUUAAAAAUGCAUUGUAAGUUACGACUGAGAAUUCGAAACAUAACUUGUGCAGCUCUUUAACACUCUCUACACUUGUAAUUGCAUUCACUUCAUCAUAUGUGAUCUUCUUGGACAUGUUGGACUCCUUCAAGGACUAUACUACCAAUCUCAACUCUUUUGACUUUAAUUAAGACUCUAUAACUCAUAUUUUGACUUUGAAUACGACUUGAUAAACCCUUAAUAUAAUUUAACUAGGCCAAUACAGUAUAAAUCCUAACACUAAGGUGUUUAACAUAAGGUCUUUUCAAAUUGAAAGGCCAUAGGACACUAGAUGAUGUACCUACUUGUGUGCUCACUCAUCACGCACACAUUGAUUAAAGUGUGAAUAAACAUAAAGACUAGAAAAACUCAGUCGUUCUAGUAGUAUCAAUAUGACCAUGGAAAUUCAUACCCAAAAUUUAUUGCAAUAUUGCAAUCUUUUAUAAAAUAUACUAUGCAUCCAUUUGGGGUUCAUAUCGACUUGCAUAUCCUUAUCAUUCCGAAUACAAUGAUCCCCCAAGUAUUCAUAGUUCAGAUUGUACAAUGGCCACAGUUUAUUAAUAACUAUCAUCCGCCAUGUUUACAUAGUUCAUAAUGAAUGGAAGGCAUAUUAUUUCAUUUAUAGUUUUAUGUCAUUGGAAUGUCAGAAAGGAAAAACAAUUUAUAUCGUUUGAAUUAGAGCUGAAUCGUAUUUUCGUUUACAAUUUAAGGUUGUUAUUUUCAAGUGGAAAAAUAAAAUUAAUAUAUAUUGUUUGAAUUAGUGUUGAAUCAUACUAUUUUGUUUAUUCUCUUAUGCUAUUGAAAUGUAAAAAGGAAUAUAAAUAAUUGUAAGCUAUUUGAAUUAGUGUUGAAACAUAUUAUUUAUAUGCCGUUUCAUGUCAUUGGAAUGUGGAGAAGGAAAAAAUUAAUGUAAAUUGUUUUAGUUAUUGUUGUCAAUGGGUAAUGAUGUAUGUACAAUAGAAUCAAAUUAUUAGACAGAUUAAAGUAGAAUCAUCGCAAAGAAUUCAAAGUAAAUUUUAAGUACAUCUCUUUCAUUUACACUGUAAAAGCGCUUGUUUAGUCAAAUAUAUUUUUGUUUCAACAAAUGCUUGGAAUUUAAAUAAUUCUUUCAUGCAAGGUCUGUAAAAAAUUAGUUAGAAUUUAAUAUUUUCUACGAAGAGAAGGAAAACUAUUUUUUACAUAACAGGGAAGUUAUUGGAGUUGAGAAAAUGUUGCAGGUAUUACAAGAUAAUAACUUCAACAAUUAAAUUUACUGUCCAGUAAAUUUAGAAGAAAUUGUGAUUUGUGAAUUAAUAAAAAAUAGCCACGAGCUGUGUAAAAAUAUCAAGGGAGAAAUAUCAAAAAGAUGUAAAACUAUGAAACCCAACGAGGUAGUAUCAUAACAAUUUGUAAAUAAAUUUUUUAGGAAAGAAAAAUUAACAACUUUUCAAUCAGAGUACGUUGAAUUUAACACAGACCUUGAAAAAAAAAAAAGAAUUGCUUAGAUGAUAAGUUUCUUUAUUGAAACAAAGAUAUGUUUGAAUAAUCAUAUGCUUUUGCCGUAUAUAUAAGAGAUACACAUAAAACUUAGAAUUCUUUGCUAUCAUUCUACUUUGUAUUUGUCACUAGUAUUUUGAUGACAAACAUUAAUAUUAGAACCCCAUCUAUGUACUACAAUGCUGAGCAGUCAACUCUCGUGUUAUAUAAUGUACAUCAUCAUUCAUCGAGGACACUAACUCAUAAAAUUUACAUUAAUAUAUCUCCUUUCUGCAUUCCAGCAACAUAAAAAAGGAUAAAUGAAAUAACAUGAUUCAUCACUAAUUCAAACAAUGCACAUUUAUUUAUUUUCCUUUUGUCAUUCCAAUGGCAUAAUAAUAUAUACGAGCCGUCACUAAUCCAAACAAUAUUUAUUAAUUUAUUUCAAAAUUGCAGCAGCAUAAAAUUAAAAUAAAUAAUACAAUUCUGCUCUAAUUCAAACAAUUUAGAUCAACCUUUUUUCCUUUAAAUAUAAUACUAUAAAUGAAAUAAUUUGGAUACAGAGCAUUCUUUACUGUGUACACAUGGGAGAUCAUUAAAUCAUGGACAUUGUACAUUCAUUACUGUGUAUACAUGGGGACCGUAAUUUUAGAAAUGAUAAGGAUAUACAAGUCAAACUAAACCCCAACUAUACGGAGAAUUGGUCUUGGAAAAGAUUGAACUUUACAAGGAAUUCUAUACUAAUGAAAUCAUUACAUUAUAUUAACUUCAUCAAUUAAAUAGAUACUCUAGUAAGUUUGCAUGUGGAGGAAUGGCACAAUGAUGUCGGGCUGGACCUUUCUUGAAUUGCUGGACUUGUGGGCCGGGUUUUAAAUGACAAAUGGUGCAGAUUUAUUUUGGCAAAAAUGGAUUAUUGAAACACGACUUCUCUAAAUAAGAACAGUUGCACCUGAUCUUGCCAAGUAUCUCUUCGUGCACCGUUGGAUGAACGACCUUCUCGUGCCUUCCAUAUUAACUUGGCACAAGGGUUUGAGAUGCAAGACUUUUCAUUCUCUCAUCUCUUGAACUCUCUCAGUUGGUUCUUCAUCUUUCUCUCUACUGCACUUUGAAAUUGAGCCCCCCCUUUUUUGAUGAGAUAUUAUCUAGCCAUAUGUAUAUAUUUUGAGUGAUUUUGUAUAGGUUGAUAUCUCAAUAUUCUUGAGUGAAUGUUGUAUUGGGCUGUGAUGCCAUAUUUUCUUGGUGGUCCAGCUCAGUUUGGGCUAUGAUGAUAAAUGGUUAAAAAUACAGAUACUACUUGAAGCCCUUGCCCAAUAACGCAUUGUGUUGGACUCCUUAUGACCCAGCCCUAACUUGGUAAUACACGUGUGUUGCUUUAGUCCCUCAGAUCUCCUAAACCUAACUCUACGGUGAUGACAUUCCCUAUAUAUUCUUGGUCUGAGACUUUUGCCCUACUUGGUCUUUCAUUUUCUUGUGUCUCUUAGGGUGUCUCUUUGAGAAGCUUCUGAGUCUCUCUUCUUCUUUGAGAUUGUGUGUCUAUGGCUUUUAUUUUCUUCGUGAAACUUGUUCUUUAGCCAUUAAACUUCUAGUUUUCUGGCAUAUUUGUGAGUGAGGAGUCUUGGUGAUUCUUCAGUUUGAACUAGAAAGGUUUUUUUUUUAAGUUAGGAGAUUUUUGGGACCAUUGUUGUGACUGCCUCUAUAUUUUAUUUAGGGCUGUGGGUUUUUUUUUUGUGAGUUUAUACACUGAGCCCAAUCGAUGAGAACUUGAUGCCUUUAUGUGUAGUCUGUGUUCUGUAAUCUUGGUGUCCAUUUUAGGUCUUUUUGUAACAGUGGUAUCAGAGCCUUAUGAGUCUAGUCGAGUCCCCAUCAACGACGUCUGGUCGUGGAAAAUUAAUUUUCAUGGCCGAAUCUUAAGAGAUCCAACAGUCAACUAAAACCCUAUAUCUGAUUAGCUAUAGAAAUAAUUGGAUUUCAAAGUUUUCUUGGUGAACCGGUUUGGGUAGUUAGGUCUUCUGCGUGAUACUCAAUCUGUCGGUUGAUUUCUUUAACCGUCUUGUGAUCUUUUAAUUGUGAUACAUGCUAUAUUAUUGUGUGUUCUUUAAUUUGGUGAAUAUUGUAUAUAUUUUUUCGUUAUUCUAGUGUACUGCAUGUUUAAUCUUUGUGAUUAAUUCUUGUUUUUCAUUGUGUUCAUCCUAUUGAUUAAUUCUUGAUCCAAUAGUCAGCCUAUUCUUUAAUCUUGUUAUUAAUUUCUGAUCCUAGUUGUCUACCACUGUCUACUGAUUAUUUUGUAUGAAUACUAUACAUUUGCACUGCACUAUAGUGGACUUAGGUUGAACCUUGACUUGAGGUCUUUGAACCUCAUGGAAUCCUGGUGAACUUAAGACAUAUCACUGCAUUCUGAAGUGAUUUGUUAUUUCUCUGAUUGGUUACUAUUUGUUACUGUUCACUUUGUUAUAUCCCCUGAUAUAUUUAUAUUAUGUGUGAUACUUUGUGUUGCCAUAUAUUCUAUGAAAUAUCUUCUUGGUACUUGUGGCUGAGCUUUAACCCUCAUUUUUUUGUGUUGAUUAAAAACAUCAAAUGACAACGACAACAUUUGAACUUGUGUUUUAAUGGAAAUGGGGAUUUUCCAAUUUGGUAGCAAAAAAUGAGGAGGGUUCUUGUUCAACAGAAAAUGUGUAAAGCUAUAACUAGUGAAUAUCUUGCUACUAUGAUUGAUGAACAAAAAACUGAAUCUGAUGAGCUUACCUAUACUUCCAUUAUUCUUCACUUAUCUGAUCAAGUAUUAGGAAAAGUUGGAAAAUUGGAUAAUAAAAAAGCCUUAUGGGAUAAACUUGUAGAACUUUCUUUGGUAAAAUCAUUGCCUAAUAAAAUAUUUCUGUUGAAAAAAAAUUUCAGCUUCAAAAUUGGCUUGUCUCGGGACUUAGUUGACAAUCUUGAUAAUUUUAAUAAAUUGGUUCAAGAUGUAACUAAUGCCGGGGAUAAAGUAUCUGAAGAAUAUAAGGCUGUAAUUUUAUUAAAUUCCAUACUUGAUAUGUAUAAAGAUGUCAAGUCAACUAUUAAGUAUGGCAAAGAGUCUCUAAAACCUAAGAUAGUGAUUAAUGUCUUGAGAAGUCAAGAAUUGGAAGUUAAAUCUGAGAGGCAUGUCAAGGAGAGUGAGAACCUAUUUGUGAGAGGUAGAUCACUAACCAUACAUAGUAAUAAUCAGGGUAACCAAAGUAAUCAGGGAAAUAAUGCCUUUAGGAAGAAGGGAAAGGGUAGACAAAGGUCAAAAUCUACAAAUGGAGCUAGGAAAUAUUAUGGUUGUGUCAAAACAGGGCAUUACAUUAAAUACUACUUUAAAAAGAAAAAUGAACAAAGAGAGGUUAAAAUUGAUGAAGGGAAUAUUGUUGAGCCUUUAGGUGAGGGUACUGUUGAUGUCUAUGUUGUGACUGAGUCCAUAUCUGAUUUAAAUUCUACAAAUUAUGCAGAUAAUUCAAGUCAGAGUGUAGAGUGGAUCUUAAAUUCAGGUUGUACCUUUCAUAUGACCUCUAGAAAGCAUUGAUUGCUCGACUUUAAGGACUUAGAUGGAGGUGAGGUGGUUAUGGGUAACAAUGCAGCCUGUAAAGUGUUGGGGAUAGAUAAUGUAACGUUAAAAUUUGAUAAUGGGUACACCUUUACUUUAGAAAGGGUGAGGUAUGUAUCAGAUUUAAAUAAAAAUCUGAUUUCAAUUGGGAACUUAGAUGAGAUAGGUCUCCAAGGAAAAUUUGGAGAUGGUUUCUUGAAAAUAGUUAGGGAUUCUUAGUUAUUUUCAAGGUAUUAAAAGAAGUGGUAUCUAUGUUACUAAGGCAAAUGUGUUGAGUCACGCUGCAGAAUCCUCUAUGGUUGAAAGUGAUGCUAUAUUGAAAUGGCAUAAUAGCUUAGCCCAUGUGAGUGAGAAAGGUUUAUGCAUCUUAAGUCAGAAGGGUGCCUUUGGUAGUGACGUGAUUUCUAAAAUUCUCAUUUGUAAAUAUUGUUCCUUAGGCAAACAGCAUAGACUUCAGUUUAGUACAAUGAAACAUAGGACUACAUCUAUCCUAGAGUAUAUACAUUUUGAUUUGUGAGGUCCAUUAUCCGCCACCUCUCAAGGUGGGAAUAUGUAUUUUUUAUCCGUAAUUGAUGAUUUUUCAAGAAAAGUAUGGGUAUUUCUUUUAAAACAAAAAUCAUUACUUUUGAAAAAUUUAAGACUUGAAAGACUUUGAUCGAAAAUCAAAUGGAUACAAAGAUUAAAAUUCUAAGGACAAAUAAUGGAUUAGAAUUUUGUAAUGUUAAUUUUGAAAAAUUGUGUAAGGAUGAUGGCAUUUUGAGACAUAAAAUAGUACCAUAUACUUUACAACAAAAUGGUAUAGCUGAGGGGAUGAAUAGGACAAUUCUAGAUAAGGUUAGAUGUACGAUGUUCAAUUCAGGUGUCCCUAGAGUGUUGUGGGAUAGGCUGUUAUGAUAGCGGUUAUAUCAUAGAUAGGACACCAAUUAGUACAUUAGAUGGCAAGACACCUAAAGAAGUGUGGGCAUGUAAAUUGGCUGGCUAUACACACUUAAAAACUUUUGGUUGUGUAGCAUAUUCCCACAAAAGUGUUGGAAAACUUGAGUCUCGAUCCCAUAAAUGUGUUUGCAUGGGAUAUCGUGAAGGAGUGAAGGGGUACUGGCCUUUGGUGAGAGAAAUUGGGGGUUUUAAGAUGAUAACUAGAAGGAAUGUGACCUUCAAUGAAAAUGAGAUGCCUUGCUUAAGUAAAAAGGCCUCUAUUGAGGGUUAGGAAGAGGAAAAUACGAGGCUGCAUGUGGAACUUGAACCUUCACUUGAUCUUGCUGUUGAAAAUGAGAUUGUGGAAGAAUUAGGUGAUGAAACUGUUCAAGAGCCUACUGGUGAGUUAGUGAACCUUUUGAGUGAUGUCAGUUAGCUAGAGAUAAGGUUAGAAGAGAAAUAAGAGAGCCUAUUAGGAUGCAAAACUAUAUGUCACUUGCUGUGUUGUCAUAUAAGGAUUUGACUGUUAAAGAGCCUAAAUCCUAUGAAGAGGCUAUUAGUUGUCGAUUUUCUAAGGAUUGACAGCUUGCUAUGGAGGAAGAAAUGAGGUCCUUAGUAAAAAAUAAGACUUGGAGCUUGGUGCCUAAACUUGAAAAUAAAUCUCUAGUUGACUGUAAGUAGAUUUAUAUUGUUAAAGAAGGCAAUCCCCCUAAUCAACCCCUUAGAUUUAAGGAUAGAUUAAUGGCUAAGGGUAUACCCAAAAACCUGGUAUUGAUUACAGUGAAAUAUUUUCUCCUGUUGUGAAAUAUACUACCAUUAUAGUCAUGCUUGCAUUAGUUUCACAAUAUGAUUUUGAAUUAGAGCCAAUGGAUGUUAAAAUUGCAUUUUUGUAUGGUGACCUUGAUGAAAUCAUAUAUAUGAGAUAGCUAGAAGGGUUCAUUGAUAACAGAAAACCUGAUCAUGUAUGCUUGUUAAAAGAUAACUUUAUGGCCUAAAACAAUCUCCUAGGCAAUGGUAUAAAUGCUUUGAUAACUUUGUAUCUUCAGUUGGCUUUGUAAGAAGUUCUUUUGACCAUUGCUUGUAUUCUAAAAGAAAAGAUAGCAACUGUGUGAGUUUUAUUUGCUGUUAUAUGUGGAUGAUAUGUUAUUGGUUGGCCAAAAAUUGAAUGAUAAGUGAGAUUAAAAGGGUGCUAAGUGCUGAAUUUGAAAUGAAGGACAUAGGGCAUGCUAAAAGGAUUUUAGGGAUGGAUAUUAAGAGGAAUAGGUCACAACAGUUAUUAAUUUUGUCACAAACUGAUUAUAUGAAAACGGUGUUAUCCUAGUUUACUAUGCAUGAUUCUAAAUCUAUGACAUUACCCAUUGCAUGUCAUUUUAAGUUGAGUAAAGAUCAAUACCCACAUAAUGAAUAUGACAUUAAAUAAAUGGAAAAAGUGUCAUAUUCUAAUGUUAUUGGGUCUGUAAUGUACACUAUGGUUUAUACCCGACUCGAUGUUGCACAUGCUCCCUAAAGAUUGGAAUGCAAUGAAAUGAUGAUUAAGGUACCCUAAAGAUUGGAAUGUAAUGAAAUGGUGAUUAAGGUACUUAUAAGGCUCAGCAGACUUAAGCUUAUGCUUUAUAUCUAGUGAAGAGAGAGUUAGUUUAAAAGAAUAUGUAGAUUCCUGUUAUCUCUAUCAUCGGCACAACUACAGCCUAUAUGUUUACUUUGUGUGACACUUGUAUUAAAAAGACCUUAUGGCUAAAAGGUCUCAUAAAUGAGGUAAAUGAAUCUGUUGAUCCUAUUGUUAUAUAAUCUGAUAGUCAAAGUGCUAUACAUUUAUGUAAAAAUUCAGUUUUUCAUGAAAGAACUAAAUACAUAGAUGUAAGAAUGCAUUUUAUAAGAGAUAUUGUGCAAAAAGAAUCUAUCUUGUUGGAGAAAAUCCCUACUCAGUUUAAUCUCACUGAUAUGGAUACUAAGUGCUUCUUUGAAGUAUUAAUACUUGGUAAACUUUGUGUUAGUACAGGUGUAUUUGGCUUGGGGUUGAUGAUCUGGAAGAGUUAUACCAAUUGCUUAAGAAGUCUAUUAUUAUAAUUUCUUUUUCUUUGUGUGUUUUGAUCAUUGGCAUCAAGAGGGAGAUUUAUUGGGCUGUGUGCCAUAUUUUCUUAGUGGUCCAGCUCACUUUGAGCUAUGAUGAUAAAUGGUUAAAAAUACAGAUACUAGUUGAAGCCUUUGUUCAAUAACACAUUGUGUUGGACUCUUUAUGCCCCGGCCCAAACUUGGUAAUACAUGUGUGUUGCUCUGGUCCCUCAGAUCUCCUAAACCUAACAUCUACGAUGAUGACCAUGCCUAUAUAUUCUUGGUCUAAGACUUUUGCCUUACUUGAUCUUUCAUUUUCUCGUGUCUCUUGGGAUGUUUCUUUGAGAAGCUUCUGGAUCUCUCUUCUUUUUCGAGAUUGUGUAUCUCUACCUUUCAUUUUCUUUGUGAAACUUGUUCUUUAGUCAUUAAACUUCUAGUUUUUUGGCUGAUUUGUGAGUGAGGAGUUUUGAUGAUUCUUCGAUUUGAAUUGGAAAGGUUUUUCUGUUAAGUUUGGAGAUUCUUUAGGACCAUUGUAGUGACUGUCUCUGUAUUUUGUUUAAGGCUGUGGUUUUUUUUGUGAGUUUAUACACUUUGUACGUACAGGUACAAGGUUAGUCUGAGCCCAAUCGAUGAGAACUUGAUAUUUUUAUGUGUAGUCUGUGUUCUGCAAUCUUGGUGGCUUAUUUUGGGAGAAAUCUUGUGUGAUUUCGUAUGAAUGCCAUGAAGUUUUGUAUAUUGGACCGUUCUUUGAUUCCAUUGAUAUAGUGAUAUCCUUCUGGUGGCAGAUACUCAAAAGAGAUUAGGAACAUCGGUUAUGAACCUCUUGCCUUAGGGAAAAAAUCAUCGUGUUCCUUUUUUGUUUCUUUCUGUUUUUUGUUGUUAUUUUUAUUUUUGUUGAGUUUUGAAAGUGGCUAAUUGAAUCACUCGUAACAGUGGUAUCAGAAUGGUAAAUGGUGGUUCUUGGCUCUAGUUUGGUAGAUUUGAUAGACUUUGUACUUGUUCGAUAGAUCUUUGUUAUUUUCUUGAAAACCUAAUAAGGGAGUCCGGUGAGUUCGUUCCUAUUUUCGAGUUACAGUUUACAAUAAUUGCUUAUAUUUUUUGAGAACCUUGCAACUAUAGUUAAAUCCCUAAAUCAAAGACUUUCUUGGCAAUUUCUUUGUCCGAAAGCCCUAUGAGUUGUUUGGAAUCUAAGGGUUGUCUUGGAUAUAAGUCAAUGGUUUAGACUUCUUUCAUGUUCUUGCAUGUGUUCUUUACAUUCUGUAUAUAGCAUGCUGUGUUUUUGUAUAUUUGUUACUUGAUGUUUAGUUUUUGAGUAAAUUGCUUGAUUCUUGAUGAAUGAGCUCCUGAGAUCUUUCUGAACAAUUUGUACUAUAAAACUUGUCUGUGCACUUUAAAUUUGUUUACUAUAUAUUAUAUUUGAGCUCUUGCAAGUUGUAUAAACUAUUGACGACUUGUGUGAUAUGCUUAUAGUGUUGUCAUUCAAACCGUGUUUUGACCAUUAUUACUAAAGUUGAACUGAAAAUUUUUUAUGGUAAAGGAGACUUUGUCUUAGGCAUCAAAAAUUAAGAGCCCUUUUAUUUCAACAAAAAUGUGCUAAGGCCAUUGCGGAGUCAUGGCCAAAUGAUUUUGAAGAAACCAAGAAAACUAAACUUGAUGAAAUUGCUUGGAGCUCCAUUUUUUUGCAUUUGUCUGAUAAUGUGUUAAGAGAGAUUGCUGAGACAAAAACUGAUGCUAAACUGUGGAAGAAACUAGAAGAUACUUACUUGAAUAAAUCUAUGCCUAAUAAAGUGUGUCUUCUGAAACAAUUCUUUGGUUUCAAAUUGAACCCAUCUCUUGAUCUUGAGGCAAACAUUGACAGAUUUAAUAGACUAUCCUGUGGCCUGGCUAACUGUGAUGAGAAACUCUCAAAAGAUCAGUUGGAUAUGGUUUUGUAAAUUCAAUCAUCGAUAAAUGUAAAGAUGUUAAGAGUACUAUUGAAUUUGGGUGGGAGACUAACUACAAAUGUGAUAAUAAAUGUUGAUGGCUAAGUCCAAACCAAAUCCAAAUCCAAAUCCAAAAAAUGCCAACUUUAAUAAGAAAACAAGACACAAGAAAAAGAUGAACUAUAAAGAUAAAAUGAAAACCAAGACAAAGGGUAAAAAAAAUGUUUUUAUUGUCUAGGAGAAAGUCAUUUUAUCAAAGAUUGCCAUAAGAGACCUAAUGAUUUGAAGAACUAGUCUAAAAAUGAUAGAGGUGUUGCUUUGGCCUAUAAUAAUGAGUCCAACAUAGAUGAAGUGUAUGUUGUUGUCCAUAGUCCACCUAGUCAAGAGUGGAUCCUUGACUCUGGUUGCACCUUCCACAUGUUUCCUAAAAGAGAAUGGUUUAUUGAGUUUGAAAAUGUAACCGGUGGUAAGGUUUUAAUGCGUAAUUACAUGGCAUGUCAGGUUAAAGGAAUAGGAACAAUCACUUUUAAAGUAAAAAGAAAUAAUAAACUAGUCUUGGAAAAGACUAGAUAUGUUUCUGAUUUACGAAGAAAUCUUAUUUCUUUAGGGAUUUUAGAUGACCUAAACUAUGACAUAUUGAUUAACAAGGGAUACAUUAAAAUCUUAAGGGGUUCACAAGUAAUUGUUGAAGCCCCAAAGAGACAUGGCCUAUACAUUUUACAUACUGAAAAUCUUUUAGAGUCCACAUCAACAGCAAUCUCAGUCCAAAAUGAUAAGUCACAUAUAUGGCAUAAAAGAUUGGGCCAUAUUAGUGACAAAGGGCUACAGAUUUUGAAAAANNNNNNNNNNNNNNNNNNNNNNNNNNNNNNNNNNNNNNNNNNNNNNNNNNNNNNNNNNNNNNNNNNNNNNNNNNNNNNNNNNNNNNNNNNNNNNNNNNNNNNNNNNNNNNNNNNNNNNNNNNNNNNNNNNNNNNNNNNNNNNNNNNNNNNNNNNNNNNNNNNNNNNNNNNNNNNNNNNNNNNNNNNNNNNNNNNNNNNNNNNNNNNNNNNNNNNNNNNNNNNNNNNNNNNNNNNNNNNNNNNNNNNNNNNNNNNNNNNNNNNNNNNNNNNNNNNNNNNNNNNNNNNNNNNNNNNNNNNNNNNNNNNNNNNNNNNNNNNNNNNNNNNNNNNNNNNNNNNNNNNNNNNNNNNNNNNNNNNNNNNNNNNNNNNNNNNNNNNNNNNNNNNNNNNNNNNNNNNNNNNNNNNNNNNNNNNNNNNNNNNNNNNNNNNNNNNNNNNNNNNNNNNNNNNNNNNNNNNNNNNNNNNNNNNNNNNNNNNNNNNNNNNNNNNNNNNNNNNNNNNNNNNNNNNNNNNNNNNNNNNNNNNNNNNNNNNNNNNNNNNNNNNNNNNNNNNNNNNNNNNNNNNNNNNNNNNNNNNNNNNNNNNNNNNNNNNNNNNNNNNNNNNNNNNNNNNNNNNNNNNNNNNNNNNNNNNNNNNNNNNNNNNNNNNNNNNNNNNNNNNNNNNNNNNNNNNNNNNNNNNNNNNNNNNNNNNNNNNNNNNNNNNNNNNNNNNNNNNNNNNNNNNNNNUUUGGGUAUUGAAAUUAAAAGAAAUAGAAGAGAGGGCACACUAAGUCUCAAUCAAAAAACUUAUGUUUUGAAAUUACUUGAAAAUUUUGCUAUGUUUGAUACUAAAAGUGUGAGUUCACCUUUAGCAAAUCACUUUAAAUUGUCAAGUGAUCAAUAUCCCUAAACUAAAGAUGAGUUUAAAAGAAUGGCUAGAGUGCCAUAUUCAAAUGCAGUUGGGUCUGUUAUGUAUCUAAUGAUCUGCACAAGGCCUGAUUUGGCAUUUUCAAUAAGUGCAUUGAGUUGAUACAUGUCUAAUCCUAGUAAAGUUCAUUGGGAAGCCACGAAAUGACUUCUUAGGUACAUUAAAGGAACUUGUAACCUAGGUAUUGAGUAUAGAAAACAAUCUGAGGGUGUUAUCUUGAGGGAUUACACAGAUUCUGACUAUGCAGGUGAUAGGGACAAUAGGAAAUCAGCUUUUUCCUAUAUAUAUAUAUAUAUAUAUAUAUAUAUGAAUUUGGCUUUAUAAAUGAUGCUAUCUUAUACUCUAUUAGCCAAUCCGCCAAUUAUUUAAGCAGAAAUCCUAUUUUACAUAAUAGAUCCAAACAUGUUGAUGUGAAAUUUCAUUUUAUUAUAAAUGUAAUUUCUCAAGAUGUUGUAAAACUGGAAAAGAUAUCUACUCACUUUAAUCCUGCGAAUGUUGGAACUAAGUACUGCCUUUAAACAAGUUUUUGGGUUAUUUAAGUCAGCUGAAUAUUAACUCUUGCUAUAGGAAUAAGAGCAAAUGAUGUAAUGCCUGGAGGAGUCACUAUAAAUGAUGUUGGAAUCAUUGUACCAAGGUGGAGAUUGUAGAGGAAUGGCACAAUGAUGUUGGGUUGGCCCUUUCUUGAAUUGUUGAACUUGUAGGUCGGGUUUUAAUUAACAAAUGGUGCAGAUUUUUUUUGGCAAAAAUGUGUUAUUGAAACAUGACUUCUCUAAAUAAGAAUAGUUGUACCUGAUCUCGUCAAGUGUCUCUUCCUCCAACGUUGGAUGAAUGACCUUCUAGUGCCUUCCAUAUUAACUUGGCACUUGAGAUGCAAGACUUUUCAUUCUCUCGUCUCUUGAACUCUCUCCAUUAGUUCUUUGUCUUUCUCUCUACUACAUUGAAAUUUAGCCCCCCUUUUUGAUGAGAUAUUAUCCAGCCAUUUGUAUAGAUCUUGAGUGAUUUUGUAUAGGUUGAUAUUUCAAUUUUCUUGAGUGAAUGUUGUAUUUUCAGUGAGGCUUAUUUUGGGAGAAAUCUUGUGUGAUUUAAUCUUAGUGCUAUGGAUUUUUUUAUACAGGACCGUUCAUCGAUUCCAUUGAUAUAGUGAUAUCCUUCCGGUGGCGAAAGCUCAAAAGGGGUUAGGAACUCCGAUUCUGAAUCGCUUGCCCUAGGGCUAAAUUCAUUGUGUUCCUUUUUUGUUUCUUUCUAUUUUCUGUUGUUAUUUUCAUUUUUUGUUGAGUUUUGAAAGUGGCUAAUAACUUGAAUCACUCGUAACAUUAUAAGUAAUUGUGUUUCGUAAAUCAAUAUAAAAAUUCAGCUGUGAACCAAAUAUCGUGUUAGAAAAAUUGGUAAAUGUAAAAGUACGAAAUCUGAAGAAUAGGAAUUUGCACUUUAAAUGCAUGCCUAUAAUAAGGAGAUAACCAAGUUAAUUUGACUUUAGAGGUAACCUUUGGAACUAUUUCGGAAGCAAUUGCUGUCAAUCUCAAGUUUUCCAUCAACAUAAACUCUUAAAUUUUCCAACUGUGUUAUCUUGGUAAUAAUGCAACCACAUUAACUCCCUAAAGAUUCUCUUUUUUCAACAAUCCAUGACAACUAGUCGAUGAACAUACAUUCAACUUUUUUAUAACAGUUGGAGUCACUUUCCAUCAAGUGCUGAGCCAAAAAAUGAUGCUAAGAUUGGCUUAAAUUUAAAAAUUUUCAAAUGAAUAAACAUGACAAGAGGCUAAACUCAUAUGACAUUCACGACAAAAAGUGUGCAACACUCCAUGAAAUAGAAGAACUCUAAAUGCUUCAUUUGAAGAUGUUCCGCUAAACUUUUUAUAUUUUCUUACCAAAUAAAAAAUCGAUGCUUACAUUAAAAAAAUAUAAACUAACCGAACCAUGAUCCAAAUAAGCAAAUGAUACAUAUCAACCAAUGAAAAAUAUUAAAUUAUUUAAUGAAUACUAUUCCAAAUAAAUUUGAUAACAAGUAUUUUCAAAAACCUGAAAGCUUUGGUUAUAACACGCAAUCAAUAAUGCAUCACUAUAUGUUAUUGUCUCAAAAUAUUGUUUGGUAUAGACAAUAAUCUUCUAUAUUAUUUCAUUUCAUGGUGAAGAAUCAUAUCUAAAGAGAAAAAUUGCCUAAUAAUUAUGAGGGUUCAAAGAAAUUAGAUUUAAUCAUGUCCAUAUUUUGAUCAAUUUCAAGAAUAUACUUAUAUGUAGAUUAAUUUAUAAAUAAAUAAAUUUUAACAAAUAUUUUUUUAUUGAUGAGAUCAAAUGUAGAGAAGUUAUUUAUUUUGAUUGUAACAUCUAUUUCAUGGUCAAAAUCAAUAAUUUGUUCUUAUAAAUAUGAAUAAGUAAUAUAUGAAAACAUAUGUAAAAAUAAAAAAAUUAAGUUUCUUUUAAGCUUAGCAAAACAUGCAGUGUCUAGUGUUUCUAAUUAUUAAAAUAAAUCAUUUUUGGAUCUGAUUAUUACAAAUUUUCUAUUAUAAAAAUUACAUAAUUACCAUAAGUAAAUUUAGUCAAACAUGCAUUAAAUAAAAUGCUUAAUUUAAAAAUAAGAUAUUCACAUUUCAUAAAUGUCAUGGAAAUAGUAUUUAAUAAUUGUAGCCUCUUCGACAAGAUUUGAUUGAUUAAGCAUUGAGUUUGUGUUAGAAUUCAAACUAAAGUUGGGUUAACACAAAUAGUGCUGAGGGGUUGGGCUGGACUAGACUAAAGCCCAUCCCAGCCCCCCACUACCUCUGCCCGUGCUUCCCAUUAUUUGUAAAUAGUUUUAUCUGUCUUUGUAGUAGAUUUAAAAAUUUUAAUAAGCAACACUGUUCUUUUCAAUCAGAAAACAUUGAAUUCCAUAGAAGCAUGCAAAAAAUAAUUGUUUAGAUGCUAAGUUUGUUUUUAUUAUUAUUUUUAAUUGAAAUAUAAAUAUAUUUGACUACUCAUAUGCUUUUACAUUACAAGUAAAAGAGAUGAACAUAAACCUUACUUUUAAUUCAUUGCAAUGAUUCAACUUUGUAUUUCUCACUAAUAUUUUGAUGACAAUUACCAUUAAUAUACGGACCCCAUUUAUAUUCCUACGAUUUCGAGGAGUCAACUUUUGUGUUUUGGAAUAUCCAUCAUCACUUAUUGACACUAACUCAAAAAUUUUCAUGGAUAUAUUCUCCUUUUCAACAUUCCAAGGACAUAAAAUGAUUAAAGAAAUAAUAUGAUUGAAUACUAAUUCAAAAAAUUUAUAUUUAUUUUCCUUUUCUGCAUUCCAAUUACGUAAAAAGACAAAAGAAAUAAUAUGAUUCAACACUAAUUCAGAAUUUAUAUAAUAACUUAUUUUUCCAUUUAAGAACUACAACAGCAUAAAAUUAUAAUGAAUAAUAAUCUUCAAAAAUAAAUUAUUUUUUAGUAAGUUUAUAACUAAAAGAAAUUAUUACAUGAUAUUGAAUUUAAAAAUUAAAUUUAUCAUCUAGUAAGUUUAUAAGUAAUUUUGAAUUGUGAAUUAAUAAAAAUAGUCAUUGGCUAUGUACAAAAUAUCAACGGUGAAAACCAAAUAGAUGUAAAACAAUGAAAACCAACUAGGUGGUAUUAUAACAAUCCAUUCAUUAAAUGCAUGCCUAUAAGAUCUAAAAAAUUUAUUGAGCAACACAGUUCUUUUCAAUCUGAAAACAUCAAAAAAUAAAAUAAAAAUAAUAAUAAUAAUAAUAAUAAUAAUAAUAAUAAUAAUAAUAAUAAUAAUAAAAAAAAAUUGUCUAGAUGCUAAGUUUUUUAUUGGAACAAAAAUAUAUUGGUCUAAUCAUAUGCUUUUCCAGCAUAAAUAAGAGAGAUGCACAUGAACCUUACUUUAAGUUUGCAACUAUUCUACUUUGUAUAUUUCACUAAUAUUUUGAUGAUAUUUGGACCCCAUUUAUAUACCUACAAUGUUGAGCAGUCAACUCUUCGUGCUAUUGAAUGUACAUGAUCCUUCAUCGACGACUCUAACUAAAAAAAUUAAUAUUAUUUUUUUCUCCUUUUUGGCUUUUCCAACGACAUAAAACAAUUAAUAUAAUAAUUAUAGUCAGGUUAAUAAUGAGACGCGGAUAUUGUUUAAGGCGAAGAAAAUUAUUUUUUACAUAACAGGGAAGUGAUUGGAGUUAGGAAAAUUUGCAGGUAUUACAUGAUAUUAACUUCAACAAUUAAAUUUAGUGCCCACUAAGUUCAUAAGAAAUUGUGAUUUGUGAAUUGAUAAAAAAUAGCCACUAGCUGUUUAAAAAUAUCAAGCGAGAAAUAUCCAAGUGACAUAAAACUAUGAAACCUGACAAGGUGCUAUCAUAACAAUUUGUACAUUAUUAUUAUUAUUUUUUAAUAACAAAAAAGUUCUUUUCAAUCAGAAUAUAUUGAAUUCCACACAGACCUUGUAAAAAAGAAUUGCUUAGGUGCUAGGUUUUUUAUUGAAACAAAUAUAUAUUUGAAUAAUCAUUUUCUUUUCCCAUAUAUAUAAAAGAGAUGCACAUAAAACUUUCUUUGAAUUCUUUGCAGUGAUUCUACUUUGUAUCUGUCACUAGUAUUUUGAUGACAAACAUAAAUAUUAGAACCCCAUCUGUACACCUACAAUGUUGAGCAGUCAACUCCCAUCUUAUGUAAUGUACAUCAUCACUCCUCUAGGACACUAACUCACAAAAUUUACAUUAUUUUUUCUCCUUUUGACAUUCCAAUGACAUAAAAAAGGACAAACAAAAUAAUAUGAUUCAACACUAAUUCAAACAAUGUCAAUUUAUUUAUUUUCCUUUUUUGGCAUUCCAAUGGCAUAAAUAGUGAACAUAACAUUAUGCUUGAACUUUAAUUGAUUUCAUAUUAAGCCAAUCUGGAAUGAGCUUUAAGAGGGGUACUAACUUGCCGCUUCUCUAGGCAUUAUUAUUAGCUUAUUGCAUGAGCUUUACAAACACUAAAAUGUGUCUCAAGAUUGACUUGAUCAGCUAAUGAACCAAUUUUAAAAACCAAUAUCUCAUUGCAAGAAUCAAAAUCAAUAAACUUUCCAAAACAAAAAAAUGAAAUGAGAAAAAAAAUAGCCAUAGGAAUCAAUCAUUAGACUGGAGUCGAAAAGAGAGCAUAAAUGCAACCAUUUUUCCCAGAAAGUAAAAGAAACACCAAAGCAAAAUAAAAAAAAUAAAAAUCAGUUAAAUGGCUGAUUGAAUGGGGAGAAAAAGGACUGAAUGGCUGAUUCAACGGUUGAUGGCUACUUUCUGGAAGAGAAUGGUUUGGUCAAAAUGUGGGAACAAGGAAAACGAAUGAAAAGGAAAAGAAAAAGAUAGAAAAGGGAGAGAUGAACAAUGUUUAUUCUCCAAUCACAUAUGUUGCAUAAUCUUGCAUAAUUUGUCAAUGUGUAUCUUUUUUUUUUUUUUUUUUUUACUCAUUUCUCUCUGCGUUAUUUAUGAGUAUAUUGUCAGUCUUCAUUUGUUAUUCGUUAAAAUAAAUAAAUAAAUAGGAGAGUUAGCAUUUAGUUUACAGAGUUGAAAAGAUUAUGAGUUUAGGGGAGCAAAUUUGGAAACUCGAAUUUGAUAUUUUUCCGUCACUAUUAUUGACAGAGCAGAACUUGUUUCCCAUCACUAUUAUUGAUCGAUAUUUGACUCUUCGUCUUUAUGUACAAUAUUCUGGUGGCACAUAAGAUGAAUGACGUUUAGACAUAUAAAAAUAAAAGAGGAAGUAUUUUAAAUUGACUUCUUUCUCUUGUGCCAAUCUCAAAAACUCUUCCAUCAUCUUUGGUGGAUGCAAUACGAGCAAACAAAUAUUCACCCACGGCAUGACUUCACUUAUUAAAAAAAAAAACAAGAAUUCCCCGUGUAAUCUAUAAACUUUUUGAAACAAUAAUAAUCUUGAGAAAGUUUUGAAAGUCCAGGACUUGGAUCAGCAACUAUUGAUGAAGAGAUAUGAAGAUGCUCUGGCUUCACUUGUGAGAGAACAGGGGGUUAUUAAGGUUGUCUGAUGUUACCCAACUGAGAAUUGUCAUUUUUUGACAUAGCAAACAAUUGAAUUGGAGAAUUAUGUCUGCAGCAAAGUUGUAGCCCUUUGAGUUAGCUUGCAAUGCAUCUUGAAUCGUCUCAAUUGGACAUCAGGAGAGAAAGUUAUGCUAAAAAUAUUGAAAGAGGUGCGUGCUGUGUGUUCGAAAAGUGGCGCCGCGGCGGCGAGAGAUUCAAAGAGGUGGCGCAGUGGCUCUGCAGCCCCACCACCUAUUGUUUUGACGUGGCACUGUGGUGCCACAUUCCAGACAUUGUUGUGCCACCAAUCCGUAACCUAAGCGAAAUUUCAGUCCAUUUUGGAAUCCAAAGGAAAACCCUAUUCUUCAUAUACGGAAGGGGACCUAUAAAUAUGAAAAUUCCACACAUUAGAAGGGGUUCUACACAUUUGAGAGGCAAAAACACAUCUUGGGAGAAAGAGGGAGAAAUUCAAAGGGAGAAAAAAUGACUUUUUCAUCGUGUGAAGCAUCAAUUGGAAGAGGAAGGAAUUCUUGGUGUAAGAUCCACUUUUUCUUCUACAUAUUUAAUUCUCAAUCUAGUGAUAUACUCUAAGACAAGUUGUUGUUGCUCUUCUUUUAUUAUGCGUAGCUAAAUCCAUUGUUAGGGCGAAUAAUGUAACCCAUUUGAGAUCCUUUACAUUUUCUUAUUAAGAUUCUUGUUUUUUAAUUUUUUUCAUUUAUUGAUUUCUGCUAUGAAUUGAUUGCAUUAAAUUAUCUGAUCAAUAAUUUGAUGAAUUUUGUGAAUCAUUUACGAAUAGAGAUACGAGUUUAGGAUUUAGACCAUGUAGUAAAAUUCAACACAUUGGUAUAACGAGUAGAGAUAUCUAUGUCAUUUAUUGCGGUCAUAAUUGAAUUAUUAGGACAAAGAACUUGUUUAGCUAAGGUAAAUUUGCAUAGAGAUAUGAAAUUUAAUUAGUUGAAUAAACUCAAUGAGAACUUGAAAGGGGUAAAUUAAAUACAAUAAGAGAAUUCGAUCGAACACUAUAUUAAAAUUGAGUCUUAAUUUGAGAUGUAAAGGUGAUCAAUAGGUGAAAUUAUUUUGCCCUAACGUUCUCUAAUUAUUUGAUCUUGCAAAUAAUUGUCUGGGCAUUUAUUUAUUGUCUAGAAUUAAGAUUUAAACUUAAAUCACUAUAACUUUUAGUUUGUCUUCAUCAAAUAGUAGUUAAAGGAAAAUUGAAUUAAGUGCUAAAAAAUAGUCCUUGUGGGAUCGACAAUCCAGACUCUUAGGUCCACUAUUACUUGUUACGAUUCGUACUCUUGCGAAAUUAAAAUUAAAAACAAAUUUUUGACGCCGUUGUCAGAGACUAUUACUUUUAGUCUUAAUUUAUUUUUAUUUUUAACUGUUAUUUGAUUUGUUUAUUUCUUUUAUUUACAGAAAAUUGUGUUCAUUGUAUGCUCUGUGCCCAAGGCGACGAUAUUGAACCAUUUGAUUCGGAGAUAGAACGUACCUUCAGACGAAGACACAAAGAACACAAACAAAAAUAGCAACAUCAAAUGGCUGACAAUUAAUAAAUCCCUAUCACUAUUCAGCCGAUUAGACAAAUGGCCGCAAGAGUGGUGGUACCAUCGGAGCAGCAGCAUGAGCGAGGCGAAAUAAAUGAAAAUGAUUUGUUAAUAUCAAUGUUCCGGACUCCUAUAGCAGUAUCCGUGCACUCCAGUAUUGUGUAUCCAGAUUUUGGGUUGAAUAACUUUCAAAUCAGGCUAGAUUGGAUUAAUUUGAUGAGCAAUACUCUCCAAUUCUACGGGUUACCUCAUGAAAUAUCCGAACACUAAUAUCGCCAGAUUUCUCAGAAACUGUCAGAACUUCCAUACUCCGGGAGUCAAUGAAGAUGCUAUUAAACUAUGAUUAUUUCCAUUUACAUUGAGACAUGCUGCAUUGGAGUGGUAAAAUGCGGAGCCUCAUGGGAGCAUUACUACAUGGAAAGAACUGACCAAAAAAUUCUGCAUCAAAUUCUUCCCACCGACCAGAGUAGCUAAAAUCAGAUUGGAAAUUCAAGAAUUUCAACAGAAAGAGGGAGAAAGCUAUCACGAGGUAUGGAAUAGAUUUAAUGAGCUGAUGAGAAAAUGUCCAAACCAUAGAAUCACUCUAGGAAACUAAGUGCAGUACUUCUACACCGGACUUACACCACUGUCAAAAUCUCAAGUUGAUGCCUCCGCUGGUGGAUCAAUCAUAGGAAAAUCAGUGCAACAAACCAUGGACCUAUUUGAGUUAAUUGCCACCACAUUCAAUGUUCUCAUAAAAAAGAGUGGUAUCACCAAAGGCAGCUGGAAUGUUUGAAUUAGACAGUACAACAUCUGUCAAUGCAUAGAUAGCAGCUUUACCAAAAUAUGUAGAGUUACUUGCAAAAUUGCUAACACAUGGAGCAAAUGCAAUGAUAACCAGUUCAACAUGUGAGAAUUGUGGGAGAAAUCACUCUACAUGGAUCUGCAUGAUGCUCACUUCUUCAGAGGAACAAGUAAACUUUAUUCAAAAUAGCUCCCAUAAUUUCAACUCAUAUGGGAACAAUUUCCAGCAAGAAAGAAGACCAAGUUUAGGGGAGAUGUUUCAACAAUAUAUGCAGAAGACGGACAAGAUAUUCCAGCAAAUUGACACGAACUUUCAAAAUGAAUAGGCAUCCAUCAAGAAAUUGGAGACACAAAUUGGUCAUAUAGCACAAAAACUUGCAGAACGUCCAUAAGGGACUUUGUGAGGUAAUACAAUGAUAAAUCCUAAGGAACUGGUGAUAGCAAUCAAAAUAGUAGAGAACGAUCUACCCAGGGCCCCCGUGAAAGUUAAAGCGUAUGUACCUCCACUUCCGUUUUCCCAAAGACUUCGAAAGAAGGCGAUGGAGCAAAAUAUUCAUGUCAUAAUUACAAAGAGCGGGGUACAAUUGCCAGAGAUCACUACAGAGAGACCCAAAAAAAGAUGACCCUGCCAAAACACCAAGUCUAGACAAAGCUUACAUGCCUCCUAUUCCCUUUUCUCAAAAGCUGAAGAAGAUCAAAUAAGACACAAAUUAUGAAAAAUUCCUCAGUGUUCUCAAGAAGCUCCAGAUCAAUGUUCCGUUCAUUGAUGCGAACUACAAAUUUCAAGCUAUACAAAAUUUUUGAAAGAAAUGUUGACAAAGAAAAUAAAGCUUUUGAGUUUGAAACUAUGGCAUUAACUGAGGAAAGUAGUGCAAGAGUCUAGAGCAAAUUGCCUCCUAAAUUGAAGGAUACAGGGAGUUUUAUUUUACCAAUUUCAAUUGAAAAUUCUUGUCCAAUUAAUGCACUGUGUGACACUGGUGCUAAUAUCAAUCUAAUGUCGUAUUCUACUUACAUAAAAUUGGGACUAGGUGAAGUUAACUCAAUAUCAAUAACGUUACAACUAGCUGAUAGAAUAAUCGCAAGGCCACGUGGCAAAGUUGAAGAUGUACUCGUAAAAGUAGGAAAUUUCAUAUUUUCUGUGGAUUUCAUUGUAUUGGACAUACCAGAAGAUUGAGACAUUCCAAUUAUAUUGGGUCGGUCAUUCUUAGCAACGGGACGAACCCUUAUUGACAUGGAGAAGGGAGAACUAAUCUUGAGGGUAGAGGACAAGCAGAGAUAUUCAAUAUUUACACCCAGUAUGAGAAACCUCCCAAUAAAAAUGAUUGUUGUAGAAUUGAUGAAGAAGGGCCACCUAAUCAACGAAGCAGUCAGAACAAAAACCAAAUUUUGGGAAACUUCUUGGUAGAGAUGAGAAUGGACAAAUCAAAAUCUGGAGAGCAAAAAAAGGUUGCAUAAAUAAAAAUUGCACGAAGUGCAAUGAUGGAAUAACUUGAUUUGAGCCACCAUGAUAAAUCAGUGGCACAAGUCAAGCUAAUGACUUAAAAAAAGCAAUUUUUGGGAGGCAACACAAGCUUUUAUUUUAUUUUAUUCAUUUUGUUUUCAAAGUUCUAGGAUAGUUUAAUUUAUAGUUUAUUCAGGAAUCAUCACCCAUACCUCUUUUACCCAUAGGUCUUUGAGUAAUUAAAUUGGUUAUUAGAUGUUUAAGCUAAGUAAUUCUUGUUCCAUGAUUUUAAUUUUUUCAAAUUUAAUUUUUCAGAAACAUGACGUCGCAGAACACUCAAACCAACAUGUACAUGGAGAAAAUGGGACAAAUCUCAAGUUUGCAAGAGGAUGUGGAAGAAGAGUCGAUCAAAUGCAACACCAAGGUACCACAAUAUCAUAGGCAAUACCAACAUUUCAGGAAAGCCUCCUCAUUUUCCUUUAAAUUUCACAUUGAGGACAAUGUUUAGUCUAAGUAUGGGGGAGUGUAUUAUUAUUAAUUUCCCUAUUGCCUACCUAAAAUUUUUGGGUGAGUUGGACAGUUUGACUUACAAUUACGUUUUACUUUGAGAUUUGGUGUUGAUUUAUGAACUGCGGAUAGGAUGCAUGCUAGAUUAAUUGAAACUCAACCUUACAAAACUUGAUAUUAUAUGUGCACUAGAAUUGAGUCUGACUCUAAUGAAAUAAGUUGAUUCAUUUGUUAGAUACGUUGAUUUAAUUGGAUAUAGAUGCUUUACCUAAACCAUAAUAAAUUAUAUAUCCUUAGACCAAAUUUAGCAUAGUUUGGGAGUGAUUUUACAGUUGUAGGAAGAUGCGGAUGUGAAUGUGGAUUCCAUGUGUGAAAUUUAUGUGUGGAUUGUCUUAGACUAACAUGAUAAAACAUGGCGAAAGUCUUAAACUAAAGGUCAGUUUGUUUGAAUAAGUGUAUAAAAUGGGCAUUGCACUAAUCAAUGUAUAUAAAUUUGAAAUCUAAAAAAUUCUCUUUGAAAUCUUCAUGACUUGAGUAAUUAAGUCUGCAAGGGUAUCUUAAAACCUGGUGCCCUAAAGUCUUCUGUCUUGGGAGUCAUCGACCUAAAACUCGCUACGUGGGUCAUUUAGAAGGCAAUAAAAGAUGAAGCUACACUUGAAACAAAAAUUGGUUCUCUUCGAAACCUUUUUGACUCGGGUUAGUAAGCUUGUAAGAGUGUUUAAAACCUGAUGUCCUAAAAUCAUCUGAUUUGGGAGUUAUCGGCCUAAAGUCUGCUACAUGGGUCAUCUAGAAAGCUUAAUGGAGAGAAUGAAAAAAAAAAAAAAAAAAAAAAGAGCAAAAGUACUAAAUAUCUUGAUUAAGCCCUUACACUUAUUUGAGAGAAUUUGACUUUUGAUAAAAGACAAUUAGCUAGUUGAGUCGUGACGGUCGAAGCAAUCAAAUAAUUGAAUAAUUUCUGUUUACUGAAGUGUUGACUUGUAACUCAUAAUGUCCACCUAAACUCGAGAAGGUAAGAAUAGUAAUGAAAUAUUCAACCUUAUAUUACACACUAAGAAUGAGUGAAAAAGAAUAAGUUUGGGGUGUGUGAAUCAUACGAGUGAUGAACGGACAUAUAUGACCAUUAAGGGUCGGGAAUUGAAACAACUUGAGCAGUCAUGGUUGAUUUCUUAAUUCUUCACACACACACAUCGAUUUUGCACUGGAAGAGUAGAUAUCGAUCUAGUAUAGUGACUCUGAAGCAUGUUUGUAGAAUAAAUAUCAAAAUCUUGAAUCCUGAGGUAAAAAGCUUGAUUGUCUAACUAAUUACCCCUGCAUGAUUGUGUGUUGGUAGUUAUUUAGAUGAUGAUUUUGUUUGAGGACAAACAAAUAUUUAAGUUUGGGGGUAUUUGAUAAGUGUAUUUUAUACACUUAUUCAAAGCGUUAAAAUGAUGAUAUUUAGUUGCUUCUCGAAUGAAUUAUGGUUUAAAUUUUUACAUUUUGUGUUGAAUAGGUAAAGUUCAAUGACGGUACAAGGAAUUGAAGAAAGAAGCAAAAGUGGACAAAAUUGGAGAAAACUGCUAAGUUAAAAGAGAUCCAAAGUUCUGGGACUAAAGUGCAAAUACUUCAAAGUUGAGUUGGACCUCAUGAUGAAGAUUUAAGAGCGCUCAGAGUCGAUUGGAUGAAGAAAGAUGUCAAAGGGAUCAAAUUUAGGCAAAAUAUGAUCAUAAAUCAAUUUCCAACCUAAAAGUUAUGCUCUGGAAUUUCAGUAUCACAUUGAGACCCAUUUUUGACAUAGUAAACAAUCGAAUUGGAGUAUGAUGUCUAAAGCAAAGUUAUAGCGGUCAAGGAUAGCAUUGCUAUCGAUGCCUCCACGAGUGCUCAUAAUAUGCAAUGAGGUCUCCUCUGUCGUGUGAGUCUCGACCAAUGUGUAGUUGCCAAAUGCAUAAGGAAAGUGCACGUUUAUGAGACCUUAGUUGGGAUACAUAGGGGAGCGAUUUACUGAACAUAGGUGCUUACUUAUUAUAGAUUAUUUUAGCCUUUUUUGCCCUUUGGGUUAUCUUUUCAAUACAUCUUGAAUCGCCUCAAUUGGACAUCGGGAGAAAAAGUUAUGCUAAAAAUAUUGGAAAAAGGUGCGUGCUAUCUGUUUGAAAAGUGGUGCCGCGGCGCCCGGGAGAUUCAGAGACCAUGGCACUGUAGUACCACCACCUGUUCUUUUGAUGCAGCGGUACGGUGCCACAUUCCAGGCGCCACGAUGCCACCAAUCGGUAACCUAAACAGAAUUUCGGCCCAUUUUGGAGUCCAUAUGAAAACCCUAUUCUUCAUACACGGCAAGAGACCUAUAAAUACGAAAAUUCCACACAUUAGAAGGGGUUCCACACGUUUGAGAGGCAAAAACACAUCUUGGGAAAAAGAGGGAGAGAUUUAAAGGGAGAAAAAAAUGACUUUUCAUCGUGUAAAGCAUCGAUUGGAAGAGGAAGGAAUUCUUGGUGCAAGAUCCACUUUUUCUUCUACAUAUUUAAUUCUAAAUCUGGUGAUGUACUCUAAGACAAUUUGUUGUUGCUCUUCUUUUAUUAUGCGUAGCUAAAUCCAUUGUUUGGGCGAAUAAUGUAACUCAUUUGAGAUCCUUUAUAUUUUCUUAUUAAGAUUCUUGAUUUUUAAUUUUUCCAUGUGUUGAUUUUUGCUAUGAAUUGAUUGCAUUAAAUUAUCUUAUCAAUAAUUUGAUGAAUUUUGUGAAUCAUUUACGAAUAAAGAUAUGAGUUUAGAAUUUAGACCAUGUAGUAAAAUCCAGUACAUUGGUAUAAUGAGUAGAGAUACCUAUGUUAUUUAUUGAGGUCAUAAUUGAAUUCUUAGGACAAAGAACUUAAACCAUUUCUAAUAAUAUCAAGUCUUAUUCCUAUUUUGGCAUUUUUCAUUUCCGGGAUUUUAGCCCCGAUUAGGAAAGAGUCUGGGCCUUGUCUUAAUCCCAAUGUGGCUGAUCAUCCUCUCGGACCAACUACUGAUCAUUGCCUUAGUAAGCUAUUGCCUCACCAACUAGCUAAUCAGACGCAAGCCCCUUCUCGGGCGGAUUCCUAAGUUAAAUUUGCAUAGAGAUAUGAAAUUUAAUUAGUUGAAUAGGCUCAAUGAGAACUCGAGAGGAAUGAAUUGAAUACAAUAGGAGAAUUCGACUGAACACUAUAUUAAAAUUGAGUUUUAAUUUGACAUGUAAAUGUGAUCAAUAGGUGAAAUUAUUCUGCCCUAACGUCUUCUAAUUAUUUGAUCUUGCAAACAAUUGUGUGAGCAUUUAUUUAUUGUCUAGAAUUAAGAUUUAAACUCAAAUCACUAUAACUUUUAAUUUGUCUUCAUCAAAUAAUAGUUAAAGGAAAAUUGAAUUAAGUGCUAAAAAAUAGUUAUUGUGGGAUCGACAAUUCGGACUCUUAGGUCCACUAUUACUCGUUACAGUUUGUACUCUUGCAAAACUAAAAUUAACAACAUAGUUUGAGAUAGUAUGGUCUGUUUAUGUGGAAAUAUCUUUAAUCAAUAAAGAAACAAGGACCUGUACUAGAAAAAAAAUCCCCGAUUUAGCUGAGGUUUUGUGUAAUCAUAUUGUCCUUCCAUUGCAAACUACCUACAAUAAUUUAAAACUAAUAAUAAUAAUAAUAAUAAUAAUAAUAAUAAUAAUAAUAAUAAUAAUAAUAAUAAUAAUAAUAAUAAUAAUAAUAAUAAAUUAUAAGUUUAAGUAAAAGAAGUUAUUAUAUGAGAUUAACUUCAUCAAUUAAAUUGUUCAUCAUGUACGAUUAUAAUUAAUCAUGAAUCCAUAAAAAAAAAAAAAAGUAUUGCUUAAUUAGCUGUGUAAAAUUAUAUUAUAACAAGAAAAACCUGGAGAUGUAAAGCAGUGAAACCCGAAUCUUUGGUAUUAUAACACUUCGCACAUUUAAUGCACGCCUAUAAAAACAAGAUAAGAAUGGUAAUUUGAAUUUAGGUAGAACCUUUUUGGAACAAUUUUGGGAGAAUUUGCCGUUGAUCUCAAGUUUUCCAUCAACUGAAACUCUAGGCUUCCAAGUGCGUCUGUGUAGACACAUUCAAUCUCUAUGUAUUCUUCAACACUCAAAACUAGCCUACUGCUUGUGAAUGAACGUAGUGCAACCUUUUGCUAUCUACUCGAUUACUUUCCCAUGCUAGAAAAUAGUUUCUUCGUCUUUGCAAAGGAUUUUAAAUUUUUUAAAAAGAAAAAUAGCACUAUUCAAUUAGUAACAUUGAAUUCUCAUUAAUUUCAAAAACCUUGCAUAAUAGACUUGUGUAGAUGCUAAGUUUUUAAUUGAAUCAAACAUACAUUGGACAAAUUUUAUGCUUUUACAAUAUAUUUUUUUGUAAUGAUUCUACUUUGUAUUUGUCUAAUAAUUUGAUGACAACUGUCAUUCCGACCUUAUUUACAUACCUACAAUAAUCACUCAUCAACAACACUAUCUCUAACAAUUUGGAUAAUUUUUUUUUUCUCCUUUUCGACAUUCCAAUGACAUAAAACUAUGAAUGAAGUAAUAUGAUUUAACGCCAAUUCGAACAGUUUACAUGAAUAUAUCUUUCCUUUUCAUCAUUCCAUUAGCAUAAAAUAUUAAACGACAUAAUAAGAUUCAACAUUUAAUCAAACAUUGUAUUUUAAUUUAUUUUUCCAUUUCUAAAUUGCAACAACAGAAAAUUAUAAAAGAAUUCUAAAUUAAACAUGUACAGUAAUUUUUUGCACUUUUUGACAUUCCAACGACAUAAAGCUAUAAAUGACAUAAUCUGAACAAUGUAUACAUGGGGGAUAGUAAUAAAAACCCUAACCCUAUGCAGUGUGGAUUGUGAAAUUAUUUGAACUUUUGCAAUUCUUGCAACUUUUAGAACAGUUGAGUUCUAUCUAGUUUAUUUGUCUUUAGAUCAAUAUGUGAGUGCACAAGUAGGUGCUGAAUUUUAUGUUCUAUUGCAAUUCUUGAUUUGACUACUUCUCGCAUAAUAGAAUUUUUAGAUACUUCAUGACUCACCAGAAACAUAUAUACUUGAAGGAUCUUUAUAACGCAAUAGAAAGAAACGAGACAGAUAGGAGACAUACCUUGAAUUCUUGGCAAAUAACUGUAAUUCUUAUUUGCAAAUAACUGAUGAUAACCUCAUUUUUUUACUCGAUUUAUACAAUAGCAAUAUCCACAAUAAUGAUACGUUUAUGAGAAUGAAGUUAAUGAAAUGCUACUCUUCUUUUUUGGUAUUUAUAUUCACCACCCAUCCAAAAUUCAGUAAUUCAUAGGAACCUCAAUAAUUGAUUUAUUGUUUACAAUAUUCGAUUGGUACAACACCUUAAACUGAAUAAUAAGAUUAAUUAGAUUCUUGUAACAAUAGAAUAUAAUUCUUAUACAAGGUAUGUUGGAGAACUUAUUUUUCUAGUAUGAGUGUCAUGAUAUAUCUUGCAAUCGUGUUUUCUUUGAACUGUGAAUUGAUGCUCAUUGUGACCUAUAGAACAGCACACAUUUGUGAUGGUGAAUUGUUUGAAGUACAGGUGUUUGGAAUUUCUCUUUAGAUAACAAGUCCUCCACAAAGCAAUACUCAUUUUUUAUCACUCAAUGAUCCAAACUUGACUCCUUUAAUCAUUAUGUGUGAUAUUUGAUUGACAAAUAAGAUAUGCAUUGAAAGUAUUUGCCUGGUCGACACAUUUUUAUAUCUCCAUCUUUCUAUUUAUUAUACCAAAAUAAUAGAGAACUUAUUUUUCUAGUAUGAGUGUCAUGAUAUAUCUUGCAAUCGUGUUUUCUUUGAACUGUGAAUUGAUGCUCAUUGUGACCUAUAGAACAGCACACAUUUGUGAUGGUGAAUUGUUUGAAGUACAGGUGUUUGGAAUUUCUCUUUAGAUAACAAGUCCUCCACAAAGCAAUACUCAUUUUUUAUCACUCAAUGAUCCAAACUUGACUCCUUUAAUCAUUAUGUGUGAUAUUUGAUUGACAAAUAAGAUAUGCAUUGAAAGUAUUUGCCUGGUCGACACAUUUUUAUAUCUCCAUCUUUCUAUUUAUUAUACCAAAAUAAUAGACAAGCAUGGUGUAAUUCUGUGAAACUCCACUUCGACUGUAUGGCAAUUUGCAUGUAAAAGUUAAUCUAAAUCCCACCUCUAUGUAGAAAAUAUUGUACUUCUGCAAUAAAAUUUGGGUUCAUUGAAUUUCUUUCUGUCUGUUGCCGCCACUGGAAUGAUUCGGUUCUUCUAGUCUUUGACUUCAUAACCCAUAAGAUCAAUGUGAGCAACAUUUGUGCUCGCACGACUAUGUGCUGAUUUUACGUCCUUUAGUUAGACGAAUUCAUUCAUCCCCAAUUUCAAAUGAAGCACAUUAAUUGAGUUUUCAUUUACAAUUCUACAUAACACAAGAAAUUAAAUAACUUGCAACCUUCUUUCCAACAGAGAAUUGAUGCUGUCUAUGAAAUCUAGGACAGCAUACAAAUUCAUCACGAAGAAUGAUUUGACAAUAGGUCUAGGUCGGAGAACUUCCAAAUUUUUCUAUGUAGCGACCAAAAUAAAAUUUCGUUUAUUUUAUUUUCGCAAGUUUUGUUAAUUUUGAGAUAUUGAGGGACUAAUUUUAAAAUAAGUUAUUUCUGUCAAUAUUUUUUUUUGGGUCAAUUAAUAAAUUAUUAAUUGAGCGAGAAUUUCCCUAUUAAUAUUUGGGCUAAUUUUGUAGAUAGUAUUAAAUAAAUCAUUUUGGCCUCAAGAAAAGUUAUUUCGGAUGAGUUAGGCCCAUGAAGAUAAUAUCGCAUAUUUAAUUAAAGCAAAUUAAGCAUUUAACAUAUUUUUGGCAGCUAAGUGUAAUAAAUGGAAUUUGAUAUUUUUUCGAUUAGGAUGAAAGCUAUUUUAGAUUUGAUUUAACUGAUUUCCAUUUGAAUUCGUUGUAAUCCUAUUAACCUAUUGAUCAUUUUUGUAGCCAAUUCACUUUUUAGUUGGAAUGUUUGACUAGGAAAAAUCAUCUGUUUAAUAUUAUCUAAUCUUUAUAUUUUUCACUGCUUAGGACUCUAAUUACACAUUAAUCCAUAGAGAUACAAGGUCAUAGGUUAUUUUAUACACAUGUAUCACAUGAUACACAUAGAAUACAAAUGCAUGCACACACAGCAGACACACAAGGGCAGAAAGCAUUUUUACACUUAAAAUUUGUAAAGGAAUCCGGUGCAACGUAAUCACUACCAUACCAUCACAAGCUAAGUUGCGAUCCCUACACUAAGUUGAUCGUUAUAUGAUUUUAAUUUUCAUUUGUUAAUGUUUGUUUAUUCAUUAUGUUGCUCAUGAAGCAUGUGAAGCGCCUUUAAUUGUUCUUCUUAAAUGUUAAUGUCACGAAAAUUAUAUGUUUAACUGGUGGUUACAGAAGCUUAUCAGAACGUUAAGUAGAUCGUUGGAUCAUCGAUUUACUUAUUAGUGAAGGCAAUACGAGAGAAUAUAUGAUUAGAUACAUGAUUAUUAAGUUCGUAUAGCAUAUGUAGCCUACUGAGUAUUUCUUUGAAAUGCUAAUUCCAAUCUAACAUUUUUAGAGUAUUCGGAGAUCAUGAGGUGGCUCAGCAUGGAUAACAUGUUUUAUUUUAGAGGAAUCAAUUCCUUUAUGUCCAGUUUUAAAGUAUUGCUUUUUUAGGUUUAAGAUCCCUCUGUGUAUGCGUUCAAAGAUUUAUACUUAUAAGUUUAUAUUUUUAAAUGGUUAAUUUUAACAUUUAAAAAUAUAUUUCAUGAAUUUUCAGCAUUAUGCCAUUAUUUUAAAAAUUUACUACCGUCAAUAUAUUUAAAUUUCAACAUAAUUUUAAUAGGAAACAACCCUUUAUGAGUUAUCUAUCAUAUAGAACUGAAAACAUGUCAAUUGGAGUCCCGCAGAAUUUUGUUAUAGCAUUUUUAGUAAACUGUGAUGGGUCAGAUUUGGGAAUGCAGUCUAGCCUGUUUGAAAAGUAUUUUCGUGCCUCAAAUGUCGUCGAAGAGAUCCCAAAUUUCGUGCCUUAAAUUUUCGUCAAGAUUUGCUAGGUCAAAUAAUUUUUGUACCUUACUGUGCAAUCGGAGCUAAACUGUUUUACCUUGCUGAAAUUUCCUAAAACUCAUUCCAAAUGAUGUUGUUACAUAUUUUUCUAAGUUUUUAAUAUAAAAAUUGUUAAUAGUCAUAGUAGGUAGAUUUAUUUUGAAGAAGACUAUUGAUUCGACUUUACCCCUUUUUUCCCAAUAUUUAUUAAUUUAUUCAAACUUAAAUACUUUUCUUAAUAACGUAUUUUUAACAGUUAACAUUAAAGAACUCAUAUUUGGUAACGAGUCGAUUGACAAGAAUUUGGUGGCAUUACAUUCUAGGCCAAGCAUCAUGGUAUAUUAUGCAAUCCUCCUUAUUUUGAAGAGUGAACUGAUGCUUUUUAUGACAUCUUGAACUGCAUGCAAAUUCAGGACGAUGAAUUUUUUUGAUGUAAAGGUCUUGGAAAGGUAUCAUUAGCUACAAUUCCUUAACAUAGCAAUACAUUUUUCCCAUCUGAAUUAGUGGCCAAAAUUUUAUACCUGUACUUGUUAGCGCAAUAUUUUAGUGGCACACAAGAUGUGUGUGGAAAGUAAUGGUGCUCUACACUUAAUAUCCCCAUCUUCCCACUGAUUAAACCCUAACUUUAGGUAGGAAACAUUUAACUUUUGCAAUAAACUUUAAGUUCAGGUAACUAUUGAUCUAUUGCUACUACUAGAACGAUUGAAUUAAUAACCUUUCAUUUUUGGACUCAAUUUAUGCCACUGAAAUAUCAAGAAUACCGACAUGUGCAUGAGAAAACAGUUACUUUGAAAUGCCACCUCUCCAUUUUGGUAUGUAUAAUCACCAUUCAACCAAAAUUCACUAAUUCAAAAGAAGCACAUUAAUUGAUUUUUCAUUUAUGACGUUCCAACAGUAUAGUAAAAUAAAUGAAUUAAUUUAUAUCUUGCCAACUUCCUUACUUCAAAGAUUGAAUUGAUACUGUAUUACACAUCUAGAACAGCGUACAAUUUUAUCAUGAAGAUUUUGGAAAGGUAUAUUUCUCAAACAAGUAAUCCCCAAAGAAACUCAUUUCUGUAACUAUUAGUGAUCAAAACUCGUCUCUUCCUAUUGUUAGUUGUGAUGAUUUUUCAAGAAUCAUUUACGAACUGAACUAGGGACAGGUUCAAGGUCAAAUUGAUGUCGUAGUAAACGACAGAAUUAUUAGUUCGUGCGAAAAUAUCUCUAAUCAAUAAAGAAACGAGGACACAUACUGGAAAAACAUAAAUUUUUGAUUUGGUGGUUAUUUUUAGUAAUCGGUCCAUUAGCUGAUCAAGUCAAUCUUGAGACACAUUUUAGUGUUUGUAAAGCUCACACAAUAAGCUAAUAAUAAUGCCUAGAGAAGCGGGAAGUUAGUACUCCUCUUAAAGCUCAUUCCAGAUUGGCUUAAUAUGAAAUCAAUUAAAGAUCAAGCAUAAUGUUAUUCCUAAUACUAUAUAUCGAUGACAUAUUAUUAAUGGGAAACGACAUCACAAUGCUUCAAUCGGUAAAAUUAUGGUUAUCAAAGAAUUUCUCCAUGAAAGAUAUGGGAGAAGCAGCGUAUAUCCUGGAAAUCAAGAUCUAUAGAGAUAGAUCUAAAAGAUUACUAGGCUUAUCCUAAUUUUUGUACAUAGAUAAAAUCUUGAGAAGAUUUAAUAUGGAAGAGUCUAAGGGAGGUUUGUGUCAUAUGUCACAUGGGAUUUACCUCUCAAAAGAUGUGUCUUAAAACACAUGAUGAAAGGAAUCGCAUGGAUAAGAUUCCUUAUGCUUCGGCGAUAGGAUCUAUCAUGUAUGUGAUGCUAUGUACGAGACCAAAUGUUUCAUAUGCUCUAAGUGUUACGAGCAGGUUUCAAGCAAACCUUGGUGAGAAACACUGGAGAGCAGUUAAGAACAUUCUUAAGUACUUGAGAAGGACUAAAGAUGUUUUCUUGAUCUAUGGAGGAGAUGAACUAAAGAUUCAUGGGUAUAUUGAUGCCAGCUUUCAAUCUGACAAAGACGAUAGAAAGUUUCAGUCGAGAUAUAUGUUUACUCUCAACAAUGGAACGGUUAGUUGAAAAAGUUCCAAACAGGAGACAACCGCUGAUUCAACAAUAGAAGACGAGUACAUUGCUGCUUCUGAAGCAGCCAAGGAAGCUGUCUCGAUCAAGAAGUUCAUUAACGAACUGGGAGUCGUUCCUAGCAUUGUUGAUCUCAUACCUUUGUAUUGUGAUAACAAUGGAGCCAUCGUACAAACGAAAGAACCGAGGUCUCAUCAACGAUCCAAAUAUAUGUUAAGGUGAUAUCAUCUCGUCAGGGAGAUUAUACAAAGAAAUGACGUAAAGAUAGAGCGAGUUCCCACAUAUGACAAUAUUGCAGAUCCAUUGACAAAGUCGUUGUCACAACAGAAACAUGAUCGUCAUGUGGACGCUUAUGGUAUUAGAUACAUGAGUGAUUGGAUCUAGUGCAAGUGGGAGUUUGUAAGUGUUAUGCCCUAGAUCCAAUUGACUUAGAUUUUAAACACUUUUAAUAUGUUUAAUGUAUCUAAUUUUGGCAAGAUCUAUUAUUUAUUUAAAUUAAUUUUCUGAUAAAUAAUAUUAAAUAAUAGAGUUCGAAGAUUCAAGUUUAAGUAAUUUGUUAAUCACAAGGAGUUGUGAUUGUGAGAUACAAAUUACGUAUGAUUGGAUCUUGAAUAAUUCGUGGUCGUAAGUAAUAACGAGAUACGGAUAUUAUUAUUACAGAUAGACCAUCACGUGUGGCAUUUCCUACCUGUGAAGUAAGUGGCUGACUUCACAAGCUAAUGUGUGAUGACACUUAAAUGAACACGUGGAUGUUUUGUUAUAGAACAAAACAUUGGAGACCCGUUAAGAGAUUCCACAUGGAUAACUAUCUGAGUAUCAGUGGUUAAUCUCUAACGUUCGAUAGUGAAAUUGGUCCUUUGACUUGAGGUCAUCAUAGUGCCUUGUAUAAGAACAGUCAUGCUUUGAAGGUGUUGGAUGUAGCUCUACCAAGGGCCACUAAUACAGCAUCAUUCAAGUAUGUCAAGAACCAUAUGAAGAUUGUAAAUUACCAAUAGAGGAUUCGUCACUCUUAGAUAGUAAGAGAUUGUGAUCUGCAUUUCGUUCAAUUAAGUCAAUAACGAAAUCCUUGGCCAAGGUAUACACAUAAGUCAAAAAGGAGUUUUCGACUCAUAUUGACUUAAUAGUAGAAUGAAAGAUAUGAUCAAUAAUCGAGAUUGACACACUUUCAUAUCUCAUAAUUAAUCGGAUUAUAUUGACGAAGGGAUAGAUUCAUGGUAAACAAAAAGGUUUGGUUUUAUCAUACCACGUGACAUUUUCCGUCACAUGCGUUGCCCUGAUACAUUGCUAGAUGUCACUCUGGGAUGGCAAGUGUGAAUUGGUGAUAAAUUGAAAGGGUGUUCUAAUUUAUUAGUUUUUUAUUAGAUCAAAAUAAUAUUUCACGUCGUUAGGCAUUGUGAUCGGGAACCUGAUGGGUUGCACACAAAGAGAAUUGGAAGAUUGUAAUUUGUCAAUUAAUUAAUUUAACAAUCGUUGGAUAAAUUAAUUUAUUGGAUUGGUUAUUUAUAGCCCCGAAUUAAUUAAUUCACGGACUGAAUUUAAUUAAAUGGAUUAAUUAAAUAUUGGACCGGACCAGGCCGAGCUCGUUUGGGCUUAUAUAAAUACAUGGCUAGGGUUUUAGAUCCAUAUAGUUUUCAAAUUCUUGCUAGCACAAGAGGAGAAAUCCUAACAAUUGCAAUCUAUUCUCUGUGUGGAAUUUAUUGGAGGCUGGACAAUUACACAGCUGUGGGAGACGAAUCCAAGUUGCUGGAACAAAGAUAAUGCAAAGGAGUGUGCAAAUUCAAGAAAAUGUAUAACUUUUAUCACAGUUCCUAUCUAUAUAUAAAGAUGAAUUCUGGUGGGAAUUGAAAUUAUUUUUAUUUCCGCUGCGCAUGUUUAAGUAAAUUCCCAACAGUUACUGUUUUUCUGUGUUUAAACGUCACCUAUUUAUAAAUUUUUGUUAAGUUGUGUUUAUGAGUUGCAAUUAGAUUUAAUUUUUGAUAAUAUGUUUCUUGGCAAUAUUUUGAAUGUAUUUUGACAAAAUGAGUGAAAACACAUUUAAGUUUAUUAUUUAUUUUUGUGAUGCGGAUGGAGUUGAUCAUUUUUGGGAUAGCUCAACUAUUGAUCAAAGAAGCAAACUUGUAAAUAUGUAAGAAUUAAUUAUUUUGCAAUAUUUUAAUAAGUUAUUAUGGAAUAGCAGUCUAUAUUUUGGUAUAUCGUAUUGAACCUCACUCAGUACUUCUGUUUAUCGAAACUAUAAGAUACAUGAUUAUUUAUGGGUUGAUUAUAUGUAAUUUAUUCUUUAAUUGUUAUAGGUUUGCUGGUAAUCAAAUAAAUAAAAUUAAUUUGACAUUUACAAUGUGCUUGUGAAAGCCCUAAAAUGUUAAUUAAUGGCGCUUUGACGUAAAAAGAGAAUUAUUUUUUAUGCCGCGAAUGUGGACGCUGUAAUAAAGUUAAUUAAUGGUGCUCUUAAACGUAUGCCAUAAAAAAGAUGUCUUUUCACAGUGUGCAUACAUAUGCUGAAAUAAAGUAAGUUAAUGAAAUAAUGAUUUGAGCCAAAUUGGGUGUACAAAACCCCAACUCACAGACCUCUUACAAAGGUCUCACACAAGGGUGGGAUCGAAAUUUUUUUCUCAUUUUUAUUACAUCGGGUCCCGCAGUGAGGCCAACCCUUUUGUGAGACUUCUAGCAUUAUAAAAGAAUAGUUUAGAUGCUAAAUUUUUAUUGAAACAAUCAUAAGUUUGACUAGACAUAUGCUUUCACGGUAUAAAAACAGAGAUGCACAUAAAACUUAAUUUGAAUUAUUUGCCACGAUUCUACUUUAAUUUGUCCAAUAAUUUGACGACAACCAUUAAUAUCCAAACCCUAUUUAUACACCUAUGGUGUCAAGCAGUCAACUCUUGUAUUUUGGAAUCUACAUCAUCACCAACUGACAACACUAUCUCAAACAAUUUACAGGAAGUUUUCUCCUUCUCGGCAUCAAACGACAUAUGAAAUAAUAUGAUUCAACACUAAUUCAAACAACAUACAUUUAUUUCAUUUCCUUUUCAGCAUUCCAAUGGCAUAAAAGAGUAAUAAUAUGUUUCAACAAUAAUUCAACCAAUUUCUAUUAAUUUAUUUUUGCACUUAAAAUUACAAUAUUAUUAAAUUUAGUCAUAAAUGAAUUAUAUGAUUCAGCUCUAAUUCAAAAAAUGUACAUUGUUUUCCCUUUUAAAUAUUAAAAUUCCGUAAAACUAUGAAUGAAAUAUUACGAACUAUGUAUACGAGGGGGAUUGUAAUUUUCAUUAAACCAUGCUGUUGUGCAUCGUGACUACAUAUACAUGGGAAGGGGGGUUCAUAAUAUUCAAAAUGAUAAGGAUAUGCAUGUCGAUAUGAACCCCAAUUAUAUGCAGAGCAGAUUUUGGAAACGAUUGAAAUAAAUCGAGAUUCAAUCACUAAUAGUGAUGGAAAACGCAUUACCUUUUCUAGGACUAGAUUGCUAACGAUAAUACAAUGACUUCACGUCAAACAGCUGAUGAUAAUUAAUUUGUACGCCAUCCUAGAUGUCGUAAAUUGCAGCAAUCAACUCUACGAAGUUAGGAAGAUUGCAACAUAUAUCAUGAUGCUCGUAGUUGAGAAUAUGGGAAGUUCUCCAACGUACUUUAAUUAUGAAUUAUCUUAUAUUAUUACGCAAUCUAAAUCUUAUUAACUGAUCUAUUGUCCCUAUCGCUGGAAUAUUGUAAUAAAAGAUUAUUUAUUGUGCUUCCUUUUGAAUGAGGGAAUUUCAGAUGAGUGAAGUUUAUACAUAUAAAAAUAAAAGAGGCAGCAUUACAAAUCGAAUUCAGUCUCUUGUGCCAAUCUCAAUACCUCUUAAUGUCUUACGCCAUCUUCAAUGGCUGAAAUACAAGCAAACUAAUUUAGCAUCAUAUUCGACCACAACACGACUUACACGUGUAAUCUAUAAAUAUUUUGAAAGUCUAAUAUUUACAAGUUAAGGACCAGUUCAGCAGGCUGAUAACAUGAAGAUCAUGAAAGGGGACGAAACUGGGCAACCCAACUUGAGAAAGUUUUGAAGGUCAAGGUCUUGGAUCAGCAACUAUUAAUGGAGACAUAGGAAGAAGCUCUGGAUUCACUUGUCACAGAACAGGAGGUUGUGAAGGUUGUAGGAUGUUGCCCAACUGAGAAUUGUCAUUCUCUUUAUUCUUGAGUUUGUAGGAUCACACUCUUCACCUUUAGUAGGACGUAGCCAUCUGCCAUUAAAUACAGAUAGAAAGCACUCUGUGGUUGAGUCUACCACUAUUGAAAUUCUAUCUCUACUGCUUCGGUCUCGCACUACAAGAAAAAUGGCAUUUUACAACAUUUAAAUGGCAACAUUCACCAAUUGUAUGUUGCUAAAAGAGGUUUAUUGCAACAUUCAGCAAAUGCAUGUUGCCAUUGGUUGAGAAAAUUAAGAUUUAGCAACAUUCUUUGAGUGGUUGUUGCUAAUACCCCCAUUCGCAACGUUCAAAAACCGUUGUUUUUUUUUUUUUUUUUACAACGUGCAUUGACCGUUGCUGUAGAUGUUUUAGCAACGUUCUUUUGAACUUUGCCGUUAAUUAGUUUUGGCAACGGGCAAUACACAUUGCCGUUACAUGUUUUAACAACUCUAACACAAACGUUGCUGUUAAUCAGUUUUAGCAACGUUUAGUAAAUGUUGUUGUUAAAAAGUGUUUGCAACGGGCAAUGUACGUUGCUGUAUAUAUAUUAGCAACGUUCAUUGAACGUUGCAGUUGAUUAGUGUUGGCAACGUUUAAUGAACGUUGCCAUUGAUUAGUGUCACUAAACCUUUGGGCUCCAAUCGGCCCAAAUUUUUUUUUUUAAAGCCCGGUUCAAUCUAACCCAGAUGGAAGCCCAAUUGCACAGCCCUUGACCCGUUUGCUGGCCCGGACCCGGAAUUUUGAUCCAAUUAAACCCAAUUUCAUUGAAAUUAAAACCAAACAAUUGCAACGUGUCGCGUCUCUCGACUCUCGCCCUACUUCUCUCGCAGUCGCCGACUUCUAGUUCCAGUCCACCGGCAGCUGACUUCUUCUAGAUUAGGGGCUCUAAUCUCCAACCUAGUAAGUGUAUACCCAAAGUCCAAACCCCAAUCUUCUCUCACCGCAACUUUAACAACGAACCACCAUUUCCUGCCAGCUGCCGCAACGAAAGAAGAAGAACUGAAGAAGCAGAAGAACGAAGAAGGUGAUUUUGAUUUCAAUUUUAGCCUCCAAUUUAAAUUUUUUCAGCGUACUGAUUUUAAUUUUUGUCGAGCUCGUGGUUUUGUCAUGGAUUAGAUUGUAGUGGAAAAGAAGAGUGAAUUGGGCGUGAACUAGAAUACAAGAAAAUUUGUUCAUUCCUCUUUUGGUAAUUAAGGGUUUUUUUCUUCUUCUUCUUUGGAUCGGUGUCAUGAAGAGUUGGCUAAUUGGAUUGUAUUUACUGUUCUUUGUUCAUGUUAAUGAAGUGAUUGGCUCUAUGAGCUGAAUUUGGUUAGUUCCUUUUGUUUAUUUUACUUCGAGUAUCUUCGAUAGUGUCUAGGUGUUUGAAACUUGUUAGACUCGAUGACAAUACUGUAAGUUAUCUAGUUUUUUGUGAGCCAUCUGAUUGACUUGUUCAAGGGACUUGAAGUAAGCAUUUGUUAAAACAUUUGAAAACAACUUUUUUUCCAAACUUUAUCUGGUUGAUCAUAUGUUAAUUAGUAUCUGGUUGAAAACAACUUUUUUCCAAACUCUAUGAUAAAGAUGGUUGCAUCCUAGCUCUUUAACUUCAUCCACUUCACCAAUUCUGUAUAAGCAUAUAGCACACUCUGUUGAUGAAUAGCCACACAUUGCAUUGUUAUUAUUUUCAUAACGCAUUACAGUAAGGUCAUCAACAUAGUCUGGUAAUUCGACUAAUUCAAGAGGCUGAAUGGAGGACUAGAGAAGAAGGUAAUCCCAUGCCCAGUUCAGUUGGCAUGCUAUCAGAACUAUGUAUUUCAAUACAGCUGAAUUUGGCUGCAACCUCAUCUGAAACAUUGUAUAGAGAGAGAGAGAGAGAUUACAAGCUAUAUCUAGAUAUUGGGUCUUGCCUUCAUAUUAUUGGUUAGUAUUAUUAUAAAUGCUCCAGUAAAGCCAUGACUCGUUUGCACUCCUGAAAUUUGAAUGCUCAUUUGAGCUUUAGAUAGAUCAAAUUGCUUGUGUGAGGUAAACGGGCUUUGAUACUAUUGAAUUUUGGGUUCCAUCUUAUAAUGUGAACCUUAUCAAGUGGCAAAGCUUAAAUUAUAAUUUCAAACAAACUUUUUAUUGCAUAUUUUGUGAGAACUGUUGCUUAAAUCUAAAUUUAAGCACUUUAAGUUCUUAAACAUUAGUUAGUAUUUUUUCUAUGUAAUCAAUGUGAGAUUUCACCCUCAAAGCUGGAGCAUUUAUAAAUUUCAAAGUGAUCACGCGAAGAUAGCACUCAUAUUAUCUCAUGCAAUAUCAAAAACUGGUCGGAAAAAGAAGGCAGAGGUCCUUGAAACUAUAUCUAACAAAUGUACUACUUGAACUCAUCAAUGUAUCAGCAUAUGCAUUUGAAUACAACUUCUUGCUUACUACUGAUAAGAUUAAAUAAUUUAUAAUUAAAAAUUAAAGAACAUUACAUCAAUUCUGUCUUUUUAGUACUGCAUUGUUUCAUGCUUGUUUUCAUUUCUUAUCUAUCUUAUAUUCAAGAUGCAUUUAGUACUUUAAGAAUUCCAUUGGUUCCACGUUAAAUUUUAAAUAUACCCAAUGAAACUCUAGCUCUCUAAUAUUUUCGAAAAUCUUGCUUACUAGUUAAAUGUGAUUUGUUAUAUUGGAGACAAAAUUAAAAUAAAUGUAUUUCUUUUCUAACGACUUAAAUUUUCAAUAAAUAAGGUGAUUUUAGUCGUAUCAAAUGAAUUUCUCUUAUUAUAUAUAAAUUUUAGUUGUACAUUAAACUUUUAAAAUUUUUAAUGCACCGUAAUAGUAAUUCUUGGCUCUGUCCCUACUUUUCGCAGACGUGCUUGGCUUCUUGCUUUGUAGAGUAAAAUUACAGCUUGCUUCCAACAAUCUUAUUCAUUAGACUGCAUUCUCGUGGAAGCAGAGUACCAAGUAUGACAUUCAGGAGACUUACUCUAAUCUACUUUCCUUUCAAUAUGAAUAUUAUGCGCUCACACAUUUGCUUGUGUUGCAAAUUACCAAGUUUAGUUCACAAUUUGAAUUGUUGUUGUUCAAUGUUUGAUAGUGUCAUAAUGGACAAAGAAUGGCUGCACUUAUCAAGGUGACUGUCUGAAAUAAAAUCUUAUAAAUCUAGUUUCAAAAUGUAAAUAAUAAUAUAAAAUUCUUAACGGUAAUGUUGUUGUAGAUUUUCAGAACAAUACAGAGAUGGAACACGGAAGUUUGUAGAACUAGCUCGUGAAACUCUAAAGUCAAAAAUGAUAGGAUGCCCUUGUAUCAAGUGUAGGAAUCUAAUGCAUCACAAUUAUGAAAUAGUCUAUGAAUAUUUAAUUAUUAAGGGUAUGGAUCCUACAUACACUGAUUGGGUGUUUCAUGGAGAAAUGCCAAGUAAAUCAAAUUUGGUCGACGUAGAAAUGCCCAAGUCAUGCAGGAUGUUUAGGGACUUUUAUAUGCAACAUGAUGUAGAUUCUGAAAAUCCUCAUGAUGGAAUAGAGGAAGACAUUCAACGUUUAGUUAGCGAUGCGGAAACCCUUUUAUAUCCUAGUUGUAUGGCAUUUACGAAGAUGUCAGCUUCAAUUGCUAUGCUUAAACAUAAAGCUACACAUGGUUUAUCAGAUAGUCGUUUCGAUGAACUCAUAAAUCUUGUGCGGGACAUGCUACCACAGAAUAAUACACUUCCUAACUCAUUUUAUGAGAUGAAAAAACUUGUGAAUACAUUUAGUCUUGGCUAUGAAAAGAUACACGCUUGCUUGAAUGAUUGCUGUCUAUAUAGGACGGAGCUUGAACAUGCUGAAUUAUGUCCAAAAUGUGGUUGCUCAAGAUGGAAAGUUAACCAACAAACUAAAAAAGUUAAAAAAAAAAAAAAAGCAUUCUAGCAAAAGUCUUGCGUUAUUUCCCUAUCAUACCAAGACAUAAGAGGAUGUUUGGAAUAGAAGAGAUGGCAAAACAAAUUAGAUGGCACUCAAAUAAUAAGAGUUAAGAUGUUAAAAUGAGGCAUCCAAUUGAUUCGUUCGGGUGGGAAAUGAUAAACAGAAAGUGGCCACAUUUUGUGUCAGAUCCUCGAAAUAUAGAUUAGGUCUUGCCACCGAUGGAUUCAAUCCUUUCAAAGAUCUUAGUUCUAAAUAUAGUUGUUGGCCAGUUCUUUCAACUAUAUACAACUUGCCUCCCUCAUCAUGUAUGUCGAAGGAAAGUUUGAUGUUGAGUUUAUUAAUCCCGGGACCAAAGCAGCUAGGUAAUGACAUAGAUGUUUAUUUGGCACCACUUAUAGAUGAUUUAAUAUCAUUAUGGAGUGAUGGGGUUGAGUGUAUGAUGCAGUUGUGAAGUCUAUAUUUAACUUAAAAGCUAUUUUGAUGUGGACAAUACAUGACUUCCCUGCAUACGCAAAUGUAUCUGGAUGGCCCGUCAAAGGAAAAAUUGCAUGUCCUAUUUGUCAUGAACAUACAUGUUCAGUAUGGUUAUCACAUUGUAGGAAGUUAGCAUACAUGGGACAUAGAAGAUUUCUUGCAUUGAGUCAUCCAUAUCGCAUGAAAAGGAGCUGGUUUGAUGGACAUAUUGAAAAUGGCAUUAGGCCAAAGAUAAAAACUGGUGAAGAAGAUUCCAGUGAAAUUGAUAAAAUUGUAAAUGAUUGGGGCAAAAGUGGUAAGCGAAAUAGAAAGAUGAAUACAACUCAAUCCAAAGUAACGUGGAAGAAAAAGUCAAUAUUUUUCAAACUACCAUAUUGGAAGGUAACUCUAGUUAUGUCAUUUCCUUUUUUUAAUACAUCUAAUUGCGCGUAGUAUCUCAUAACACAAGUGGUGUUUGAUUUGCAAACUUUGCUUAUACGCCAUAAUUUGGAUGUGAUGCACGUGGAAAAGAAUAUUUGUGAGAGCAUCAUUAAUACAAUUUUGAAAGGAAAAUCAAAAGAUGGGAUUAACUAUCGUAAGGACUUGGAAGCUAUAAAUAUUAGGCAUGAUCUACAUCCUGAGAGUAGAGGAAAUAAAUUUUCCUUACCUGCAGCUCCUCAUACUUUAUCAAAAGCAAAAAAACAAAUGUUUUACAAAACGCUUGCUACCUUGAGAUUACCUAAUGGUUAUGGUUCUAAUAUUGUAAAUUGCAUUUCAGUGGAAGAAUGUAAGAUAGUUGGACUAAAAUCUCAUGAUUGUCACCUUUUAAUGCAACAAUUACUAUCAGUUGCAUUGAGAGGACUUCUUCCUAAAGGACCAAGGCACUCCAUUUUUAAAUUGUGUUCAUUUUUCAAUGAAAUAUGUCAAGGAGUUGUAGAUAGGAAUAAGGUUGAAAUUUUAGAAGUGGAUGUUUCUGAAACUUUGUGCAUGUUGGAAAGGUAUUUUCCUCCUUCCUUUUUCGAUAUAAUGGUUCUAUUAACAAUUCAUAUUGGAAGAGAAGUUCAUCUCUGUGGACCAGUUCAAUAUCGUUGGAUGUACCCAUUUGAAAUGUAGUACUCCUUAUUCGCAAAAAUUAAAUCCACUAUCAAAUUGAUUUCUAUUUUAUUACGUUUUUGGAAAAUGUGUACGUAUAUGAAAGUGUUGAAGGAUAUGUUAUGAAUCGUGCAAGACCUGAAGGGUGCAUAGCUGAACGAUAUAUUGUUGAAGAAAAUGCGAUAUUUUGUAGCAAAUACAUAAAACAAGCAUCAAAAAUCGGCUCUAAGACUGCACGCAAUGGAGAGUAUGAGAGUGACUUCUUAGUUGCAGGGCAUCCAAUUUCUAAAGGGAAGCCACUUGUACUAUCUGAUGAGAUGUUGAACGUUGCCCAUCGCUCUGUAUUGCUAAAUAGUGUAGAAGUGGCUCCGUACGUACAGUAUGUUAGUUAAGUAUAUAUUUUUUGAGAUUUUAAGUUCUUUGGGAUUUCUUGAUAUAUUUUUUUUUUUUUACUUAGGAUGCAUAUGGAUGAACUCAAGAGUUCUGACAAACGACUUGGAAGAAAUGAGAAUUUGUUGCAUAAGAAACAUAUUGACACGUUUGCUACCUGGUUGCACAAUAAGGUCGAAGUACAUAUAUCGACAAGAUUAGUGUUUAAUUUUGUUGUUUAUUCUCUCAUUCCUAACGUGUUUAUAAUAAUAACAGAUUACAGGCCAAUUGUUGCUGGACAAUGUUUCGAAUACUUUAAAGUGGCUUGCACGUGGCCCUAGAUGUCAGUCCAUGUCAUAUUCCAAUUUUGUAAUAAAUGGAUUUCGAUUUCACACUAAAGAUGCCGAAAACUCUCACCAAAACAAUGGCAUCUCAGUUGAAGCAACAACCAUAUGUAGAUCUAGUGCAAAAGAUAAUGCACAUGUUGUUGGAAAGUUCUUUAUUAUAGAGUUUUGCAUGAUAUUAUAGUGCAUGACUACAAUACAUUUCAUAUUCUAAUAUUCUGGUGUGCUUGGACAAAUAUUGUGAAUGGAAUAAAAAAGGAAGAUGGAUUCACCUGGGUUAACCUUCAUUAGGGAUAGGGACAUUUUGAAAAUGAUCAUUUCAUUUUGGCAUCACAGGUGAAACAAGUUUUUUAUUCUAAGGAGAAUGAAACAUCUAAUUGGUAUGUUGUUUUGCAAGCAUCACCAAGAGACUUUCACGCGUUACAUAUGGAAGAAGAUACUUUUUAUGGGUCAACUAUUCCAUUGGAUGUAACAUAACUUGAAGACAAUCAUGGGGAAGAUGAGAAUUUUGCAAGGAUAGAUGUUGAAGGUAUAUUAUGUGAUAUAUAAAUUGAUUUGUUUGGUAAAUGUCUUUAUACAUAUAAUUGUUUAUAUUACAAGUAGUGGAACUUUGAAUCUCAUUCUCUUUCUCUUAUUGUUUGCAGAUUCGUACUCUCUCAAGUAGAUUUUUUUGGAACCAGGUGACAUUAUUAAAUAUACGCAUGAUGGAUAAAGCUAAGGUGAGUGCAUUUCAAUACACUUUUUAAGAUGGUAACUUUCGAAAAUAAUUAAUUUUAUGCCAUGUUUUCAUGAUGUAUUCUUUAAGUCAAAUAAGCAAGUUUUCAAGAGUUCUGAAAGACGAAGCGCUGCCAUUGUUGUUGCAAUUCGGGAGACAAUAAGAAACUACGACCUCCUAGUGAACCUACAUAUACCCUGUCCACUCCAAUCACUAGUGAUCAAAACAUGGCUUUGACAAGUGUAGAUGCUACAAAAAAAAAAAAAAAGAGGUCCAACUCAUUUGAAAAUGGUUGCUAAAAAUAACUAUCAGAAGAUGGAGCUUGAAUUCAGUGAAUUCAGGCAAAUAGUUGGCCGUAACUCUGAUAAAUUUGUCAGCAUAGCUGGAGCCAUAAUACGAGAAUAUGUGCCAGUUGUUAUUAAAAAUUGGCCUUCAAUGGCUGACAAGACAAAAAUUGAACUUUGGAAUUUUAUACAGGUACAUUUAUUUAAUAUGAAAUGUACAUACAUUAUUUGUUAUACAUGUUUUGUUCAAAGCUUCACUGCCAUUUUCGUUCAAAGCUUGACACCAUUUUUUAUAUUUGUGAUAAAUAUAGCAAAGAUUCAAUGUUAGUGACUGCCAUCAAUAAAAGACAUUUCAAUGUAUGGGAACAUAUUGAAGGACAUUCAAAUCGAGAUUGAGAAAAGAAAUCAAACGUCAAGUACCAUCCACCAUGAAUAGAAAACGCGCUAUUGCCCUUCUUAGAGCAAAGAAUAUAAACUCUGAAGAAACAUGGGAAAAGUUUGUAGAAGAUACUCUUUUACUGAUUUUCAAGUAAGUUAUAUUUUCAUAAUGACUUUAAACUUCGUAGUCAAUUAUUGUUGGUUUAUAUUUUUUUCCUUAAUAGGAAAGAAGUACUAAGUUUACCAAAAUGAGAACUAAUCAGAAGCUUCUCCGUACUAUGAGUCAAAAGGGUUAUUCAUGCAUGGCUCACAAUUUGGUACAAUUACUAACUUUUCUUUUAUGAAUCUUUAUUGAUUUUUUAUACGUGUCUAUGAUUGGGAAAAUAUUGUUAUUGUAGAAAAGAAAGAAUCCAAAUAUAAAAGGAUUGAGAACGAAAGUAUGGACUCAUGGACAUCUUCGAAAGGAUGGAAAGCCAAUAAAUGAAGUGGUUGCCGAAACUUUGGUAUGUGUAUUGUAUGUGUGUGUGUGUGUGUGGGGGGGGGGGGUUGUGUGUGUAUCUGCUUCUAGUGUAAUAUGUAAGUUUCAUAAGUGCAAAGGAAGAUAGAAAAUUGUGCCGGGUCAAUUUCUGAUACACCAGCCGAAAAUUCUAUUCGAGAUGAUGUUGUUGCUCGAAUUUUAGGUCCCGAGCGUCAUGGGUGAGUAAGGGGACUUGGACUUGGGGUUACACCAUCAAAAGUAGAUGGAAAUACACAAAGCAGUGAGAAAGUGAGAGAACUUGAGAGCAAAUUACAAACUCAGUCAGUAAGGAUGGAAGCACUCGAAGAAAAGGUUGAAGUACUUUUGAAGUUAUCUCAGGUUAUACUUUUCUAUUACAUAUAAUAUGAUAUCGUGCGUAGCUUAAUAUAUCUUAACAUUUUAAUAAUUUUUAAGUUUUUGUAUUAUUUUAUAGAAUGAAAAUAAGAAUGUGUACUACAUGAGUUCACGUGCUUUUACUCCACAGGUUUUUGUAUCGUAUAUUAUUUAUUAUUUUUUCAAUAUAAAUUCAAAUUAUAUCAUACUAAUUUUAAAAAUAUUUUUAUUUUAUUGCGAAUUUCUAGUCCCAACAAGGAAGUGGUAUGGAAGGAGGUAUUACACCAGUGGAAAAUGCAAAGUGUCAACUAUUGGACAGGUAUAUGUUUGAGGAGGAGGAAAUUGUAGGAGAAGGGAAGAUUGCACCAAUAGACCCAAGUGCAAAGGUGCAUCACAUGCCACUAGGACGAGAUUGUUGGAAAGUUUGGGUUGAGGAGGUAUACAUGAGUCAGUUGCCCUUAUAUAGACCAACAGAUGAAUUUUGAGUUCUUAGUGAAGCCAUGGGAAGUACUAUUGCUUGGCCAAAGAGUUGUGUUAGACUUAUUUGACGAAGUACUUUGUAAAUAUCUACAUUUUUUCAUUCAUACGAAAUUGAUCUUAUUUUUAAAAAUCGAUCAAGUUUUAAUUAUGAGCUUGUAUUCUUGUGUAUGAUUCAAUUUCUGCUUUAAAUAACAUUAAUCUCCUGCUAUAUACGUUGAAUGAGUAUACUUGUGUUUCGAACGGCUUUAAAGGACAUUGUAUUGUUUCUUAAUUGUUUGCCCUUUUUGAUUAAUUUGUUUCUAUAUUCUUUCUUUCUUGCAAUUACAUGGAGCUGAACUGAGUUCUAAAGCAAAGUUCUUUUGUGUGUCUUCUUGGAUCUCGCCUAUGUAAAAGGAAUGGGUUGGGACUCAUUUGAAGCUUUGGUUAUAUUAUUUACACAACAUUUGGACAUUUUCAUAGCUCUUUGGUUAGAUGGUCUGCAUUUUUGAGUUGGAGUAUUUAUUGUGUUUUGAUGAAGUAAUAUUGUACAUGGGAUCACGUUACUUAAAUGAAGUACUUUCAAUUUUUGUUGUCAAGUACUUGUGCGUAUAUAUAUAGUAAAUAGAUUUUGAAUUCAAAGGUUUGCAAUGAAAGAAAAAAUGUGAAAUAAUUGAUAAAAAAAUAAAAAUAAAAAUGGCAUUUGCUGUCAAACCCUCUUUUUGCAACAUUCACUACACCUUGCUGAAACCCUCUUUUUGCAACGUGCAAAGAACGUUGCCAAAAGAGGGCUUUGGCAAUGUUUAUUACACGUUGCAAAAAUAGGGUUUCGACAAUGCGCAAUUAACGUUGCCAAAAUAAGGCUUUGGCAACGUUCAUUGUAUGUUGCAAAAAGAAGGAUUUGGAAACGUUUAUAAAACGUUGCCAAAAGAGGGUUUUGGCAACGUUCAUUACACGUUGCAAAAAAAGGACUUUGGCAAUGUUCAUAGAACGUUGCCAAAAGAGAGCUUUGGCAACGCUCAUUACACAUUGCAAAAAGAGAGCUUUGGCAACGUGCGGUGAACGGUUCAAAAAGAGGCUUCGGCAAUGUUCUUUGGACAUUUCCAAAAUCUCUUUUUGCAACGUGCAAUGAACAUUGCCAAAAACUCUUCACUCUAUAGCAACGUUGAAACCCACAAUAGACGCCCGAACGUUGCGAUAGGUCUACGGCAACGUUUUCUACCCGCUGCAAAAAGUGAUUUUUGGUGUAGUGUCGUAUUGUCCAAUGUGAUUCACAUCAUAAACAUAGUGACACAAAUUUGAAAUGUUAAAAGCAAUUACCUUUUAUAUACAUAUGUUUGUGAUUAUGUUUCUAUAUAUGUAUUGUAUCAAAAGCAAAUUUUUAAAUUUAUAGGACUAUCCAUACAAAAGCUAUAUAAUUGAGUGGCAACAAUAGCAACAUGAUUUUUUGGACUAGGAUAGAAAUGAUUACUUAUACAUUCUCAUCCCUAAAACCAAAAAAAAAAGGGAAGAAAAGAAAAUACACGCAUGCACGCACACGCACAAACAUGCACACAACAAUUAUUUGGUCUUCACAUGAAUUUCAGUCAAACUGACAUUCUGGCUGAAUUUUUAACGUGGGUACAGGAAAUUAAUUAACUAUUUGAAGAUAAAGGCAGCAGAAUGAAGCAACAUUCCAUAAUGAAAAUGUUGUGUGUACAGUGCUGCACAGGUACAUCAUUCUCACAAUCAUAGGACACGUGAUUAUUUUAAUUGCUAGCCCCACCUCUUGUAAGUGAGGGGACUGUUAAUCAUUAUAUUAAAAUUGUUGUACUUGUGUUGAGAAUUAAACCUGUGGCAGUAAAAGAUGUGCUUCCAAAAUUGAAGAAAACGUGUUUUACAAAUAGCAACUCUAUUAGUUGAGGCAAUCAACAAGAUCUUGACAAGUGGCACAAUUAUGGUUGUCCAAUCUUAUGCUAGUGACUUGCAAUAUAUAAAUCUGGAGUGACUCCAUUGACCAGCAGAUUCUGAGAGGAGAAAAAUUCAAAAAUUAUUCUUAUUGUUCAGUCCGACUCACCCCUUUCUCUCUGUACAAGAAUUCCUAAUUUCUUGGGGAUUUAGGGUUCUAAUACUUGAGUAAUUUUAGUGAUUAAAUGCAUAUGUGAUGCUGUGAAUCGAGAGACAAAAUCUAUUAUUGCUGCUGGGAAUGAUUUUCAGAUUUGAGAGACAUUAUUCUUCAUCUUGGAAGCCCGUAUCUGGUCUCUCUUUCUUCCCUACAUGAAAACCAUUAUUCUAGGUGAUAAAUGGGUUUUUAUCUGAAGAAUAUUCUUGGUUUUGGUGAAUGAAUGUUGAGAAAUCUUUUGUAAUGUGAUAGACCCAUAUAGUUGUGGACUGCUCGGUGUUAUCUUUGCAAGAAUCUGUGAGAUUUGCAAGUGAGCAGUGGCGGGUCUUGGAAGAUUUGUGUGAUCUUGGGCUGAUUCCUUAGUGGAUGUUAUUAUGCCUUGUGAUUUCUCUUGAGAUAAGUCUUGGUGACUUUAUAUCUGCUGUACUGCUGAAAUAUUCUUGUAUUUUACUGCCUGAUUUUUGGGGCUUUAUAGUACAAUCGAGCUUUAUCCAUUUUAAUGAAUGCUCAACAGGGGAAUAGGCAUUAGAAGUGGUCGCCGAACCUCUGGGGCUUCGGCCGAAAAAAUUUUGUGUUCAUUUUACAAUUUUUAGCACUUUAUUUUACUGUUUGUUGUCUUUGGUUUAAAUCUUGAUUAAUUCUCGGACGCUUCUCGACUUUCAACUUGUAGCAAGAUUCAUCUAUUAAAGAAAAAGGUCAGGAAAUAAAGAAAUGAAGGUCCCCUUCUAUUUACCUUUAUCUCAACUCCCAAAAAUGAUACAUCUAAAUAAUCAACCAUGUAAGAAAUUUUUAAAUCAAAAGGCCAUAGGAAACUAGAUUAGAUGCCUACUCAUGCACGCAUUGAUCAAAAGUAUGAAUAAACAUAUACACUAAUAAAACCCAAUCGUUCUAGUAAUAAUACAUUUCAGCUCUGAUUCAAUUAAUGUACUUUUUUUUUUUUGUCCCUUCUUGACAUUCCAACGACAUAAACUAUAAAUGAAAUAAAACAGAGACAGUGCAUUCCUAACUAUGUACACAUAGGGGAUCAUAAUUAUCAUUAAAUCGUGGCCAUAUUAAAUUCUGAAAUAUGAAUUCACGAGGAUCAUAAUUUUCUAAACAAUAAGAACUCGUGUUUGGUAACACGUCAAGUUAAAAAAAUUUGGGGAGUUACAUUCUAGGUCAAGCAUCAUGAUAUAUCUAAAACAGCGUACAAAUUCAGGACGAUGAAUUGUUUGAUGUAAAGGUCUUGGAAAAUUAUCUUUAGCAACAAUUCCUAAAGAUAGCAAUACACUUAUCCUAUUAGAAUUAGUGACCAAAAUUUUAUACCUGUAUUCGCUAGUGCAAUAUUUUGAUGGCACACAGGAUGGGUGCAGAAAGUAAUGGGUGAUCUACACUUAAUAUUCCCAUCUUUCUACUGAUUAAACCCUAACUUUAAGUAGGAAACAUUAAACUUUUGCAAUAAAGUUUAGGUUUAGGUUACUAUUGAUCCAUGGUUGCAACUAGAUCGAUUGAGUUAAUAACCAUUCAUUUUUGCGAUAUCAAGGAUAGUAACUCGUGCAUGAGAAAAGAGUUACUUUGAAAUCGCCAUUCAUCCAAAAUUCACUAAUUCAAAAGAAGCACAUUAAUUGAUCCUUCAUUUAUGAUGUUCCAACAAUAUAACAAAAUAAAUAAUCAGGUAUAUCUUGCAAACUUCCUUCAAAGAUUGAAUUGAUGCAGUAUAAGACAUCUAGAACAGUGUACAAUUUCAUCACGAAGACAGAUUUGACAUAAAGGUCUUUGAAAGGUAUGUUUAGCAAACAAGCAAUUCUUAAAGAAACUCAUUUCCUAUAACUAUUAGUGAUCCAAAUUUGACUCUUCCAAUUGUUACGUGUGAUGAUUUUUCAAGAAUCAUUUGCAAACUGAACUACAGAUAGGUUCACUGCCAAAUUGAUGUCAUAGUAUAUGACAUCCUUGUUAGUUCAAGUGAAAAUAUCUCUAAUCAAUAAAGAAACAAGGAAAUAAACUAUAAAAACAUAAAUUCUUGAUUUGGUGGUCGUUUUUGGUAAUCAUAACGUUUUUCAACUGUAAACUUCCUAAAAUAAUAAUAAUAAUUCUAAUUUAAAAUUUUAAAAAAAAUAAUUAUAUGGUACUAACUUCCUCAAUUAAAUUGUUCAUCUUUAAGUGUAUAAUUAAUUGUUCUUUGAGAAUCUACAAAAAAUAGUCCUUCUUGUGUACAAAUUAGCAUGGUAGAAGAAACCCAGGAGAUAUAAAAUUUGAAAUCCGACUAAAUGUUAUCAUAGCAGUUCGCACGUUUAAUGCACACCUAUAAAAUCAAGAUAAGAUUUUAUUUUUUUUAAAGUCCAUCAGGCAUUUAUUCAUACCAACCCUCACUUAAGGCGGAAGAAAACCGUAAUAAAAACCGAUCAGUCAAUAAAAAUAAUGAAUAAUCUCAACUCCUAUCAAUUUAAUCAAACAAUGGAAAAAAGCCUAUCUUUUCUGAUGAAUGUACACUGCACCCAUCUUGUCUAGACGGAUCAAGCCUCGACAAAACCUUGGUAGUUCCAUGCAUGAUAAGAACCAUUCUAUCUUCCCCUUAGCACCUAACUUCGCUAGCUCAUCCGCAACCUGAUUAGCUUCUCUAUACUAAUGCAUCAUGUGAAAAUCAAACUUCUUGAGAAGGACUAUGAGAACUUCCCAAAAAUCCCACAAGUACCAUAACGUACAUUUUCUUGUCAGAAUCCAGGAUACCACUAACAACGAAUCACAUUCAACAUCCACUUGAUAUAAUCCCAAAUCCUGACACAAGGUCAGUCCAUCAGUAAGCACUCCGCCUCAUUGUUAGUGCCAUACUGAAGAAAGAAGAGAAACCUACUAUCAACCUGCCCGUUUCAUCCUUUACAAUCCGACCACCACCAACAAUACCUGGGUUACCUAGACAGUUUCCAUCUACAUUUAGCUUUACUCUGCUCGCCGUCGGUUUAGCCCAUUUAACAAUUCAAAGAGGUCUCUCCUGAUUCACCAUUGGACUGAUAUCAAAGUUUCUAAGAAGUAAUUCUUCUGACCGCGAGAACUCGUUCUUUUUUCAAAUUGGAUGACACAUGUUGCAGCCAGAAUUUUAUCGAACGAAAAAUCUGCUCCACAGUUUCAUGAACACCUUCCAUUCUCGCUUUACAAUGUCUCAUCCAUAGCCUCCACGCUAGUAUAGUUGGAAGUAACCCUUGUAAGUACCCAACUUGUGAUUUUUUACCUGCAAUGGCCCACCAUAAAUUUACUCUAUCAUACCAGUUUUGUUUAGAUCUCCACCGAAUACCCAAAGCCACUGAAACUUUCCUCCAAACUUCAUUUUCCACCUCACCUGUACUAAGAACAUGGUUGGGUGUUUCUUCAUUUCCCGUAAGGCAGCAAUCACAACGAGAAGCUAAGGCUACACCCAUUUGCCGAACUCUACUAUCAACACUUAAAACUUUAGAAAAAGCCUUCCACAUUAUCACUGACAUUCUUUUUGGGAGUGCAGAAUGCCAUACCCAUCUACCCCAAGAGGUUUGGGGCUGUCGAACUCUAAUCAUGUCCCAUGCACUCUUGGAAGAGAAUGUUACUUGACUAUUCAAUUUCCAAAUAAGAACAUCAUCUCCCUCUCUACAUUUACUCACCUUAGCCAUAACACUAGCGGCUUUAUCUUUCCCUACAAGUUGCAGUAAUUGAUUCAUAUUCCAACCACUAUCCAAGCAAAUAUCUUUGAUUCUAAGAGUUGGUUGAUCAAUAUGUGAUGCUUUCCGUGACAAAGGGCCAUCAUCUAACCAAUGAGCAUACCAGAACGAGAUAGAACCCUCCCUAAUCUGCCAUUGACUAUUAUUAAUCACAUCAGGGAUGCAUCCCACAACAGAGCACCAGAAUCGAGAGCAUAUACAACGUAAAUUGGAGACAUCAAUCAAACCAUGCUUCGUAUAUUUUGCUCGAAAAAAAGUUGCCCAUAACCAAUCUGAUGACAGUAAUUUCCAUACAAACUUCAUGUGUAGGGCACGCUGGACAUCUUCAAAUUUCCUAACUCCGAUCCCCCCCAUGACCGGUUUACAAAGUUUAUCCCAAGAACACCAUUUCUUCCUAGUCCUUCCAUUAACCUCACCCCAAAAGAAAGAUGAGAUGAUGGAAUUGAGUCUCUUAAAAAUAGAUUUUGGAACAUUCAACACAGAUAACAAAUGGGUAGCCAUACACGUGAGAACAUGACGAAGUAAGACCAAUCUGUCCCCUAGUGACAGCAAUUGAAGCUUCCAACCUACAAUUUUCUUUCUGAUUUUCUCCACCAAGGGCUCAAGAUGGCAAGUAGUUAAACGACCCUGGACCACUGGAACACCCAAGUAGAUAACUGGAAAUUGACCCUCCUUAAAACUACUCUCCCUUAGUGUUACUCCUUUCCAAGUCACAGAACAAUUUUUUGAGAAAAAAAUAGCACUCUUUUCCUUGUUGAUCUUUUUACCAGACCAGCUCUCAUAUAGACCUAGAACUUCCUGAGCUCUCUGAUAAACCUUUUCCCUCCAUUGGCAAAAAUGAUUAAAUCAUCAGCAUACAACAAAUGAGUUAUCACAGUCAUGCCCCUAGGAUCUGAGAAACACCCAAUCCGUCCUUCCUCAAAACCCCUCUUCAGCAUUCUAGUCAACACCUCUUGCAUGAUAAUAAACAAAUAAGGGGAUAAAUGAUCUCCUUGACGAAGACCACGCGAUGAUUUAAAAAACCUUGCAUGGUUCCAUUCAUCAUCACUGAGAACCAUGGUGUGGAUAUACACCGUUCAAUUAACUUACAAAACCUCGUCGGAAACCCAAAGGAUGAUAAAAUAUGAAGUAACAAAUGCCACUCCACCCUAUCAUAUGCUUUAGCCAUAUCUACUUUAAUCAUCACAUAUCCACCACAAACCUUUUUAUUAAGAGAGUUCACUAAUUCUUAAGUGAGUGUAAUGUUCUCGAAAAUACUUCAACCAGGGAUGAAGGCUCCUUGCUCUUGAGAAAUAAUUCUACAAAGUAUAACACUCAUUCUCUGCACCAAAAUCUUCGAAAAUAUUUUGUACACAACAGAGCAAAGAUUGAUUGGUCGAAACUUAUCAAAACCGCUAGGAUUCUCCACCUUUGGGAUCAACACUAUAUAGGAUGAUGUAUAAAAUCGAGAAAGCACCCCUCUUUCAAAAAACUCCUUUGUUGCCUCCACUAGAUCCCCUUUUAUAAUAUCCCAGCACUUGAUAAAGAAAGCUGAUCCAUAUCCAUCAGGCCCAGGUGUGCUAUCCAUAGGUAUCUAAUGAGUUGUAGUUCGAACCUCCUCUUCAAUCAGCAAAGCACAUAGCAUCUGUCCUUCCUCUUGAGAAACUGCAGACUCAAUGAUAUGAGACAAAUCUGGCACAAUUUCGCUUUCCUUGCUCGCAAGGACAGUCUAAAGAUAUUUCACAGCUUCUGCAUGUAUUUGCUACGGAGUCGACAGAAUAGUGUCGUCUGUAAGCUUUAUCUGAUUUAACUUUGAUUUUCUUCGUUUUUGCAAGACUACAGCAUGAUAAAAUUUAGAAUUGUUAUCACCGUAAGACAACCAUUUCUUUUUUGCCAGUUGGAACAAUCUAAUUUCCUCUCUUCUUUGCCAUUCCUCCAAUUCAAUUUUAGAUAUCAAGUAUUCUUGUUCUACCACAUUAGAAUAUGCAACUUGUAACCUGCUAUCGAGAGCCUCCACAUGUUAUUCUAACUCCAAAAUAACAUUAUCAACUCUCCCAAAAAUCUCUUUAUUCCACACUUUCAAAGCUUUUUUAGUAUCCUUCAGUUUAGCCGCUAAUUUUUCUAAGCCACCCAACAUCAAACCACUAUCUCCCAAUCUCCAUGCUGCCUCCACAAGUGGUAAAAAACCCUCAUGCUCACACCACAUUCGUUGGAACCGAAAUGGAGUCGGGCCAUACAAAGCAUACUUUUUUUGCAAGUUAAUAGUCAUAGGGCGGUGAUCAGCAGAUGUUCCCGACAUGUACUUCAUACUUGCUUCCAGGAAGUCACGUAACACCUCCUCAUUUACCAGUGUUCUGUCCAGCCGCACCCAACUUCUAGUCAAGCCCUCACGUCCAUUGCACCAAGAUAAUUUUCUACCUAGAACUAGCAACUCCAAGAGACCACACUUGUCAAUGCACUCGUUAAAAUCUUCCAUAGCCUAAAGAGGUCUAGGGUGGCCACCCACUCACUCAGAGUCAUUUCUAAUGAUAUUGAAAUCGCCAGAGACCGCCUAAGGAAGGCCACUCACCCUAACAUUCUCCAACUCCUGCCAAAGUAUCCUCCUUUCCAAAGCAUUACAUUUCGCAUAAAUGAACGAUACUAACAUCUUAUAUUCUCCCUUCAUGAAAACUUCAUGUAAAGCUUGAUCCGAGAAAUAAACCUAGUCAACCUUGUAAUCUUCACUCCAAAAAACCCAUAACUUACCUCUUGUUUUCUUAUUUGAUAUAAAGUUUGGCAACUUUAUUUUACAAGCCAAAAGCUUCAUUUUUUCUUCCCCAUGAAAAGGUUCCGCAAUCCCUACACUGCAAGAAAUAUAUAGUUUUCCUACAAAAAUUCCACAGACAAAUUAAAAUUUGUGGGGCGGAGUUCACUUUUCCCUACAAAAGGACAUUUCGUAAGGAUAUGAUUUGAUUCAAAAUUUUUAAUAAUGGAAGGGCUUGUACCCACAAAAAAUUAUAUUUUUUUUAAGACAAUAAAUUUUGAAGGGCAAGAUAUAUCUUUAGCCUACAAAAAAUUUGAUUUAUUUGCAGGCUAAUAAUUAGUGGGAAAUUUUUCCAAUUUAAAACACGCAAAAUUUUUAAAACAUAGAAAACAGCCGCUUUUUCCUCUUUUCCAUCACUGUGCGUGAGAGAACCAUGGAAGAACUGCCGCCUUCUUCCUCAACAAUCGACCACCACCCGCCACCUAGACCACCGGAUCCCACUACCAUUCGAACCCCCUCACCUUCCUCUUCAACCUCUUGUCGUCACCUAACUGUUAUUCCUCUUCCAUUGUUUCUUACUUUCAGAAAUCAAAAGAAUUCUCCAUGGAAGCAAGCCGUUUUAAGCGUUCAUCAUAGCGAGAAGAGGAGGUGGUAAUUUCUCUUGUUUAAAUCUUCUCUUUGUAUGUCAUGAUGUAACUUAUUUGUUGAAUUAUUAUCAUCUUUGCCUUCUACUGCCAAAACCCUCGAGGUUAAAACCGUUCUUCAUUAAUCCUUUUUUUUUUUUCAUUUUUCAAGGGGAAAUUUAAAAAUGACUGUUGAUUCUCGUGAAAUCUUCAAUUUUACAUUUAUGGGAAACUUCAAAGAAAACUUAAUCUAUUUAGAAAUUAGGCGUGGCUGGUUUCAUGAAUCAAGUAGAUGAUGAUUAAAAUUUUACAUUAAUUUAGAAGUUAAAAAAUUAUUGGAAAGAUGUUAGGUCUUCAUUUUACAUUAAAAAAAAAAAAGGAAUCCCAUGUUAUUUUCGUGAAUUAAUAGUGAAUCCAUUUAAAUCUGGACAGAAUGAUGAAUGGAAGAUUACAAAAAUUUCUCCACAUUCUUCUUUGUAUGCUGAUUGUGAUAAGAACAUAAGGAUUUUUGGUUGAUAUUACUUAUGUUCAAAGUGUUGUGGCAAAAGGAGCAGGUAAAACAUUAAGGGUCAACAUUUAGAACAAAAUAUUUUUCUGCUUUGUGCUCGCAGUUUGUUUAGACGGUAGUAGUUUGUUUAGACGGUAGUCCACCAGCAUAUCAUUUUGAUAGGGGAUCUGGUGCAGGAAUUAAUAUAUAUAUAUAUAUAUAUAUAUGGCGGAAGAAUGGAUCAUUGAAAGAUUGUACUUUAGAUCAUCCUAGGAAAUAAGAGUAGUUGCCUGAUUAUUUUUUUUAGGAGAAUAUAAUUCAUACAAUAGGAAAAGAUGUAGUGACUAUGUUUGAAACAUAGUAAAAAUGAUGAUGUUGAGAUCAACAAACAUCACAAUGGAAUUGAUUAAAUUAUAUAGAAUGAAACUUAUCUUCUUCUUGUUGCAUUUUUGGCAAUCAAACAGAGUAUUUCUCUUUUGAUUUUGCCAUCCAGGUACCAGAGAUAUAUUUGGCCAAAUACUUGAAGAAGGAAUGAAGAAUGUUGAAAAUGUAUGAUUUUCUCUCAUGUUUUUUCCUCCAACUUAAAAUGUAAUCUUACUUGCUAUUGUUAACUUGAGUUUUCUUAUGUAGGCCAUUCUGUCUGGAUGUUCAGCCGGUGGAUUGGCAUCGAUUUUGCAUUGUGAUAACUUCAAAGCUCUUGUUCCCAUGGUUGCUAAAGUAAAGUAUUUUGCUGAUGCAUGGUAUUUUAUUAACGCGUAAGAUUUUUUAUGAAGGGCAUGGUACCCAGACAAAAUAAUUUGAUAUGUACAAGAAUCACGUUCUUUUGUUUCAUGUGGAUCCAACAUCUUUCUUUUUAUCCUCUAUAACAGGAAGGAUAUCUCUGGAGCACCACAUAUAGAGGAUUUCUAUUAUGAUGUUGUCAAGACACACAGUGAACCAAUCACAGAGCCAGUGGGUGCAGGCAUUCCUACAAACCCCCCAUUUACGAUAUUAAUGUACCAGACUAGAUCAAAUUGGCAUUUAUAAAGGUACAUGGUUGAUUAUGGUGAAGUUCUGUUCUUGGUAAACUAUUAUUCCAGCAAUAUAUGUCUAUUUUAAGUUGUCGAACUAAAUCUUAUGCUCAACAAAGAAAGGUAAAGAUGGAUUGAAGUAAUUUCAUCUUUGUUUCUUUAGUUCCCAGGAGCAGCCUUUGAAUUGAUAACUAUGACUAUAAUAUCUUAUAACGGCAUGACAUUUUAAUUUUAAAACGUAUUUUUUUGAUCCCUUAACAACUCUAAGAGUGAUUAAAAUAGUGUGAAAAUGCUGAGUCUUCUCUCUUAUUAUCUAUAUUCUGUUAUAGAAUGUUAAGAAGACUUCCUUCUUAUAUAGGUUUAUUGGAAAACUGCAGCAAGACAUUCCUGGUGAACUGGUCAAUAAAUAGUUAGAGGGGCUAUGUGUUAUCUAUUACUUAAUCCACCUUCACAAGCAUCAGGGUGAUUUCAUUGCUACAAGCUGCAUAACUCAAAAGCAGGCUAGCUAAUGAUCAAUUCAGAGUCUUGUAUUCUUUUACUCUAUUUUCUUUGAAUCACUAGUUAAUUCUUUUUUUACUCUUUUAUUAGAUGCCUGUAAAUUGAAAAUUGUCUAAUUUGGAUUUGGAUGAACUAUAAAUUUUGUUAUAUUUUUGUUUUGGUAAAAUAUUUUGGAUUCAAUACUACAUUGAUUGAUACAUGUUUAAUAAUUUAUAGUCUUUGGCCUUUUUAUAUUAUUUUGAAUAAGGUUAAAAAAAUUACUACAAUAUAUUAUUAUUAUUAUUAUUAUUAUUAUUAUUAUUAUUAUUAUUAUUAUUAUUAUUAUUAUUAUUAUUAUGAAAUAAUUUAAUUUCUUCCUACAAAUUCUUUCAAAAUAACAUACAAAUAUAUUUUCCCCACAAAUUUUUUUUGUAAAUAGGGUUUAACCCACAAAAUAAUACGUACCAUGUUGUCAUAAAUAUUUUUUCCCACAAUUUAUUUGUAGAAAAAAACACAAUGUAGGGAAAAGCGUGAUUGUUUUGUGGGUAAAAUUAACUUUAGCAGACGAAUGAUUUUGUUGGGGAAAAACUUACACGACGAAUUGUGUUUGUCUCCAAAGGGUUCGUAGGGAAAAACCUUAGCCCACAAAUUUAAAAAAAUUAUCGUCUUAUACCUUUUCCCUCAAUGUUUGCCCCACAAAUAUGCCUACAAACAUUUUUCGUAUGCAAAAAUUUUUUCCUACAAAUAUGAACCUUUCUCUACAAGUAAAAUUUGUAGGGAAAGCAUCAAUUUCUUGUAGUGCUAGUAUUUCUACAUUGAAUUUCCUCACUAACUUUUCCAUCCUUCCUUUUGAUGUGCCCACCCCUCGUACGUUCCACAUUAAUAGUUGAUCAAUCAUAAGUCAAGUUUAGUAGGGCGUGCUCGCGCCCUCUGUGAUGCUCUAGUAACCUGGGGAAUAGUCUUCUAUACUUCAGUAUAUUGUUUAUGGACGUCUAAAUUAGACCAAUAGUCUGGGUCUUUCUUCCCUUCGCAUCCCCUUAUUUCCUUUUCACAAUUAGACUCAUGAUGGAUAGGACGCUGUUGUUGUUCUUCUCCACCAUCUUGCACAUUCACAUCAUCACCAUCAAUAGGAUACCUCUCAUUCCCUACUGGUAUCUGGUCAUUUACGGCCUCCAAAUCUUCAUCAACCACUUUGAAAAAGUCCUUCACAAUGUCAAUGCUGGACGAAGCUUCCUUCCCUGCACCUAUAUCAACAUGUGUUGAAUCAUCUUUCAUAGUCAAAUCCUCACUUAAUUCAUCCUCCAAUAGUUCAAGCUCCCUCUCUGCAAUUUGAGUUUUCCCUACCCUAGUCGAACCACUAUCUCAUGUAUUCACCAAGGGGUCAACCUCCUUAAACCUCACCAUAGCAUCACACAAACUCUCACUCUCCUUGACAAAUUUACCUACCCCCACCGACGAUUCCCCCUUCUUAAUUCGAGUAAUCUCCAGUUGCCCAACUAUUUCAUCCACCUUAUCUUUAUUUUUCGCCAUAUCCUGCCCUUCUUUCUUGCACCAUUCCUGUCUCUCCAUCACUUUUUGAGGGAGCACACGGCUCUGUCCAACCCGACACAUAGAUUCAGGAUGACCUUGCCGACCACAUUUGAUACAAUAGAAACAUGGCUUCUCAUACUGAACCUCUUGCCAAAAUGUCUUCGAUGAAGUAACAAUAGGAAAACUACUGACUGGUUCUGCAAGGAAAUCCACUUCAAUACACAUUCUAGCCCAUGUGGCCCGAGACCAAUUCAAUGUUGCAUGGUUAGUCCCCAAGUAUCUUCCAAAUCGAGUCGCCAAAAUUCUUAAGCAAUCUAGACUAUACAUAUGCAUCGACAAACCCGGUAAAAAGAUCCACUGUGCAACAAUAGAAGAUUCUCUAUUAAGAUCAAACUCGACCGACCAUUUCAAGAGACGAAAUGUCGCCCCAGCCAACGAUCGAUCCUCUCUUGUCCACACAUGCAAGUAAUCUGCCUCGUUCUUCAAUUGAAUCAGCACAUGUGAGGCAUCCAUGUAGCUAAUUACUGGAAUCACUUGAAGGCCCCAAGUUUUAUUAACUGUCCGUUGAACCACAUCAAUAUUUGGCCUCACCGUAAGGAAUUUCAUCACCAAAGCAAACCGUAAGUCCUCAGAUAGGGUCUUCUCUUCCACAUUUGUAAAAAUAAACCCAAGCUCACUGUUAAUCAAUUUUGGACCUCACAUUGUGAUGGCCAUAUCCAUUUUUAUCACCGUCUGAUUAAUCCCAGUUUUCUCGCGCGGCUUGACAACCUCCGAAUACAAUCUGUUGUGUUGCACUCCAACCGGAAACCCACCUAUUGUGGCUCCACCCUGAUGCUCACCGGAAAGCCCUGCCAGAGCUGGUUGCACUGGCAAGACGGUAGUCAUGGUAAUCCCGUCUGCAGAUGAGAUUCAGCCUCGAGCCCUAAUGGUUUUUUGUGAAAUCACCCAAUUCGCCCAAAUUGCUUUUCUCUCUCCUCUGCGUUUUUAAAAGAGACUUAUUUUUUCCUAAUUCAAUAUAAGAUGUUAGUUUGAAUUUGGAGAGAACCCUUAGAACUAUUUUCAAAUAAUUUGCAUUCAAUCUCAAGUUUUUCAUCAACUGAAACUCUAGGUUUCCAAGUGCACUAACGUGGUAACAGUGCAACCACAUUCUCUUUUCUCAAACAGUCCAUGAAAACUAGCAGAUUCCUUGUCAGUGAACAUACCUGCAACCUUUCUCUUUCAAAUCCAAUCAUUUUCCUACAUUGCAAAAACAGUUUUAUUAGUAUACGUAGAAGAUUUUAAAUGUUUAAAAAGAAAAAUAGUUAUAUUCAAUAAGACAUCAUUGAAUUCCAACUCAUUUUACAAACCUUAAAUAAAAUAAUUGUUUAGAUGCUAAGAUUUUUUUAAAACGCAAAUAUAUUUGACUAAUCAUAUGCUAUUACAGUAUAAAUAAUGAAAUCUUCCUACUUUGUGUUUGUCUAAUAAUUUGAUGACAACCAGUACUAUUCUGAACCUAUUUAUAUACCUACAACGUCGAACAGUUAACUCUCGUAUUUUGGAAUGUAUAUCAUCACUCAUCGACGACAGUAACCCAAAAAAAUUGCAUUAGAUUUUUCUCAUUUUUGACAUUCGUACGACAUAAAUCGAUAAAUAAAUCACAAGAUUCAACGCUAAUUCAAACAGUGCACAUUUAUUUAUUUUUCCUUUUUGGCAUUACAUUGGCACAGAAGAAUAAACGAAAUAAUAUCAUUAAGCACUAAUUCAUGCAUUUCUAUUAAUUUAUAUUUCCAUUUCAACUGACUUAAUUAAGUCAAUUCAAGCAAUAUCACAUAUGGGAAUAACAAACAGAAAUUAUUUGACGCAAGGAAACAUGUCCUUGAUUUCCAUUAACGCUAUUUCACAACUUUUCUCCUAAUAAGUUCCCGUAACCCCCUUAAUUAAUUCACGCAUGCCAAGUUUUAUUUCACAUAAUAGACAACAAAUAUAAUUUGGGUUCCACCAAUACAAUUUAACACAAAACUGAAAUCAUGUUUCAAAAUCCUAUGAAACCUGACGAGGUGGUAACAAUUUGUACAUUAAUUUUUUUAAUUAACACCAUAGUUCUUUUCAAUCAUAAUACAUUGAAUUCCACACAGACCUUGCAAAAAAAAAAAAAAAGAAUUUCUGAGAUUCUAAGUUUUUUAUUGGGACAAAGAUAUUAUUGAAGAAUCAUAUGCUUUCACCAUAUAUAUAAAAGAGAUGCACAUAAAACCUACUAUGAAUUCUUUUCAAUGAUUUUACUUUGUAUUUGUCUCUAGUAUUUUGAUGACAAACAUGGAUAUUAGGCCAUCUCUAGCACUGCACCAAAUUUUGCACCAAAUUUUGUACCAAAUUUUGCACCAAACCAAAAUUCUUCUACAACCAUUAUACCAAAACUUACACCAAAUGAACAGUGCUUUAUUAUUUUAUUUAUUCUUUCGAUUUUUCUCAAUGUAUUUAUUUUAAAAAAUUAUUUAUUUAUUUUAUAACUAUAUAUAAAUUAUUAAAUCAUAACUUCAUUAAAUUGACAAAUAUAUUGAUUACUAAAUUAUUCACAUGUUUUAUAUAUUAUGUUAAAUUGAUAAAAAUAAUUGAUUAUAUUAUUAAUUUAUGAUAAACAAUUACGUUAAAUUUACAAAAAUAAUAAACUUUACGUUAAAUUAACAAUUACGUUAAUUAUCAUUGAUUAUAUUAUUAAAAAUAAUAAACUUUAAUAAUAUAAUUAAUAGUGUAAUUUUUUAUUAUUAUUAUUAUUAUUAUUAUUAUUAUUAUUAUUAUUAUAGAACGAAAAUGACAUAAAUAUCCUUAACCAUUAUCUUUAAAAAAUGAAAAAGGGCAAAAUGGACAUUGCACCAUUUGGUGCAAAAAAAUGGUGUAAUGAAUAGUGCUGCACCAAAUAUGGUCCAGCACUAUUCACUUUGCACCAUUUUGCACCAAAAUGGUGCAAAGUUUGGUAUUGCAUUGGACCAACUUUACACCAAAAAAUGGUGCAACGGUACAACCAUUGGAGAUGUCCUUAGAAUCCCAAUGUUGAGUAGUCAACACUCAUCUUAUGCAAUGUACAUCAUCACUCAUCGAGAACACUAAAUCGUAAAAUUUACAUUAAUUUUUCUCCUUUCGGUAUUCCAAAGACGUAAAAAGGAAUAAACAAAAUAAUAUGAUUCAACGCUAAUUCAAAGUUCAAACAAUGUACAUUUAUUUAUUUUCCUUUUUGGCAUUCCAAUGGCAUGAAAGAAUAAAUGAAAUAAUAUUUAUGAAUCAGCACUAAUUUAAACAAUGUUUAUCAGAUUAUUCCCAUUUUAAAUUGGAACAGCAUAAAAUUAAAAUGAAUCAUCCGAUUCAGCUCUAAUUCGAACAAUUUACAUUAUCCAUUUUUUGUUUGAACAUGUAAGUGAAAUAAUUUGGAACUGAGCAUUCUUAAAGGAUAUGCAAGUCAACCUAAAACCCAACUAUAUAGGGAAUUGGUCUUCAAAAAGAUUGAACUUUUCAAGGAAUUCUAAGUUAAUGAAAUCAUUAAAUAAUAUUAACUUCAUCAAUUAAAUAGAUCCUCUAAUAAGUUUACAAGAAAUUGUAAUUUGUAAAUCAAUUAUAAAAAAUAGUCAGCUGUGAACCAAAUAUCAAGGAAGAAAAAUAAGUAGAUCUAAAACUACGAAAUCCGAUGGAAGGGAAUUAUAGAAAUUUGCACAUUCAAUGCACACUUAUAAUAAGAAAAUAAGCAAGUUAAUUUGAAUUUUAGAGAGAACCUUUGGAGCACAAAUUCGAACAAUGUACAUUUAUUUUCCAUUUCGGCAUUCCAAUUGCAUAAAAAGAUAAAAGAAAUAAUAUGAUUCACUAGUAAUUCAAAAAAAUAUAUAUUAAUUUAUUUUUUCAUUUCAGAAUUGCAACAGCAUAAAAUUAUAAUGAAUAAUAAUCUUCAAAAUAAAUUAUUGUUUAUUAAGUUUAUAACUAAAAGAAAUUAUUACAAAAUAUCGACUUUAAAAAUUAAAAGUAAUUCUGAUUUCUGAAUCAAUAAAAAUAGGCAUUAGCUAAGUACAAAAUAUCAAGGGAGAAAAUCAAAGAGAUGUAAAACAAUGAAAUGUGAUUCCACACUAAUUUUUAAUAUUAGGACCCCAUUUAUGUACAGUCAACUCUUGUGUUAUGGAAUGUACAUAAUCACUCAUCAACAACACUAACUCAAAAAUCUUACAAUUUUUUAUUUAUUUUUUUGGGUCCUUUUCGGCAUUUCCGAAGACAUAAAACAGUUAAUUUUAAUAAUAUGAUUCCACACUAAUUCAAACAGUUCACAUUUACUUGUUUUCCUUUUUGGCAUUUCAAUAGCAUGAGAAGAUAAAAGAAAUAAUAUGAUUCAAAAUAAUAUUAAUUUAAAAAAAUUACAACAGCAUUAAAUUAUAUGUGAAUAGUACAAUUCAGCUCUGAUUCAAUUAAUAUACAUUUUUAAUUUUCCUUCUUUGUAUUCCAACGACAUAAAACUAUAAGGCCCUAUUUGAUUGCCUACCAUUUUCCAUGAAAAUAAUCAAGAUUUUUCAACUUUUGUGGUGUUUGGUAGGGAAAUUUUUCCAUGGAAAAUAUUUUCCACUUUCCUUGGUUACGUAGAUAAUUUCCAACUUUUUUAUGAAUUUGUAUUCUCGCCAAAAUGGUGAGAAUUCAUUUUCGAUCAUACUGUAGCGAUUUUUUUUCCUCUUUUUUUUUUUCUUUUUUUUUUUUUGAAAUGAAAAUAAAUUUUAAGAAUUAUCGUAAAAAAAUAUUUCUCUUUAAUUGACAAUUUCUAUAUAAAAUAAAGUCAAACGAAUACCAAAAGAUAGAUGAUUUUCUUGAUUUUUUUUUUUUGUUGGUAAUGGAAACAAAUUUUAUCCCCAAUACCAGUAAAUUCAAUCCCUUUAAUUAAUAAUUUUCAUGUAAAACAAAAUCAAACGAACACCAAAAAAUACUUUUAUUUCAACAUUUUCCACAUGAAAAAUUAUACCAAUCAAAUACAAUAAAUUGAUAAUUUCCAGGAAAAUAAUUUCUAGACAAUUUAAUUCCCCGAAAUUCGUUUUCUUUCCACCCAAAUUCCACAUUUGAAAUCAAACAUACCCUAAAUGAAAUAAUAUAGACACGUUGCAUUCCUAACUAUGUACACAUUAGGGCCAUAGUAAAUUUUAAAAUAUGUAUUCAUUGGGAUCAUAAUUUUCGAAACAAUAAGGAUAUGCAAGUCAAUAUGAAUCCCAACUCCAUAUAGAAUAGAUUUUUUAGGAAAGAUUGAACUUUUGCAAUAAAUUUUGGUUAAGAGUUUCCACUGACUUAUUGCUGCUACUAGAGUGAUUGGGUUCUUCUGGUGAAUGGGUUUCUUAACCAUAUAAAUCAAUGUGUACCAGAAUAGUGCGCACUAGUAGGUGUAAAUAUUGUGUCGUAUGACCGUUUGAUUUGAUAACUAUUAGCAACAACAAUUGUGAGAAUCAUUGGAGAAAUAAGGAGACACGUGAGAGUCAGUGGAGGAAUAAGGAGACACAUGAUUCUUGGAGAAAAAAGGGUGAAGACUCUCACAAUCUAACCUCAAUUAGUGGAGAGACGUUGAGUGAUCUUGGAGCUCUAACUGUAACUAGUUCAAACCGGGAUGAUGAUCCAAUCGAGCCUGUAUUCUCUGAAAGUUCAAAUUUGCAUGGUAGUUCAACAAACUCCAAAUAUUUAGGGAACCUCUGCUAUCAAACCUCUCCAGUUAUCAAGAUGUCAACGCAACAAGUGGAGAGCAAAUCGGAUUGUUAAACCACAACCCGAUUUUUUGGGAUUUCUAUUUUAUUUGAAUUCUGUAAUCUCUGUAUUUUUUUCAUUUUAAAUACCUCACUUGUAUAGCCAAAGUGUUCACAUUACAAUCUGAGUACCACUUUUCAUUCAAAACAAAUUAUUCCAUCAGCUCAAUUUUUUCAUUAUGGUAUCAGAGCCAUUGUGAACACUAAGCAACCCAUCACAGAUCAAUUACUGUAUUCUCUUUCACCAUGACUACUCUGUCACUCAAUGUUGGCAACUUUAUCACCCUUUGACUCACCCCAAACAAUGAUCCCUUGUGGCGUGAGCAAGAAUUGGCUCUUACUGAGAGUCAAGAGAUGGUCGAGCAUCUAACAAACGAAGAUCUCGCUCCGACCAAAUACACCAUUCCCACAAAUGCUGAAAUUCAACACCACAAUUAACAGACGCUUUCGUAGCAUGGCAAAAUUCAGAUCAUCUUCUUCGAGGGUGGUGUUGGGAAUCUACUUAUACAUGCACAGUGGAAAAUUAAAAUUAUUUCGAUUUCCACCGAGGAUCCCUUUGUAUUUAGAUAAAAAUCGUGAUAAAGAUUGUACCUUUGAAGAAUUUUGCAAACCUUUUACUUUUCUUUUCGUUCCAGUAAUCUUGAUUCGCCAUCCACAGCUGUCCAAUUGUCCAACCUCCAACAGUGAUCCACACAGAGAACAAGAUUGCAGUUACCAGGGUUUUCCUUUUAUGCCAGCAAGAAUAAUAAGAACCAUAUGGACCUCAAACCCUAGCCAUAUAUUUAUAUAAACCCAAACGGGCUUGGCCCAGUUCGGUCCAAUAUUUAAUUAAUCUAUUUAAUUAAAUUCGGUCCGUAAAUUAAUUAAUCAAAUUAAUUAAUUCGGGAAUAUAAAUAACAAAUCCAAUUAAUUAAUUUAUCCAACGAUUGUUCAAUUAACCAAUUGGCAAUUUGCAAUUUUCCAAUUCUCUUUUGUGUCCUACCAAUUAGGUUCCCGACCAUGAUGUCUAAAGACGUGAAAUAUUAUUUUGAUCUAAUCAAAAUUGAUAAAUUAAAACACCCUUUUAAUUUAUCGUCAAUUCACACUCGCCGUCCCUAAUUGACAUUUAGUAAUGUGUCAGGGCAAUACAUGUGACGGGAAAUGUCACGUGGUAUGACAAAACCAAACUCGUUCGUUUACCUUGAAACUAUAAUCCCUUCGUCAAUAUGAUCCGAUCAAUUAAGAGAUAUGGAAUUGUGUCAAUCCAUAAUUUCGAUCAUAUCUUUCACUCCACUAUUAAGUCAAUAUAAGUCGAAAACUCCUUUUCGACUUAUGAGUACAUCUUGGCCAAGUAUUUCGUUAUCGACUUAAUUGAAUGAAAUGCAGAUCAUAAUCUCCUACUAUCUAAGAGUGACGAAUUCUUUAUUGGUCAAUCACAACCUUCAUACGAUUCUUGACGUACCCGAACGAUGUCAUAUUAGCGGCCCUUUGCAGAGCAACAUCCAAUACCGUCAAAGUAUGACUGUCCUCAUAUAAGGUACCAUGACGACCUCAAGUCUAAGGACCAAUUCCACUACCGAACGUUAGAGAUUACCUACUGACACUCAGAUAGUUAUCCAUGUGGAAUCUCUUGGCGGGUCUCCAAUGUUUUGUUCUAUAAUAAAACAUCCACGUGUCAUUUAAGUGUCACCGUACUUUAGCUUGUAAGAUCAGCUACUUACUUUACAAGUAAGAAAUGCCACACGUGAUGGUCUAUCUGUAAUACUGAUAUCCGCAUCUCGUUAUCACUUACAACCACAGACGAUUUAAGAUUCAAUCAGAUGUAAUUUGUAUCUCAGAAUCACAACGCCUUGUGAUUAACAAAUUACGAAGAUUUGAAUCUACGGACUCUAUUAUUCAUUUAAUUAUCUAUUAAUUAAAUAAUAGAUCUGUCAUUUAAUUGCAUUAAUUAUAUAUAAAAAUAUUUAUGUCCAAAGUUGAUUGGACCUAGGGCAUAAUACUUACAGGUGGAUCAUUGGAACACUGUCUGAAGAAACUCUCGGACUCAUCGUUGAUCUCACACAGAUCAUGGAGUAUGGGAGGCCCUCAAGAAUGCAUAUGCACAUGACUCACGAGAAUGUGAGCUUACACUACGACAACAAGUGACCUAUCUUCAAAAGGAAGACAAUACUAUUGACAUGGUUGACUUCGGUCUAUGUUUUAAUUAUAACAAACAAGAUUUAAUUUUGGUUCUAACAAACCUACUUUUGAAUCAUGAUAGUUGAAAUCAAAUUGACCAUCGCAUCAAAAUGAAGAUUCAUGGAUAGGACAAGAUAAAUGCACUCAUGAAGAACGAAACGAAUGCCAAUGUCAAGACGAAUCAAGAUCGAAGUCAUAAACCUUGAUGAUCAAUCAUAUUGAAGAAAAUUAUAUUAGAACUCUUGAAGUUAUAUGUAAAGGUAUAACAUUUUAAUAUUUAGCAAAGAAGUCUCAGGAGCUCAAAAUAAAAUCAUUCAAGGCAAAAUUUAUUUUUGAGAAUUGAGCUAUCGGACGAUCCGAUAAAGGUCUUUGCCCACGGUCAAAAUUUUUAACGUUCUGACACCUAACUCACCAACGGCUAGUAGUCUUAUCCGGUACGUACCGGAUGGUCCGGUACACUUGUCCGGUAGGGCAGACUCUUGACCGUUAGGAAGAUCUUUGAGAGCUAUAAAUAUCACUCUCUUCACUAUAUAUAUAACUGUUUAUGAGCAUUAAGUGAAGUAUUUUAUUGAUUCUCUCAACCUUAUUUUUCACUCUUUUAAAGAUCAAAUCAUUCAUUUAUUGAAAAACUUUUUGAGUGAUCAAAAGUUGAAAAAUCAUUUUAUCUCAACUAAAGUUUUUCAAUCAAAACACUUGAGCUACCUUCUUUGCUAUCAAUUAAAGUGUUUACCUACUUCUCUCUUAUAUUCAAACUAAGUCUAUAUCAUUUAUUAAGAGAGAAGUUUUUCACUUGUAAUUUCAAUUCUCUUAUUUUUGGAUUGUGGGUCGUGUUGAGGUCCAGGAAAUUUCAAUGGUGUAAAAGGAUCGGUGCUCCUUGAUUGUAAGUCACCAGAAGCUUUGUAAAGGUUGGAUUGCAUCAUAAGUCAAUCAAAUAUAGCGGAAAAGGCCUUGCUCGUUACGAAGAGCUUGGUAACAGGGGACGUAGAUCGUUGAUUGGAUCGAACCUCCUUAUUACAUCAUUUGCUCUCUCUCUUCCCUUCCUCUUAUUAUUUUUGUGAUAUCUUGCUUACCUAUUAUUUUAAUUGUUAUUUGCUUAAAUUCGAACUUAUUUUCGAAAAAGUUUCAAAUAACCAAUUCACGCCCCCCUCUUGGUUAGUUGUUCUUGGGCUAUCAAACACAACAAUCACAGAACAUAUUCUCACCUUCAAAGGUCUCUAUGUCAAUUUAUCAGACAUUGGGAAGGCUAUACCAGACCAAGAAAAAGUCUUCUGUCUUCUGACCAGCCUUGCUCCUCAUUAUGAAACAUUUACAACAACCAUGUUGAAGCUUCCAAGCCAUCAUACUCUGAGUUGGUCUCCCAACUCCAAAACUUUGAUCAAAGGCGCAACUGGGUCUCUAACCACACAGAUGUCCCAGCUUAUUCUCUCACUCAUUAGAUGGCCUUUUUUGGACAGCAACAACAACGCUCACAGUUAAAUUCUUUAGGCUAUCAUAGAUCUUCACAAAAGUUCACCUCUAAUGGUUGAGGCUUCCAAGCUCAACAGCAAAGCGACUCUCUUUCAGCAAACUCACAACGUCAUCCUCCACCACCUGGUGAGCAUCGCAUGACACCUGCAGAGAGGGACAAAUAUCAUGAACAACAAUGCCAGUAUUGUGGUAUGAUGGCCACAUUGUUAAGAUAUGUUGGUAGGUGCCAAAGAAACCCAUUCAACAAGAUGAGAUUCCACAAGCACUCUCAGCGCUCACACUGGACACCACCAUUGUUGGCACCGAAUGGACAACAGAUGGAGCUUCCAACCAUAUAACAGGUAAGCUAGGUAUGUUAACUAAUAUUUGUAAAUAAUCUAGUAUUGACUCUGUGCUAAGUGGAAAUGGGUCUUCCAUGCCAAUUCUUGCAAUUGGUGAUUCUUGUAUAAAACAAAAGGCAUCUACCUUGCCCCUCAACAAUGUUCAGUUGGUUUCGAACCUAACAAAAAAUUUACUUUCAGUAAGCCAGUUAACUAAACAAUUUCCUGUUAAUUGUGAAUUUUCUAAUGUUGAUCUUUGUGUUAAGUAACGAGAAAUAGGACAGGCGAUGAUAAAAGGGAAACACAAAGGUGAUCUCUAUGUUCUACCCACUUCUCCAAAAUUGUAUUUCUCCCAUCGGUUCAAAUUAGGCACUGCAAACGUUGGACAUCAACGCCUAGGCCAUCCUCAAUCUUCAACUUUAUAGUUGCUAAAAAAUAAGGGACUUAUUGAAGUCAUAUGGAAAAUAAAAUCUCAACAUCUUUGUGAUAGUUGUCAAGUAGGAAGACUUAGUCAUUUCCCUUUCUCCUGUUCGGAACAUUCAAGUACUAGAGUCUUUGAAAAAAAUUCAUUGUAAUUUGUGGGGACCUACUCCCGUUUUAUCUACUGCAAAAUAUAAAUAUUAUGCUUGUUUGAUUGAUGAUUUUUCUAAGUAUACGUGGAUUAUUCCUUUGCACAACAAAUCUGAUUUAUUUAAUGCUUACUUAGCUUUUGAAAAAUAUGUUGCAAGACAAUUUAACAAGCAAAUUAAAAAAUUUCAUUCAGACAGAGGUGUUGAAUUCAUCAAUUCAAAACUUUUGACCCAUUUUUUGUCUACAGGGAUUGUUCAUCAGGUAUUAUCCCCAUAUACCCCUGAUGAGUGUAAUUCACUCAUUAAACUAACAUCUCUAAAUCACGGGUUUUAGCUUGUUCUUGAGCACUUUUGAACAUUUUGAUAUGUGUGUUCGUGUUGUUUUGUAGCUCAAUCAGCAUUCGAGGAAACGUUGGAGCUUGUGAUGAAUCUAAAAUGGCGAUCAUAAAAUGGGGGCAUGAAUUGGAGAUAAUAAAAAAAGAUUGCAAUGGAAAAGAAGCUUAGGAGAUGAUCGAUUCAAGCGAGGAGCAGUUUGUUAGGCACCAUGGCAUCUAAAUUGGGCGCCACUACACCCAACAAAAAGAGAAUUUCCAGAAGUGAUAUGGGCGCCAUGGUGCGGCGCCAGCACACAUUCGCGGCACCAUGGCACCAGAUAUGGGCGCCACGGCACUGGAUCUCACAACACAGAAGAGUCCAAAUUUUUUGAUAUUUCUCGACCCAAGAUAUUCCUUAACGAUCCAAAACUCAGAGAUAAUAUAAUAUCAAAAUGAAAACCUAAUUGGAGACGAUUUUCUGGGAUUUUCUCUGGGCGAAAAAUGGAUGUGAAGAUCCAUUCAAGAGACAAAGAGGAGAAAUUGAAUUGCAUCAAGAUUGACGGAAGAACAAGCGGCUUAAAUCAAUUUUUCUGAACCCUUAUUUAUUCUUUCCCAUGUUCUUUAUCUUGUAUUUUGGCUUGUCGAUCGAUUCAAGCAUGAACUAAAUUUGUAGAUCUAGGGUUAAUGUAACCUAUUUGAGACAUGAUUUGAUUCUAAUAUAGUUAUUUCUUUUAGUUUUCCAGAAUUUAUUUGUGUUGUUUUAUGCUUAAUGCUUUCAAUUGCCUGACACCAUUUGAAUGAACCGAUGUUUUAAAUUUUGACGCUCGAGAGAGGGAAAUUUAGACAUGAUCUGGAACAACAUAACCUAGAUUUGUAGGUUUCAAGAAAAAGUGUAAAUCUUUGAGUGGUAAAAUAAGAACCAAGAGUUUUAAUAAUCUUUAUAUGUUUAAUUUGGAAUAUAGAUAUUGGUGUUAAAAUAUAAAGAUAGGUUCUUUUGGUGCUCGAGAGAGGAAACAAAAUUAAAUUAGGGUUCUUGCCUAUAAAUUGGGAAAAAUUCGAUGGAAAUGGCUAUAGAAGUUGAGAACAUGUUGAUAAUUUGGUGAAAUCAAUCCUUGGAUAUCCAUAAUUUGAUUUGAUUUUUAGAAAUUGCCUCACUUUAAUUGCAUUCUUUAUUCCAUUUAAACUAGGUUAGCAUAAAAACAUCAUUUAAAAAUUGGGUUUGUCUAAAUAAAGUAAAAAUCGAAACAAUUAUAGUACUCAGUGGAAUUUGAAUAUCAAUUCCUGUGGGUUUGACACUUUUAAAUUCUUUACUAUAUUACAAAACUUGACACCGUACACUUGUGAUUAAAUCAUAUUAUAUAAUCGCGUGGCAAGUUUUUGGCACCAUUGUUGGGGAUUGAUUCAUUCGAAUUCAAUUGAUAUUAUUACUAGUCAGCUUUCAUUUUAAUUUAGAUUUUUAUUUUUAUCGUAAUUUUUAUUUUUUUUCAUUUGGUGUCUAUCUCUAAUAGAUUCCUCGUGUUUAUUUUCAGCUGUUUAUGCGAAGGGCGAGAAACCUGGACCUACUACCUGUUGAUCUUGAAUCAAAACACACAUUUCGCAUUCUAAGAGGUAUACAAAGAAACGAACGAGAAGCAAUGGCAAAACAGGAAGCAAGAGCAACUAAUGAGGAAAACCAACAAAUGGUUAUUCAGGACUAUAUAAGGCUCGUUGUCAACGACAACUAUUCCAGUAUCGUACGCCCAGCAAUUGCUAAAAACAACUUCGAAUUGAAGUCAGGGCUAAUACAUAUGGUGCAGCAGAAUCAGUUUGGAGGUGCUGCAACAGAAGACCUAAAUGCUCAUCUUGGAUCCUUUUUGGAAAUUUGUGACAUGGUGAAGAUGAAUGGGGUCAAUGAAGAUGCAAUUAGACUUCGUCUAUUCUCUUUCUCUUUGAGGGAUAAAGCAAAAGCUUGAUUCCAGUCACUACUGCAUGGCUCAAUUACAACUUGGGAUGAUUUGGCUCAGAAAUUCAUCAUCAAGUACUUUCCACCUUCUAAAUCAGCUCAACUUCACAGCGAGAUUAGCCAAUUCAAACAACUCAACUUCGAGCAUUUUAUGAAGCUUGGGAAAGAUUUAAAGACUUUCUUAGGAAAUGUCCUUAACAUGGUUUCCAAAAAUGGGUUCAGAUUGAGAUAUUCUAUAAUGGGUUAAAUGGGCAGACGAAGACUAUGGUAGAUGCAGCUACGGGAGGCAUUUUAAUGGCUAAAACGGUAGAGGUUGUCUAUGCUUUAUUGGAUAACAUAGCCACCAACAGUUACCAAUGGCCAAGUGAGAGAUCAAACGUAAAGAAAGUAACAGGACUUCAUGAAGUGGAUCCCAUCAUAGCACUAGCAGCUCAGGUUACAUCACUCACAAAUCAAAUAGUCAUGCUUACAACUUAAGAGAAUCAACAGAAGGCAGAUUCAAUCAUAAGUGCUUCUUCAUCACACAAAGAGAUAGAUAUUGCAAACGAGCAGACCCAAUAUGUCAACAGCAGAAACUACAAUCAAAGAGGAAAUUACCAGGCUAAUCACUAUAAUCCAAGGCCGAUGAAUCACCAAAACUUGUCAUAUGGCAACAAUAGAAACACACUUCAACCUCCACCUAGAUUCAACACUUAGAAUUCUGAAGGAAAACCAUUUUUGGAAGACAUCCUUGGGACAUUCAGUUCUGAGACAAGAUCACGCUUCAAAAAAGAUGAAUCAUGGUUGGAUAAUAUUGAAACACAUGUGUCCAACAUGGGAGCCACAAUGAAGAAUCUUGAAGUGCAAAUUGGUCAGUUGGCUACCUCAAUGAAGUCUCAGCAACAAGGAAAAUUUCUAAGUGAUACAGAAGUCAACCCAAAGGAGCACUAUAAGGCCGUCGUAUUAAGGAGUGACAAGCAAGUUGGAGAAAGUGAACCCACCGAAGAGAGCAAUCCCACACCUGACAAAGAGAAAGAACAAGUGGUAGUAGAGUAAGAAAAACAGGCCAAAGGAACAAAUAAGGCUCACAGACCUUAUUCCAUAUCCUUCCCUAACAACCUACCAAUUCUCACACCACCACUUUCAUUUCCACAGUGUUUUCAAAAGAAAAAAUUUGAUGAUCAAUUUGCAAAAUUUUUAGAAAUUUUCAAGAGAACUCACAUUAAUAUUCCUUUUGUAGAUGCUUUGAAACAAAUGUCAAACUACACAAGUUUAUGAAGAAGGUGAUGUCAAAAAAGCGAAAAUUGGAGGAACAUGAAACAGUAAAAUUAACAGAAGAAUGCAACGCUAUCCUUCAAAAGAAACUUCCUCGGAAGAGAAAAGAUCCAGACAGUUUCACUAUUUCAUGCACCAUUGGAAGCUCUUCUUUUGAUAAGGCCCUCUGUGAUCUUAGAGCAAGCAUCAACCUAAUGUCGUUAUCAGUAUUCAAGAAGUUAGGCCUCGAGAAAGUUAAGCCAACAACAGUGACCCUACAACUGGCUGAUAAGUCCCUUACAUACCCACGAGAAAUUAUUGAAGACGUGUUAGUAAAGGUCGAUAAAUUCAUCUUUCCAGUUGAUUUUGUGGUAUCAGAUAUGGAAGAAGAUCAGGAAAUCCCACUGAUUUUAGGCAGGCCAUUUUUAGCAACUGGAAGGGCAUUAAUUGAUGUGCAAGGACAUUUGACAUUGAGAGUGAAUCAAGAAGAGGUGAGGUUCAACAUCUACCAAGCAAUGAAGUACUCGGACAACACUGACACUUGCCAAAGGAUUGACUCCAUUGAUUCUGCUGUAAGAGAUGAGAAAUUAUACAUUGAGGAUCCCCUGGAGCAAUGUAUGAUGUUUAGUGCAACAAAGGAUGACAUCAGCACUUCUGGAGAAUAUUCAGGGAGCAAAGACUUGGUUGAUUGCAUAUUGGCUCUAGAGUCUACACCAGUUGAGGACAACCCGUCACAAUGUGAAGAUAUUCAGUAAUCAGAGGAAUCAGAUGACAAAGAAAAUAAUGAAAACAGUAAGAUUAAACUAAAGCAAUUACCAAAUCACCUCCGCUAUGCAUUUUCUGGGGGACAAUUCUACAUUUCCAGUGAUCAUUUCUUCAUCACUCACCACGGACGAAGAGGAUAGACUAUUGAAAGUGUUAAGGGACCACAAUACUGGUUUAGGAUGGUCGAUAGCUGACAUCAAGGGAAUAAGUCCUACAAUCUGCAUGCAUAAAAUCCUCAUGGAAGAUUCCUACAAACUAUCCAUUGAACAUUAGAAAAGGUUAAACCAGCAAUGAAAGAAGUGGUUCGAGCGGAGAUACUAAAGCUAUUGAAGGCAGGGAUCAUAUUUGCCAUUUCAAACAGUGAAUGGGUCAGCCCAGUGCAAGUGGUACCAAAGAAAGGAGGGAUAAAAGUGGUUAAGAACGACAACAAUGAGCUAAUUCCAACAAGAACAUUAACCAGUUGGAGGGUGUACAUUGAUUAUAGGAAGCUGAACAAGGCAAUUAGAAAGGAUCAUUUCACACUCCCUUUCAUUGAUUAAAUGUUAGACAGAUUAGCGGGCUACUCUAUUGUUUUCUUGACGGGUAUUCGAACUACAUUUAGAUUGCUAUAGCACCACAAGAUCAAGAAAAGACAACACUCACCUGUCGUUAUGGAACUUUUGCCUACAGACGGAUGCCAUUCGGGUUAUACGAUGCACCGACCACCUUUUCAGAGAUGUAUGAUGACGAUCUUUACAAACAUGGUUGAGGACAUUAUGGAGGUAUUUAUGGAUGACUUUUCGAUGUUUGGUACUUCUUAACUGCCGUCACAAUCUCUCCUUGGUGUUACAACGCUGUGAGGAAAAGAACUUGGUUCUUAACUCAGAAAAGUGCCACUUCAUAGUACAAGAAGGAAUUGUGCUAGGGUACCAUGUUUCAGCGAGGGGACUUGAUGUUGACAGAGCAAAAAUUGAUACAAUUGCAAAGCUACCACCACCCACUAAUGUCAAAGGCAUUCGAAGUUUCUUGGGACAUGCUAAAUUCUAUAGUAGGUUCAUCAAAGACUUUUCAAAAGUAGCUAAACACCUAUGCAACCUGUUGGAGAAGGACACAACAUUUGUAUUUAAUGAAGACUACUUAAGGGCAUUUGAAACCAUAAAGGCAAAAUUGGUCACUGCUCCAGUGAUGGUAGUGUCAGAUUGGGAUCAGCCAUUUGAGGUUAUGUGUGAUACUAGUGACUACACAGUAGGGAUGGUUUUGGGACAAAGGCAUGAUUAGAUUUUUCGUUCAAUCCACUAUACCAGUAAAACCCUUAAUGGAGCUCAACUAAAUUACACCACAAUAGAGAAGAAAAUGCUAGCAGUAGUGUUUGCAUGUGACAAAUUCAGAUCCUACCUCAUUGGCACCAACGUGAUCAUUCACACAGACCAUACUGCAAUCCGAUAUCUCUUUGAAAAUAAGGAUGACAAGCCACACCUAAUUCGAUGGAUAUUGCUACUACAGGAAUUUGAUGUAGAGAUUCGGGAUAAGAAAGGCAGUGAGAAUAUCGUUGCAGACCAUCUCUCAUGGUUAGAGAAUGAGAAGAUGGUGGAUGACAGUCAAAUUCGAGAAACUUUCCCUAACGAGAUCUUGCUAGCUGUAUCAACAAGGAUCCCAUGGUAUGCUGAUUUUGUUAAUUAUUUGGUAUCUGGAAGAUUGCCACUUGAUUUAACCUUCCAUCAAAAGAAGAAACUCUUACAAGAUGUCAAGUCAUAUAUGUGGGAUGACUCAAUAUUGUUCAAGAGGUAUGCUAACAGAAUAAUUAGGCGGUGUGUCCCUGUGGAAGAAACACAAUCAAUCAUGCAGCGUUGCCAUUCCUCACCUUAUGGAGGUCAUUUCGGUCCUACUCGCACUGCUGGAAAAGUAUUGCAAUCUAGUUUCUAUUGGCCAAAUCUAUUAAAGGACUGCUAUACUUUUGUGAAGACAUGUGACCGUUGACAGCGUACUGAAAACAUUUCAAGGCAUCAUGAGCUACCAUUAACUAGUAUGCUUAAGGUGGGGUUAUUUGAUGUGUGGGGUAUAGACUUCAUGGGUCCAUUUCCACCUUCUUUUGGUCAGGUAUACAUUCUCCUUACAGUAGACUAUGUAUCUAAAUGGGUUGAAGCCAUUGCCACACCAACAAAUGAUGCAAAGGUGGUUUUGAGAUUUCUACAAAAAAAUAUCUUCACUCGAUUUGGCACGCCUAGGCAAUUGUAAGUGAUGAAUGCACACAUUUCUGUAACAAGCCGUUCAACUCCCUUUUGGCUAAAUAUGAUGUCAAGCACAAAUUAGCACUUAGUUAUCACCCACAAUCAAAUAGGCAAGCAGAGGUGUCUAACAAAGAGAUAAAAUAGAUUUUGGAAAAGACAGUAAAUACUAGCCAAAAUGACUGGUCUCUCAAACUAGAUGAUGCUCUUUGGGCAUAUCGAACCACCUUCAAAAGUCCAAUUGGAAUGUCACCUCACUGUCUGGCAUUUGGGAAAGCUUGUCACCUAUUGGUGGAAUUGGAGCAUAAAGCUUAUUGGGCUAUAAAAAAGUUGAAUUUGGACAUGAAAUUGGCCGGUCCACAAUGCUUGUUGUAGCUUGAUGAAUUAGAGGAAUUUCGGAAUGAUGCAUAUGAAAAUGCGAAAAUAUACAAGGAGUGGAUAAAAAUGUGGUAUGACAAGAAAAUCCUAAGGAGGGAAUUCAAGGCAGGAGAACGAGCUCUUCUAUUCAAUUCUCGAUUGAGACUCUUUUCAGGCAAGCUUAAACCCUGGUGGUCGGGACCAUUUGUAAUUCGUAAUGUGUUCCCUUAUGGUUCAAUAGAGUUAGUGAGCAAGGAUGAGUCUACUUUUCAGGCAAACAGACAAUGCCUCAAGCAUUACUAUGGAGAGAAAGACCGAGAUGUAGAAGAAAUUACCCUCGAAGAACCACAUUAUAAUAAGAACCACAUCACGUCCAACUAAAGACGUAAAAGAAGCGCUUCUUGGGAGGCAACCCAAGUUCUAUCCCUAAAUUUUCUUUCUUUAGUUAGACAUUUCCUUUUCUUCCGUGGUAACUUUAGUAAUUUCGCUUUCUUUUCAUUUUUGUAGAAAUAUAGUCAAAUAUGGUUGCAUCGACACUCCUGUCAACAUGGAGAAGGAAGUACAUUGGAGAAUGGCAUGUAAGUACAAAUGAAUCAUCUACAAUCCACCAUCUAUGAUCUGUUUCAGUAUUAGAAUGCUUGCAUGGCGGUCAUGGCAUCUGCACACCCCGAGCUUACUUUCCCUCCACCGCCACCGUUUCCACCUCAUUUAUACUCUCCCGCUCCACCUGAUGGCAAUGAAGACAGUUAUGUCUUUCCCAAGGUAUUUCUCUUCCCCUUCUUUCAUUUUCACAUUGAGGGUAAUGUGUUGUUUAAGUUUGGGGGGUCUUAUUUUAACUUAUUUAGGUCGAGCAUUUUCUUCACUGCUUUUGUUGUAUUGCAUUCAUGUUCCAAGUAUGCUGUGCGUGUUAAUUUGUUUUGUGUGAAAAAAAUAAUAAUAUAAUAUAAUAAAAUUAAAAUAAAAAUUUGCAUUAUUUUAUUUCGCAUGCUUAUGUGAGUUGGAUAAUAUUAUUAGCAAUGAUGAGUUUAUUUGGAAUGUGGAUCGGUUGUGGAUUAUGAAUGAGUCAGUUGCCUGAAUUAAAGUAUUACUUAUCCCUGCAGAUUAUUGUGACAUUUAUGCACGUGAAUUGAGUAUAGCGGCGAACAAGAGUGAGUUGAUUCAUAUUUAGAUUUAGGCUAGAAGAAUGACCCUAGAAACUGAAUCCAAAUAGCCACUUGUGUAAUAGUAUUCACAUCCCUUAACCUACCUUAAGAUAGUUUGGAUGGGGAAACUAUUGUAGGAAAGCAUGGACGUGGUUAUGGAUUCCGUGUGUGCCAAAUUUUGUGUGGACUGUCUGAGACCAAUGGGAUGGGAAUUGAGUAAACACUUUUAGUUAUGGACCAAUUUUUUAGAAUAGGUGUUUAAUAAGGGGCAUUGCACUAAUCAUAGCCAAAAAAAAGGGCCCGUCAUAAAGCGUCUCUUCGUAGCCCUUAUGACUCGAGUGAUUAAGCCUGUAAGGGUUUAAAACCUGAUGCCCUAAAGUCGUCUGACUUGGGAAUCGUCGGUCGAAAACUCGCUACAGGGGUCAUCUAAAAAGUUUAAGGGAGAGACGAUCGCACAAAGAGUGUCCUAUUUUAGAGGAGUAGGCAUUUGACAAGGGGUUAGUAACUUUGUUUAUUCUUGGAGGUUGAAGCAGUCAAAAAUAAGAGAAUCCACACUUACCGAUAUGUCGAACUGCAAUUAGUAAAUUUUAACCAAACUUUAGAGGUGUAAGAAAUUAGUAUUGAAAAUCAACUUUAGGAUACACUUUGGGAAGAAAAGAGAAAAUAAGUUUGGGGGUAUGUGAAUCCCACGAGCGGAGAAAGGAGAUAAUUGACUUCUAAGUUGUUUGGUGUUAUAUUUGAUUCUUCACACACACACACACAUGAUCUGUAAUGGGUGGGUAAGGAGCUACCUUUUGCAAAAUAGCUUUGAAGUAGCUCAUAAACUCGAUCUUGCGCUUCAACAGCAGUAAAAACAUGUUGUCCAAAUAAAUUAUGCAUUUGAAUUCUUUGGCAACAUUUGUGUUUGUUUUUUGUAGUUAUUGAUUAUUGGUUGAAAUCAAAGAACUAAUUUUGGGGGUGUUUGAUGAGUGUAAUUCACUCAUUAAACUAACGCCUAAACAUCGCGAGUUUUAGCUUGUUCUUAGCACUUUUGAACGUUUUGAUGUGUGCGUUCAUGUGGUUUUGCAGCUCAAUUAACAUUUGAAGAAAUGCCACAAUUGGGAGCUUGUGAUGAAUCUAAAAUGGUGAUCGUAAAAUGGGGGCAUGAAUUGGAAAUAAGAAAAAAGGAUUGCAAUGGAAAAGAAGCUUAGAAGAUAAGCGAUUCAAGCGUGAAGCAAUUUGUUAGGUGCCAUGGCAUCUAAAUUGGGUGCCACGGCGCUCAGCGUAAAGAGAAAGUGGUAGAAUAGCUAGCGCCAUGGCUCCGGAUCUCGCAACACAGAAGAGUCCAAAUUUUUGGAUAUUUUUCGACCCAAGAUGUUCCCUAACCAUCCAAAACUCGGAGAUAAUAUAAAUACCAAGAUGAAACCUAAUUGAGGACUGUUUUCUUUGAUUUUCUCGGAGCGAAAAAGGGGUACAAAAGUGAAGAUCCAUUCAAGAGGGAAAGAGGAGAAAUUGAAUUGCAUGACAACCAGUUGGGGAAGAACAAGCAGCUUAAAUCAGUUUUUCCGAACCCUUAUUUAUUCUUUCCCAUGCUCUUUAUCUUGUAUUUUGGCAUGUCGAUCGAUUCAAGUAUGAACUAAAUUUGUAGAUCUACGGUUGAUGUAACCUAUUUGAGACAUUAUUUGAUUCUAAUGUAGUUAUUUCUUUUAGUUUCCAGAAUUUAUUUGUGUUAUUUUAUGCUUAAUACUUUCAAUUGCCUGAUCACCAAUUGAAUGAACAGAUGCUUUAAAUUUGACGCUCGAGAGAGGGAAAUUUAGACAUGAUCUGGAACAACAUAACCUAGAUUUGUAGGUUUCGAGAGAAAGUGCAAAUCUUUGAGGGGUAAAACAAGAACCAAGAGCUUUAAUAAUAUUUAUAUGUUUAAUUCGGAAUAGAGAUAUUGGGGUUAAAAUAUAAAGAUAUGUUUUAUUGGCGCUCAAGAGAGCGAAUAAAAUUAAAUUAGGUUCUUGCCUAUAAAUUGGGAAAAAUUCAAUGGAAAUGGCUAUAGAGGUUAAGAAGAUGUUGAUAAUAUGGAGAAAUCAAUCCCUAGAUAUCCAUAAUUUGAUUUGAUUUUUAGAAAUUGCCCCACUUUACUUGCAUUCUUUAUUCCAUUUAAAUUAUGUUAGCAUAAAAACAUCAUUUAAAAAUUGGGUUUGUCUAAAUAAAGUGAAAAUCGAAAUAAUUAUAGUACUCAGUGGAAUUUGAAUAUCAAUCCUCAUGGGUUCGACACUUUUAAAUUUUUUACUAUAUUACAAAACUUGACGCUGUGCACUUACGGUUAAAUCACAUUAUAUAAUCGUGUGGCACCUAAACAAACUGGUAUAGUUGAGAGGCAUCAUAGGACUAUAAGCGAUUUGGGAAUGACUGUUAUUUCACUAUGGUGCACCUUUAUUUUUAUGGGUAGAAGCUUUCACUACAGUUGUAUAUCUUAUGAAUCGUCUACCAUCAUCUGUUCUCAACUUUGAAACACCAUACUUCGCACUUCAUGGGAUACAUCCAGAUUAUUCCUCACUCCGAGCCUUUGGAUCAAUGUGUUUUCCCUACACUUGGGAUACGCAAAAACACAAAUUUGAUCCAAAAACACUUCCAUGCAUUUUUGUAGGCGACAGUGAAAAACAAAAAGCUUAUAAGUGCUAUCAUCCAUCAAGUAAAAAAAAUAAAAAUAAAAAUUAUUUCUGGUCAUGUAGUCUUUGAUGAGUUAAUUUUCCCAAAUAAACCUAUUAAUGAACCUUGCAUGACAUCAAAUUAGCCACGAAUAAUUAGUAUAUUCGAUUCUUGGUUACCACACACUAACAUUUCUUUUUCUGCAGGUACAAACUCGGACUCUUCCACACCCCCAUGUCAAUCCUUGCUGCCAAUUGACACUGUACUCCACGAAAUUCAUCCCAAAAUUUCAGUUCUACUGAGUUAUCACGGCAAUCUCCCUCCAUCGAGACACGGACCAGUGAGAAAACUAUUUAAAUGAAUUUCAUGAGUCCGGUCACAACACUGGUUCUCCUAAAACUAUUCCGUCACAAGAGUCUCACGAGUCUACCCAAGAAUUAGGUCCACGGAAUGUAAGUGAAACACCCGAGCUUUCCCAUCAUAGUCCUGAACCUUCACCACCAUUGGGUCACUCCAUGGUCACUUUGUCAAAACUAAGUGUGGUAAAACCAAAUCCUAACUAUGCCUUGACCACCAUCACAUCUGCUAAUAUACCUCGUGAGCCUCACAAUAUUAAAAUUGCAUUGGCACACCCUGGAUAGAAAGCAGCCAUGGACAAGGAGCUGGCUGCACUACAUUGAGACCUCGAAAUUAAUUCCUAGAACACCAAACGUGCGUGUCAUUGGUAUUAGAAAUUAAACUUGAUUCAUGAACAAUGAAAAAUUAAAUUUGAUACAUGAAUUAGUUUAUCUAAUAUUCAUGUAUCCAAAUGGUUAUUUGUAUCCUAUUAUUCAUAGUAUGUAGGAAAAGUCAUUAAUUAGUCUCAACAUAUUUGGGAUCCUUUGUACUUAUAAAAGGCCUUGUGUUUGAGACAUUUUAUAGAGUCAAGCCAUAUAAUACAAAUAUUUUUUGAGAAUUCUCAAAAAAAUUUCUCUAGCCUUUCUUCCCAUAAUUUUUAUUUCCAACAAAGUGGUAUCAGAGUCAUUUCAAAGAUGAAUAAUUCAUUUUCUUUUGUUGUUCCCAAACUAACAAAGGAAAAUUAUGGACAUUGGAGCAUACGCGUGAAGGCGUUGCUCGGCUCACAAGAGGCAUGGGAAGUUGUAAAGAAAGGUUGUGAUGAACCAGAGAAUGAAGUAGCUUUAAGUCAAGCUCAAAGGAAUGCCUUACAAAGAUACCACAAGUUAGAUCAACACACUCUCUCUUUUAUUCACAUGGGCUUAGAUGAAGCCAUGUUUGAGAAAGUUACUUUCUUAACAAAAGCUAAGGAAGCUUGGGAGAUAAUUGAGAACGGUUUCAAGGGAAUUGAAAAACUAAAGAAGGUUUGCCUUCAACUCCUUCUUGGCGAGUUCUAUCUUUGACUAUUUCACUAGGGUGUCCUCCACUGUCAAUCAUAUGAAGCGGUACGAGGAGAAUAUUGAAGAAUGUCAUAUCAUCGAGAAAAUUCUUAGAUCACUUGGCUCAAAACUUGAGUUUGUUAGUAUUGCCAUUAAAGAGUCUAAUAACUUGGAUACCAUGAUCCUUGAUCAACUCAUGGGGUCCUUGCAAGCAUAUAAAGAAAGAUUGAAGAAGAAAGGAGAACUGGUGGCUCAAGUUCUCCAGACGAAUGUCUCCUUGGGAGGUCAAGAGAAAGAGAAAGAGCAAGAACAAUCUCAAGGAAGAAGUCAAAUUCAUGGUCGAGAUCGUGAUCAUGGUCGUGGUCGCGGAGGAGAUUAUGGUCAUGGUAAUGUAAGAAGUGAUGGAAAAUAAAAUCUAAAUAAUGAAGGAUCAAGCAAUCAAUCGAGAGGAUGAGGGCGUUAGAUCUAUGGCUCCAAGAGCGGUGGUGGAAGAAGAUAUGACAAGUCCAAUAUUCAAUGUUACACUUGUCAUAAAUAUGGUCACUAUGUUUCCGAAUGUAGGAGUGACACCACCAAUAAUGAAGAGAGAGUUAAUUAUGUUGAAACAAACGAAAAUGAAAAAUUGUUAUUGUUGUUGACAAUCAAAGAAGAAAAUGAUAAACAAUAGUGGCACCUUAACACCGGUGCCACCAAUUACAUGUGUGGCAACAAAGAGUUAUUCUCAACAAUAAAUGAAUCAGUAAAAGGCAACAUAGUUUUUGGAGAGGAAAUCAAAGUUCCAAUAAAAGGCAAAGGUAAUGUUCUUAUUCGUGCUAAAAAUGGAAGUCAUAUUUUGAUUUCUCUAAUUUGCUAUAUACCUAAUGUGAAGUCUAAUAUUUUGAGUUUUGGAUAAAUGGAUAAGUUGCUUAACAGGGCAGAAAUACAUUUACUUGAUUCUAUUUUAACACAUCCUUAGAAUUCAAAUUGAAAUUUUAUAGUAAUUCUUAUAGUAACUAGAUUUGUUAAGAGUAAACCGGACAGUGCAAGCUUUUUAAAAAACUUGAAACACAGGCAAUCUUCAUUCUUGAUUGAUUUUUCCUUUAUACAUAAUAAAUACAUAACUUAAAAAGUUUGAAUGGUUAAAAUAAUAAAAAUUAUAUUUACUUAUAUUUCAUAGAACCUUUGUUUACUCGAGCACCAUCUUAAAUUACAUAUCAUCUAAAAUCUUACAGUAGUAACGCAACAAAAAUUUAUUUAUUUAUUUAUUUUUAAUUCUUGACAAUAACACUGUUGAGGCCCAAUUCAUUUAGAACAUCUCACAAGCCCCUACUAAUACUAAACAUAAUAGGUAGAUGGUUAAGUAUUGAAAAUCAAACUCUUUUCAAGCCUUAGAAAGUGAGGCUUGAAAGUACUCACUGCAUAUGUCAGCUACUAUUUCGAUUUCAUUAUCUUCCUUUUUCCAAGAGCCCUUCACCACUAGAUGUAGUAUCUCAGCUACUUCAAACAAGGUGUCAUAUUCAAAAAAGAAUUAAGCCCCUGCACAAGCCCCUUUGCACAUGGCUAUACAGGGGCUCUCACAUGGGGAUGAACCCCACAUGUGGAUCCAUGUGUGUGCACCUGUACACACCCUGUGCAAAAAGGUCUGUGCGGGUAGCAUAAUUGUUCGAAAAAUCAAUAAAUAAUAAUUACAGAGGGGGGAAAAAACGUCAUAUAUUUCUAAAUUCUAAAGCAAAUUGAAUCCGUUACAUCCGAAUUGGAAUAAGAUUUCAAACUAAAAUGAAACAAAUUGAAUUGGAUUCUCGAGUGCAAUGUAAGCCAAAUACCCCUCAUGCAUAAUUCUUGAUUUCAGAAUCCCCAUGAACAUACCCCAAAAUACGUAGACGUAUACCAACAAAGCUCUUCAGCUUCCCCUGUUUUAUUGGAUUCAACAAACAACAAAUUCUGGCAUUGUUAAAAAGCGACGUAUCAUCAACAAAUUAAAAAUUAUCAAAUAAAAGAAGGGAAUUGAGAUAAGCUAGUCCUACGACUCCUACUCCUAUAGAACAAAUCAAAUGUAAAUCACCUUCACGCUAAUAUUCUUCGCUAUAUGAUAUGGUUACUUUCUGCAUAGUGUGUACUUCUCCAUUUAAACUUAUCUACAUAAAGAAGAUUUAACUUUAGGAUACGCAAAACUUGAAAAAACCAUGAAGAAAAAGCUGUACAAAACCAUAAAACUCGACCAGCAUGUGGCGAAGUUACAUACAGCACUUUUAUCACCUUCAAUAAAUUUUGGUCCUCCCACGGCCCCUUAUCAGACUUCAAACAACCUCCCUCAUUUGAACAUGUGCAGCUCCCACCUAGAAAACCUGGUAGCUGACUAACAUGACAAUGAUUUUAUUGGACUGUAAAAUCGCUUGAAUUCCAAGCAAGCUAGAAUCAAAAGCCCAGUUACCUUGCAUCAAUGGCUUCCAGUAAUUCGCUUUGAUAAUUACUGCCAAACACCUAGAGAGAGUUUGAAAAUCAUUGGUCUAUUUAGACUAAAAUUGUAAUUUAUGCAGUUUAAUUACUUGAAUGAACUUCAUAUAAUAUACCUGAAUCUUGGAAGUUGUAUCUGGGUCGAGUAAAGGCUUCACUAUAGUCCAGAUCAACUGGAAGGCAGGACCAGCAUUGAUGAUAUACAUUCGGCCAAGUGUCUGUGGAAUUGUCAAAGGGACGAAUUUUAUGGAUAUUUAGGACAUUAUUGAUAUAGAGAUGGGUAAUUGCUAAGACAUACUUCAGGAUAAUUGUCAUUAUCAAUCUUUUGAAGAACCUUAAUGAAUUCUACAACGGGUCCAGUCAAACUCAUUAUACCCUGAAUAUGAACGAUGAAAAAAUGUUAAAUUAAGUAGAAUCUUUGUCUAAGAUGCCGAGUGGUUUAUAGAAGUUAUGAGUAGAAGAAAUUAGUGUACCAAUCCUUGGACAUCUAAGAUUGUCAUGCUUGUAUCUAUAUGCCUGUUUGCAGCAGCGGAACAUAUAGGAAACCUGACAGCAAGAGUCUUUUCGAACUCCUGGACUUGGUAUUUUACAAAUCGGUCGAGAGUAGUCACUUGCAUCAACUUGUCAAUGUCGAUCUUCCCUAAUCUUUCAAUGUAAACUGGUCUUCCAUCCUUAUCAACGCCAUGAUAUCCCUGUGGAUAGUAUUCUUGAACUUCCUUCAAUUCUGUGAAGUCAAAGUCCUGAAUAUAAUACAAGCACAGAAACAAACAAAUAUUGAAUAAAAUAGAAAGAAAACCAAUGAUGCGGCUCACAGUCAAGUUUUUUCAACAUCAAAGAAAAAGAAAACUAAUAGUUUACAAGGCAGAAAGCAUAACUAGUUCGUGUGAUAUUUAAACACUUCAUACACAAGGAAUUUAUUUAUUCCACCACUCUCUCGGUCCAUCAUAAUAUUGAAAGGAUACUUCUAUAGAUGUAAGCUCUUCUAAUGCAUAUGCAUAACAAGUCAAGCCUCAAAACUCAAAAGCUGCCGACUUGUGGACAAUUAGAGAGACUCAAGAGACUCAACGAUGGCGUAUGUGGUCAAGAGAUACACAAAAUUUUUGAUUUUUGAUUUUUUUUUCUUUUUUUUUUUAUUUCAAAAAUUCUGUAGCUGCGGUUUACCCCUAAAUGUGCAAGUUUCUAAAUUAUAGUUUACUCUAUUCUUCAAUAAACCAAAAAACCUUCCUCCAAUCUCCAACUUCAAUCUCUAUUCUUUAAUCGGGUAUAAAAUGUUCGAAAUUAAAGGUUAUAAUAUUUAUGUUUGAUUUUCAAUCCUUUUUCCUUUAAUUUUUUCUCCUUUUUCACCCAAAUUUUUUUCUCAUAAUUGGAAUUUGUGUUGUAAUUGGAUUUGGGGCUUGUGUUGCAUGGCAUUGAGUAAGAGUAUGUGAAGUAUGUAAUCUAUAGUCUGUACUAUUUUAAACCGCCCUUGGGAGCCAGGGAAGGCCAAAAGAAGAUGCUCGAGAGCAAACUACCGAAGCCUCCCACCCUUGGAGUGUCUAAGUUCCACUCGAGUGUCCUUAAGGCACCCGUAGUACAUUUGAUUCUGCUGUAGCGGUAUUAUAGGUGAGAAAAUUCUAAUUUCCAUCCUUUAAAAAAUUUAAUAAAAAAUAAAUAAAUAACCUCUAACUUAUUUUCAUUAAUUUUAUGUUGUUUAAAAAAAGAAAAAUUGCAUUUUAAUUUUUAAUUCCACAAUACAAAAAGUCUGAUUCCACCCAUGUACUCAACAUAAAACCUCGAAAGCACCAAAAAGUGUUCACAAAAUGACAAGUAACAUAUUAGACAAAUACAUCAAACAAAUGAUAGCUAAAGAGUGCAUCAAAGAUUACCUCCAUGAUUGUGUCUGCACCAAAGUCCUUCCUCCACUGAAGCAUGUCUGCCCACAUGCACUUUGCCUUUUCAAUAUUGAACUUCCUUGCUUUUAGAAAUCUACAAAUUUUUUAUUGCUGAAUAAAUUAAAUUUUUUACAAUUUGAGGAUAAAUAACACCAAAUUUGAAUAUAAACAGAAUGUUAAUUAGAAUAAUAUAAAGCUGAAUUGUGAAGGGGAAGGAAAGAAGUAUGAUAAACCUCCCAUACGGUUAACAUACCAGAGGCGUCACAAAAAAAGGAUGUAAGGGGGGUUGGAGGGAAUAUCAGUUGUUAGAUUUGAUGAGCAAAGAAUUGGUUAUGAUGAUGUCAAGGCUGUUAGAGUAGGGGUCAAUAAAUAGUGGAUAGUUGAGUCUAAAAGGCAUUCAGAAAGUAGGAAAAGUCUGAGUCAAUAGGAGAGGGGCAGCUCUCGAAACCUGCCUUGCUUGUAAUUUUCAUUCCGCCAUUGUUACUGCUUCAUUAAUUCAAUAGAAUUUAUCAUUCCUUCCAUUAUUUUGCUGUUUGGGAUCUAACAUUUUUGGUAUCAGAGCCAAAAUCCUGGGAACCGGAUGCCGGUUACACGAAUGGGCAAUAGGAUUGAAGCAUUGGAAAGGACAGUGACGCAGAUUUCUCCUUUGCGAGCGACUGUUGUCAAGCUAAAAGGGGACCUGAAACAUUUGAACGUGAAAUUGGGAAUGGAGCUGGGGAAAAUGAAUGAUAAGUUGGAAACGAGUCUCGCAAUGGGUAGGAAGGAACUAAACGAGGGACUACAGAUCAUAACUAAGAUGAUUAAAGGUCUACCGUUAGAUUCCACGGCUAUGACGGGGGAAGGAAGUGGAGUUAAAUCGACGUCAACCUUUGAGAAAUCGGCUGAAUCGGAGCCUAUAAUUCCAGAAAAGGUAGCUACCCAGUCAGGCGAAGGUAACUAUCGUAAAUUGGAAUUACCACUGUUCACUGGAGUGGAUCCGGACUCCUGGAUAUAUCAGGUUGAAAGGUAUUUUAGCAUGAACAGAUUUUCAGAUGCUGAACGAGUGGUAGCUGCGAGUGUUUGUAUGGAGGGGGGGUGCCUUGUCCUAGUUUCAAUGGGAGGACGGAAGGGGACCCAUACGUAGCUGGUCGGAACUGAAACAACGUUUGCUGGAAAGGUUUCGGGACACCCAAUAUGGCACCCUGCACCAACGAUUCUUGGCAAUCAAGCAAACAGGAAAGGUGGCGGAGUAUAGGGAGAAAUUCGAAAUUAUGUCUGCCCCCUUGAAGAAUGUGAGUGAGGAUACGCUGGAAGGAGUCUUCAUCAAUGGGUUGGAUGAGGAAGUGCAGGCUGAAGUACUAAUGGCAAAUCCGGUAGGAUUAUCUCAAAUCAUGGAUAUGGCACAAAGAGCGGAAGAUAGGAAUAUUCAAAUUAGCAAAAUUAAGGAGAAGGAACGGCCACAGUUGAGAAAUGUAAUUGCUCCUACCGUGUCGCGAUUCGAACAGUGAACCGUCCCUUGGCACACGCUGAGAAGAACUAGACUAUCAGAAAAGGGAGGAACAACUUCGCCGGGUGCCACGCUUGGGUUCAAAAAAUUGACCUAGGCCGAGAUCCAAUCAAAGAAGGAGAAGGGCCUGUGUUUCCGUUGUGAUGAGAAAUAUAGCAUCGGGCAUCGAUGUCGUAAUAAGGAACUACAGGUGCUAUUAGUGGAAGAUGAAUCCGAGAAAGAGAAAGAAGGAAGGGAAUUAAUGGAAGAAACAGCUGAUUGUAACGACUUGGAAGGGGUAGAACUAUCGAUGAAUUCAGUUGUGGGGUUGACUUCCCCUAAGACUAUGAAGGUCAGAGGAACUGUAAAAGGGCAGGAUGUGGUAGUCUUAAUUGAUUCAGGAACCACUCACAAUUUCAUGUCAUGGGAGUUGAUUAAGGAACUUAAGCUACCAGUAACAGAAACAGAUGGAUAUAAGGUCCAGGUGGGCACGGGAAGGGCUGUCAACGGAAUAGGAAAAUGCAGAGGAGUGGUGUUGCAGCUGCAAUCGUUAGUGGUUGUACAGGAUUAUUUACCAAUCGAGAUGGAUAGCUCGGACAUAAUCUUGGGAAUACAGUGGCUUAGUACCUUGAGAACAGUACAAAUUAAUUGGAAAACAUUAGAGAUGAAGAUACAUAUGGGGAACAACACGGUCAUUUUGAAAGGGGAGGAGGAGCUGAGCAAAUCAUUGGUUUCUUUAAAGUCGAUGAUCAAAACCUUGCAGAAAGAAAGAGAAGGAGUGGUUGUGGAGCUGUGUUCAGUGCAAGUAAAGGAACAGCAGGCUGAACCUGACAUUCCUCAGCCGGUACUGGAGAUAAUUAGAGAGUUUAAAGCUGUUUUUGAGGCUCCUGUGGGAUUGCCACCCUUACGGGAUCACGAGCAUGCCAUCACGCUAAAGGCUGGGAGUGAACCUAUUAAUGUAAGACCCUGUAGAUAUCCCCAUGCACAGAAAACCAAAAUUGAGAAGUUGGUGUCGGAGAUGCUGGAGGCAGGUAUCAUACAGACAAGUAUGAGCCCUUUUUCUAGCCCAGUGUUGCUGGUGAAGAAGAAAGAUGGUGGUUGGAGUUUCUACGUGGAUUAUAGAGCAUUAAAUCGAGCCACCAAUCUGGACCGCUUUCCAAUACCAGCUAUUGAUGAGUUGCUAGAUGAGCUUAAUGGAGCCACCAUUUUCUCCAAGUUUGAUCUAAAAUCCAGGUAUCAUCAAAUAAGGCUCAAGGCAAGAGAUGAAUACAAGUCAGCUUUCAGGACACAUGAGGGACACUAUGAGUUCUUAGUAAUGCCGUUUGGGCUUACGAACGCACCUGGAACCUUCCAGUCUUUAAUGAAUAAGGUGUUCAAAGGCUUGCUCCGUAAGGGGGUGUUGGUUUUUUUGAUGACAUCUUGGUUUACAGUCGUACUCUGGAAGAACAUUGUAGACACUUAAGAAGAGUGUUAGAAGUUUUGCAAGAACAGAAGCUAUACGCAAACCGGAAGAAAUGUGAAUUUGCUUGUGCCACGUUGGAAUACUUGGGACAUGUGAUCAGUUCGCAGGGGGUUGCAGGACCCUAAGAAAAUUCAAGUAAUGCAGUCUUGGCCCGUACCUAAGAGCCUUAAAGAAUUAAGAGGGUUCUUUGGAUUAACGGGGUAUUAUCGAAGAUUUGUGGAAGGAUAUGGGAAGUUAGCGGAACCCCUUACAAGGCAACUAAAAAAGGACAGUUUCCACUGGAACUCUGAAGCCGAGAUGGCUUUUCAGUAGUUGAAGGACGCUAUGACAAGGAUACCAGUCCUGGCAUUGCCCAAUUUUUCCCUUCCAUUGGUGGUUAAGACUGAUGCUUCAGGAGUUGGGUUAGGGGCAGUGUUGUCCCAGCAACAAAGACCUAUUGCUUUGUUUAGCCAGGCAUUAUCAGCAAGGGCCGGACUGAAAUCCAUAUAUGAGCGGGAACUCAUGGCUGUGGUGCUAGCAAUCUAGAAAUGGAGGCAUUACCUCUUGGGGCGGCAUUUUAUAGUGAGCACCAAUCAAAAGAGUUUGAAAUAUUUGCUAGAACAGCGGUUGAUAUGCACAGAUCAUCAAAGGUGGAUCACUAAGCUGCUCGGUUACGACUUUGAAAUCCAAUAUCGACCCGGCCUCGAGAACAAGGCAGCGGAUGCACUGUCCAGAUUUCCAAUUGCAGCAGAACUAACAGUUAUGACGGUGUCAACGGUGUCAGAUUUGGGUGAGUUGCAAAAUCAGAUAGGGGCGGAUGAGAAGUUGGCAAGCAUUCGUGAAUCAUUACUUAGGGACCCUUUGGCUGUUGAAGGGUGGUCUGUGACAGAUGGGUGCCUCUUGUACAAACAAAGGCUGGUCUUGCCACGCAACUCAAGCCUAAUUCCAAAGUUUCUUCAGGAAUUUCACUGCAGUAAGGUGGGUGGCCACUCAGGGGUCCUGAAGACAUACAAACGGAUAGCAGGAGAAUUAUUUUGGGCUGGGAUGAAAAAAGACAUUCAGAAGUUUGUAGAAUCUUGCUCCGUCUGCCAGCAAAACAAGUAUUUAGCCCUUUCGCCAGCAGGGCUUUUGCAGCCAUUACCCAUACCAGAAGCUACCUGGGAAGAUGUGGCAAUGGAUUUUAUUGAAGGAUUGCACAAAUCACGAGGGUGGGAUGUGACCUUGGUUGUUGUGGACGGUUGAGUAAAUACGCUCAUUUUAUGACCUUGAAGCACCCAUUUUCUGCUAAAACAGUGGCUGAAGUAUUCAUUCAGGGUGUGGUCAGGCUUCAUGGAUUUCCUCAUUCUAUAGUGUCGGACAGAGAUAAGGUUUUUCUCAGCUCAUUCUGGUCUGAACUCUUCCGUCUACAGGGCACUCAUCUUCGUAGAAGCAUAGCAUAUCAUCCACAAACCAAGGGGCAAACGAAGGUGGUAAAUCGAUGUUUGGAGACAUAUCUACAGUGUUUUGAUAUUGGCCAUCCUCGCUCUUGGUCUGACUGGAUUCCGUGGGCAGAAUUUUGGUUUAACUCCUCUUUUCAUACCUCCACCAAGAGUAUUCCCUUUAAGGUCGUUUAUGGAAGGGAUCCACCUCCUCUCAUCCGUUAUGGGACUCAGCACACUCCUUUUGGCUGACUUGGAUCAACAAUUACAGCAACGAGAUUAGAUGAUUAAUGUGUUGAAACUUCAACUGGAAAAAGCUUAAUCUAGGAUGAAGAAAACAGCAGAUACAGGAAGAAGAGAGGUACAGUUCCAAGUAGGGGAUUUGGUCUAGCUGAAACUUCAACCUUACCGCCAGAGAUCCUUGGCGGAAAAAAUUUCCCCUAGAUUCUUUGGUCCUUACACCGUUUUCCAGAAGAUAGGAGUUGUGGCUUACAAACUCCAGCUUCCAGCCGAGGCAAACAUUCAUCUGGUGUUUCAUGUCUCCCAAUUGCGAAAGGCCGUGGGCUCCACCACCCCUGUCCAACCCCUUCCCACACAUCUCAGUACUGACCUAGAGUGGAAGGUGCAACCAGAGGCAGUAUUGGGAAUCAGACCAGCAAACGACCCAAACUUUACAGAACCAGAAGUAUUAAUUCAGUGGCAAGGUCUUCCAUCCUUUGAGGCUUCGUGGGAACCCUUUGAACUGAUCAGUUCUCAAUUCCCCGAGUUCCACCUUGGGGACAAGGUGCUUUCAUUGGCGGGGGGUAUUGAUAAACCUCCCAUACGGUUAACAUACCAGAGGCGUCACAAAAAAGGGAUGUAAGGGGGGUUGGAGGAAAUAUUAGUCGUUAGAUUUGAUAAGCAAAGAAUUGGUUAUGAUGAUGUCAAGGCUGUUAGAGUAGGGGUCAAUAAAUAGUGGAUAGUUGAGUCUAAAAGGCAUUUAGAAAGUAGGAAAAGUCUGAGUCAGUAGGAGAGGGGAAACUCUCGAAACCUGCCUUGCUCAUAAUUUUCAUCCGCCACUGUUACUGCUUCAUUAAUUCAAUAGAAUUUAUCAUUCCUUUCAUUAUUUUGCUGUUCGGGAUCUAACGAAGUAUCACUAAUCUAAGCAGUGAUCUGUCAUUUCCUGAAAAGAUCUAAUAGUAAUCUACUAUAUUCAUGCAUGGCAAAGCUUAAAUUUUUUUUUAAGCUGAUGAAACAUACUUUUUAUCCAUACAUUUUGUGGGACCCACUACUUUAUAUCAACUUAUGAUCCACACAUUCCAUAAGACCCAUAACUUCGAAGCAUUUCAUCAACGCCAAAGCGAAUAUCAAGAAUGCUGAUGAAUACCUUGAAGAAAUAGAUACUGACGAAGGAAAUUUUACAUUAAUUUUAUCAACAUUGCCACACAUAAACCAUCUUCUACACUGCCAUAGACAGAUCCAUCAAAGUAACAUUCACAGGAAUGGAAAAACACACUUCAUCUAAUCAGAGUUCUAAUCUAAAUAUAAAAGCAUGUGCACAGAGAAAAAUCACCUUAACAUUAUAUGAUGAUCAUCAAAUCUUGCAGGAAGCAAAUUGUCCGAGAUCAAUGCUUGUCGAAAAGCAUCCACAGCCUUCAGCUCCUCUAUUUCAGAAACAUCCUCAAUUUCAGAAACUCCAAAAUCAUUCCUCCUCCUCAGCUUAUUUCUUAUAGAAUUUCUUAGUUUGCUGGAUACAUUUUUAGCCCUUCUGAAAAUACCAAAUCUUGUUCUUCCCUCUGAAAUUUCAGCAUCUGAUUUCUGUUUGUUUCUUUCAUCAGUACCACAACCUGGUGAAAAUAACAUUUUUAUCACUCGAUGAGACUACUAAACAUUAAACCCUUUAAGCAACAUGCCCUUUUAUCAUUUCAUCUACCAAAACCCAUCAAAUGAAAUAAAUUCUGGCAGGACUUCACAUUACACUGCCCAGAGAAUCAGUAUCUAUUUGGCAUGACCAGAAGCGAUUAAAUAAACACACGAUGAGAAGUACCCAUUUUUGAGUUUGGAUGUAUAAUAUUUGUGACAAGUGAAUCACUUUUAUGACUCCAUCAAUAAUACUCCACUUUGAUGAAAAAGUUGCUACUUUUGUGGGAUUUGGAACAUGAUUUUUUUCAUAACCAUUCUUUAGUAUUUAUUUAUUAAUAUAACUAAUCGUAAUAGUGGUGUCAUAGAUAAAGAGUUGAGAGAAGGAAACUGCCUUUCAUGAAGGGGAACUGAGUUAAACAGCUAUCUAUCUCACAUCGAUUGAGAAACGAAAGUAACUUUCUAGUGUUUCUUAUAAAAAGAGGUCUACAUUUGUUGGAAAGAAAAUAGAAAGAAGGGAAAUAGAAAUGGAAUGGGUUUAUUUACACUAAACUGCAAUCAGGUUUGGGCCUGAAGGGGCACCCAUGUUUUGUGUGGGUGGAGGCCCUACACAAUUGAAGGGUUGAACCCAAUUGCCAGUUCGGUGCAAAUAAACCCUCCCAUAAAAUUUUUGGUUCCCGACAAAUGUGGGACACGAUAUUAAUUAAAUUUUCUAUUCUUCCUUUUGUCUUUUUUCCAGCAAACAAAAAGCCACUAGCAAGCUACUUUCUAUUGUCAACUUUUUUUUUUUUUUGGGGUCACGGAAGAGGAAUUAUAAGAAGAAAAAUUACUCUAUUUCUUACUAAAUAGAAAUUACAGAGAAUUAAACUCUUUUUAAAAUAUUUAAAAAAAAAAAAAAAAAGCCUCAUUCUCUCUAAACUCCCUCUUUCUUUUCAUUUUGAGGAUGGUUUACAAUGAUAAGGCUCUAUAGAAAAUAACAAUUUGCCCAUCCUUCAUUAAUUGCAUAAUAUCCAUUAUCAACAAAAAUUGCAAAAGUUGGUUGCUUUUCUCGGUAUGUAAUUUUGUUCAAAUAAGGCCAAAGUCAAAUAAAUUAGCUGCCUUCUUCCGAGCAUAUUGCGGCUGAGAAGGGAAAAAUUUAAUCUUUCAUUUUUCUACCUUUUCUAUUGUCAAGAAAAAGGUCGUUGCUGGCGUUUCCCUUCUCUUUUCAAUUUUUCAACAAAGUCUACUAGCUUCAUUCCAAAAAACUUGUUUCAUUUUUCGUCCUUUGACAAAAAUCAAGAAAUAAGUAAAAAAAUGGAGGCUGGACAUGUCAAUUCUCCCCCUCCAAUCUCAUCUAAAGCAAUUGUUAUUUGAUAACCAUCCAAGCUUCUUAGGUCUCUGUGUAGCUCUAGUUUCUUCCAUAGAACCCAAAAGGAGAUAGAGGAAAUGUCAUUAGUACCUAUUCUUCAACAGUCGGAAGCUUAAUAUAUGCUCUGGCAUGUACCAAGCUAGAUAUAGCUCAUGCAGAGAGCACGGUGAGCCUUUUUCUCCGUAAUCCUAGAAAGGAACAUUGGGAAGCAGUUAAGUAGAUUCUCAUGUAUCUCAAGGGUACAUCGAAGACAUUUUUGUGCUACGGGAGAACCAAUCCAAUCUUGGAGGGAUAUACCGAUUUAGAUAUGGCCGGAGAUCUUAAUGGCAAAAAAUAUACUUCGAAAAAAAGAUGAAAAAUGAAAGAUUGAAGUUUUCCCUUCUUAGACGCAAUAUGUACAAAAGAAUACAGCCAUUUUGUUUGACUUAGGUAUUAAUUCACCAAAAUUAUGUACAGAUAAAGGCACCCAACAUUUGCAAUUUCUGAUGACAAUAGACGUGAUGCAAUUAAUGAGGGUUGGCCAAAUUUUUACUAUAAAUAGAGCCUCAAUUCAUCUAUUGUAAACCAACUCCAACCCCUCCCCCAACCCAAUCCCUUAAUAAAAAUAAAAAUAAAAAUAAUGAGUGAGUUUAGAGGGAACGAUGUCUCCUCAUUCAUGAUCAAAGAAUCAAAGAAUCACAAUACUUUCUUCUCACAAUCAGCGUGGAAUCGAAGUCGUUUUCAUUCCUUUUCACCCACAUUAGGCAAUUUAUUUUGUUCAACUCUUCAUCUCCAUCAAAAUCAAUAUUAUUGAAAAAAAAAAAUAGGCAUUAAUAAAAAAAAGACCAAAAAAAUAGGUAUUAAUAACUAAAAGACCAAACUCAAGUCACGAUUUCCUACAAAUUGAACGAAGUUUGAAACAUACUAAUGAAAUAAAUUCGUAACCAUGAACAUCUUCACAAUUAUAGAAAUUAAUCUUACUUUCAACCCAACAAAGAUAUUUGCAAGAAUCUAUAUAUACUACAUCUCAAAAGAAAUUUACCAAGACAAUAUCCUUUCCAUUCACGAAUUUCCUUAAACAAUAUACAAUUAUGUCAUUUCUCUAAGGGAGUAAUGAAUAGAACAUUAAAGAAGAGAAACAAAAUAAAAAAACCUUGUUCAUUAGGCUGUCUAUUACAAUCUAAUACCACGUAUUAAACAUGCACUUAAUAUACUCUAAAUGAUAACACAAAGCCCAAUUACUCUUCACAUACAAUGUCAUCAAAUCUCAAUUCCCAGUGCAGAAACACAUCCUCUUUUUACAAAAAUAAAAAAUAGAAAAUAGAAAAAAUAAUAAAUACUUUCCCCAAAAAUAUAAGGCAGCCAAUUUCAUUGCACAACAUAGAAUUCAUAAAAAUUGAGUUGAACUCAUCUCAAAAUAUGUAGUAUAAGAAGAUUUACUUAAAAGAAGCAAAAGUGAUUUUUUUUUUUUUUUAAAUAAAUAAUCUUUUAACUGGUGAAAGCAUGAGUACUUGUUUACAUGAAAUCAUGGAUCUAUUUGAAAAAGACUUACUUUCUUUAAUUAAGGGAAAAAAAAAAAAAAAAAAAAGAGUUACUCAAACAUGUUUUAAUUUCCUUCAAAAGUAAAAGAUGCAAAACCCAAAAUAGAAACAAAAAGUAUACAAUUAAUCCACUUCAAAUAAUCACUAAAAAAUAGAACAAUAUACUCACAAGGGCUUGAAAUUCGAUCCAAAGUCUUUGACAUUGCACUGUAGAGGAAACAAAAUCUACUCAAAAACCCUGCACAUAUAUACAAUUAAAAUCAGAGAAAAUAAUUUUCUGAAUGCGGUUCUUAAGUUCUUAUGAAGCUGGUGGCGGGUGGGUCCCAUAUGGAAGAUAGCAACGUGGCAGCAGCGUGUGAUACUUUAGUGUAAAACUGGCGGGAAUAUGCCACCGAAUAUAGGGAAUGCAUAGAUUUUUUCGUUUGUACGAUACUAUACUUUUUCCGCGAAUAACUCAUUCGUUAUAAUCAAGAAUUGGGAUUAUAAGUAACCAAAUAUAGGCACGUUUGAAUUGGAUCAUUAAACUUUUCUUUGUCUCAUUAGGGUCACUGGCUUUCAAUUGAGUUUCAAAUUUCACCACUAUGAAUCAAGAAUUGGGAUUAUAAGUAACCAAAUAUAAAUAAGUUUUAAUUGGAUCGAUAAACUUUUCUUUGCCUCAUUAGGGCCACUAACUCACUGACUUUCAAUUUAGUUACAAAUUUCACUACUAGGAUUAUUUUUCUUGAACAUAAUGGAUACCAUUCACUGACUUUCAAUUUAGUUACAAAUUUCACUUCUAGAAUUAUUCUUCUUGAACAUAAUGGACACCAUAAUGGUGUCCAUAAUGCCCAUGUGGCCAUUAUAGUGUUCAUUAUGUACCUCAAGCAUUAUUCUCACUGCUAUUUUAUUUUUCGACAAUUCAAAUUGAUAUAAGAAUCUAACUUGGCUGACAUAACAUAAUUGAUGUUUCGCAUAAUUGGUACGUGAUACCUAAAUACUAAAAUAGCGUUAUUAAGUUUAUAGCAAUGUCUUUAUACUAAAAAGGUGAAGUGUAUAUUAUUUUACUUUAACACAUGUAUGAUUUGAUUUGGUAAUAAGUUGCCAUGUCACGUGGCGAAUACGUGAAAGAUUCAUUUCCGUAGAUAAUCAAUUAAGUAAUUUUCAUCAAUUCGAAAGACAUUAGUAGACAAAAUGAUUAUAUUCAAAUUUGGAGUUGAAGUUCAAUAUUGACAUAAUUGAAACUAAAUUUAAGUUUAAUGACCUAAUUGAGAAAAAAAUAAAGUUUAGUGACAAUUGAAAUUUUGCUAAAAGUUCGGUGACCGCAAAUGACAUUUAUCCAACCAAUUGUAUUUUUAUAUAAGAUGAAGCAAAGUGGGUUUUGAGAAAAUAAUUGAAAAACGAAUAGAAGGCAUUACUUGUUUGAAGAAGCUACACCUCUUGUAUCAAGAAAAAUAUUUUGAUUAAUUUAAUAUAAUUAUGUAACAAAUGUUAAUUUAUUGAACUUUUAAUAUAAUGUUAAUUUAAUAAAUGUCAUUGUUAACCAUUUUUCAAGUCAUCGAUAGAAAAUUUCAAUGAUUGUAAUUAUUAUAAUAAUUUAAAUCACCAUGAAGUUAGUGUUGCCAUAUAUAUUACAAGGAAUUGAAAACUUAUUUAUAAUUAACUACAAGUAACAUGUGUUUUACAUAAUGUUCUAAUAUAUGAUUUUCAUUUUUGACAAGCGACGUAGUCGACACAUUCAAGAAGUCUUCAGAUCGUGACUUAAGACAUCAAGAACGGCCAAAAGAAGCAAGUUUCUUGCAAGCACAUGAACAAUUAAAAGAAGUCGUGUAUAUUUUCCUGAAGUUUUUAGCAAAAAAAUAAAGUAAUUUUCUAAUAGAAUACAAAUCAAUUAUACAACUCCAUAUUUUAUUACAUUUUCUCAAAUUUUCUAGGGAAAUACAUGGAAAUGACCCAAAUAGAAAGGCCAUUUUUCCAAAAUAGCAUUUGGCUAAUUUUGAUACCCAAAAUACCCCCUUUAUAAUAUUACAUAAUAAGUUAAUGAAAUAUAGAAAUAUUUCAUUUUAGUCGUUAAAAAAUUAAAUAUUGCAUGAGUUUUAAUAGAUUACCAAUUUAUUUGAUUUUUGUUCACUCUAAGUAGCACCCCAUUUAUUGGUAUCAGAGUCAUAGAGAUCAUGAAAAUUAAAAUAAGAAAAAUAGAUAAUUAAUAGUGUUUAAAAGAAGAAAAAGGUAGUUAUAUAAUAUAUAUAUAUAUAUAUAUAUAUGAAGAUAAAUAAAAUAAUUUAUAUUAUAAAGAAAAGUAUGAGUACAAGUAAUAAUACACAUUUAAAAUUAAAUAAACUACAUAUAAAAAUGAAAAAAAUACAAGAGGAAAUACGAAAUAUAAUGUUAAUACCAGAAAGAAUGAGAAUAUCAAAUAAUAAACAAUUAAUAAAAUUAAGAUGUGAAAAAUUAAAACUUGAGAGCAAAUAUUUUAUUAUAGUAAAAGAAGAAUUAAUAGAUCAAAUACAGCUGAGAGAAAAUUUGGAAAAAUAAUAAAUAAAAAAGAAGAUAAAAUAUGCAAAUUAACCUAUGAGUUAGAAAUAAGAAAAAAUUAAGAUGUCAAUAAAUGAAUAUAUGGAAGAAUUAAAGUCAUUAAUAAAAAUAUUAAUAAAUGAUGUACAAUAUUUAAGAAAUAAAAUAAAAGAAACAAGAAGCGAUAUAAAUAUACUAAAAAUUGAAAUUAGAGAAUGAAAAGAAAAUAAUAAAAAUAAAGAUAAAAAAAUAGAUAAAAAAAAACAUAUAGAAAAAAAAAUAUAGUAAUAGAAACAUGAAGUAUGGAUGAUGAAUUUAGAAAGAAUAUAUUACAAAAAAUAUUAGAAGAUGAAGAAGAAUCUAGAGAAAAAUUAUUAGGAAAAUUAAAAGUAGAAGAAAAGGAAGAUGAGUGAAGAAUUAGAUUUGUUAAUAGAAAAUUUUGAUCAAUUAAGUUUAACUAAUAUAAGUGAAUACCAAGUUUUAAUGAAUACUAGAGGAGAACCUAAUCUAGCAAGAACUUCUAGACAGAAAUUAUAUGAUACAGAUGAAAGUUAUGCACCUCUAUAUAAUAACAGUUAUCUCAGACAUACAUGACAUUCUUUCACAAGGGCUUUACAAGGCCCUCACUGUAUGGAGGGGCCCACCUUGUGUCUUCCCUGACAGGGGCCUGUGAACCAAGCCCCUGUAAAUGUAGCAUCACUCAUAUAAUAAAUCAUAUAGACAAUUCUAUGAUAAAGUAAAAGAUAGACAACCACCUAAAGAAAAUAAAUAUAAAGAUAGGUUUGAAUUAAAUGAUAAUUAUGAUAAACCAAUUAAUCAUGGAGGAACAAAACUAGAUUUAGACUAUAAAAUAGAUACUCAAAAAGUCUUACUGAUUUGGGCAAAUUCAAUGAUAUUAUUCUUUUUAUAUAACAAAGAUGACACAUGGAAAAAUAUUGAAAGAAUAAUAGAUUUCUUAAUAGCAUCCUUUGAAGGAGAUGUUAGAAAUUGGUGGGAAGAAAUAAGUAAUGAUACAAAAACAUUAAUAAAAAGAAAUGUACAAACAGAAAUAAUCAAGUCAGAUGGAAAAGGUAUAGAAAAAUUAGUAGAAUAUAUUUCAAAUGAAUUUUUAGGAGAAAAUUGGAUAAGAAAUGCUGAAGAAGAACCAAUAAGAGAAAAAGAUAGUGCUAGAAUAAAAUUAAUAAAUUUAACAAGAUGUGAUAUGUAUAAAAUUAAAGAAUAUACUUUUGAAUUUAAAAAUUACUAUUAUGUUCAAUUUUAUAGUAAUGAAAAUCAAGAAGUUUACCAAGACAUGUACUAUAAUAAGUUACCAGGUUCAUGAUGAAUAUAUUUUAAAGUAGAAUUUGAAAAAUAUGUAGAGAGUUAAUAUUGGAAUACCCAGAACUUUAGGUUCAAGAAUAAAAUUUUUAUUNNNNNNNNNNNNNNNNNNNNNNNNNNNNNNNNNNNNNNNNNNNNNNNNNNNNNNNNNNNNNNNNNNNNNNNNNNNNNNNNNNNNNNNNNNNNNNNNNNNNNNNNNNNNNNNNNNNNNNNNNNNNNNNNNNNNNNNNNNNNNNNNNNNNNNNNNNNNNNNNNNNNNNNNNNNNNNNNNNNNNNNNNNNNNNNNNNNNNNNNNNNNNNNNNNNNNNNNNNNNNNNNNNNNNNNNNNNNNNNNNNNNNNNNNNNNNNNNNNNNNNNNNNNNNNNNNNNNNNNNNNNNNNNNNNNNNNNNNNNNNNNNNNNNNNNNNNNNNNNNNNNNNNNNNNNNNNNNNNNNNNNNNNNNNNNNNNNNNNNNNNNNNNNNNNNNNNNNNNNNNNNNNNNNNNNNNNNNNNNNNNNNNNNNNNNNNNNNNNNNNNNNNNNNNNNNNNNNNNNNNNNNNNNNNNNNNNNNNNNNNNNNNNNNNNNNNNNNNNNNNNNNNNNNNNNNNNNNNNNNNNNNNNNNNNNNNNNNNNNNNNNNNNNNNNNNNNNNNNNNNNNNNNNNNNNNNNNNNNNNNNNNNNNNNNNNNNNNNNNNNNNNNNNNNNNNNNNNNNNNNNNNNNNNNNNNNNNNNNNNNNNNNNNNNNNNNNNNNNNNNNNNNNNNNNNNNNNNNNNNNNNNNNNNNNNNNNNNNNNNNNNNNNNNNNNNNNNNNNNNNNNNNNNNNNNNNNNNNNNNNNNNNNNNNNNNNNNNNNNNNNNNNNNNNNNNNNNNNNNNNNNNNNNNNNNNNNNNNNNNNNNNNNNNNNNNNNNNNNNNNNNNNNNNNNNNNNNNNNNNNNNNNNNNNNNNNNNNNNNNNNNNNNNNNNNNNNNNNNNNNNNNNNNNNNNNNNNNNNNNNNNNNNNNNNNNNNNNNNNNNNNNNNNNNNNNNNNNNNNNNNNNNNNNNNNNNNNNNNNNNNNNNNNNNNNNNNNNNNNNNNNNNNNNNNNNNNNNNNNNNNNNNNNNNNNNNNNNNNNNNNNNNNNNNNNNNNNNNNNNNNNNNNNNNNNNNNNNNNNNNNNNNNNNNNNNNNNNNNNNNNNNNNNNNNNNNNNNNNNNNNNNNNNNNNNNNNNNNNNNNNNNNNNNNNNNNNNNNNNNNNNNNNNNNNNNNNNNNNNNNNNNNNNNNNNNNNNNNNNNNNNNNNNNNNNNNNNNNNNNNNNNNNNNNNNNNNNNNNNNNNNNNNNNNNNNNNNNNNNNNNNNNNNNNNNNNNNNNNNNNNNNNNNNNNNNNNNNNNNNNNNNNNNNNNNNNNNNNNNNNNNNNNNNNNNNNNNNNNNNNNNNNNNNNNNNNNNNNNNNNNNNNNNNNNNNNNNNNNNNNNNNNNNNNNNNNNNNNNNNNNNNNNNNNNNNNNNNNNNNNNNNNNNNNNNNNNNNNNNNNNNNNNNNNNNNNNNNNNNNNNNNNNNNNNNNNNNNNNNNNNNNNNNNNNNNNNNNNNNNNNNNNNNNNNNNNNNNNNNNNNNNNNNNNNNNNNNNNNNNNNNNNNNNNNNNNNNNNNNNNNNNNNNNNNNNNNNNNNNNNNNNNNNNNNNNNNNNNNNNNNNNNNNNNNNNNNNNGCAGUAUAUAUACAAGUUACUAUAGUAGAAACAAAUAUAACAACUUGUGCCUUAAUUGAUACAGGAAGUGAUAUAACCAUUUUUAAAAAUUUCUUAAUAAAAUCAUGGAAUAAAAAUAGUAAAAUAAAAAUAACAGAAGUGACUGGGGAAAGCACUCAAAUAAUUGAUAGUGCUAAAAAUGUUAAUAUAAUACUUGGUAGUAAACAAGUUAUAAUAAAUAAAGUAUAUAAUUAUAAUAAAUUAUAAUGUGAUAUAUUAUUAGGAAAUGAUUUUAUUCAACAAUUUCAAUAUUAUAAACAAAAUAAUUACAUGAUAAUGUUACAAACACUUUGUGCACAUCUAUUAAAAAUACCAAGAGAAUUUAGACCUUACAAAGUUCAGCCAGCCCAGCGUGGUGAUAAAUGGGAAAAAUGACCAAUAGUACAAGAUUAACUAAAAAAUAAAAAACUAUCAUAGAAAAAGAUCCUAAAAACAGAAAUAGAAAUAAGUAUGAAAAAAUCAUAAAACAAUUAGAGAAAAUUUAUGGAGAAAACUCAUUAUUAUUUUGGAAACCAUUUCAUCUUAGAGCUAAAAUAGAAUUAACAGAAAAUGUUAUAAUAAGAGUUAGAUCAAUGAUGUAUACUAUAGAAGAUACAAAAGAGUUCAAAAGCCAGAUAAAAGAAUUAUUAGAAUAAAAACUUAUUAGACCUAAUAAUGGACCUCAUAGUAGUCCAGCCUUUAUAGUUAUGAAACAUUCUUAACAAGUUACAGGAAAAGCUAGGAUGGUCAUAAACUAUAAAGAAUUAAACAAAUAUACUAAAUUUGAUGGUUACUUUCUACCAAAUAAAGAAGUGUUAAUAAAUUUUGCAAGAGGACAACAAUAUUAUUCUAAAUUUGAUUGUAAAUUAGGAUUUUGAUAAAUAAAAAUGGAAGAAGAUAGUAUACAAUAUAUUGCAUUUAGCACACCUCAAGGAAAAUAUGAAUGGUUAGUUAUAUCACUUUGUCUAAAAAUGCACCACAAAUAUAUCAAAGGAAAAUUGAUAAUAUAUUUAAAAAGUUUAAUGAAUUUCUAAAUGUUUAUAUAGAUGAUAUAUUAAUAUGUUCUAAUAGUAAAGAAGAACAUAGAAAUCAUUUAUUCCAAUUUAUUAGAGAAUGUAAAAAAGAAGGAAUUGUAUUAUCUAAAAAUAAAUUUAUAAUAGAAAAAUAAGAAAUAGACUUUCUUAGAUUAUCAAUAAAUAAAAAAGGGAUAAAAUUAUAGACUCAUAUAUCCAAAAAGAUAGAAAGUUUUUCAGAUAAAUUAGAAUUCAAAGAACAAAUACAAAAAUUCUUAAGAUGUUUAAAUUAUGCGGAAGGAUUUAUUGAAAAUCUUUUUUAAAAAAAGAUAUAAAAUCCAAGUUUUACUUAGAAAAACAAAUACUAAGGGAUGGAAUAAAAAACAUACAAAAAUAGUUAAAUCAUUAAAAGAAGAAUGCAAAAAUUUAUCAAAAUUAAGAUUACCAGAUGAAAAAGAUAAUUUGAUUGUUAAUAUUGAUGCCUUAUAUAAAUAUUGGGCAGCAAUAUUAAAAACAAAUCUAAAUGAAAUUUGUAGAUACUCAAGUGGAACCUUUAAUCAAGCAGAAAUAAAUUAUACUACUUAUGAGAAAAAAUUACUAGCAAUUAUUAGAAGAAUAAAGAAGUUCACAUUAUUUUUAUUAUCCAAAGACUGAUAAUUCUCAAGUUGCAGGAUUAGUCAGGAAUAAAUUACCAUUAGAACCCCAAUACAGAAGGCUCCAUAGAUGGCAAGCUUAUUUAGCAUUUUAUAAUUUUGAUAUAGUCUAUAUUAAAGGAGUUAAUAAUUUUCUUGCAAGUUUUCUCAGCAGAAACAUAGAAUUUGCUGAUGGAUAAAGCCAAGGCCAUGGAAUUAUAUCAAUCUAUCCAACAUAUAUAAAAAAGGACAGAUUUUUUUAAAGAAGAAUCUGAAGAUAUAAACUAUGGAGCAACCCAGAUCUCAGAGAUGUUCAACUCAAAUAUAAAAAUACUAUUGAAUAUCACUACUGAGUAUCAUAAAUAUGCCAUAGAACUCAAAAAUCAAGUUGAUGCUAUUGCAACACAACUAAAAGAUAUAAUGUCUGAGACAUAUAUACCAAAGAGCUCAGAAAUGAGUUUUUCAAAUCAAUACCAAACAGGGACAGCUGGAAGCAGCAGUGGACCCAGACGUGACAACAUACCAACUGAUAAUAAAGGAGAUUCCAUUUUUAUAUUAUCAACCAAGAAAGUUAUGAUAAAUGGAGAUAAAUGAGAUACCAAAACAAUCAGUAUCAUAGAUCAAGAAGAUAAAAUCCCUUUAGAUCCAAAAGAAGAAAAAUAUGCUGAAAUAGUCAAAAUUGCUUAUGAAAUAAAAAUGAGUGAUUCAUAUUUCAUUUCUCCGAAAAAUAAUGUUUAUCCCAAAAUAACAGCCAUGGAAGGAGGAAACCCUUCAUUUGUAAAAAUUAUGGCAAACUAUGGAUUCAUGGAUUUGAUUUAUCCAGGAAAAGAUUUUAUUGAAAUUUCAAAGUUUGAUGACAUAUUCAUUAAAUAAGUAUCCAGAUUUGUCAAGAGAAGAAAAAUAUAUCUGAAAUUCUAUUCAAUCAGUCUAGAAUAUGAUGGAGUUGUUUACUAUCCAGUUGAACACAUAAUCUCAAUUAGAUAAGUUGCAACCAAUUCCAAAUUGAUGUUACAGAAAAUAAUAGAAAAGUUCCAACAGUGACAAAAUCAUGGAUCAUACAUAGAAGAGCGCUUGGAACUAAAGCCAUCUACAACAUUGCCAAAAAUUUGUUUGAUAAAAAAUUCUCGUACUUGUGCCAAUAUGAAAAUUGGAUGUUGUAUCCAAUGGAGGAUAUGGAAAAUCAAAAAUCUUAAAAGAUUAUAUUACAAGAUUUGAUAUACAUCAAUUUUCAGGAUAUCCUACUACUAUAAAAGAAGUCUGCCAGCUAAGGGAAUGCCCCAGCUGCAUGUGAAGAAAUAAAGGAAGAGGACAAUAAUAGAGCACCUUUGACAAAGGUGUACAGCUGCAUGUAAAGACAUUGAAGAUAAAGAGUAAUAAUAGAAAAAUAUGCUAUUUGAAUAAAAAGUUGAAGCAACAUGUAGGCCCAAGUAGGAAAAAUAGAGAGGCAAGUGUGCCUUGUUGAUGUACUCAAUGAUGUAAUAGAGUCUCAUAAACUUGUAUAAAUAGGACAUUGCUAUAGAGAAAGAUCAUCUUAUCUCGAAAUCUCGAGUUGUAAGCAAUAGCUACUCAAAAAAUCAUUCUCAGUUAGAAAAUCAAGUUUUUCUGGAUAUCUCUUUGUACCAAAUAGAAGUCUUGUAUAAAUUCUGAUAGAAAUAAAAUUCCAAUAUUUUUUAUAUGAAUAUGAGUUUCUAAAUCUUUAUUCCUAUAGAUUCUUGAAAGAUUUGAUAAAAAAGUUUCCUUAAUAUUUUAGCAAAAAGAAAGUUUUUCUUUAGCAGAAGUCUAGAAUUUUAUUUUUUAAAAGUUGAUACAGUGAGAGCAAGUAGCUGAAAUAGUAACAAUUCCAUAAAGGCAGGAGGUCGUUGAAGGAAACAGUUUACAGAUUCAAAGCUCGAAGGUCACUCGAUUCUAAAAAUAAAAGUCUAGAUCAAAUCUAAGGUAAAACUAUUAAAUUUUUGCUAAAAUUAGAAUGAAUCUUUUUAAGAUCUUAAAGAAUCGCAGGGAUUAAUUGAUGAUUAUAAAUAAAUUCCAGGAUAUACAAUUGAAAGAUUAGAUAAUCUAUUAGAAAAAAUGUUAGAAAAAAUAAAGAAUAUUACAUCUCAAUUAGAAAAUAUAAAUUUACCAUUUGAAGAAUGUAGCAUUUUAAUUAAAAAAUACAAAAUAUAUGUUGCAGAUUAUUCUUAUUUAUUAGAUCAUAGAAUGAAUUUAUAUUAAAAUAUUCAAAGUAGAAAUGUUUAAAAGACUAGGAUAUAUGUUUCAGUAUAGAAAGAACCAUUUCAUUAAGGGUAAUAUAGACCUUUCAACAAAAAAAUAAUGCAGAGAAAAUCGGCUAGGUUGAUUGUUAAUAGUCGGCCUAGCCAAAAGACUUUUUUUGCCUUUAUUAUCUAUUUUUAAAAAAAAUAUUUAUAUAUUUCAUAAUGCAGAUAUAGAUCAACUAUAGUUUCGACUUUGUUACUUUGGUGAAUUUGAAAUGAACGAAAAUGAUCGAUGGACAUAAAAAUGGACUAGUGAAAGACAUAAUGCUAUUGAAAUUGUGAUAACAUCGAGUACAUCAUAUGUGGAAAAUGUACAAUGAUUUAAGGAACAAGCUCAACAUCGAUCACACUCAAUACGAUACGGAAUUGGGAUUUCUAUUCAACAAGCACACAUUCAUUUCAAUUCCAAAUGUAAAUGCUAAUUCUGAAGCUGAAAUAAAAUUUCUAAAUGAAUUGAACCAAAAUUGCCCGACUCCUAUUCAUGUAACUUUAAUGGUGAAGAAUGUUCACGAGAGUGAAUAUGAAGAUUCUGAUUGAAGGGAUAGUAAAUGUGAAUGAUUUUUUUAAAACACAUUGGAAGAUUGUUCUUGAGAAUGAAUACAUAAGAUUCCGAUUGAAGGGAUUGUAAAUGUGAAUGAUUUUUUUAGACACAUAGGAGAUAUCUUGUGAAGAUAAUCUGGUUAUUCUCUAAAUAGUUGUUCUUCACCAUGACCUCACUGUUAUGCACAAAAUUCUUUUGGUAGUUCAAGACAACAAGAAUGAAAAUAAAUUUAUAAAUGAGAAUUUGAUUGUUUUAUCUCGAGUUGGGUAAGAACUCACAGGUUGAAAUGAGUGAACGGCCCUAUAAUUAGUGGAGUGUGAUUUUCGAUAUGAAAAUUUGCAUGUCGAGUAACUGUUUGAAACGAAGAUAGAUUUACAGGAAGUAGUGCACCAAAUUGCAUUGAAACACAACUUUGAGUUUAAAUUGAAGAAAUGAAAUAAGCCGAUGUACACAAUUAUCUGAGUUGACGACAGUUGCCAUUGAUAUUUGCAAGCGAUAAAGAUGGAUACAAUCGAAUUCUUUAUAAAUCGCAAGUAUACACGAGAAUAUAUUUGAAAAGUGUGUAUUUGUCUAAAUGAACACAAACAAGCUUGAACAUAAUUUAUUGGUUGACAAAUAAUAAACAAAUUUCAAUACUCAAGGAUGACCUAUAAACCUUCGAACAUCAUCAACGAUGUCGCCCAAGAAUACAAGAAUGGUCAUGAGUUACCAAAAGAUCUGAAAGAUCAAAGAAUGUGUGUUGGAGAAUUUAAUGGUUUCAGCCAAUGAGAAUUUAUGCUAAAUUGGCCAAGUAUUGCUAUAAUAUUGGGAUAACUAAUCUUGACUCGGCAUUGUUUAUUGAGAUAGAGGGCGACAAUCGCUUCAAAUAUUUUUUCAUGAUUGUUGGACAAUGCAUUCAAAGAUUUCGAAAUGCGAUGCGACCCCUAAUUUUAGUUGACGGUACAACCUUAAAAGUUAGAUACAAAGGUAAGUUGAUUAUUGCUUCAUGUCAAGUUACUAACAUCCUAAUUUACCUUCUUUCGUUCAGGGACGUCGAUAACCUUACCUUUGUAACUAAUUGGGAACAGCCUAAAAUAAAUUAUGUCGCUGAAGUUUUUUUCGAAGCACAUUAUAGGUAUUGCAUAUACCAUACACAAAGCAACCUAAAGAGUAAGUAUUGAGGCAGUGGCAUCGUUGCGUUGUUUAGGAUAACUAUAGAAGUUUACAAUUUUUGAAAAAUGUAACAAGUUUAUGGUUGAAAUAGAAGUAAAUCACGUCUUACAUGGGAGUAUCUGACAAAUAUGGGAAUUGAACUCUUGGCACGAUCACAUUCUCCAGGACGUCGAUACAACAUAAUGACGUCAAACAAUGUAGAGUUGCUCAAUAUAUUAUUAAAAAGGAUCGAUAGUUAUCAAUUCUCACAAUGAUUGAACAUAUUCAUAACAAGCUAUAACAAUGAUUUCAUGAUUGACGUGCAGAAUUACAGAGUUGUACAAGUAUGCUAAUCGCAACUCAGGAAGAUAAACUCCUGAGAUGCGUGAAAAACGUACUUGUAGAAAUUUUUCGUUCAAUUUUUAAACUUGCAAUUACUUCCAAUUGAGCUUAUUUAAUCUUUGAUGACCGUUUUAUGUUUCAAAUCAACUAUUAGAAUGUUGUAAUUAGGUCCUCCAUACUUUGUUUCCCGCUAAUUCAAAUUUGAAUAAUCUUCGGUUUGAUUUUAAAACUUGUAAUUGCUUCCAAUUGAACUUAUUUAAUCUCCGAUCAAUGUUUUAUAUUUAAAAUCAACUGUUAGAAAGUUUCAAAUCAAGUCCCCAUACUUUGUUUCCUACCAUUUCACAUUUGAAAAAAUCUUCUUGUUCGAUUUUUGAACUUGCAAUUGCUUCCAAUUGAGCACAUUUGAUCUUUUAUCACCAUUUUAUGUUAUGAAUCAACUAUUAGAAAGUUGUAAUUAGGUCCCCAUACUUUGUUUCUCACCAUUUCACAUUCAAAUAAUCUUUCGUUCGAUUUUUAAACUUGUAAUUGCUUCUAAUUGAGCCUAUUUGAUCUUCAAUCACCGUUUUACGUUUUGAAUCAACUAUAAAAAGUUGCAAUUAGGUCCCAAUACUUUGUUUCCUACCAUUUCGCUUUCAAAUAAUACCCCAUUCGAUUUUAAAACUUGCAAUUGCUUCCAAUUGAACAUAUUUGAUCUUCGACACCGUUUUAUGUUCUGAAUCAAUUAUAAAAAGAUUGUAAAUAAGUUCCCCUACUUUGUUUCCUAUCAUUUCACAUUUGAAUAACCUUCCAUUUGAUUUUGAAACUUGCAAUUGCUUCCAAUUGAGCUUAUUUGAUCUUCGAUCACCGUUUUAUGUUCCAAAUAAACUAUUAAAAAGUUACAAUUAUGUUCCUAUACUUUGUUUCCCGUCAUUUCACAUUCGAAUAAUCUUUUGUUUGAUUUUCAAACUUGCAAUUGCUUCCAAUUGAACAUAUUUGAUCUUCAAUCGCCAUUUAUGUUUCGAAUCAACUAUUAAAAGUUACAAUUAGACCCCCGUACUUUAUUUCUUGCCAUUUCAUAUUCGAAUAAUUCUCUAUUUGAUUUUUAAACUUGCAAUUGUUUCCAAUCAAGCCUAUUUGAUGUUCAAUCAUCGUUUUUCUAGAAAGCGAUAAUUAGGUUCUCGUACUUUGUUUCCCAUCAUUUCACAGGUAAAUAAUCUUUCGUCGACCACUUUCUCCACCACCCCCUUCGGUACCACAGCCUUCACAUCUUCUACCACCUUUUCUGGUAUCCCCUCUAUCACUUCCUCGGCUAUUCCAACAGUCACCAGCUCCAUUACUCCUUUCGUCCCAGCCACCAUUAUAUCCUCUGUUACACCCUUUUUGUCCUGGGCACUGUAACAUCUUAGGUCGGCCCUAUGAUUACUAGCUCCAUAACUAUCAGGUCUCUCCCUCCAUCCUGAACAUUACCAACCCUUUCCUCCUAGGCACUAUACGAUCCUCCAUCUAGGACAUCAUCGUGGCCAUCCCCUUCCAGAAAUAUAAAAAAAGAUUCGAAUGUAGAGUCCGAUGGCUAUGAUGAAUCAUCAUACCCUAUGUGAUCCUCUCCUUUGGUACCUUCGCUAUUCUCUCAGUCCCCGAGGACCACCAGUCUCUCCAACACUUGCACUGCUUAUCCCUCUAUCACCCCCUCAUAGCGCUGUGGCCUCAUUAUGAAAGUUUCCUAAAUCGGUUAGUAGUCUUCUGUAUCAUGUCAUAACUCUACUAUAUCCCUUAUCUCCCAUUGCAAUGCCCCUAUCUCGUCUCGUAGCGCUCCUACCUCCUCCCUGAUAACUUUAGUUAGACAUUCAAACAAGUUAUCAGUGGAGGUACUAUGAUUAGGUACAUGAGAUCUAUGGGUGAUGUGUUUGGAUGCACAAGAAGGUGAUUUCAUCGGUGGUAAUGAUCUCCCCGACGAAGGCGAUGAUCGAUCAACUGGACAACGUUCCUACACAAAUGAGAAUAUUACAAAUUAAUAACUUAAUUAAAAUAUUACAACACAAAAUGUCCCAUUUCAAUCGAAGACGGACUUAGGCAUCUGGUCGUCUUGAGCAAACAUAAUGGAUAAUUCACUCACACCUCCUCCGUCGACACUGUUAACUCAGUAAGGACUUCAAGCUAACAUAUUGACAUUUCAACAAUUUAGUGAUUAUGUAUUGAGAUUUUGAAAUGACAAAUAAUAUAAAUCGCAAAUGUAUAAUCUCAACUCAAGAUCGUUGAUGAAAACUAAUAAUUGUUUAGCAAGUGGCCUGUCUUGUGCUUGGCAAUGACACAUCCAUAGGCAACAGUUUCCCUUCUCCUCACAUACCAGCCAGCCAAGAUGGGACAGACUCAUAUACCUAUAUCUACAUCACUUAUAAUUAUUAUAUACAAAUUUAAUAAAAAAAAAUUUAACGUACAUUAUGUUAAAUAUUUAACUGCAAUGCCAAGCCAUAUGCAUCAUACUUCUACUCGAGCUUUAUCCUCCUUGGACAUCAAAUGCCCCUCCUAAAGACACGUAAAGUAUCCUCAUAGCAUUUUCGCCCAUGGAUAGUUGUUGAAGGCAUCGAUAACAUUAAAAGCUUCAAAAUGGAAAAGUCAAUCGAUAUCUUUUUUGUAAUGACACCUCAGUACGCUCUCAAGGAUGAGUACUGAGCCCCACUUCAACUUGUCGAGCAUCUGGUCGCAUGCCCUAAAUGCAUCCCCUAACUGUGCCAGUUUACUAUCAUUUGUCAAUGAAAAUAUUUGUACAACAGCUCCAUAUUUUUAGGAAUACGAGCCCUCGUUACUGUUUAACUCAUACAUUUCAGUCCAGUGACAAUGGUAAAAAACAAGGGCCAUAUGCAAGAAUGGCGUAGCCUGUCUGCGUGCUCAUCAUCGAGCAACUCCAAUACCGUCAUAAAAUUGGUAAAGCUACAAUUCGACGUAACUUUGUCGAUAAUCUGUCUCAUUGCAUCCUACAAAAUUUCAAACGUUAGAACCUUGUACAAGAGAGAUAAUAGAAUAAAGUAUAAUAUCAAUAAAUUAAACUAACAAAUUUGUAACUACUAUACGGAAGAAAUUAAUUCAUUUUAUAUGGCAUGCUAAUAAAAAAUAAAUUAUAUAAAAAGAACAAAAAAAAUACAAAAAGAGUUAAAAAAAAGGGGGGGAUUGAAAAGAGAAUAACUAAAAAAGGAUUCAAAUUAUAAAUAAAAACAAAAAUAAGAAUUAAAGAUAAAAAUAUAAAGGGAAAAUAAUUAAAUAGAAAGAAAAAUUAAAUUAAAGGAAAUUAUUAAAAAAAAUUAAAAAUUAAAGAAAGUAUAUUAAAAAGUGUUGAAUAUUGAAAAAAAAAAUAAGAUUUUUUUUUUAAAAAAAUACAUAAAUAAUUAAUUAAAAAACUGGGCCAUCUUAAAAAAGACGACCCAGAUGUCGGCAUUUGUCCAUUUGAAAGGACGCCCGUGGGGCCUUCUUCUCCAACGGAGAUCGCCAUUUUCGACGAUCUCCUCCCCUAAAGACCUCAAUUUGUCAACCAACUUCCCCUACAUCCAUCACUCAACCUAAAUAAGUGUAUAUUAAACUCUAAAACAUGUGAAUCAUCCCGAAUAUAAUUAGGGAUAUCAACGAAAAGAGUUGAGUCGGCUCAUAAGUCGAAAUUCGAGGCUCGAAUAAAAUGAGCGAACUUUUUUUUAGGCCCAAGCUGAGCUUUUUUCUCGGCCAAAAAAAUUAAACUCAUCACAAGAUUUCGGCUCGAGCCUUUUCGAGACUGCCCCUUUUUUAAUGUAGCAGUCUGUUGCCUUUAAAAUAUAUAUAUAUAGGCUUGUGAACUCGAGUCGGUGAACCCAAAAUGGGGCUCGGCCUGAGCCUCGAGCCGAACCGGCUCAGACUUUUUCCAGGCCAAGCCACGAACAAUCCGAGCCAACGAGCCUGAUUGUCAUUCCUAACUAUAAUACAAAAAUUCAAUUCAUUUCCAUUACCAUUACUUAACUGUAAACUAAGGUUUGAUACACAAAGCUAACCUUGUUGAUGAUCUAUCGAUGUGUGUUACCAUCUACUAUAGUUUGGAUUGAUCGAUGUGUGUUUGGUAACGAAUCACCUCAAAGGGUCUCUCUCUCUCUCUAAGGGUGUUCAAGCCCUUUUUCUGUUUAUUUAAAUUCUCAGCUUUUUAUCUUUCAAAUUUUUGCAUUUAUUUUUUAUUUUAUUUAUUUAUUAUUAUUAGUUUUUUUGUCCCUUUAGAAAAAUGAUCAAAGGCACCAUUUCCUCGUUAAAGGUAAGUCUACUACUUUUCUCGAAGGUUCAGGACAAAUAAUAAAACUCAUCCUGUUUGAAAAUCAAAAUUUACUUGAAAGUAAAGUUUUAAGCUCACUCAAAAAUGCUUAAUCAGAAUAUCAAAUCCAAUUGUCCAACUUUAAUACAUUUUCUAGAUUAAAUUUCUCAAUUUUCGUUGUAUUGUGUCUUUAUAAUAAUUUUUUUUUCUCAAAAAACAUAAUUUUAAUUAGAUAAAAGAAAUGUCCACUCUUGAGAUGUCGAGUUGAUUUGAUUAUAUAAUCGCCUAUUAGGAAGAACAUGGACAUCUGGUUCCAAGUAGAAUCUCAAAAGUCAAUUUUAUUCAUAUGAGACUAUCGACCAUCAACAACUAUCGACACAUUUUCUUGGUCGAGGAUGAAAGAUCUCAGCCAUGGCACGGUGAAAACACCUACUUUGAAUUCAUCCCAAGUGUCAAGCGUAACAGACUGAUAAUAUGACUGUUCGAGUUUUCAAAUCGUCCACACUAACAACCCAUCUUAUAGAACAGGCAACACUAACAGGAUCAGAGGAAAAAAAAUAAAAAUAAAAAAAUAAAAACUAUUUAUGGACAGAAACCAGAAAGUUUAAACAAAUCAGCAUUACAUUAUGUUUUAUAUAUACACAUAUCGGCGAGCACUAUACAUACAAAGAAAACAGACACUAUUAACUACUAAAGAAGCCAGAGAAUGAUAUCUAGCCAUAUUCGAUAUGCUAAAAUGCACGCAACAGCCACAAGAUUUUAACAUUUUUCUUCGUUAAUUUUGUACAAUUUUGUUGAGUCACACAUACCAAACAUAUAGUCUAUAUACAAGUUAUCCGCCUGUCGUACCUGAAACCCAAAACAAAAUAUUUCACUAUUCUCAUAGGAUCGAAAAUCAAAGAAAGCCACAAAAUCUAAAAUUCCUCAAUGGCGUGUCUUGUUGGGAGACUAUUUAAGACUGAAUACUACUAAGAAAGAAGGCAAAACUAAAAUCUUAUACAUUAUAUUAUUUUCGAGUCCUAUUAUGUAGUACGUACCAAAGAGAGAGAACAAGACGACCUGCUAUGUCCAGUUCCUUUUUGAGCGAAGCUGAGUGAGCUUGUCCCUCCACAGAGCUGCAGUACAACACCAGAAGGUUACAUUCAAAAUCAUUGAGAAGCUUUUUUACUUCUUGUAAUCUUCAGAAAAUAGUAUUUAGUUUCUGUGUAAAAGGUUCCAAAAAAAAAAAAAAAAGGGGGCUCUGGCAGAAGCUAGAAACUCGGAAUCUUGAAUUCCAAACCCUCGAAUAUGUUCAAAGAUGAUCUUGUUCUGGGACUGAGCUUGGAGUCUUCUUAGGAGUGGAGUUUGGCUUGCCCCUCUCAAUCUUUCCCAUUAUAUGUGCAUGUUUGAAAAGCUUAAAUUAUAAUUUAAGUUGGUCAAACAUACUUUUUAUCUAUACAUUUUGCAUGACCCAAGUUUAUCACUUAAAAAGUACUACCAGAUAUUAACGUGCUUACAUAUGCUUAGCUACUAUGAAAUGGGAUUCGAGCUAUUUAAAUUUUUUAGUGUUACUCGCAACCAUUUAAGUAAUGAACAAACUCAAUGUCAGCUGGCUUUCUAGGCAGAAGUUUAAUAGUGUCUUUAAAAACAAAUAUACUUGAACAACAACAGUUACUGACUUGUAAAAUGAUGUCCUAGACAUAUAGUUAGAUAGAAUACCUGCAUCCUUGUAACGUUCCUCGACUGCAGCUAUUAGCAUGUUGCGCACAAGAUUAAACUCCUUUGUUUCAAUGGACAGCUGGGCACUAGGUCUGUAUCAAUAACAAAGUAGUUAGACUAUACUGAUAUUAUCUAAGGCAUGGGUUAACAAUCAGGUAAAGAUGACAGUUCCAUUAGUUACCACUCGAGAAAUUAAGAAAUAGGUCAUUAAUUCAUAAGAUAAACAAAUUUCUUUAUUAAAGAUUUUCCAUAUCUUUUCCCCUUCAGGUGUUAAUUAGCCAUGGAAAAUACUCCAUAAAUGCACUCUCUCAAAUGACAAUAAGAACAUACGAGUACUAGCAGUUCUUUUGGACUAACCGAAUUUCGUAUCUAAACACUCAAAGAAAAUGCAUCUUUUGCAACAAAAACAUGAAAAAGGUAGCCGAUAAACCACAACAAAAAGAGGUCACUGGGGAUAUCUAAUCUACCUGUCCAACUCAGUAAAUAAUAAGCCAUCUGAUGAGGAGCUAUGUACUGGCACUUUUUCAGGUUCAAUAACCUUCAUACCGUCCAUAUACACCAAGUAUUUGUUCACUUGGAUUGGCACCUAAAAAUUUAAGAAACAGUAUAAAAUAUCAUUGAUUUUAGGAAACCAUACAUUGAAAAAGCAAAAGCAAGAUGCAUUAUUCGAUCCAACUCAUGGUAAUUGGUUCAAUCUAGACAGGGCAUGUACUAUAGCUGCCAAGGCUAAGUCCAGGUGAAAAUGAAAAAAUGCCCAUUACAAACAUAUAAAAUCAUCAUAAAUAAACUGUUCAAGACGAUUGUACAACUAGACAGACAGAGGAAAAAAACACCAUAAAAUUUUAUUUAUUUUCGUAGCAAAUGCACCCUUAUUGGUAUUCAUAUAUAUUUGAAAUGAUAUUAUGAUGAUACUGCAACUGUAAAUGCAGUAUAGUACACUUUUUGGUCAUAAAUCCUCAAUAUAGUGUGCCCCAGUUUGAAAGCAAUGUUUUAAAGGUCCACAAUUUCUAAGUUUUCACAAUUCAGUUUCGAUCUAAUUUUUCACAAUUCAGUUUCGAUCUAAUUUUUCACAAUUCAGUUUCAACAACUGUCUUUCUUCCAAAACACCAUUACUUCGCGUGGUGCAAUGUGACAAUUUAUUAUGUUUUAACAUUUGUAAUGGCAACAAAAACAACAUUUUAAACUCCAAAUGCAUAAAAAAAGAAUGAAAGAAAAAAUUGUUGAAGACAAAAGGUUAAAGUAAAUAAUUCAUCUUCUCUCUGAGUGCUUUUAGACAAAAGGAUUCAAUAUAAGAUCAGAGACAAUAAAGAUCCAGAUUCAAGGCUAGCUGCCAUCCAUUUAUGAAAAUUGAACACUUAUAAGACCUUCAAUAAAAUUUGAAUCUGGUCUAUUUGUAAGGAGCAUGUUGAAGACAAAUUUAGGUACAGAAAUUUGUCUCCGGAAUUACCUUGCAUCUAACCGCAAUGUUAAUGGCAUCUGACGGUCGCAGAUCAAAUCUGAUACACUCUGCUUCAUUAUCCAACUGCAAUCAGGAUGAUUAUCACGUCAGAAAAUAUAAAUAUGUCACAGAAGUCGGAAAUUUCUACAUUUUAUUCAAUCCUGGAAACAAUAACAAUUUACUUUACCUUUGUAAGGUGUAACUCUGCAAAAUAUGCCUCAUGUAUUCUCUUGGUAACUCGUACAAGUUUCACCUAAAAAAAAGAAGAGAACUAAUAAAUGACAGAAAAAGUAGAAAUAAUUCCUAUAGGGUAAGCAAGCAAAGAACAAAAAUUUGACCAUUGAAGAAAUAACUGAAUAAACUCACUGUAUAGCCCAUCUUCUCAAUCAUUUCCUUUGCCACUUGAUACAUGGUAGGCCUAGCCUAAAAGGCAAUCCAGAAAAUUAUCUUUUAAAAUUAAAAUACACAAGUAACUUUAAGCAUGUGUGGCUAAGCUUAAAAAGUUUGAUUCUACUAAGUUUACUUAUUAGAAAACAGGUGAUGUUUCAUAGAACAAAACUAGAAAUUAGUAAAUUACUUAUUUUUACAAUAAGUUUAGAGAGUUAUAUUUUAAAUAAGUUAUGACAAGAAGUAACUUAUUUGAACAUUUUGUAAACAAAAGGAUGAAACAUACAAUUUGGACAUUGCGUACAGCUGCCAUUAGCAGCACACUGGGCAUCUCCACUGUUAAAAAGACAAUUGAAUCAAGAAUGAAGCAAUAUUAACUCACACUCAUUAAGGAAUGUUGCAUAUAGAAAGUAAUGAUAAUAUUAAAGAUGAACAUACAAACAAUUAUGGGGAGAAGAAGCCCGGUCCCGUCUUCCAUCUUCAAUACAAUUGCAGGGUGCGGAGCAUAAUCUGGCCGAUGACUCCCUUGGGGGUUAUUAUGGGCACAUCUCAAAUGCCGGCCAUCUCUCAUCUUGAUCAUGAAACCAUCUGGGCCACUUCUGACCUCAACUAUUCAAAACAAUGGCAUUGAACUAAAUUUUAAUUGGAAUGCUCUCCACAUGCGGUUUUAUGUGUAGAAACACGUGGAUUAUUGUUUAGUACUUAUAUAAAUGAAAUUAGGUAUACAUUAUUCAAUAAGAUCUGAAAGCAUUAUAUAAUAGACUCAAGUGGCAUUAUAUCAACAAGUUAUUGGGUGAAAUUCCACAAUGAUUUGUAACAUGAAUUAUGUAACAGACCGCAACAUGAAUUAUUAUAAUUUCUACUGAUCAACAAACAUUAUAUCAACAAGCAACAUAAAUUAUGUAACAGACGGCAAGGUAUCCACAAUGAUUUGUGGAAACAAAGCAUCUACAUGUAGAAAUUCCAUAUAACUCAACAAAAAUUUAAGAUUCUUUUGAUUAUCACUUACGUUGUAGUAUGCACUCACAUACACUGAAUUAGGAGAAAACAAGUGUUUGAACAAUCCACAUACCAGCUUCAACAACGCUCGAAUUCACAUAAUCAGACUCAUUCUCAUUUGAAUUCCCGGCCAUACUAUCAUUUCCAUUCCACGACGAACUAAAAGUACAUCGUAUAGUCUUGCAUUUCUGCAAAUUUUGUCGAUAAUUUACAUUAGCCCUACCGUUGCCGAUUCCUACAAGCCCCCAAAACCCACUUCUAAUAACUUUGGCUUUCAGUAGAGGUGAACUAAUCGGGACAGAAUACACUCCGGAUUGCUUCGCAUUGAUCAUGGGGCAAACUACGGGCCCUUGAAGAGAAGCCAUCUUCAAUCCUCUAAAUACAUAAAAUUAAAAAAUUACGAUCAAAAGACUAAAAAUUGCUCACAUAAUCUACAACCAAAAAUAAAUAAAUAAAUAAUUAAUUAAUUAAAAAAGAAAAAAGAAAAAAGAAAAUUCAGAAACCAGAAUAAGCAUAUGCAGAAGAAAUAAUCUUGCAAAAAAUCUUCACAACGUCCCAUUUAAAAAACACAACUUCGAAUAUUAAAGUUCUUUUCUCUUCUCUUGCCCCACCUGUACUUUUAAAAUUUUUAAUUUAAACAGUACGUUGUCCAAUACCACUACAUAAAGAAAUCCGUAAUUACUCCUCUUCAAUAUACGGAUUUGCAGACAAAGGUCAAAAUUUUUAACCUUCUUUGUUAAAGAAACAAUAAUCUCAAUAACUUAAUUCCAGAUCAUACUAAAAUAAAACAUACAAUUCAGCUGAGAUAUCAUUCAGUUAGUAAAAAAAAAAAAAAAAAAGCAAUUACUUCCAAUUGAGCUUAUUUAAUCUUUGAUGACCGUUUUAUGUUUCAAAUCAACUAUUAGAAUGUUGUAAUUAGGUCCUCCAUACUUUGUUUCCCGCUAAUUCAAAUUUGAAUAAUCUUCGGUUUGAUUUUAAAACUUGUAAUUGCUUCCAAUUGAACUUAUUUAAUCUCCGAUCAAUGUUUUAUAUUUAAAAUCAACUGUUAGAAAGUUUCAAAUCAAGUCCCCAUACUUUGUUUCCUACCAUUUCACAUUUGAAAAAAUCUUCUUGUUCGAUUUUUGAACUUGCAAUUGCUUCCAAUUGAGCACAUUUGAUCUUUUAUCACCAUUUUAUGUUAUGAAUCAACUAUUAGAAAGUUGUAAUUAGGUCCCCAUACUUUGUUUCUCACCAUUUCACAUUCAAAUAAUCUUUCGUUCGAUUUUUAAACUUGUAAUUGCUUCUAAUUGAGCCUAUUUGAUCUUCAAUCACCGUUUUACGUUUUGAAUCAACUAUAAAAAGUUGCAAUUAGGUCCCAAUACUUUGUUUCCUACCAUUUCGCUUUCAAAUAAUACCCCAUUCGAUUUUAAAACUUGCAAUUGCUUCCAAUUGAACAUAUUUGAUCUUCGACACCGUUUUAUGUUCUGAAUCAAUUAUAAAAAGAUUGUAAAUAAGUUCCCCUACUUUGUUUCCUAUCAUUUCACAUUUGAAUAACCUUCCAUUUGAUUUUGAAACUUGCAAUUGCUUCCAAUUGAGCUUAUUUGAUCUUCGAUCACCAUUUUAUGUUCCAAAUAAACUAUUAAAAAGUUACAAUUAUGUUCCUAUACUUUGUUUCCCGUCAUUUCACAUUCGAAUAAUCUUUUGUUUGAUUUUCAAACUUGCAAUUGCUUCCAAUUGAACAUAUUUGAUCUUCAAUCGCCAUUUAUGUUUCGAAUCAACUAUUAAAAGUUACAAUUAGACCCCCGUACUUUAUUUCUUGCCAUUUCAUAUUCGAAUAAUUCUCUAUUUGAUUUUUAAACUUGCAAUUGUUUCCAAUCAAGCCUAUUUGAUGUUCAAUCAUCGUUUUUCUAGAAAGCGAUAAUUAGGUUCUCGUACUUUGUUUCCCAUCAUUUCACAGGUAAAUAAUCUUUCGUCGACCACUUUCUCCACCACCCCCUUCGGUACCACAGCCUUCACAUCUUCUACCACCUUUUCUGGUAUCCCCUCUAUCACUUCCUCGGCUAUUCCAACAGUCACCAGCUCCAUUACUCCUUUCGUCCCAGCCACCAUUAUAUCCUCUGUUACACCCUUUUUGUCCUGGGCACUGUAACAUCUUAGGUCGGCCCUAUGAUUACUAGCUCCAUAACUAUCAGGUCUCUCCCUCCAUCCUGAACAUUACCAACCCUUUCCUCCUAGGCACUAUACGAUCCUCCAUCUAGGACAUCAUCGUGGCCAUCCCCUUCCAGAAAUAUAAAAAAAGAUUCGAAUGUAGAGUCCGAUGGCUAUGAUGAAUCAUCAUACCCUAUGUGAUCCUCUCCUUUGGUACCUUCGCUAUUCUCUCAGUCCCCGAGGACCACCAGUCUCUCCAACACUUGCACUGCUUAUCCCUCUAUCACCCCCUCAUAGCGCUGUGGCCUCAUUAUGAAAGUUUCCUAAAUCGGUUAGUAGUCUUCUGUAUCAUGUCAUAACUCUACUAUAUCCCUUAUCUCCCAUUGCAAUGCCCCUAUCUCGUCUCGUAGCGCUCCUACCUCCUCCCUGAUAACUUUAGUUAGACAUUCAAACAAGUUAUCAGUGGAGGUACUAUGAUUAGGUACAUGAGAUCUAUGGGUGAUGUGUUUGGAUGCACAAGAAGGUGAUCUCAUCGGUGGUAAUGAUCUCCUCGACGAAGGCGAUGAUCGAUCAACUGGACAACGUUCCUACACAAAUGAGAAUAUUACAAAUUAAUAACUUAAUUAAAAUAUUACAACACAAAAUGUCCCAUUUCAAUCGAAGACGGACUUAGGCAUCUGGUCGUCUUGAGCAAACAUAAUGGAUAAUUCACUCACACCUCCUCCGUCGACACUGUUAACUCAGUAAGGACUUCAAGCUAACAUAUUGACAUUUCAACAAUUUAGUGAUUAUGUAUUGAGAUUUUGAAAUGACAAAUAAUAUAAAUCGCAAAUGUAUAAUCUCAACUCAAGAUCGUUGAUGAAAACUAAUAAUUGUUUAGCAAGUGGCCUGUCUUGUGCUUGGCAAUGACACAUCCAUAGGCAACAGCUUCCCUUCUCCUCACAUACCAGCCAGCCAAGAUGGGACAGACUCAUAUACCUAUAUCUACAUCACUUAUAAUUAUUAUAUACAAAUUUAAUAAAAAAAAAUUUAACGUACAUUAUGUUAAAUAUUUAACUGCAAUGCCAAGCCAUAUGCAUCAUACUUCUACUCGAGCUUUAUCCUCCUUGGACAUCAAAUGCCCCUCCUAAAGACACGUAAAGUAUCCUCAUAGCAUUUUCGCCCAUGGAUAGUUGUUGAAGGCAUCGAUAACAUUAAAAGCUUCAAAAUGGAAAAGUCAAUCGAUAUCUUUUUUGUAAUGACACCUCAGUACGCUCUCAAGGAUGAGUACUGAGCCCCACUUCAACUUGUCGAGCAUCUGGUCGCAUGCCCUAAAUGCAUCCCCUAACUGUGCCAGUUUACUAUCAUUUGUCAAUGAAAAUAUUUGUACAACAGCUCCAUAUUUUUAGGAAUACGAGCCCUCGUUACUGUUUAACUCAUACAUUUCAGUCCAGUGACAAUGGUAAAAAACAAGGGCCAUAUGCAAGAAUGGCGUAGCCUGUCUGCGUGCUCAUCAUCGAGCAACUCCAAUACCGUCAUAAAAUUGGUAAAGCUACAAUUCGACGUAACUUUGUCGAUAAUCUGUCUCAUUGCAUCCUACAAAAUUUCAAACGUUAGAACCUUGUACAAGAGAGAUAAUAGAAUAAAGUAUAAUAUCAAUAAAUUAAACUAACAAAUUUGUAACUACUAUACGGAAGAAAUUAAUUCAUUUUAUAUGGCAUGCUAAUAAAAAAUAAAUUAUAUAAAAAGAACAAAAAAAAUACAAAAAGAGUUAAAAAAAAGGGGGGGAUUGAAAAGAGAAUAACUAAAAAAGGAUUCAAAUUAUAAAUAAAAACAAAAAUAAGAAUUAAAGAUAAAAAUAUAAAGGGAAAAUAAUUAAAUAGAAAGAAAAAUUAAAUUAAAGGAAAUUAUUAAAAAAAAUUAAAAAUUAAAGAAAGUAUAUUAAAAAGUGUUGAAUAUUGAAAAAAAAUAAGAUUUUUUUUUUAAAAAAAUACAUAAAUAAUUAAUUAAAAAACUGGGCCAUCUUAAAAAAGACGACCCAGAUGUCGGCAUUUGUCCAUUUGAAAGGACGCCCGUGGGGCCUUCUUCUCCAACGGAGAUCGCCAUUUUCGACGAUCUCCUCCCCUAAAGACCUCAAUUUGUCAACCAACUUCCCCUACAUCCAUCACUCAACCUAAAUAAGUGUAUAUUAAACUCUAAAACAUGUGAAUCAUCCCGAAUAUAAUUAGGGAUAUCAACGAAAAGAGUUGAGUCGGCUCAUAAGUCGAAAUUCGAGGCUCGAAUAAAAUGAGCGAACUUUUUCUUAGGCCCAAGCUGAGCUUUUUUCUCGGCCAAAAAAAUUAAACUCAACACAAGAUUUCGGCUCGAGCCUUUUCGAGACUGCCCCUUUUUUAAUGUAGCAGUCUGUUGCCUUUAAAAUAUAUAUAUAUAGGCUUGUGAACUCGAGUCGGUGAACCCAAAAUGGGGCUCGGCCUGAGCCUCGAGCCGAACCGGCUCAGACUUUUUCCAGGCCGAGCCACGAACAAUCCGAGCCAACGAGCCCGAUUGUCAUUCCUAACUAUAAUACAAAAAUUCAAUUCAUUUCCAUUACCAUUACUUAACUGUAAACCAAGGUUUGAUACACAAAGCUAACCUUGUUGAUGAUCUAUCGAUGUGUGUUACCAUCUACUAUAGUUUGGAUUGAUCGAUGUGUGUUUGGUAACGAAUCACCUCAAAGGGUCUCUCUCUCUCUCUCUCUAAGGGUGUUCAAGCCCUUUUUCUGUUUAUUUAAAUUCUCAGCUUUUUAUCUUUCAAAUUUUUGCAUUUAUUUUUUAUUUUAUUUAUUUAUUAUUAUUAGUUUUUUUGUCCCUUUAGAAAAAUGAUCAAAGGCACCAUUUCCUCGUUAAAGGUAAGUCUACUACUUUUCUCGAAGGUUCAGGACAAAUAAUAAAACUCAUCCUGUUUGAAAAUCAAAAUUUACUUGAAAGUAAAGUUUUAAGCUCACUCAAAAAUGCUUAAUCAGAAUAUAAAAUCCAAUUGUCCAACUUUAAUACAUUUUCUAGAUUAAAUUUCUCAAUUUUCGUUGUAUUGUGUCUUUAUAAUAAUUUUUUUUUCUCAAAAAACAUAAUUUUAAUUAGAUAAAAGGAAUGUCCAGUCUUGCGAUGUCGAGUGGAUUUGAUUAUAUAAUCGCCCAUUAGGAAAAACAUGGACAUCUGGUUCCAAGUAGAAUCUCAAAAGUCAAUUUUAUUCAUAUGAGACUAUCGACACAUUUUCUUGGUCGAGGAUGAAAGAUCUCAGCCAUGGCACAGUGAAAACACAUACUUUGAAUUCAUCCCGAGUUUCAAGCGUAAUAGACUGAUAAUAUGACUGUUCAAGUUUUCAAAUCGUCCACACUAACAACCCAUCUUAUAGAACAGGGCAACACUAACAGGAUCAGAGGAAAAAAAAUAAAAACUAUUUAUGGACAGAAACCAGAAAGUUUAAACAAAUCAGCAUUACAUUAUGUUUUAUAUAUACACAUAUCGGCGAGCACUAUACAUACAAAGGAAACAGACACUAUUAACUACUAAAGAAGCCAGAGAAUGAUAUCUAGCCAUAUUCGAUAUGCUAAAAUGCACGCGACAGCCACAAGAUUUUAACAUUUUUCUUCGUUAAUUUUGUACAAUUUUGUCGAGUCACACAUACCAAACAUAUAGUCUAUAUACAAGUUAUCCGCUUGUCGUACCUGAAACCCAAAACAAAAUAUUUCACUAUUCUCAUAGGAUCGAAAAUCAAAGAAAGCCACAAAAUCUAAAAUUCCUCAAUGGCGUGUCUUGUUGGGAGACUAUUUAAGACUGAAUACUAUUAAGAAAGAAGGCAAAACUAAAAUCUUAUACAUUAUAUUAUUUUCGAGUCCUAUUAUGUAGUACGUACCAAAGAGAGAGAACAAGACGACCUGCUAUGUCCAGUUCCUUUUUGAGCGAAGCUGAGUGAGCUUGUCCCUCCACAGAGCUGCAGUACAACACCAGAAGGUUACAUUCAAAAUCAUUGAGAAGCCUUUUCACUUCUUGUAAUCUUCAGAAAAUACUAUUUAGUUUCUGUGUAAAAGCUUCCAAAAAAAAAAAAGGGCUCUGGCAGAAGCUAGAAACUCGGAAUCUUGAAUUCCAAACCCUCGAAUAUGUUCAAAGAUGAUCUUGUUCUGGGACUGAGCUUGGAAUCUUCUUAGGAGUGGAGUUUGGCUUGCCCCUCUCAAUCUUUCCCAUUCUAUGUGCAUGUUUGAAAAGCUUAAAUUAUAAUUUAAGUUGGUCAAACAUACUUUUUAUAUAUACAUUUUGCAUGACCCAAGUUUAUCACUUAAAAAGUACUACCAGACAUUAACGUGCUUACAUAUGCUUAGCUACUAUGAAAUGGGAUUCAAGCUAUUUAAAUUUUUUAGUGUUACUCGCAACCAUUUAAGUAGUGAACAAACUCAAUGUCAGCUGGCUUUCUAGGCAGAAGUUUAAUAGUGUCUUUAAAAAUAAAUAUACUUGAACAACAACAGUUACUGACUUGUAAAAUGAUGUCCUAGACAUAUAGUUAGAUAGAAUACCUGCAUCCUUGUAACGUUCCUCGACUGCAGCUAUUAGCAUGUUGCGCACAAGAUUAAACUCCUUUGUUUCAAUGGACAGCUGGGCACUAGGUCUGUAUCAAUAACAAAGUAGUUAGACUUUACUGAUAUUAUCUAAGGCAUGGGUUAACAAUCAGGUAAAGAUGACAGUUCCAUUAGUUACCACUCGCGAAAUUAAGAAAUAGGCCAUUAAUUCAUAAGAUAAACAAAUUUCUUUAUUAAACAUUUUCCAUAUCUUUUCCCCUUCAGGUGUUAAUUAGCCAUGGAAAAUACUCCAUAAAUGCACUCUCUCAAAUGACAAUAAGACCAUACGAGUACUAGCAGUUCUUUUGGACUAACCGAAUUUCUUAUCUAAACACUCAAAGAAAAUGCAUCUUUUGCAACAAAAACAUGAAAAAGGUAGCCGAUAAACCACAACAAAAAGAGGUCACUGGGGAUAUCUAAUCUACCUGUCCAACUCAGUAAAUAAUAAGCCAUCUGAUGAGGAGCUAUGUACUGGCACUUUUUCAGGUUCAAUAACCUUCAUACCGUCCAUAUACACCAAGUAUUUGUUCACUUGGAUUGGCACCUAAAAAUUUAAGAAACAGUAUAAAAUAUCAUUGAUUUUAGGAAACCAUACAUUGAAAAAGCAAAAGCAAGAUGCAUUAUUCGAUCCAACUCAUGGUAAUUGGUUCAAUCUAGACAGGGCAUGUACUAUAGCUGCCAAGGCUAAGUCCUGGUGAAAAUGAAAAAAUGCCCGUUACAAACAUAUAAAAUCAUCAUAAAUAAACUGUUCCAAGAAGAUUGUACAACUAGACAGACAGAGGAAAAAAAACCAUAAAAUUUUAUUUAUUUACGUAGCAAAUGCACCCUUAUUGGUAUUCAUAUUUAUUUGAAAUGAUAUUAUGAUGAUACUGCAACUGUAAAUGUAGUAUAGUACACUUUUUGGUCAUAAAUCCUCAAUAUAGUGUGCCCCAGUUUGAAAGCAAUGUUUUAAAGGUCCACAAUUUCUAAGUUUUGAUCUAAUUUUUCACAAUUCAGUUUCAACAACUGUCUUUCUUCCAAAACACCAUUACUUCGCGUGGUGCAAUGCGACACAAUUUAUUAUGUUUUAACAUUUGUAAUGGCAACAAAAAUAACAUUUUAAACUCCAAAUGCAUAAAAAAAGAAUGAAAGAAAAAAUUGUUGAAGACAAAACGUUAAAGUAAAUAAUUCAUCUUCUCUCUGAGUGCUUUUAGACAAAAGGAUUCAAUAUAAGAUCAGAGACAAUAAAGAUCCAGAUUCAAGGCUAGCUGCCAUCCAUUUAUGAAAAUUGUACACUUGUAAGACCUUCAAUAAAAUUUGAAUCUGGUCUAUUCGUAAGGAGCACGUUGAAGACAAAUUUAGGUAUAGAAAUUUGACUCCGGAAUUACCUUGCAUCUAACUGCAAUGUUAAUGGCAUCUGACGGUCGCAGAUCAAAUCUGAUACACUCUGCUUCAUUAUCCAGCUUCAAUCAGGAUGAAUAUCACGUCAGAAAAUAUAAUAUGUCACAGAAGUCGGAAAUUUCUACAUUUUGUCAAUCCUGGAAACAAUAACAAUUUACUUUACCUUUGUAAGGUGUAAUUCUGCAAAAUAUGCCUCAUGUAUUCUCUUGGUAACUCGUACAAGUUUCACCUAAAAGAAAAAAAAAAGAAGAGAACUAAUAAAUAACAGAAAAGUAGAAAUAAUUCCUAUAGUGUAAGCAAGCAAAGAACAAAAAUUUGACCAUUGAAGAGAUAACGGAAUAAACUCACUGUAUAGCCCAUCUUCUCAAUCAUUUCCUUUGCCACUUGAUACAUGGUAGGCCUAGCCUAAAAGGCAAUCCAGAAAAUUAUCUUUUAAAAAUAAAAUACACAAGUAACUUUAAGCAUGUUUGGCUAAGCUUAAAAGGUUUGAUUGUAAUAAGUUUACUUAUUAGAAAACAGGUAAUGUUUUAUAGAACAAAACUAGCAAUUAGUAAAUUACUUAUUUUUACAAUAAGUUAGAGAGUUACUUUUAUAUAAGUUAUGACAAGAAGUAACUUAUUUGAACAUUUUGUAAACAAAAGGAUGAAACAUACAAUUUGGACAUUGCGUACAGCAGCCAUUAGCAGCACACUGGGCAUCUCCACUGUGAAAAAGACAAUUGAAUCAAGAAUGAACCAAUAAUAAGAGUCAAUAUUAUUUCACACUCAUUAAGGAAUAUUGCAUAUAGAAAGUAAUCAUAAUAUUAAAGAUGAACAUACAAACAAUUAUGGGGAGAAGAAGCCCGGUCCCGUCUUCCAUCUUCAAUACAAUUGCAGGGUGCGGAGCAUAAUCUGACCGAUGACUCCCUUGGGGGUUAUUAUGGGCACAUCUCAAAUGCCGGCCAUCUCUCAUCUUGAUCAUGAAACCAUCUGGGCCACUUCUGACUUCAACUAUUCAAAACAAUGGCAUAGAACUAAAUUUUAAUUGGAAUGCUCUCCACAUGCGGUUUUGUGUGUAGAAACACGUGGAUUAUUGUUUAGUACUUUUACAAAUGCAGUUAGGUAUACAUUAUUCAAUAAGAUUAGCAAGCAUUAUUUAAUAGACUCAAGUGGCAUUAUAUCAACAAGCUAUUGGGUGAAAUUUCACAAUGAUUUGUAACAUGAAUUAUGUAACAGACAGCAACAUGAAUUAUUAUAAGUUCUACUGAUCAACAAACAUUAUAUCAACAAGCAACAUGAAUUAUGUAACAGACGGCAAGGUAUCCACAAUGAUUUGUGGAAGCAAAGCAUCUACAUGUAGAAAUUUUAUAUAACUCAACAAAAAAUUAAGAUUCUUUUGAUUAUCACUUACAUUGUAGUAUGCACUCACAUACACUGAAUUAGGAGUAAACAAGUGUAUGAACAAUCCACAUACCAGCUUCAACAACGCUCGAAUUCACAUAAUCAGAUUCAUUCUCAUUUGAAUUCCCGGCCCUACUAUCAUUUCCAUUCCACGACGAACUAAAAGUACAUCGUAUAGUCUUGCAUUUCUGCAAAUUUUGUCGAUAAUUUACAUUAGUCCUACCGUUGCCGAUUCCUACAAGCCCCCAAAACCCACUUCUAAUAACUUUGGCUUUCAGUAGAGGUGAACUAAUCGGGACAGAAUACACUCCGGAUUGCUUCGCAUUGAUCAUGGGGCAAACUACGGGCCCUUGAAGAGAAGCCAUCUUCAAUCCUCUAAAUACAUAAAAUUAAAAAAUUACGAUCAAAAGACUAAAAAUUGCUCACAUAAUCUACAACCAAAAAUAAAUAAAUAAAUAAUUAAUUAAUUAAAAAAGAAAAAAGAAAAAAGAAAAUUCAGAAACCAGAAUAAGCAUAUGCAGAAGAAAUAAUCUUGCAAAAAAUCUUCACAACGUCCCAUUUAAAAAACACAACUUCGAAUAUUAAAGUUCUUUUCUCUUCUCUUGCCCCACCUGUACUUUUAAAAUUUUUAAUUUAAACAGUACGUUGUCCAAUACCACUACAUAAAGAAAUCCGUAAUUACUCCUCUUCAAUAUACGGAUUUGCAGACAAAGGUCAAAAUUUUUAACCUUCUUCGUUAAAGAAACAAUAAUCUCAAUAACUUAAUUCCAGAUCAUACUAAAAUAAAACAUACAAUUCAGCUGAGAUAUCAUUCAGUUAGUAAAAAAAAAAAAAAAAAAACCCUUUUUUUGGGUCAAGUUGUCCUUUUUAUCUUUAUAAUCCGAAAUUUAAAAAUUAAUAUAGAAGUCAAUUUUAUAUACAUAAUCAAACCUGUAGAAAGCUCUCAAUCUUCUUCAACAAUCAAGAACUUUUAGGCACCACUAGUGGCCUUAAACGCCUAGAGAAAAUCUGGGACUUUUUUUUCUUCUCAGAGGAAUUUAUGGUACUUUUAUGAGAUCAAUUAAUGAAACAAAAACAUAUAUCCAGUUUACUGAAGAAGAUGAAGAGAUGGGGUGGUAGAGUUUUGAAUAGUUAACGACCGACAAGUGGACUGUAGACUGGAUAAAGGGAACGACAAAUGCUGAAGUGGGAAGAAAGAAUAAGAAGAUAAGAGAUUCUUUUGGAGAGAGCAAGGUCAUUGUUUGGCUAAGUUUGAACAAUUUUACUUAUGUAUAAGUUAUUUUACAUAUUUUAAAAUAAAUAUCAUUUGUUCACCAAGUCUAAGUUAAAGAUGAAUUAUGCUACACAAACAUGGAUAGUGAUAGCUUUGAUGACAAGGAUGACACAUAUCGAUCCCUUAUUGGAUAGUUUGAAAAAAAAUUAAACCCCAACAGAUGCUGACACGCAGAUGUCCGUCAUUUCUCUCCUAUCAUCAACCUUGUCCUAGUAUCUUUACUCAACUGAAUUACUUAAAUGAUCACUGAAUUUUGUAAAAAAAUUUCACAGGAUCACUGAACUUUACAAAUCAUCCAAUUCAUAAUUGAACUUUACAAAGGAUUUUCGUGGAAACACUGAACUUUAAAAAUCACAUAAUUCAUCAUUGAAUUUUGCAAAAUUUUUUCCAGAAAUCACUAAAUUUAGAACCUAUGGGACAUUUUUUUGCAAAGUUCAGCGGUCAUUUGGGUAAUUCACUCAUCUUUACUCAAGAUAUUGAGAGUCAGAUUGUUAGAUUUCCAUAUUUUGAAUUAAUAGAUUUUGAAAUAAUAAUUUUUUAAGGAAUGAGAUGUCAAAAUGUCAUAAAAAUUAUUUUAUUUGGAGAAUUUGUUAUUAAAAAUAAUUUUUUGGGGAUAAAAGGGGCUCAAAUGGGGACAUAAUAUUCAUAAACAAGGAGGAUUCCAAUCCUUGGUACAUUUUGGCGGUACUCGAUUAAUUAGUAACCACUAACAACAAGAGUCAAACUUAUAGAUAGCAGGAUAUAGAUUUUAUGUUGAACCGAGGAAUUUAGUGUGGAAAUAGUAUUAAGAGUGCUCACCAUUCAAUUGAAUCCAAAUUCUCCAUUUGGUAAGAAUUAUAUACGAUUUAAUUGAUAAGUAGAUAAAAGUAAGUGAUUCAAAAAUGGAUAAUACAUGUAAUUACAUUGAAGUAUGUAAUUGAAAAUGAAGAACACAUUAUAUAUAAUCAAACAGUGACUAGAUUCAAAACUGGCCCUGGUAUAAUGCUAAAAUAUCAAUUUUGGAACAUACAAUAUAAAUGUAUAGAAUCAAUCAAAAUAUUUAAUGAGUUGUAAUGUACUGAUAAAAUAAUUUUAUUGAAACAUGAUGACUCGAUCUAUUUUUCAAUAAAUUAUAUAAUUAACAAAAUACACGUCUCUCAUAUUUUCCAUGUGGGUAAAGAUGAGCACAAAUUAUUUAUUUGAAAAACAUAUAUAUGAAGAAGAGUUGGUCACUUAUUACUAAGUUUAAUUAUAUAAAAAAAUGGUCCAUUUAACCAUUUAAGCUUUGGGUCAUGCUACAAAGUCAGAAAAAAAAAUGCUAGAAGCCCUUAUCUAUACUCACAGCUCGGUGGGGGCCACUUUUUUUUUAUUUGAAAUUGUUUAUUCACGUCAGGCCCGCACACUGUGAGUGUGGGCAGGGCCGGUCCUGGGCUGAGGCAUUUGAGGCCUCAGCCUCAGGCCCAAAACCCUUAGGGGGCCCAAUUUUGCUUCAAAUUUAUUUAUUUAUUUAUUUAUUUAUUUAUUUUUUUGGGGGAUAGUUUUGGAUUUUGGAUGUUAUUUUAAGUUUGUAUUGUUUUCGUAAACUUGUAAUGCUCAAAUUUUUGCGUACAUAAUUGAAAAUGUUAUUAGAUUUUUACGUAAAUUUUUACGUUGAUUUCGUCCGAGGGCCCAAUUUACGGACCUCGCCUCGGGCCUCCAUUAUCACAGGACCGGCCCUGAGUGUGGGUAAGGGCUUCUGUUAGUUUUCCUCUGGCUGGGAGGCUUAUUCCUUAACCUUUUCUUGUCCAUUAUUACAAUUUUUUCCCUCUUAACAGAAUAUUACUAUUUGAGCAAAACCUUGAUAUGAGAUUUUGACUAGAGGAUUGCCAAUGCAUUUUUAGUUAGUAUUUAGCCCUUAUUUGAUCCCCAAUUUUCCAAAAAUUAAAAUGGGUGGAAUAGUAUUUUUUUGGAGAAUGAGUGGUUGAAAAAAAAAUCAAUUUAUUUGCAAUAUUAUUUUAUAAAAAUUUGUGUGAUUGAAAGUAGAACAGAGAAAAAUGAAAAUAUAAUUUAAUGGAGACCAAACGGGACUUAGCUUGGUGGUGACUUUUUUUUUUUUUUUUUUUCCCCCCUUUUAAUUUUAAGUUAAAGUAAGAAAAUCAAAUCCUAUUAUGAUCCAAGUGCCACCAAUGCAUAUAUUAUCACAUAAGUCAUUAAAAUAACUAAAAAAAUGAGAGAAUUUAUUAGCAAAAUUAUAAGUUUUAUCCCCAAUAAUUUUAAUUCGUGUCUAAACUUUAAAAUAAAUCUUCUAAAAGAAUACUUGAAUAAAUGAAGAAAAUGUUAGGAAAAUACUAAAAGAAAAUUAGAAAUACUCUUGAAAUCAUUUAAAUAAAAUAAUGGAAAGAAAACAUUGUAAUAAAUAUGGAAAAAUGGUUGUUGAUAUAGUAACGGUAUUAAAAGGAAGCGAGGUUUGUUUUGUACAUAAUUUCCUUAAAAUAAUUCGUCCUUCACUGCAGGGGCGGAUGCAGACAUUUUACAUUAAGGGAUCACAAUCAAACAUUUAAAAAAAGUGAUGAAUUAUUACUUUAUGUGGGUUAUAAAUUGUUAUACUACUUUUCAUUUUGAUCAUUUUUACAUCUAAAAAUUUUUUAUAUAUAAAAAAAAUCAAUCAUUUUGAGGAUUUUUUUUUUUAUAUUGUUGUUACUUUUUCCUCUCAAUCAAUUAUUAUUUUUUUAAAUAAUCUAAUAAAUUUCCUAAUAAUAAUUUUGACGUCGUUUAAAAAAAAUUAAUUUAUCGAGAGGAAAAGGUAACAAUAAGAAAAAAAUCCUAAAAAUGAUUGAAUUUUUUUUAUAUAUAAAUUUUUUCAGAUAUAAAAAUAAUCAAGAUGAAAAGGUAGUAUAACAAUUUAUAACUCCUAUAAAGUAAUAAAAAUUUUAUUAAGAAUUUAUAUUGAGAAAUUUUUUGCGCAAAAAUAAUAAACAUAUAAAUGACAAUAUUUAUACUUACAUUUUUUUAUUUGCAUAAAUAUAUCACAACCAUAGCUUUUUCUCUCUAUAACUAAUUUGACCAUUUAUCUUCCCAACAUUCCUUUUAUUUUUCUAGACCAAACAAAAAGUCUUUUUUGUCUGUUCAAAUUCCACUCCAACAAUCACUCGCCAUUAUUUUUUUAAACCCAACAUAAAGUUAAUUCUCUCUUUGAAUUAAACUUUUGAAGAUGCAAUUUAGCAAAUGGGUCUUCAGUUUAAUAAACUGUCAUUGCCUUGUAGGUCCCUUUCUUCUUUAUUUUCAGAUACAUGACAGAAUACAUAGGCUGUUAUCUUUAAUUUCUCUUCUCAUAAUUAUUCUUGUUUUGUAAUCACAAUCAAUAUUAUUCAAUGCUGCUUUAAUUGUAGUCAACAGUGAUUUGAUGCUCGUAAGCAAUCGACAAAAAUGGCAUGAAAAUGAAUGUUGUUCUUAUCGUUUCUUUAAGUGAAAUCUUUCACCAAGUUUUAUUGUUACUCAACUAAUUUAUAGUUUAAUCUUCUAUUGAUCCUUUUUUUUUCCCCCCNNNNNNNNNNNNNNNNNNNNNNNNNNNNNNNNNNNNNNNNNNNNNNNNNNNNNNNNNNNNNNNNNNNNNNNNNNNNNNNNNNNNNNNNNNNNNNNNNNNNNNNNNNNNNNNNNNNNNNNNNNNNNNNNNNNNNNNNGAUCAUGAGCAAGAAAAUUUGGAGGAAAUUGAAAAAUGUGUACCUUUCCAUUUCAACAUUAGUGAUCUGGGAAAUUGAUCAAAGCUUGAUAGACUUCUUAGGGAAAAGAGGUCCCCCUAGGGAGGACGGUUUUACUUUUCCAAAAGAUUCAAAAAAUAGACAUUUCUUGUCCACAUAUUCUAUUUGGCAUUUAGCAAGUGGUGAGAAGAGUGAUAAAAAAAUGGUUGGUCUACUCAAUUUCAAUGGAUAAUUUAUUUUGCUUUUGUUUUAAGUUGUUUAAGCAAGAAGGAAACAGUAUUCUUAGCUAAUGAACGAAUCAAUUACUGGCAAAAUCUUAGAUUUAGGCUUAAAAGUCAUGAAACUAGUAAUGGACACAUGCAUAACAUGAGAAGAUGGAUUGAAUUAGAAAGGAGAUUACAACAGAAUUUAACAAUUGAUAAAGCCGUGCAAGAUCUAAUCAACAAAGAUAGAGAACAUUGGAGAGAAGUUUUUGUGAGGAAAGUUUCUAUUGUUAGCUUUCCAUGUAAGAAUAAUUUGGCAUUUUGGGGGACUAAUGAGAAAAUUUAUGAAAAAGAUAAUGGGAGUUUUUCAUGUCUAAUUGAAAUGAUUGCAGAAUUCGAUCUAUUUUUGAGGAAACACAUCCGUCGUAUUCAAGAAAAAGAAAUUCAUCAUAAUUACCUUAGUGACAAAAUUCAAAAUAUGAAAGUUUUUGUUUGAUUUAAAAAAAUUGCAGAAUACAAAUGAUAGUUGUUUGAAAUGUUGGUGUGAUAAGCUCGAAGAAUUUUUGAAACAUGACAUUGAUUCUGACAUUGAUGGAUCGGAGUUAUUUUCUGAGCUACAAAUUGUGAGAAAUAGUUUGCCAAAAGAGACUAAAAAAGGCGAUUAAAUUGUUGGACUUAGGGAUGGCAAUUGGGCUCAUCGGCUCAGGCUGCUCGUAGCUUAGCUUUGAAAAAGCUCGAGUCCGCUCAGCUUGAGGCUCGUGAGAACCGAGUCGAAGUUCGGACCAAGCCCCAUUUUGGGGUGCCCGGUAAAGCCCGAGUCGGCCCGUGUGGCUCGCUUGCUCGGGCUCACGAGCCUAUAUUUAAAAAAAAUACAAAAAAUAAAAAAAAAUAAAAAAUAAAUUACAAGGCAGCACGCUGCUGCCUUAAUUGUGUUAACCAAAAAAAAAAAAAUCAGUCAAUUAAGGCAGCGAGGCUGCCAAAAAAAAUAAUCCAAAACCAAACAAAACAUGAGCCGAGAGCUCGGAUUGAGCCUAAUUAUUUUUGCCGAGCUUUUGCUUAGCCCCACUCGGGCCCCAAAAAAAAAGCUCGAACAUUUUAUCCGAACCGAGCUUGAGCCUAAAAUUUCGGCUCGUUGACAUCCCUAGUUGGACUACAUGGAAAUGAUGGACUAUUUUCCAAAUGUAUGAAUUGCUUAUAGAAUAUUAUUGAUUAUACCAGUUACGGUUUUAUCUGUCAAGAGAAGCUUCUCAAAGUUGAAAUUGAUAAAAUCCUAUUUUUGAUCACCAAUGUCCCAAGAAAGAUUGAAUGUGGUCAUGGUAUCUAUUGAAAAAGAAAUUCUAAAAUAGAUUGCUUGUAAUAGUCUAAUUGUUGACUCUCUAUCAAAAAAGUCUAGAAGAGUAAAUUUAAUUUAGACAUUCAAAGGUUUUAAAUUACUGUUUUUGUAAUUUCAAGGGGCCCCAUACUUGGAAUUGGUAUAAAACCUCCAAAAUAUCAGGGCCGGCCUGAAAUGAAACUUGAGUCUUUAUGAUUCUUUGUGAGAGUAGUGUUUGGUUUCAGGUUUGAUGCAUUAUGGUCUAUAGAAGUAGUGUUGAUUUAGCCAUUUAGGGUUUGAGUUGAGGUUUCUGUUUUGUAUAGAGGGAUGCAAUGUUCUGAACCCUAGAUCAUUGAUAUUUAAGAUGCCUUUGGUUGUGUCUUAAGUUGUAAUAUUUGAUAUAAACAUUUUGUACGAGUUUAUUCAAUUUUAUUCUAAUAGUUCGAAUAACCAGCAAUAUAACAUUGUGGUUUUGUGCAGAGUGGAGCGUAGUCCUCCUCUAUUGAGGGUGACGUACCUUCCAUUCUCUUUCAAUCCAUAAAAUUUGAAGACUUUCCGACCAACCUUCGUUUUGGUCUUUCUGUACGAGAAUUUCCCAAUCAACCAGCAUGGCAUUGGUUUCGACAAAAUAUUCACAUCCUUAGGUGUAACAUCUAUACAAAAUCGAUUUCAUUCACAAACCUAAUUGUUGCAGAAGCUCUCUUGAAAGAUCUUCAAAUCGGUGAUUUUCGGACUUAGUCCAACGCAUCUUUCUCAAUCAACAACCAAUCCAAUCAACUCCAAACCACAACCAAUUGAUUCAACUUGGUUGCUAUUCAAUCUUACCCAUGUAGGACAAGAAAUGAUGAUGAUUUGUGGCCACAAAGGCUAGAAAAAGACACUACAAAGGUAUACUAUGAAGGAACCACAAAUUGCACACGUUAUACAAGCGUUCUGGACACUUCUAGAGACCUUUUUUAUCACACAAAGGGGGUAGCCUGGAUUCUUUUUUUCUUCUCUCAAAAUCACACAAUACAUCAUAAGAAAGUGGCUAGGGUUAUAGUAAUUUAUAUACACUCUAGGGUUAGGCUUUAAGUUGGACCAUUAAAGGGAUAAACGGGCCAAGAUUCAAGCCAUCCAUAACGGAAUACAAUUGGGCCGGGUGUUGCUCAUGGACCUGGUUGUUGAACUUAUUUCAUUCAUCGGCCUAUGCCUAUGAAAUAAUAUUAACCUACGUUAAUAUCAUAACCCGGGAUUUAUUGGGUAUCAAAAAUCCAACAAAUUUCCAUUGUAAUGCCCAGUAAAUCUGCAAGCAAUUAAAACACAAAGUUAGCACUUGCAUAAUCAAGGUAACCAAUAAAAUUGGAUCACAGACCUUACCUCGUGCUUCCAACUUGAAACACAUACCAUAUCUGCUCCAUGUAUUCACUGGGGCUAAGGUCAAAAGCACCCAAGUAGAAGCAAAUAUUUAACAUUAAACAACCAAGAGCAAAUAGACGUGCGAUGACGAUAUACUAUAGGAUAACACACAUAGAUCUUUUCAUAAAAAUGUUCACAGAGAACCAUAGAUUAACACCAAGUCAAUCAAACGAUGGUCAACCACAUAUGCAACACAUGCAUAAAUGACCCUAAGAAAAGAUCUCACUACACUUAUCCUAUCCCAUUCCAUAUUGCUUACGCCUCGAGAACACAUAUCUCCUCUCAUCGCCCACCAAGCUCACUAGACAGAUCACUCAACUCAUGUUUAACUGGCAAGUUACAAUAGAUCCUAAGUCCAAUCCAUGGGAUAAUUCUCUAUCUCCACAUCACUUCUCCCAACCUACGUUGAUAAUAGGUCUCCAGCUCACAGAAGUGAUAAAAGUGCCUCUCUCACACUUCACCUGAUCAGGGUCUCUUUCCAGAUAAAAGAUUCUAGACAUUUGAUCACAUCUCCACUCGUGAUCCAAAUGUCACACUCCACAUCUCCGGUACAAACCACCAUGUACCCCUAGGCAUCUAUACUCCACCUUACCAAAAGACAUCCAACUCACUGCUAAUGCAUCACAAACUCACUGCGGCAAAACAACACCUUUCGGUGACCACAAAUGUUACUCCAAUCACCAAAGCUCCAAAAAUCCAUAAAGAAAACAGCGAAGGUGGCACUCACAAAGAAAAAUCGAAGAAAGAGUCGGUUACUUCACAACAUUCACAAAGAAGGAUCACAAAGAGGAAGAAUAUAACCCGAACAUGACUGCCUCACAUAAUCUCACAAACCACACAGGCUCGCAAAGAUAAAGGAGAGAAACGACUGCCCAACUUUCUUCUCACUACCACACUCUCACACCACUCACAGAGGAAAUAGAGUACGCCACAAAACAUAACCCACUAUGCAUGUAAACAUAUUACACAAAGUAAUAAGUCACUCUAAUUCAUGCAAUUACACACAUCAAACAUAUUGAAACUGUAACAUCAAUAUUACAACAUAAUUAAGUGACCACAUACAUGCAGAAAGGAUUACACACAAAUACAAUGCAGUAACCAAGUUUAUUCUCUCAAUAAAUAUCACUAGGAUCACUACUCGACCCUAAAGUUACAUUCGUCUCGUCUCUAUUCUUAUCUUUUCUUUUAUUAUCAUUCUAGGACAAUCUUUUUCAACUAUGCCCAAAUUUUACCACAAUUAAAACAUAUUUUAUUUUUCGCACUCGCCUUAGACCUAUACAUGCCAACAAUACCAAAUAAUGACCACAAGCAAAGUAUUGACAUAUAAUUCACGCAAAAUAGUAAGUAAACUUUCCUAAGGUCACAUGCAAUUUUAUCGGUGUAGAAAAAAUUGGUGACAAAUUCACAUAGAAUUUAGAUAGUUAAUUAACAUAUAAUUUCUAGGUCUAGUAACAAACAAUGGUUACUCCUUCACGGUAACCCUAAACCUAACGUCAUCCUACAUGAUGACUUCUAAUGCGAAAAAUAAAUAAUUCCCAUAAUAAUAUUUUAAUUGUAAUAAUAAAAGGCAAAGAAUACGAUACCGAGCGGACCACCUCUGAAGGUCCGUAAAUAUCGAGAGACGCGAAUUCACCACUUCAGGAUUAUGACUAUUCAUCCUAAAGUCUCUGAAAACUGCAGCAACUAAAAAAUCACGAUUGAGUCCUGAAUGCUCGAAGAACAAUGCUGUCUAGAUUCUACUGCGUACCUUGAAACAGAAAACUUUCAAUACAAAAAAUGUUAGAAAUAAUAUGAGGAACAAACUGUCUGAAGGGACCUCCUUGAAAUUCCCGCUCAUGUGUGUCUCUUCCUUUCUGCGCGUGGGCCACACGCGCUGCCACACGCGCAGGAUUUGACCGUCACGCGCCUUCCUGCAGGGUGCGCCUCCUCUUGCACGUCAUGCCAGUGGUCUCCGUUUCCCCAACCUCCUUUUGGAUUGAUCAGAAAAUGCAAAAAACGGAGACUGAUUUUGACAGUUUUUGGACAGCUUCUUCGAUCUGAUUUCUGCUACGAUUUCUGGACGUUUUUGGUAUGUUUCAAGAGCCAAAACCACCACCUUGAAGCUCUGAUACCAAUUUUUGCGGAAGCUCUCUUGAAAAAUCUUCAAAUCGGUGAUUUUCGGGCACAGUUCAACACACCUUUCUCAAACAACAACCAGUCCAAUCGACUCCAAAUCCAACCAAUUGAUUCACCUUAGUUGUUAUUCAAUCUUACCCACGUAGGACAAGAAAAGAUGAUGAUUUGUGGCCACAAAGACUAAGAGAAGACACCACAAAAGUAUACUAUGAAGGAACCACCAAUUGUAGACGUUAUACAAGCGUUCUGGAUACUUCUAGAGACCUUUUUUCUCAUACAAAGGGGGUAGCUGGGAUUCUCUUUUUCUUCUCUCAAAAUCACACAAUACAUCAUAAGAAAGUGGUUAGGGUUAUAGCCAUAUAUAGACUCUAGGGUUAGGCUUUAAGUUGGACCAUUAAUGGGGUAAACGGGCCAAGAUUCAAGUCAUUCAUAAGGGAAUACAAUUGGGCCGAGUGUAGCUCAUAGAUUUGGUUGUUGGACUUAUUUCAUUCAUCGGCCUAUGCCUAUGAAAUAAUAUUAGCCCAUGUUAACAUCAUAACUCAAGAUUUAUUGGGUAUAAAAAAUCCAACACUAAUGAAAUUACUCAAGUCAAAAAUAUGUAAAAUAAUUAACAAACCCAUCUUUUGUGAGAAAAAUCGAUCAAAAGUGUCGACUCAUGAAACAUGCUCUUAAUUCUGAUGUAAUAAAUAAAACAACAUAAAACCUUAGUACUGGUAAUAAGAGAUAUAUUAAAAUAGGUUACACAAAAUAUCAAAUGGAAGCAUGGUACUAGAUUACACAAACCUGAACUAUUAUUGGAUCAAACUUGGUCCAUUCCUAGAUCUUCUUUUCUCCUUUAUUGUAGGAUGACCAAGUUUGCUCCAUCAAUGAACAGUAGGGUUCUCUUUGAUCUUGGAAUUUUGCCACUUUGCCAGAAGUAAUUUAAUAGAUGCAAAGACAUAAUCCGAGGUGGCAGCAGAUAAUUUGAUGAAAAACUGACUGUGUUUAAAACAGUCCAAUGAUGGAAUAUGACGUGGCAUUAUUUCAAUAUUAUAUCAAGGCAUCUGGUAAGCAUGAUUCUUUAUCUUGCCCUAAAUGCAGUCAAAAGUUGUAAAUAUAUGGGGCUGUUAUUCAAACAGUAGCUAGGUGGAUCAGUUGAAGUGAGGCUGUGGCCAAACAGCUCCGCCAACACCGUCAGUUAUAUACGAUAAGGAUGACAAGGGCACCAAACACAGCCCUCGACUUCUAAGAUCUCGCUUUGGUUCUUCGUUCUCGUCAUCAGUGGAAACCUGAUAUAUAUAUUAGGAGAGGGAUAUAUUAAUGACAUAAAAUCAUUUUAAAACAUAAAAAUAGACUAACAUCUUAUCUAAUGUUGUGCAGUAUUGCGGACAUGCCAUGAGUGGACUAUAACUUGGAUUGAAUCACAACGUAAGAUUUGACUUUUAAUGAAGACUUAAUACUAUCAUUAACGAAUUUUAGGAUAAAUCUCACAUGUACAUGCUCCAUUUGCAGUACAUCAAAUUGAAGCAUAUUUCAUAUUGCUAAUUUUUUUGACAUUAUGAAAAAUAUGAGAGUACAAGCAUGUGUGGAGUGUUUAUAAAUGAUUUAAAACAUAUAUAGAGAGAAUUGAGUAGUUGUUAAGUGGAUAAUACUCGUGAAUCUUACAAAAUAUGUGGAUAAAAAGUGAUUUAACCGAUUAUAAAUAAUUUAUAAAAAUUAGCCAAAUAAGGGAUAAUAAUAUGCCACGAGAACAUGUACCUUCGGUUACAUCCCAUAGAAUUGGAAUGAUAUAGAGAAGAUAUGCCAAGAUCAAAUGAUGUACAUUUUUACUAUGUACCAGGUUCAAACAAAGGAUCCCAUAUUCUCAUUAAUUUUAAGGUGAGAAAUAACAAUUUUAUCAAGUUUUUUACUCUCUCUAAUUGCAUGGAUCAAGAAUGUAUAAUAUAUCAUACUCAAUUAAAAAAGUGUUGCUAAAUUUGUACCAUGUGUUUUAUUUUGCAUACAUACAGAGACAAAUAUCUCUGUGUGAUGAUAGGUUGAACUCAAACAAAACGAAGGUCUAUGAAUAAAUUUCAAGAGAUCAACUGCAUUUAAUUCAUAUAUACUGUCGCUGGUUUUUGAGAAAGAUUUGUUCACUUCAUUUCUUACCCCUUUUGUUGCUCUGCUGGUCUUAUUCCUUGAUGACUUCAUGUAUGGGACACUUAGAGUCUGCAUUAAACAAGUCCAAAUAUUAGCAAAGUAAAAAACCAUCCUUUUUAAGGAAAAUAAAAUUACAGAAGACAAUGUAAAUUUACGACAAAAUUUAAGUAAAAUUGCAAAUUGUCAAUUGUGGAAAUAUAGCAAAGCAUUUGUUUUACCAAAAGUUCAGAAUUCAGUUUAUGGAAAUUUGGUCAAGUUUUAUGAUCUUAGGUUGGUACAAUUUUUUCCUUCAAGGCCUAAAUGGUGAAUAAAAAACCUACUAACGUUAAUUCCUAAAAGUUGUUACUUUUUUUGUAAUAUAAAGGUCAAAGCAUGCAAUUAAGCUAAUUUUUUAGAUAAGCCCCACAAAUAAAUCAAUUCUUAAUUAGUUGCAAUCCACUACAAAGUCUACACUAAGUACAAUGCUUAAUGGAAUUGAGUUUUCAACUACUUUAGUAAAAUACACCCUAAAGUGUAAAUAAAGUUUCCGAUUUUUCUUAAGGAAUAUAAAAAUUAAGAAAACUUUUGGCUAGUUUCAAAAUGUUUUGCAGACUUUCGGAAACACUAAUCCUAGAACUUCAGAGGUUUACAUGCGAUCUUAGUCUACCAAAGAUAGUAAAACUUCAUUUAUUUAUAUUUUAUCUUCCAUAAUCAUAACCUAAUCUUCUUUGUUUAUAUCUUUUUCACAUAAGCAACUUAAUUAAGGAGAUUUAUAUCAGUAUAGAUAUAGAUAUAGGUUAUGGACGAAUAAGACAAAAACAUGAGUUUAAUAGAACAAAAUCCAAGAAGAAUGUCUUACCUCGACUUGGUUUUGAAGGAAUUUGAUAUAACCAGUGGCCUCCAUAAGUACGGAUGCUGUGUCUGUCUGUAAUAUUGUCCACCCGCAUGCAACAUUAAUUUAUGCAAUAUAAGUAAUUAAUUAUUUUACCAAAUCUUAACUGUAACAGUAAUGUCCUAAGCAUGUAGAUUAUUCUGCUCAUUUUUCAGUAAAAAUUAACUGUACACCAGACAUUAUGGUUUUCAGAUUCUGUGACUGGGGAACAUGCACACUAGAGUCUCACUAUUCAUAUGCCAUAUGUAGAACAUGUUUGCUUGGUUUAGAAGUUACUUUUUUUGGAAAAUAAGUUAAGUUCGUUUGGCGAAUUUAUAAAUACUUUAUAAAAGAAAUAAUAGUGGAUUCCAUGAAUGUGGAAAUGAUAAUGAGUAAUGAUUAAGAAUUUGUGCUUGAAUUAAUAAAUCAUUCCAAAUUUGUAUCCAAACAUAAGGUUAAGAAUUACUUUCUGAAAAAGCAUAUUUUGUAAACAUAAAAAGUAACUUAGGUAAAAGUUUUGCCUACUUUAAGAACAACAAACAUGCACGCCCAUAGAGCAUAGAUAUGAGUAACUAUUCAAGUGAUUUUAUUAAGUUAAUGUAGAGUUGAAUUACACGUUUCAGAAUUUAAGUUUUUAAAAAGGAGAAUAAUUUAUAAUAUGUACCAAAGGUGGAGAUUGGGUUUAUUUUUCCAUCAUAUGUUUGAUGUUUAAUUAAAGUGAGCUCUUUAUCUUAGAUCACUUCAUUUUCUAUUCGAUUUCUAAUUACAUUUGUUUUAUCCCUUUGAUCCUCCUUUCAUUUUUUUAAAUGAAGAAUUUGUUUAGUAUUAAGAAGCAAUUUGACUUCGUGGGCUAAGGAAAAGGAAAAUUUUCAAUAACAAGGGCUAUAGGAGAGAAAAAACUCGUUUGAUUGCUAAGUUCGUGUAUUAUAAUUAUUAAUAUUAACCUUUUCAUAUUCAACUUAGACAAUAUGGUGAAUCGACAUUUCCAUUUGAAUUCCAUUUGAAAAUAUAAUCGAGGAUGUUUAUAUUUGUCAAGACAUGAACAUAUGACGGCGUAAGCCUACAUAAAAUUUCUUGAAUUGGAAAAUAAAUCUUAGGCUAAAUUGAGGUUAAAAACAAGAUUCAGGUAGGAUUUAUCAAUUAUGAUGUAUAAAAAUAUUCUGAUUUGAAAAAACAAAAUUACCUUGCCAAAAGGUGCUACUAACUGCUGAAGAGCAGCAAUUCUAUCUCCCAAUUUCUCUUUUCUAACCUGAUAAAUUCAGUUCAAGAAAGUCUUAAAAAUGAUAAAACUGAGCUUAAUUAUUAUAGACAGAUAAUUAAUUAUAUUUAAAUGAAUUCUAAUUAAUUUGUUAUUCGUUAGCUGUACCUUAAAGAAUAAUGCUACAUAGAAUCACUGUGCUGCAAUAAACACAGUCUAAUUGCAAAACACCAUUAGUUUAUAAACGAUUAGUUGUACCUUAAGUGGUGGGCAAGAAGUGCGUGGUUCUAUACGUGAUUUUUUUGGUGCCUUUGGCUCCAAUAUACUGUUGCUUCGUUUUGCUUCUGCAACUCCAUUGCUUAAUGGUGAUAUCUUUAAAAUCCAGAGAAAGUAAAAUUUAUCAGAACAAUAAUGGCUAUCUUGUCAAAAUCCUUUUUUUAAAAAUAAAUAAAUAAAUAAAUAAAUAAAAAGACUCAACUUUUCUGAAAAUAAAAUGUGUAUAAUUAUAUAAAGGUGUAUACAAAUGCAUAAAGCUGAAGUAGCCUUUAAAUGGAGAAAAAGGAAGGCUUUCCUUUUGGUAUAACAAUCUAUUUGAAUGGAGAAAAAGAAAAGCAAAGAGGCUUUUUUUUCUUUUCUCAAAUAAAAAUAGGAAAAAAUAUAUAUAUCAGAAGAAAAACACUUUCUGUGGCUGUGCUUUUAUCCCAGGUACUGUUUUAGAUAUUUCUGACGCAGUUUCAUCCCACAUGUAUAAGAUCUUCACCUCACUAGGAAGUAUUUAUAAUUGGGAUAGAAAUCUAUAAGGAAUAAUAAGAUCAAUGGAGAAAAAGGAGGAAAGUGAAAGAAAAUAAAGGAAAAUGCAAACCUUAUUAGGGCAAUUCAUUGACAUUUGGCUUGAUUGCUGCAUAUAAUCAAGGCCAUAACAAAGACCUUCUUUGUAAUGGCCUAAUUCAUUCUGCGAAUUUGGGCUCAUAAAAUUUCCAUGAAAUUUUGAAGCCGUAAGGUGAUCUAGUGCCUGCAAGUUCAUGUCCAUGUUGCCUGAAUUUUCUAAUUGCGCCGACUGCAGAUUGAAAUUGGAAACAUUUAUGCUUGGAAAUAUCUGACUGGAACCCCUUCCACUCUGUGUUGAUCCAUUAAUUCCUGUGCUUAAAGAGUUGGAGUAAAAAUUUUGUGGAGAAAUAUUCUGCCCAUUUCCAAGAUUUCCGGAAGAAAGUGUUCUAAGAAGAAGCUUUGCGCUGAGAUCGUUAAAUGGAAAAUCUCUCAGCUCAUUAUUCUUGCUGUAGCUUGAGGGAUUUACGCGAAAAUCUUCAAUACUUGAUGAUUGCCUGUUUAAGAUCUCUGUGAAUUUAGGGUUAAAAUUAUCUGGAAAUUCUUCCUUAAUUCUUCCAGAUUGUAAAUUUCCUGUAGGAUUAGCCCAAUGAAAUAAUUCCAUUUCUGGAGUCAUGGAAAUAUUCCAGGAAGAGAGUGGAUUCUGGUUUUGCUGCGCUUGCCUCGGAUUUAUAAUGCCUUCAAUAGGAUAUGAAUUGAAGCAAUCUGAGUUUCUGCAAAAAUUAGUUAUGGUAAUCACUUGUAUUUCAAGCCGAAACAAUCCAAUCUAAAACUUUGAAUAUUGCACGUUAGGCGAGUAGAUUAACGUUACUAAGCUAUAGUACAAAACAAAAAUUAGCAUGCAAGUAGAUUAACAAUGCUAAGUAAUAUUACAAAAGAAAAAUUAGUAGAUAUUUUGUUCAUUCUACUAUUGGUGUACUAUUUUAUAUCAUACAUGCACUAAAAUUUCAAACGAACCACCGGAACUCGAAAUUUUCAAACAAUAAGCUGCAAGAAUAUUUUGUGCUUGAUGUGCAAUCAAAUCACACGAGAAUAUAAGCAAAGCAAGGAGAAGAUACAAGUACUAAACAAUAAUAAUACUAAACCACAAUGAUUCUGCAGCAAGUAUUGCUAACCAAGAAUCAUUAUAGAAGAUUUACUUGUUUAUCUAAAAAGCCCAGAUGAGGAUUUUUUUGGUUAAAGUUCCUAGUUUAGAGAGAGAGAGACUUACAAAAUGGUGUUAGGGGUCCAAGAAUGAGUGCUUGCAACUCCAUAGCAAGAAGUAGCUAAAGAAGAAGACCCAACAACUUGAUGAUGAUCUUGAGGAUGAUGUUUUUUUAGUCUAUGAAUAUUUGCAGAAUCCAUUAUAAUGCAAUAAUUUUUUUAACACACUUGAAAAUCCCAAGACUAACAAUUAAAAACCAAACCUAAUCUCUCUCUAUCUUUCCCCUCUCUCUCUCUCUAGGAAAUAGUAUUUCAGGUGACAGCCAUAAAAUACACAAUUCUCCUAUGCUUUUAGCACCUUUUCGUAUGCAGUUUCACCUUUACUCUUUAAAUCUUUUGCCUUAAGCCGCCUUGAAAUGAAGGGAAAGGAAAGGAAAGGAAGAGAGAACAUUUAUCAAUGGCUACACCGCUCUUCAGCUCUCAACAAACAAUUUUUUAUUUUCUUCUUCUGUAAAAACUUUAUAAAUAUAAACUAAAAUACUCUCUCUCCCCGCUUUGCAAUCACAAAAAGAUUAUUAUAGUUCCUCCAUGCCAUGAUUAAUAUCCCUGCCUUCGAUCCCAAGGCUUUCGACAAAAGUCUGUGGAGAGAAAUGAUGCAGCCAUGCCGUCUCUCUCUCUCUCUCUUUUUCUAUAUCUAUAUUUUUUUCUAUCUCUAUCUUAUAUCCACAUGUUGGUGGUCUUUAUAUUUGUAUUCGGGGUAUAUCAGUGGAAUCAGAAGAGAGGUGUCCCUAAGAAUGGAUGAUCUGUUUGGAUAUGUUCUUGUGGUCCAAUAAAUACGAUUAAUUCUUCAAAUGUAAUAUAGAGAGGAAUAAUGCUCAAUCCAAGGAAGGAAAGGGAUGAAAAUAAAGGUAGGGUCCAUAGGAUAAUUUCACCCUUAAUAACUCAAUUGUGACAAGAAAUUAUUUGGUCAUUAAGCCAUUGUAAAUCAUUAUAAUCUUGUCUCUUUGUUGGUUAAUAUGAUUAGCCCAAAAGAAAAAGAAAAAUGAAAAAAAAAUCAUUCUUUACUUUGAUUUUGGAUAGAUCAUUUGUCUUUUUACUAGAAAAAGUCAUUUUCACGAUCAAUGAUGGCAAUUUGGGUAGUUUUACCCGUUGCAAAUUAAUUACCCACAAAGUUUUGAUUCUAUCACUAACUAUCAAUGCCUUGGAUUUCAUGUAAUGGAAAUUUUAUGUUGGUGAUAAAUUAGAGACAGGUUUGUAGUUGAAGGCACCUUUUUUUCAUUUUAAUUGAGUCGAGCUAUGAAAAUUAGUAGAACAAAACUACAACAGAAAGAAGGGAUCGGAGGAGAAAAGAGCAGUGGUUGUGCUGAAGGACAUGGUGGUAGCAAUAGCAAUAGCAAUAGCUCCACGCGGUGGGGAUACUAAAACAACGUUUUCUUUAUUAGUUGAGAGAACAUAAAUACUAUUCUAAAAUUAAUCGCAAUAAUUCAUGUAUAUUGUUGCUUUUUUUUUUUUUUAAGUUUUAAUAUUAACCAAGAAAUAAAAAAAAUUAAAUUGGAACCAGUAUAUAAUUUUACACUAGUUUUUUAUUUGCUUCAUUAAAAUUAAACUUGCAGAGUAAAACAUCUACUAAGUUCGAAUAAUCAUAAAUAUAACUUCUAAUUUUGUAUCAGCUAAAUUGAUUUACACAUAUUUGGAAAGUGUUUAUAAACAGUUGAAUUUAUAAAUAGAUAGAAAUAAAUUUGUAUAAAUGAAUAGUAUUUGUGAUUUCCACAAAAUUUGUGAAUAAAAAGGUUAUUUGACCGUUUAUAAGGAUUAGCCGAACAUAGGCAAAUAUUGAAUUCCUUGUCAAGCUAUGAACAUUUAUUUUGCUAAUUAAUGAAUCAUCACAUUGUCUUCUUAUGUUUCGUAAUUAUAAUGAAAAUUGUCAAUAUAAUUGUUAUCAUUAUUAGCUGCAAGAAUAGAGUGGUUGUAGUACUACAACUAUCAAAUAAAGUCUGAUGCUUUUAUUAUACAACUAGGUAACUUAUAUAUCUUUUACUUUCACCAACUAGAAAUGGCUUUUUAAUUUUAAACUUAUGUUUUUACUUAUAAGUAAAUUAACUUAAAAAAAGAUACUCUAAAUCCCUCAUAUAUUUUAUUUUUUUACUUUUUUUUUGCCUUCCUGUUCUUGUUUUAUAGUCCAAGUGUGCAAAAAAUCUAAAUUCUGAAACAUAAAUGAAAAAUUUAUGAAAACAAUGUAAAAAGCAUAUCAUAGAUGGACAUAAUAAAUACAAGAAGAAUAAACAAAAAUACAUGAAAACAUAAAAGGGGACCAACGAAAUAACCCACAAUAUAUCCAUAUGAUAUAAAGACAACAUAUAUAGAUAGCCCAUUGGAUUACAACAUGAUGUCAAUUUGACAUUUUUAUGACAUCAUCAUUCUCUUAAGGUAAGGGGUGUGCAUGUAUCAAGAUUUUGAAAACUUUCAACAACGAUCAUAUCAUUCAUAUCUAAAGUUUAAUUUAAAAUUUUCAAAAUGGUCGAAAAUAUCUCCAAUGGAUAGGUGCAAAGAAAAUAAAAUAUGUAAUUUUAGGCAUAAAAUGUUUAAAAAAAAAAUGUAAACUUUUUUACAUCGAUAAGAGACAAAAAAAAAAAAAAAAAAAUUUAAAUCCUUCUAUUGAAGCAAAAUUUGAAUUUAAAUUCACCGGGAUAUAAAUGGGGAUGCGAAAGUGAUUUUCGAAAUAUACCCAAUUUUUCACCACCAUUGGAUAUGCUCUUAUACCGUUAAAUAGCAAUGGUUCCCAAACUUUUAAAUAGAAACGUUUAGUAUUGGUAUUUUUGGUAAUGGUUGUUAAAUUUUCAAUCCAGAUUUUUAAGAUCUUACUAUUCUAUGAUCUUAAAAUUAUAAAACAAUUUAUUCUUGUUACUCGAUUCUAAUGAUCUUGUAUAGUAUUUGUCAAUAUGGACUUUUGAGCUUCAUUUUUAGGUGACUUAAAUAGGCUAGAUUGUUUAGCAGUUGAUAGGGUUUUAAUCUACCAUCCAUGUCGGAUCAUCUUAGCCAUGAAGGGAUCUUUCGACCCCCUUUUCCACCCAAGCCUCUUGAUCAGCCUCUUCCACAAUGAUCACAGUGUCAUGGGGGACGAUUGUGCCUGUUGUCGUCCCUAAAAAAAAAAAGGUUGUAAUCUCUAUAUUGAUCAUCAAUCUUGUAAUAGCAACGACUCUAACAUGUGUCCAUUCUUGCUAGGAUAUGUGAUACUAAUGAAGCGAGACAAGCCUUGAGGGUUAAUAGAUAUACGCAGCAAGUUGUAGACAGUUUAGAACUUUGACCCCCUUUAGGUCGAUUUUCUUGGUCACGUUUCAUAAAAUUAUGCAAGUAUACGACUUCAUAAGUAAGCAAUAAAGAGUGAAUAAAAUAUUACUCCCUUCGUCCCAUUUUGUAUAGGCUGAUCUUAUUGUUCAUACGGAUUAAGUAUUAUUAUUUAGUCCCUGUUUGGCCCUCAUUAAUUUUCAUUCCAUUACAUUUUAUUUUUCUCUCUUCUAUUUUCAACCACAAAAUCUUCCAUAAAAUAAUAUUACACGUAAAUCGAAAACUUUUUCUUCUUUUUCAACAACUCAUUUUUAAAAAAAACACUAUUCCGCUCAUUUUCAUUCCCACAAAAUAGGAGCCAAACAUGGGCUUAAUGUUAUUGAUAAAAUAAUUUUUGCCAAAAACUUUACUAGUUUACCCUUAUUUAUAAGGCAUUUCAGGAAUUGGUUUGAUUCUAUCUCUUUUCCUUCCGUUUGAAGGAAGGAAGGAUCCCAAAAAAUCGAUCUUUCUUUUAGUUGUUGAAUCUCUCUUUGAUUGAUCAAUAUGAUUUAUACAAUUUAAAGAUUAAGUGGAGAAAAUUUAUUAUAAUUAUGCAAAUUAAAUAAGAGAAUAUUAGUAAAUAAGCAAUAAAUAGGACUAUAUAAUUGGGACAAGAAAAUAAGAAAAUCUAGCCUAUAUAAAUGUAAAGAAUGGAGUAUUUUAAUAUGAUUGUGUAUUCAAUUAGAUUCCAACUUUAACUAAAAUAACACAAUUUUAUUUAGAUUGAUAAUUUCAAAUUAAAUUAUGAGGGUGUUUGAGAGUCAUUUUUAUGUAAAAAUACAUUUUAGAAUAGUAACUUGAUGAGAAGUAUGUGGUUAAGAAAUAAGAAUUUUUUUUGAUUUAUGUGUAAUAUUAUUUUAAUAAAGAAUGUGUGGUUGAAAAAAAGAGAGAGAAAAAUGCAAUUUGGAAAAAAUGGGUAUCAAACGGGGCCUAUAUAACUAAUUAAAUAUCUAACUUCAAUCCAAACUCUGAAGAAUUUACAAAAACUCAAUUAAUUAAAAUCACUAGUACCCCAAAUCUUCUAUAUUGUUCCACUUAUAUAUCAAUUCAAGAAAUAAAAAUACUUGUUUAGACUUGAAGAUAAUGCUCCUAUUUUGCUUAAUAAUCUCUUUCGAGCAAUAUUAAAAUUACAAUAUUAUAAUGGAAAGCAUAAUGAUAUAUAUAUCUAUCUACUAUUGAACUUUACAAUGAUUGUUACUGCGUGCUAAAAUUUGUUCAUUUAUAUAUAUAUAUAUAUAUAUAUAUAUAUAUAUAUAUAUAUACAUUUGUUUGAAUAAUGAUUUGUUUUUUGACAUUUCGAACAGUUUUAGAUUUUAAUUGUUUGAAGAUUUUCUCUUUGAAUAAUUUUUGCAAUAAUUCUUUUGAAAUUCUCUUUUUGAAAAUGAUUUUUUCUUUCGAAAAUUUUUCUUUUUCAAUUUUGAAGAAGGGGGAAGAAUUUUUUUCAAAACCAUUUUGUUCACAGAAUGAUCCUAAUUCUUUACGAUUUUCAGACCAAUCUGAUUUCAAUUUUGCUUUGAGUUUCAUAUCAUUGCAUAAAUCUAAACCUGUUUUAUUGAUAACAUCGAUAAUUUCACCAUAAGUAAGAUCUUGAAGAUUUCUUUCUUCAUAAAGAAUUGAAUUUCUAACUUUUUCAGCAAAUAGCUUUAGAAGUCCAGAAUUAAAUUUUUCUUUCCAAUAGAAUUAUUGACAGUCUUCUCGUAACAUAAUACAAGAUAAAAACAUGUCUUUAUACCAUCGAAAUCUUAAAGUUUUGGACAUCUUAAAUUCAUUAAGAUCUCAUUUUGAAUUGUAAUAUAUUUGUAGGGGUUUCAAGGAAAUGUUUGAUAAUAGUACAAGCUAAAACAUUGUAACUAUCAUUAAUUUCUUGACCAUUUAUUCUUUGAAAAUGUUUCCAUUAUCAUCUGUUUUGACAGCAUUGAGUAUUGAAUCUCUUUCAUCUUGAGAUAGAUAAUUGAUCAGGUUGUCCAGUAAAACCAAUAAUGAUAUUAUGGACAACAUUAUUUGCACUAAUACUUUUGCCUAUGUAUGUUUUAUAACACAAUCAUGGCUUCAAUAAGAUUGAUUAUUUGAUAUUUGGUUAAACCAUCGAGAUUCCACUCGUCACUGGUAAAACCAUCAUAAAUCUUUUAAGUUUUUGGUUUUUCUUCAAAAAGAAAAUCGGGAUGAGUAGAUUUUAUAUUGAUAUUAUUUUGAACAGAUAACUUUUUUAAUUAAAUAGAAAGUUCUUUGAGAACUUGAGCUUCUGUUUUCAAUUUUGAAGUUUCUGCCUUUUGAAAUUGAGAUACUAAAUUAUUUGGAUGAAAAAUAGUAGCUUUUGAAUUUGAAAUUUUUUUUUAUCAUCACUAUCUUUUAAUUCUUUCUUAGAAUUAUUAGAAGUGACUUCUGAUUCAGAAUUUGUUUCAAUUCUGUUGAGUUUAGAACACAAAGAUUGAAGAGCAAUGUUUGUAUAAUUAUUUUGAGCUUGGAUAUUUUUAAUAUCUUUUGCAACAACCUGAGAUUCAUCAAAUUGUUCUUUAGAUAUUCUUUUGAGAGGGGAAGCAAGAAUUUUAGUAUUACCAUGUAAAACAGUAAUUUCUUGCAAAGAAGGAUGAGAAGAUUGAAUAGUAUCUCCACUUGGAGUUUUCCAAGUCUUUUUUGCAGUAGAUGUUGCAUGAAUUUUUUAUUUAAUUGGGUUUUGACCAAAAACUUUGAAAUAAGCCCCUAUAACAACCAUUAAAAUCAAAUGAGUAUUUAACAUCAAAGUCAUGAAAUUAAUAUAAAACUUCAAAAUAUAUGGUCCAUCUUCAUAUUAGUGUUUAGACAUUUAGUCGCGCAUCAUGAAAUUACACAGAUAUGUUUUGGAAUAAUAAAAAAUAUUACUCGAAUUUCAAUUGUAAAGAUAAAUUGAAAAAUAACUCUUUACUCUGGAAGCUAUUCAACAAUAUUAAGCCCUUGUUUGAGUCACAUUAUUUUAGAAAAAAAAAUGUAUUUUUGAAUAGUGUAUUGAUGGAAAAUGUGUGUUUAAAAAAUAAGGAAAAGUUUUGAAUUUGUGUGUAAUAUUAUUUUACUAAAAAAUGUGUGCUUGAAAUGAUAUCAAAUCUAUGUUUAAGAAUGUAAUUUUUCCUAAUAAAGUGAAUCAAAUGGGGCCUAAAAUAAUCCUCUUGUAUUCUCUAUUAUUUGAUGCCUAGUCUUGUAAGUAAAGAAUAUCUAGCGAUUUUUACAUAUGAGGCGAGUAACUCUAGUACUCAUCCACCAUUCUUUAUUAUUAUCUACUAAGUGGCAUUCAAAAACUACCACAGAAAGAUUGAUUUCUUGCACUUUAUCAGAAUGAUUGUAUUAUUCCGUCAUAUCGGUUUGAGAACUUUCUUCCUAGAAAUUCUUUGGCUUUUGACAAUCCUUAGACCAAUGCGUGCCUUGAAGAUGAUUACGCCCAAAGAAUAACGUGAUAGUUUUAGCACAGCUUGGGGUGUCAAUUUCACAGGGAGAUGGGCGAAUUGUUUAAAGGAUUUAUCGAACUAUAAUUUCGUGAAUUAUGUGAAAAUAAUUUGUCAAUUGGAAUGAAAUUUAAUUAUCAAUAUGCGAGAUUAGUGAAGCGUCUGAAUUCCUUUAAUUGGAUUGGAUCAUCAACAUCAAUAAUUCAUAGCUUUUUGCUCAAUUAGAGGUUUUCAUUCCAACUCUCUAAUCGGAAGGUUUAACAAUGAAGAUCAAUCAAAUUUCAAUUGUAAUCCUAGGAUCUAGACUUUUGUAAACCAUUUACACACAUGUUUAUUGGACUAAAAUUAAGAAUCGACCAUAUACAAAAUGCAUAAGAUAGUAAAUGAUCCACCAAUAUAGUUGGUUGUAAUUGAAAUUCAACAAUUAGUUCAAUUCCAUAAUAGAAAAAAUAUGAUUGAAUCUAUAAAGUUUUUAGUAAAAGUUAAAUCAAUUCCAAAGUAAAUUCAUAAAAGAAAGUUUAGAUCUAGAAGUGUUUGACAAUAAAAAUACCAAUUUACGUGAAUAAUUGAUGUGAAGUCGCCAAAUCCAAUGAGUUCCUUCGCAGCUUCACAUAGGAAUUUAGUUCUCCGCCAAAUUCUUUAAUCCAAUAUGAGAGAAAAUUGUUAUGGAGGUCAAGAAAGUCAUGUUCUAUCCAGUCUAAAGCUUAAAACCAUGUGCCAAGUUGUUUUUAAAAGAGGUUGAGCCAAAUAAGGAAACUAAAUUUUCGACCAAAAUGUUCUGUGCGACUACUUUCAGUAUUAUGGCCAUAACUUUCUCUUGAUGUCCAAUUAAGGCAAUUCAAAGUGCAUUGGAAAAAUAACACAUAGGGAUAUAAUGUUUUUGAAAUAGCUCUUUCAAAUUCAAAUGUUUACUAAGUUAAAAGUUGAUCUCAAUUUCUGGCUUAAAAUUUGGAAAGCCUUUAUGCAGUUUGAAUAUGAUUUGUGAAUAUGUUAUGAUCAUAUUUAACUUCUUUUGACUUCUAAUUAUACCCAGUGGACUCCUGACUUUCUCAAAUCAUCAUUCCAUUGCUUGUCUCAUCUUUAGAUUAUUUGCAACUUGGUCCCUGAACUUUUAGUUUCUUCCAUUUUGGUCCUUUUUGCCCUUUUCUUCUAAAUUUCAUCUUUUCUACCAUUUUGGUCCUUUUAGGUUAUUUGUAACCUGAAUCAAAGUAUAAGUAUAAUGAGUGCAUUUUAGUAUCAAAUAAUCACUCAAAUGCAACAAUCAAGAGGGAAAAAUUAUUAUAUUUUGCACUCUUAUUGCACCCCAACUUACUUAUUGCUAGUCUCUAGCAAUUUAAUGCAAAACAAGCAAAUGAAUGACUGGUUCAUGAUAUAAAUGAAAUUAUUAAGUACCAAUUUAUCCACAUGCUAUGUCCCUUUCAAACUCAAAGCCACAAGAAAUUAACAAUGUUAUGAUCAUCAAGAUAUCGAAAACACAUGCCAAAUGUGUGUGUGUAUGUCAAGCCAUAACCAUCUUACUACCAACCCUAACGCAUGCAACAUCAAGUAUGUCUUAAGCUAAAGGUUCAGUCCUGUAACUCAUAGGUAUCAAAGUGUUUAUUGUAGGGUUUCUCUCUAUGGAACUAAGAAAGAUAUACUAUCAAAAAAUGGAGGCUUAAAUAUUUAUAAAUAAGCAACAAAUAAACAUUGAUCACAUGAUAGACAUACUAUCAACUGAGAAUUCAUCAACUUCUUACCACAACCUUACUUAGGAUCAAAACAGCCAAUGCAAAAGUUUGUAAUGAGAAUCAAGUUGGGCUAUGUGUAUAGAAUGGCAAAAGGAAUUCAAGGACUUCCAAGUACGUAGUUAGGCACUUCAUCAAGUAUUUCAAUAGAUCAAAUCCUUUACAUCAAUGCAUUCCUCAAUGUUUCAAUUUCCAACAUCAAUCUACAUUCUUUUUUCUUCUUCUUUCUUUUUAAGAUUUAUCAUUUCACUUGAGCACUUAUCAACUCUUAUCACUUUUCUUCAUUGUUUUUCUUCUCAAAUGAUAUCCAAUGCCUACUAUACACUUGAAGCAUAAAGGUUUAAAAAAUGAAUGUUUAUAAACUUUAUUCCAAUGUGAAGAGGUAUGGAUAACAUAGGUGCAUGAAGAGAAACGAUUAUAUAUGUGUAUUGGCUCAAAGUGGCUAUUAGGGGAUUAUAAUUAUGAAAAAACUAAUGUGAAGGCUCAAAUUCAAUCCUAAAUUGACUGUUAUCAUUUCCUAAGUAUAAUCCAUCGUCUUAUCACAAACCAUGUAAUGUUAUUCUCAGAAGAAGUUUCCGAUUCACAAAAUCAAUAAAUACUUAUUACCAGUUUUAGUAUAUAUGGCUCUCAAUCCUCACCAAUUCUCUCACAAGAAACUUUAGCAAGAGAUUCCUCUAAGUACAUGUGUUAAACCACUAUCUUAUCACAAGGCUUGCGUGCACAAAAUGAUUUGACAAUUGUCUCAACAUCUAAACUUUCACAAACAACAUUAACUCCCAGUGGCAUGUCUUGUCAUUCAAAAGCAUGAACAUGUAGCAAAUUAUGGACUUAAAAAAAUUUAGACCAAUCAACAAAAUCAAGGCCAAAAUUCCAUGAAAUAAUGCAAUUCACAACAAAAUUCACGUGAAACUCUCCCUCAAGCUAAAUAUUGCAUUGUCCUCAAUGCAAAAACAUUUCUACUAAAUAAAGGUAAGGAAAGAUGUCACUUGAAUACCGAAGUGAAUCAACAUAAGCUGAAGUAAGAGAAGCCUGAAAAUUCUAAAUGGAAAAGGUGAUGUAAAAAAUGAAAAUAAACCUAAAAAAAAAAGAAGCAAAAAUAAGAGAAGAAAGAGAAGCGAACGAACUCCCCUUGGGUUGCCUCCCAAGCAAGGCCUUUGUUUAUUGUCAUUGGCUCGACCCAAUAUUACUUUCUUUAGCCCGCAUCUAGCAAGGGCAUUGUCAAUCUUCCUUGCAUUGCACCAAGCUCAUUGGAGAUAAGCACCGGUGAUGCUCCAUAAUCAUGCAAAUCAUCAAAAGUAGCAUAGAUAUUAGCAUAUUUAUCGUCAUCAUAUCCUAUCAGAAUUUUAGAAUUCGAAAGAAAAGAGUUUAAAGGGUCGGGGUCAAUAAUCGCAGGUGUUUCCUCCUGAACGAGUGCCUCAAACAUGAAUGUUUGAUGACACUCAUCAUUUUCCUCAUGUUACUUCAUGAUGUGAAAUGUUGCCAAAUAAUAGUUUCACUAGACCGUUCUUGCAAUUGAUAAGUGCAUUAGCUAUGGCAAGAAAAGGUCUACCAAGAAUUAUAGGAAUUUUGGAGUUAACAUUCACAUCAACUUUUAGGUUCAAAAUCAAGAAGUCAACAGGGUAGUUAAAUUUGUCAACUUGAACCAACACAUCCUCAACUACUCCCCUAGGCCCAAUAGUGGAUCGAUCAUCCAAUUGUAAACUUACUAAUGUGGGUUUCACUCUCAUAGCCCUAACGACAAGUAAAUAUCAUACGACAUGAUGUUGACACUAGCCCCUAGAUUAAGAGGGGCUUGUGAAAUCACAUGGUUCCCGAUGAUGCAAGAGACAGUAUGACAACUAGGAUCCUUAUACUUUGGUCGGAUCUUUUGCCCAAUCACAGCACUCACAUGUUUAGUCAAGAAAGCAGUUUUUUGACAUGAUUUUUCCUCUUCACAAUGUACAAGUCUUUUAGGACUUUAGCAUAUGUAAGAACCUGGGAGAUCACAUGUAGGAGAGGCAGAUUGAUUUUUGCUUGUUUUAGAUGCUCUAGAAUUUCACUAUGUUGGUUGGUAGAUUUUGAUGCAAACUUGAAAGCUUGAGGAAAAGGCACUAUAGAUGGAUUUUUCACUACCCCCUCACUAGGGGUACUCUCUUCUAAACUGCUAGGGUCAUUUUCAUCUUUUGUAGGUUUGGGGGUUGGUUUAAUAACCUUAUCGGAUCGAGUGGUUAUGGCAUUUACUUUUCAAAGUUUUGGUUAGUCUUACUUUGUGCCUCUACAAAUGCAUGUAAAGUGUCUUCUAAAGAGUUCCUAGAGGACGUGGGUUGAUAUGGAGGUGCAUUAUGAGCUUUAUUUGGCUGGCCUUCAGAUUUUCAGCUGAGAUUUCCGCCACCCCAGAUUGUAUGUCUCAAAGUAAGGGGUGUAGGGCUUUUGAUAUACGUCUAAAGCAUUACAAUAUUCAUCAUAAAGUCUUCUCAUCUCAGCAUAAGUGGCACACUCCUGUGCUAGGUGAUCACUCUCCCCACACACAAAACAAGGCUCUAAAAACUCAACAUGGAAAAUAGGUCGAGUUGUUUUUGAAUCUUUGGCAUGUAGGGCUUCAAGCUCUCUAGUGAAGGCUUCUACAUUUUCUCUAAGGUUAUCUUCCUCCUUAAAAUGAUAAAUACAUGUGCUAUUCGAGUUUCCAGUGGGUCGUGACCUAUUAGUAUUCUUAGUAGCACUAAGCCUAGUCCAGGUAUGGUCUUUCUCAGAUAAGUCAUCUAAGUAGUCAAUAGUUUCAUCCGGAUCUUUUUGCAAAAAUUUACCGUUACACAUCAUUUCAACAAAUUGACAUUCCUUAGAUAAUAGUCCCUCAUAAAAAUAACUCACAAUGCACUAACUUUCAUAACCAUGGUGGGGGCAGAGAGCUUGCAAUUCUUUGUACCUUUUCCACGCUUGAUAUAAAGUUUUACUCUCCUUUUGAAUAAAAGAAGAGAUUUUCUUUUUCAAUGCAGUUGUUUUGUGGUGGGAAAAUUACUUUCCAAAGAAUGCUUGAAUCAUUUCAGCCCAAGUCUCAAUCGAACGUGGUCGCAAUAGCCAGCUCUUUGCUCUUUCUUUAAGAGAAAACGAGAAAAAUAUAAGCAUGACUGCAUCCAUUGUGUCAUGUUGAUUGUUGAAAGUUACAACCACCUCUUCAAAUUCCCUAAUAUACACGCAUGAGUUUUCAUUUUCAAAAUCGUGAAAAGUGGGAAGAAGUUGGAUCAUUCCCGGCUUAAAUUCCAUACGUGGCAUAUUAGGUGGAAAUAUAAUGCAUGAUGGUGUAGAUGUGUGUGUGGGUGAAGAUAAUCAUACAAGGUCCUAGUUGGUGCCUCUUCAUAUUCACCAUUAGUCAUUGUGUUGUGUGAUGUAAUGUGUGUGCCAAUAGAUUUAAUAUCAAAGAGAGGGUUAGGAAGAAAUUCAAACACUGGAUGUGGCCUUGCAAUGAAUUGUCCUUGCUCGUCCCGAUCUCUAUUCAUAAAGCACCAAAAAAUAUGAAAUUUUGUGAGAAAUAACAGAAUAAAAACUAAUAAAAUUAAACUAACUAAAAAAUGUAAAAGAGGAACAAAGUCACACUUUUGCUCAAAAAUCCUUCAAUUAUUUGUACCGUCUCCCCGGUAACGACGCCAAAAAUUUGAUUACGCCCAAAGAAUAACGCGGUAGUUGUAGCAUAGUUUUGGGGUGUUAAUUCCAUAGGAAGAUGGACGAGUUGUUUAAAGGAUUUAUCGAACUAGGAUUUUAUGAAUUGUGUGAAAAUAAUUUGUCAAUUGGAAUGAGAUUUAAUUAUCAAUAUGCGAGAUUACUGAAGCGUUCGAAUUCCUUCAAUUGGAUUGAAUUAUCAACAUCAAUAAUUCAUGUCUUUUUGCUCAAUUAGAAGUUUUCAUCUCAACUCUUUAAUUGGAAGAUUUAACAAAGAAGAUCAAUCAAAUUUCAAUUGUAAUUCUAGGAUCUAGACUUUUGUAAACCAUUCCCACACAUGUUUAUUAGAUUAAGAUUAAGAAUCGACCAUAUACACAACGCAUAGGACAGUAAAUAAUCCACCAAUAAAGUUGAUUUAAAUUGAAAUUCAACAAUUAGUUUAGUUCCACAAUAGAAAAAAUAUGAUUGAAUAUAUGAAAUAUCUAGUAAAAGUUAAAUCAAUUCCAAAGUAAAUUCAUAAAAGAAAGUUUAGAUCUAGAAGUGUUUGACAAUAAAAAUACCAAUUUGCAGGAAUAAAUGAUGCAAAGUCGCCAAAUCCAAUGAGUUCCUUCGUGGCUUUACCUAGGAAUUUAGUUAUCCGUCAAAUUCUUUAACACAAGAUGAGAGAAAAUUGUUAUGGAGGUCAAGAGAGGCGUGUUCUGUCCAAUCAAGGGCUUAAAACCGUGUGCCAAGUUAUUUCCAAAAGAGGUUAAACCAAAUAAGGAAACUAAGGCCGUGGUUGGUUUGCCAUUUUCGACCCAUUUUUCAUUUUCCGUUUUCGAAAACGCAAAAAAUGAGUUUGGUUCGUCGUUUUUGAAAACGCAUUUUCGAAAACGAGUUAAAAUUUAUAACUGAAAACGCAAAACGACUUUUUAUUGUUUUCAGUUAUAAAUGUCGAAAACGCUCAAAACGCGGAAAACAAGCCGUUUUCGGGGAAAACUAAAAAUCUUUUUGAAAAUGAAAACACAAACCAACCACUACCUAAAUUUUCGGCCAGAAUAUUUUGUGCGACUGCUUUUAGUAUUUCGGCCUUAAUUUUUUCUCCCGAUGUCCGAUUAAGACAAUUCAAAGUGAGUUAAAAAUUUAACACAAAGGGAUACAAUUUUCCUAGUAGCUCUUUCCAAAUUCGAGGCUUUACUAGGUCAAAACUUUAUCUCAAUCUCCAGAUGAAAAUUUGGAAAAUCUUUAUGCGGUUGAAAUUUGAUUUGUGAAUAUGUUAUGGUCAUAUUUAACUUCUUUUGACUUCUAAUUAUACCCAAUGGACUCUUAGCUUUCUCGAAUAAUCAUUCCAUUGCCCGUCUCAUCUUUAGAUUAUUUGCAACUUGGUCCCUGAACUUUCAGUUUUUUCCAUUUUGGUCAUUUUUUGCUCUUUUCUUCUAAAUUUCACAUUUUCUACCAAAAUAUAAUCUGAAACAAAGUAUAAGUAUAAUGAGUACGUUUUGGUAUCAAAUAAUCACAAAAUGCAACAAUUAAGAGGGAAAAAUUAUGAUAUUUUGCACUCUUAUUAGAAGCCUCACUUUGACCUUCACAAUUGUGAUUCCUCUUAUUGCUACCCGUGGAACCUCCUUCCACUAUAUUAGCAUUAAAUUCCAUAGACUAAAAUGCUUCACUCUUCCUUCCAAGAUUGGUCUUCUUCUAAUCUCAUCUAGACAAUAACUUCUUCAAGCUUCAUUUCCUUGCAUUUAUAUUUUAAGUAGUUCUUGAAGUACUUCCAAGAUGAUGGCUAUUUUUCAAUGAGCAUAGCAACUUAAAAUGAGUAAUUGAUACCUUCGAUACGAAUAUCACGAAGAAUCACUUGCAGUUAUUGAACAUGGGAUGUAACUCUCUUGAUUUUAACCAUUUUCUAGUCCAAGAAUCGAUCGAUAAUAAAUUUCUUUGUGUAGGCAUCUUCGAUCUUAUGUUUGGAGUCCAAAUAUUAUUUCCAUAGUUUCAUUGUAGAUUUUUUAGAGUACCUGGUAUAUUUUAUUAUCCAAUGCGUUGAGAAUAGAAUUCCAACAUAAGAAUCAACAUGUUUCCAUGCAUCCAAUUUCUCCCUAUUACAAUAAGAACACAAAAGGUAUUCCAAAAAUAAAGAAAUAUCAACUAAUUGAACAUGACAACUAGGAUCAAUUUUAUGGGCUCGGAAUAGCAUUAUACCCUUUUGUACAAUAUGGAAAAUCCCCUAGUCCCAAAAAUGGACAAACAGAGACAGCUACUUCUAUGGACCCAAAUCUACCCAAUAAAUCUGUUAUAUCUUCUCAAACUCAAGACGAAGAAUUAAACAGAACCCACACACAAAAAUCUAACCAAAAAACCAAAAGUUUUAGGGUUAUACAAUGGUUCAUGAAGAAGGUGAAUGAGAACCAACACUAAGUCAAGAGAGAAAACCUAGAAGCUUCUCAAAAACUAGAUGAAAAGUUAAGUAGGGUAACCACUUAGAUCAUAUUUAUAUAAACGAGUCAUCACCAUUGAUUUCUAGUAGGUGAUUAAACGAUCCAAAGCAGCACACAUGUCUUCAUUAUUUGGGACCCGGUGUAGGCCCAUUUCAUAUUGCAUUAUUGGGCAAUGGUAGGUAGUAUUUGUUGGGUUACACGAUUUUAUCAUCGCCCAUACUGGACUUGGCCAAUUUAGUGGCAUCACAGCACAAUAAAUCUCCCCCUUUAUACCAAUGACCAUAAAAAUAGGAAAAAUAUAACAAUAAACUUCUCAAAGCACUUGAUAUAGUUUUCUCCAUGAUCACCAACACCAAGUCAAUAGAACUUGUACCUAGUGGUGUCAACGAUCCGAGCUGAGCCGCGAGUUGAAACUCAAGGCUCAGGCUUAGGCUCAGGCUCAGGCUCAGGCUCAGGCUAGACUCAGCUUGAGUAAAUGAUCCAAGCAUUUUUGCGAGCCCAAGCCGAGCUUUUGCUCGGGCCAGAAAUUUAGGCUCGACCUUAGCUUUUGGCUCGAGCCAUACUGAGCCGAGCCGGGCAGCUCAAUUUUUUCUUUCCUCUUACAGAAGGCAAUUGCUACAUUUUUUAGGCCAUUGCCUCAGUUGUCUAAAAAAGACCGCAGGCUGCCUUUGAUCUAGGUUUUUUUUAGUAGGCCAGAGCUUGAGCCGACGAGCCAGAGGGGUCGACGAGCCAGAUUGUCGGGUCGAGUCAACGAGCCUGAUUGCCAUUCCUACCUAUACCAUCACAAAGAUUGUCUAGUAUUAGUUAUUAACAUUUAUAAGCAUGAUUUAAGCUAAUUUAGAGGAAGUACAUUGGUCUCCACGUCAACUGGAUUAAAUUGAGUUGAGAUUUUCUCAAGUAAUAUAGAUUUUUUUUAGAUUAUGUCCUUAAUAAAGUGUAUCAUAACAUCCAUAUGCUUAGUUCUUAAUGAAGAAUAGGGAUUUUUACAUAAAUAGAUGGCACUUUAAGUGUCAGCAUAAUCUACAACGGGAUUAACCAACGUUUUAAAAAUUGGACCAGACUGGUCGGUUUAAUCGAGAAACCCGUGAACCGGAGUUUAAUCUGGUGCCGUACUCAUACAUUAAUCGUAUAUUAAAAAAUCGGCUAAUAAACCAUCAACCUGGCCGGUUCAAUCAUUAACUGGUUCCGGGUGAUUUAAUUAUUAAUUUAUUUAUUAUUAUUAUUUUUUACAAAAUUUUUUUAACUAUCUUAAUGGGCCACCAAUUGCAACUGAAGGCCCAAAUGACUUUUUUAUACAAGUUAUUCUCCUUUACCUCCUUUUCAAAGGAGAUAAUUCUUUCAAUGUUUUAGUAAUCUUCCAAUGUGGGAUACUAGCUCCUUUUUAAAGGAGACCCUUUUUUCAAUGUUGUGGUUUUCUUCCAAAGUAGGAUAAUAUUUACUUGUUAAUUCUAACUUUUCCAAGUGCUUACUAAUUUACUUCAUUAUUUUCAUUAACAAAUCAUAAGCCCCAACAAGAUUAUAAUUUUUAAUUUGAACAAAGAAAAUUAUUUUUGACUUAUUAAUUGUUAGUUUUUGAGAUUAUAAAAUAAAUUACUAUAAUAAACCUAAUUAACAAACAUUGAUUAUAUUUACUUUGAAUGAGAACACUAAAAUUUAAAAAUUUAUUAUAGUUAUGAUAUUUUAUAGUUUAAUUGUGUAUUUACUUAUUUAAUUUUUCAUCCGUUUCAAUACCGGUUCGACCCUUUAAACCUCUACCCUCUUUUUUUCAGGGUCAAUGCACAGGUCGAUUUUUAAAACAUUGGGAUUAACGAGCUCAUUUACUUCACUUAACAAACCUUUAAGCCAUAAGGCCUCUUUAAUGGCUUUAGUAGCAGCCACAUAUUUAGUUGUAGAAAAGGCUACAAUGGACUGCAAUUGAGGUUUUCAACUUAUACAAGUCUUACACAAAAUAAACAUAUAAGAUGUAGUUGAUUUGCUGUUGUCACUAUCCCUAGCAUAAUCUGAAUCUACUCCACUAAGUUAACUCCCUCUUUAAUAGGUUUAAAACACAAACCUAAAUUAGCUAGUCCUUUCAAAUAUCUUUGUAACCAUUUCAUAGCAGUCCAAUGUUCAAGACUAGGAUUAGCCAUAAAUCUACUCAAAAUAUUGUAGCAUGAGCAAUAUCAGGUCUAGUGCAUACCAUGGUAUACAUAACAAAUCCAACAACGUUAGCUUAUGGGACUUUUUAUGUAUUUGAUGUCAUAUUCAUUAUGAGGGCAUCGAUCUUUACUAAGUUUAAAAUGACAUGCAAGAUGUAAUGUAAUAGACUUAGAAUCAUGCAUAGAAAACUUAGAUAACACUUUUUUCGCAUAGUCAGAUUGUGUUAAAAUAAGUAACUGUUGAGAUCUAUCUCUUUUAAUGUCCAUUCCCAAAAUUCUUCUAGCAUGCCAUAAGUCUUUCAUUUCAAAUUCAACACUUAGUAGCUUUUUAAUGUCAUUUAUAUUACUGAUCUUUUGGCCUAUUAAUAUCAUAUCAUCAACAUACAAAAGCAAAUACAUAAUCACACAAUUAUUAUUACCCUUUUUUUUUAUAAAGGCAAUGAUAAAAAAAGCUUCUCAUGAAACCAACAGAUGAUACAAAGUUAUCAAACCUCUUGUACCAUUGCCUUGAGGAUUGUUUUAGGCCAUAUAAUGAUCUUUUUAAAAGACACAUAAUUAGGUCUUUUGAUAUCAAUAAACCCUUGUGGUUGACUCAUAUAUAUAGUCUCAUUAAGAUCACCAUGCAAAAAAAAAAAAAAAAGCAAUUUAACAUCCAUUUGUUCAAGUUCAAAAUCAUAUUGUGCAACUAAAACAAGCAUAACUCUUAUAGUAGUGUAUUUUACAACCGAAGAAAAAAUCUCAUUGUAAUAUAUGCCAGGUUUUUGGGCAAAUUCUUUAGCCACUAAUCUAGCUUUGAAUCUAAAAGGCUAUUUUGGAGAAUUUUCUUACUAAAGACUUAUUUUUUUCAAGUUUAGGUACAAGGUUCCAAGUAUUAUUUUUUACUAUUGACUUCAUUUCCUCUUCCAUAGCAAGUUGCCACCCUUUAGAGAGUUGGCAAAUGAGAGCCUCCUCAUAAGAUUUUGGCUCUUUAAAUGCCAAAUCUUGAUAUAACAGGAUAGAAAGGGAUAAGUAAUCAUUCAUUCUUACAAGUUCUCUUAUCACUCUCCUAGUCCUAUCCCUGGCUAAUAGAUAAUCAUCUAAAGGGCUCCUCAAUUCACUACUAGAUCCUUGAAUACUGCCUUCAUUAUGUUCAUGAGAACCUAACACAUCAUCACUCUCAGUUUUACCCUAGUCCUUAUUGUAGAGUUUGGGAGAAGACUCUUGCUCUAUAUACAAUUUAAUCCUUUCUUCAUUUUUACUUUCGUAGACUUCACUCGAGAUCCUCUCACUGAGGCAAGGUAUCUCAGUUUCGUUAAAGGUCACAGUUCUACUAAUUAUCAUCUUAAAACCCUUAUUGUCUUUCACCUAAAGCCUAUACCCUUCACUUCUUCUGGUUAUCCCAUGAAAUCACAUUUCUGAGAUCUAGGCUCCAGUUUUCCCACACUUCGGUGGGAAUAGGAAGCAUAGCCAAAUGUUUUUAAGGGGGUAUAAUCUGUCAAUUUACCUGUCCACACCUCAUCAGGUGUUUUUCCAUCUAGAGAACUAGUUAGUGUUCUAUUCAUGAUAUAUGCCGUUGUCAUAACAACCUCACUCCCACAACUUUAGGGACACCUGAGUUAAAUAUCAUGCAUCUAACCUUGUCUAAAAUUGUCAUAUUUAUUCUCUAAGCUACACUAUUUUACUGUGGGGUAUAUGGAAUAGUUUUAUGCUUUAAAAUCCCAUCAUCUUUACACAGUUUGUCAAAAUCAUCAUUAGAAUAUUCUAGACCAUUGUCUAUUUCUAGAAUUUUAAUCUUUUUACCCAUUUGAUUUUCAAUUAAAGUUUUCCAAGUUCUAAACUCUACAAAAAUUUCUAAUUUUUUGUUUCAAAAGAAAUACCCAUACUUUUCUUGAUCAAUUAAGGAUAAAAAAAUAUUUAUUUCCACCAUGGGAGGUGGUGGAUGGUGGGCCCCAUAAAUCAGAAUAUAUGUACUCAAGGAUAGAUGUAGUAUUGUGCUUUCUAGUGUUAAAAUUAAGCCUAUACUAUUCUCCUAAAGUGUAAUACUCAUAAAGGGGAACUUUAGAAAUAGUAUCUCUGCCAAAAGCUCCAUUUUUACUUAAAAUAUGCAGGCCUUUUUCAAUAACAUAGGCCAGUUUAUUAUGCCAUCUCAAGGUUACAUCACUCCCAGUCAUAGAGGAUUCUGCAGUGUGACUUAAAAUACUGGCUCUAGUGACAUAGAUACCAUUCCUUUUAGUACCCUUGAAAAUAACUAAGGAACUCUUAAUUAUUUUCGAGUGGCCAUCUCCAAAUCUGCCUUACAUGCCUAUGUCAUCUAAAUUGCCCACUGAUAUUAAACUUCUAUUCAAAUCAAGAACAUACCUCACCCAUUCCAAGGUAAAGGUGUACCCAAUUUCAAAUUUUAAAGUCACACUUCCUAUGCCCUUAACUUUGCAGGUAGGAUUAUUGCCCGUAACUACCUCACCUCCAUUAAUAUCCUUAAAAUCUACGGACCAAGGUCUUCUAGAGGUCAUAUGAAAAGUGCAACCAGAAUCUAAAAUCCAUUCAACAUUUUGAUCACUGUUAUUUGCAAUGUUUGCAGUAUUCAGAUCAGAGGUUGGUUCUAUCACAACAUGGACAUCUACUAUGGCUUAACAACAUUUUCGUCAUCCAUUUUAAUCUCUCUCUGUUCACUAUUUUCCUUAAAACGGUCCUUAAUAUAGUAUCCUACCCUACCACACCCAUAACAUUUCCUAUUUCCAUUUCUUGACUUUGACCUAUGUCUCCAUUUCCCUUUCUUCUUAAAGGAAUUAAUCCCCUAAUUGCUUUGAUUACUCUAAUUAUUAUCCUGCCUAGUAAGUGAUUUACCUCUCACAAAUAAAUUUUCAAAUUCCUCCCCAUAGCUCUCAACUUUAAUCUCUAAUUCCUUACUUCUUAAAGAAUUUAUAAUCACAUCUGGUGUCAAGGUAUCUCUACUAUACUUGAUGGCAAUUUUAACAUCUUUAUAUACCUCAAGUAUUGCAUUAAGAAGGAAUACGGCCCUGUAUUCUUCAGAUACCUUGUCACCAGCAUUAGUAAUAUCUUGUACUAAUUUAUUGAAUGCAUCAAGAUUAUCAUUUAAGUCUUUAGGCAAAUCAAUCUUAAAAUUGAAGAACCUCUUUAAAGGAAACAACUUAUUAGUAAGUGACUUAACUGGAUAUAGUUCUUCUAACUUUUCUUACUAAGCCUAGCAUUAUCAAGUUUCCCUACUUUCCUUCAAACUUGAUUAGACAAAUGAAGGAUAAUGGAGGAUUAGGCAAGUUAUUAGAUUCAGUUUUUAUUCAGUAGUCAUAGUUUUAGGAAACUAACCAGUUAUUAACUUUGAUACUUUUUGUUGAAUAAGAAAUCCUCUCAUUUUUUUAUUGCCAAAUGGGGAAAUCUCUUUUUCCAUUAAAAACUCCAAAUUCAAAUGUUGUAGUUGUCAUUUGAAGACUUUUAAUCAACAUAAAAAAUUCGUUUAAGAGUUAGUGUCCAACAGAAGAUUUAGAUACUCACAAUAUAGUGUUUGACAACUCACACAGGGUCAUACAAUAUGGAAUAUCAACAACAUCAAGAACAUAAAAAAAACACAAUAAAUAACACCAAAUUACUUGUGUUUGAAUUCACCAAGAUUCCUUUAAGGUCAAAACCCCAAGUCAAGGCUCAAUUCGAAACACAAUGUGUAGGGAAUAUGGGGAAAGCACAAAGGAAAGUACAAUUGAGCAAAGGACAAUUACAAUAUACAAUUCAAAAAUUCUUAGAUCGAUAAGACUUCACACACUUAUACACAGAGACAAUUAAACGAAAAAAUUAGAGGUUAGGGUUUAAAAAAAAGAGAAUAUACUAAACCCUAGAGUUGAUUGGAAAAAAAAAACCUCAUUCACCAGUCUCAAAUAGCCCCUACAAAAUACCCAAGAGGUUAUAGUAUAGUUAAUAGAAAAUCCAAAUUUGACAAGUAACAACACGAUUCAAGCAAUAAUUGUAAGAGAACAAAUAUUUUCUAAAGAAUCGACACCGAAAACCUAAAAAUAGCACCAAUAGAUCUAGGGUGUCACAACUUGUCAGAUCUUGAAUGAUCUAGUUGUGAAAAUCGAUUUUCCACAAACAGAAACAAAUGAAAACUCAAACAGCCAAGAAAGGCUCUGAUGCCACUAUUACAACAAGAACUCAAAAGAUAUUCCAAAAAUAACAAAAUAUCAAUUGAUCGAACAUGACACUCACGAUCAAUUUUAUAGGCUCAAAAUAGCAUUGUACCAGUCUGUACAAUAUGAAAGAUCCACAAACCCUAAGCUAAAAAAUGGACAAAUAGAGACAGCUGUUCCUAUGGACCUAGAUCUAUCCAAUAAAUUUGUUACACAUUCUCAAACUCAAGACGAAGAAUCACACAGACUCUACAUGCACAAAUCUAACCAAAAAACCAAAAGUUUUAGGGUUACAACAAAGGCUCAUGAAGAAGGUAAAAGAGAACUAACACUAAGUCGAGAGAGAAAAUCCAGAAGCUUCUGAAAAACUAGAUGAAAAGUUAAGUAGGUUAACCACUCAUAUCAUAGUUAUAUAAAUGAGUCAUCACCGUUGAUUUUGAGUGAGUGAUCAAACGGUCCAGAGCAGCACACGUGUCUUCCUUAUUUGGGGUCGGGUUUAGGCCUAUUUUACAUUGUGUUAUUGGGCAAUGGCAGAUAGUAUAUGUUGGGUCAAUAGUUUCAUCAUCGCCCAUAUUGAACUGGGCCAAUUUAAUGGCAUAACAGCCCAAUACUCCCUAGCACUAUCAUUGUCAUCAUAUGAAGGAGCAUUCUCUUUGAGAAAUUUCAUCCAAAUUUAAUGUAAUUAGACAAAAAGGUUUUUCUAUGUGAACAAUUAAAAUCUGACCUAUUAAAUUAUACUGGCUUUCCUGUAUUCGGAUUUGGGAGUGGAUUACUCGAUGUUUCUAUUUUUGAUAGAAAAUUAGAAGAUAACGAAUAUGAUAAAGGGUAGAUUUUUAAAGGAGAAAGAAUACAGUUCACCAAAAAAAAUGCAUCUUGAGAUUAUUGUCAAACUUACUGUUAUCUUCUUUUAGGAAUUCGAACUUUUACUUGAAGAACUAAGAAUAGGAAAGAGCCAGAGGUAGGAUGAAGAAAUGGAAACAUAAAUGAUGAUUCGAGCAUACCAACUUCACCAUUUGUCCUCAAGAAAAAUUUGCUCCUUUCUACAGUUGUUUAAAGGAAACUAGCAUAGCAAUCGAUAAAAGUUCCAUUGAACUCAACUUGUGCUUUGUACUCGAAUAACGAAGCAUAUUUUAUAUAGAUAUAAGAAAUUUAAAGCAGAAGAUUCAUUGCAUUGAAUGGUGUACUUUCUUGUUGUACGAAAGUAGUUAACUUUAAGAGUGGAUGUGGUUUGAUUCAAUCGGUUCUGAAGGGAACCGAACCAAAUUGAAUAUCAAUGAAAACCAUUGGUUUCAUAUCCAACCAUAGAAUUUGGUUCUACUUCGGCCCGGUUCUUUGUAUUGAAAAAUUAUAAAAAUAAAGUAUGAAAUUACUGGUCAAUUGAAAAAAGACAAAGAUAAAGUAUGAAACCACUUGUUAUUCUUUUAAUCGAACAACAUAAAAAAAAUCAAUUGAACUAGGCAAUGAACAAAAAUUCUAUCCAAAACUCAAGAUCAACUCAUAAAGGUGAAAAAAUUAUUAAACCAACAAAAGUUCGAGAGAGUCGAAUUCACUACUGGUUCUUAAGGUAGUACUGAGAAUCGGACCAGAAUCGAUUGAUUGUCAAUACAUUGUCCAAAAAUCGACCAUAUAGUAGAGCAAUUGAAACCAAACCAAUCGAUUCGAUUUGGUUCGGUCCAAUUCCCAGAAAAAAUGCCCACCCAUAGUUAACUGAUAGAUUUGUUCAUAGACGUUCUAACUAUCUAAAUGCCUUUUCAAUGAACAGAGGUGAUUUUUCAAACAGAAAUAAAUGUAUAUCCAACCUUGAAAAACUUGCAGAAAAACCAACUUGAAUUUUUAAACAAUUAAAAAUUAUUUCAUCUAUUAUUGAAGAAUUUGUGUCAUUAUAAUUUAGCCCAAAAGAAUUAGAUUAAUUACAAUUUGAACCAAAAAAUUAAAUGAUUUUCCUCCAAAAUGAUAUAUACAAGACCUCAAGCCAGCCCACCAGAAGAGUGACGCGUGUGCUUGUGGUUCAAACCACAUGCAUGUAGGUCUUUAUCCAUUCUACAAAAUUGAGAGCCAGUUAGUAUUAUGGGAAAGAAUAUGAGAUCUGCCAAUUGUAAGAUUGUAUGCAUGUCUUUUUUUUUUUUUGUUGAUUGUAAUUAAUUAGUUUCCUAAAAUAGGCUAGCUAAUGUACUAUAUAGAUAUGUGCUUUCUCCUUUGUAAUACAUAAUUCUUCAAUAUACAAAUUGUUUUCUAAAUUACUCAAUAUUCUUUCAUGGUAUUAGAGCACCGAACCUAGUAACUCUGAAAUCUUGUAGACGCUUUCGCAACUUGAUUCCUUGUCACAACCGCCAUGGGAGACAAAGACAACAGCGGGACAGGAUCGACAUCGACUAGGGUGAUCAUAGAAGGCACAGAUCCUUAUCCUCUACACCAUUCGGACCAUCCAGGCAUGUUACUUGUGUCCAAGGUACUUGAAGAAGACAACUACGUCAUGUAGAGUUGGGCUAAGAGAAUUAGUUAAAGUGCCAAAAACUAGAUUUGAUUCAUCAUAGUUCAAUCAAGCCACCUUCUCCUACAAAUGACAAUUUUCCUUUCUGGUAGUAAUGCAAUGCCAUGGUAAUCUCAUUGCUAUUCAAUUCCAUUCAUCCGAACAUAGCGAUCAAUGUGAUUUAUGCCAAAAUUGCUGUGAAAAUCUGGUCGGACCUACAAGAGUGUUUCUCCCAAGGAAACAAUUCGAGAAUUUUUCAACAAAAUCACUCCCUAACAAAUGUUAUAUGUGGGAAAAAAAACUUAGUUUCAAGUUUGAUCCAAGUUGUGACCUGGAGACUACAAAUUAAUAAACUGUCUCAAGAUCUCACCAAUAGUGGUGAGACACUAUCUGAUGACCAAAAUCAAUAGCAUUAGUGUCAGCCUUACCUGAAAAAUAUAAAGAAUUAAAGAAUUCCCUUGAAUAUGGUAGAACUUCUGUCACUGUUGACAUUAUUAUCUUAUCUUUGAGAAAUAAAGAACUUGAAUUUAUGAGUGAUCUAAAACCCUCCAAUACUGGAGUUGGCUACAAAAUCAAAGGAAGCCAUUCUUUCAAGAAAACUGAUAAUAACUUUCAAAAUAAAAACUAUGGAAAAUCAAAAGAAUUCUCUAGAAAUCCAUAUAAGGGAAAACUUAAAUUCAACAAGAAUAAAAAUGAGGCCAAAUGAAAGAAAUGCUAUUUUUGUGGAAAGAUGGGUCAUUUUAUAAAAGAUUGUGUCAAGAGAAUCGAGGAACUGAAAAAUAUAAAUAAAAUUGAAGGUAGAGCUCCUAUAGCUUAUAAAGAAGCAGUAGCCUCAAAUGGACAGUCUAUGUGACCUGUCACUCUUCAACUAAAGAUGAAUGGAUCCUAGACUCAGGAUGCACUUUUCACAUGACACCCUGUAAAGAGUACUUUGCUGAAUUCUUGGAAAUUAAUGAAGGUCAAGUCAUUUUGGGUAAUGACUUUUCUUGUAAAAUUAAAGGAAUUGGCAAGAUUGUUUUGAAACUAAAUAAUGGAAAUGUACUAACCUCAAAUACAAUUAGGUACAUUGCAAAUUUAAAGAGAAACCUAAUCUCUUUAGGUAUACUCGAUGAUGAAGGUUUCAACACAACCUUAAAAAAAGGCAUUCCCAUCCUCUAAAAGAAUGCAACAAAAGUUAUGCAAGUAGAAAAAUCUAAUGGGAUCUAUGUCUUCAAGGCUUCACCCUUGAUUAACAAAUACCUUGCAACAGCAGUUACUAAGUAUGAUAAAUUUGAAAUAUAGAAUAAAAGACUCGGGCAUAUUAGUGAUAAGAAUUUACACAUCCUUAAUAAACAAGGUCUGUUGGGAAGUGAAAAAAUUGAGAAAAUAUCCUUCUGUGAACACUGCUCUUAUGGGAAGCAAAAGAAACUGUCUUUUGCUACAGGGGUUCACAAAUCAAAGUCCAUUCUUGACUAACUACCUGCAUGCUGAUAUGUGGGGACCAUCUGCAGUUAAUACUUGUUCUGGUCUUUAAUAUUACCUCCUCAUUAUUGAUGAUUUCUCAAGGAAAAGUUGGGUUAUUCUUUUGAAAACAAAUCAGAUACCUUUCAAAACUUUUCAAAAUGGAAAACUCUCAUUGAAGAUCAAGUAGAUAAAAAUGUUAAAAAUCUCAGGACUGAUAAUGGCCUUGAAUUUUGCAAUGAAAAGUUUGAUAAUUUCUACAAAAAUUAUGGGACUUUUAGAUAUCGGACUAUCACCUACACACCAAAACAGAAUGGGUUGGUUGAGAGGAUUGUUAGAAAAGGUGAGAUGUAUGUUGAUAGGCUCAAGCCUCCCAAAAUUAUUUUGGGGAGAAGCUAUCAAGACUACCUCAUAUCUAAUAAAUAAGUGCCCCACAAAAUCCCUGAAUUAUAACACACCUGAUCAUGUUUGGAGUGGUCAUCCGGUUGACUAUUUAAGAUUGAAGGUUUUUGGUUGUGCAACAUAUGCACACCAAAAUGAAGGCAAGUUAAAACCUAGGCCUAUCAAAGGCAUUUUCUUGGGAUAUGGGGAGGGAGAUAAAGGUUACAGAAUCUGGCUGAAAAAUCUAGGAGGGUAUAGAGUCAUAAUAAGUAGGAAUGUUAUCUUUAAUGAAGUUGACAUGCCUUGUCUAAAAGAUAAAGAAACAGUCUCACCAGAAAAUUAUUUAAAUAGACUGUUUAUACAAACUCAAUCCCUACAAUCAGAUGAAAAUUUAGAAAAUAAUGACCAAAUUGAGGUGAAGCCCACACAACCACAAGAAACUGUGUUGGAACACGAAAUAGAACCUGACAAUGAACUUGAAACUGAUUAAUAACAAAUCCUUUGGAUGACUUCAUCUUGCUAGAGAUAGAGAGAAGAGAAAUACAACCACCAUCAAGCUAUAAUGAACAGACUUCAUUACUGCACUUACUGUUCAGACUCAUUUUGAGAAUGAGCCUAACUCAUAUGAAGAAGCUAUUAAUGGAAAGAAUGCUAUGUUCUAGUUGGCAGCUAUGAAAGAUGACAUGCUUUCAUUAGACAAAAAUAAGACUUGGGUUUUAGUUAAUAAACCAAAAGGAGAAUGGAUCAUUGAUUGCUAAUGGAUAUAUAAAAUAACAGAAGAUGAUUCUAAAGAUGAAAAGGUUAGUUUCAAGGCUAGGUUAGUUGUACGGGCUUUAACCAAAGAGAAGGGAUGAUUAUAAUGAGAUUUUUUCACCUGUGGUCAAAUACACAUCUAUAGGAAUUUUAUUCUCUCUUGUUUCUCAAUUUGAUUUUGAAUUAGAACGGCUAGAUGUGAAAACUGUCUCUUUUCCAUGAUUUGGAUGAAAAAAUCUAUAUGACUCCACCAAAAGGAUUUGAAUAAAAAGGUAAGGAAAACUAUGUGUGCCUUUUACAAAAAUCACUCUAUGGCCUGAAACAAGACCCUAGACAAUGGUACAUUAGGUUUGAUACUUUUAUAAAGGGUCUAAACUUUAAUAGAAUUAAAUAUAAUCCAUAUUUUUAUUAUAAAGGUAAUGGAGGUCCUAAUUCAUACUAUCUCUUGCUCUACUAUGUUGAUGAUAUGCUAUUAGCUAAAUGUAAUAUUACUGAAAUAAAUCACAUUAAGCAAAUGUUAAAACAAGAAUUUGAUAUGAAAGACUUAGGGUUAGCUAAAAGAGAUAGAGCUAAAAGUAGUCUACUUCUCCCGCAACAAUCAUAUAUCUUAAAAAUACUAGACAGGUUUGCCAUGGACAAAGCAAAAGAAAUCACUUUACCACUUGGUAGUCAUUUUAAGUUUUCUAUAGACCAAUCCCGUAGAUCUGAAAUAGAAAAAAGAAAGAAUGGAUAAACUCCCUUAUGCUAAUGCAGUUGGGUCAGUUAUGUAUGUAAUAGUUUGUACCAGACCUGAUAUUGCCUUUGCUGUGAGUAUCCUAAGUAGAUAUAUGAGCAAUCCAGGUGAGUACUAGUGGGAAGCUAUGAAAUGGCUAUUGAUAUACUUAAAAGGAACUUAUAGUCUGGGGUUAAUAUUUCAAAAGGGCAAAAUUAGAAUUAAACUAAAAGAACAUGUAGAUUCAGACUUUGUUGGAAAUUGUGACAACAGAAAAUCUACAUUUGCAUACUUUUUACUUUAAAUGAUACUUGCAUAAGCUGGAAAUCACAGCUACAAAAAAAUUGUGGCAUUGUUAUCAACAGAAGCUGAAUAUACUAUAGCUACAGACGCUAAAAAGGAAGGUAUUUGGGUGAAAAUUUUGUUAGAUGAACUUGGUUUCACUAGUAAUGAUGCUGUUAUUACUCAUACAAUCAAUCUGUCCUUUACAUACAUUUAUGGAUUGUUUAAAUAUUCUAAAUGUCUUUGCUAACUAAAUGUGUUUUGCAGGUACAUUGAGCAAUUGAAAUCAAAGGAAGAGUUAUACCCCAAUCCACAAAUGAAACCUAAGAUAUCAAGUAAGGUGGAGAUUGUUAAGUUGGUUCUUAACAUCUUGGCCCAAUGAUGCAGCCUAGCUAAGCCCAUUUGUUGAGAAUGUGACCCGAUUGUUUUUAAAUUAGACAAAGUCGUGUUUUUUGUUGAACGCAUUUUAAACUAGAUGGCUUGGAUAAUGCCAUGUGGUGUCCCUAUGACCGUUGGAUGCAUUAUGAUUAUAUAUAUGCUGGGACCCUUCAUUUUUUGAUAUGCGCGAGAGUUCUAGGGGUUUCUCAUCUUCUUCAUUUUUGGUUUUAUCUCAAAAGGAAAACCUCUUGUUUUUCUGUAAUAGUUGUUGUCUAGAUAUUCUUGGUGAAAUCUAGUGUAGGCUAUGUUGAUGAGAGUUUAUUUCUGUUCUUGUUGAGCAGUUAUUCUUAGUUACUUGGUGUAAUCAACUAAGAUCUGAUUUUCGAGAGAAAAAUCAAUCUGAGGGCAAGAUCUGUGUGAUUCUUGGUACUGUAAUCCUUAUAUUGAUAUUUGCUGGUUUCUUCUAGUGGAUUGGAGCGAUAACCACUUCGAUGGAUGCUCAACGUGUUGAUUAGCCCAUUCUUGGGUGAACAUUCUUGCCUACAGGUGAAAAAUCCCUUGUCUUCUUUAAUUUCUGUUCUCGUUUGGUUAUUUGGGACAAAAAUACCUACACUUUCAUCUAAAAAUAUUACAGAUACCUCACAAUCAAAUCUGUGUUGGAUCAUUGAUAGCGAGGCUACGGACCAUGUAAGCUCUUUUGCUGAGUUACUAAACUCGAAAGUUUUGCCAAUAACAACCACCAUUAGGCUUCCAAAUGGUGGGUAGACACGUAUCGAGUCAAUUGCCUCAUUGCAAACUACGCCCCAUAUUAAACUUGAUAAAGUUCUUAAAUUUCCACAAUUUCAAGUUAAUUUACUAUCAGUUAGUAAAAUGAUAUGACGAUUAAACUGUAUAGUGACAUUCUUUUUCGAUUUUUGUUGUGCAAAACUCUGCUACAAUGAAGAUGAUUGGUAUGGGGAAGCAACAUAAUAGUCUCUGCUACUUAACACAAGCCCAAAAUCUAGCAUUUGCCUACGCGAUCCGCAAGCAUUCAAAUAUUGGCAUAAAUGCUUUUGUCAUCCAUUGUCAUGUCCCCUUCAAGUUCUCAACAAAAAUAAUCCUACAAUUUAUUUUCAUUCAAAUCGUGUUUGUGAAGUUUGUCCUUUAGCUAAACAAAUUUGUCCUUUAGCUAAUCAAUAAUGUGAUACAUGGCCUUGUAAAUAUUCUUAUGCUCUUCUGAUCCUAGAAUAAAAUAUUUAAUAGGAAAAUGCUUAAUUUCAUUUGAGUUAUUUUUGUACCAUAUCCAAGCAAAUGAAUUAAUCAUGAAGCUUAUAAGCAGGAUGAGUAGCUAAUACUAAUAGUUUGUCAAUCAUAUCUCUGGUAGUGGCAAGCAAGAAAAGCCUAACCAUAGAUCCUGCAGCCAUUGACAAAUAAAUAUAUUGUGACAUACACCUGUGUUUAUGUACCUUUCUCUUCUUUUCAUUAUUUUUCAAAUGAUCUCAACCCGUCAUCUAGUUCGGUCUAUUUUUUAUUGUAAUUUAAUAAUGAAGUAUAAUAAAUUAUAUGGUAGAGUUUCUAUGAAGAACUUUUAAAAAGAAUACAAGUAAAAUAAAAUAAAAACACAAGAACGAGAGCUUUCUCUGCUCAUUUUGUUUGUUUGUGGUCAUGUAUAAUUAUUUAUACAAGAGAGAUAUGGAUCAGAAAAAGGAAUUAACUUUCCAAUUAAAUAAGUAAGAAUAAGCUGUAAUUAAUUAUUCCAUCAAAGCAAAAUUCAAUAAUUAUUUGAUUAGACCCACAAAGGAAAAGGUAAUGGGGCAAUGUGAAAUCAGAGUAUGGGCAAGCUUUCCUUUGCUUUUAGCCCUUUUCCCUUUUAGCCUUGCUGCAUGCUUACACAUUCUUCACCUUGCAUUUAUUAUUUUAUACUACGCUAAACACAAAAAUUCACAUAUAAUUAAAUUAUCUUUUUUGUUCAGAUUAUUAUUUUUAUACGUGAUUUUAGGUAUCGUGGUUCAACGUACUUGAUUUUAGAACAUAUAAAAGUCUAUAAUUCAACUCUCGUCAUCAACUCUUUAAACAAAUUUACACGUAUCAAAUCUCCCAUACACGUAAAAAGGUCCAUUGAAGUAAAUUUAAUCAACAAAUUUAUUAUAUUUUCAGGAGUUUAACUUAUAAAUGAACUCGUUCAACACCAACGUUCACAUAUAAAUUAUUUUUCUUGUUCAAAAGUUUUUAUUAGUAUUAGAUGCUCGAACCGAAUUGAAUAGUGAAAAAUAAUCGAUAGUUUAACUUAUUUAUAGGGAUCUCUUUCAUCAUUCUCUUUGAUUUCACUUUCCCAUGCUUAAUAUUCUCACACUAUCUUCCAAGGUUGAUUUCACAAAAGGCUGUUUUUCUGCAUCAUUGUUUGUUACAGUAUACCAUAUGUGCUGUUUGCACUUUCAAGAAUAAAAAAUGAUUCGUUCAAAAAAGAUUAAAGAUAAGUUUGAAAUAUUAAAAUUGUUCAAUUAUAUAUACCUAUGAUUAUUAGCAAUGAUGAUUAUUUGUGGUGAAAUCAUUUACAUAAUCAACCAAAACUUUAUUAUAGAAUGAUUAGUAGAAAUAUGUUUAAAGGUCGUUAGCAGUGUUCUUUUUCUCCUCUUUAUGUUUAUAUAUGUUUGAGGUCUAGCUUAAUUUACGUAUAUUUCAUAUCUAAAAUUAUUUAUGCUAUCAAGUUCAUUUUCGGUAAACUGGUAGGGCCUACUAGUAAGACCCUUUGGAAAAAAUAAAAAUAAUAAUAAUAAUAUUAAUAAAAAUUUGAUCAAAGAGUGGGGCGAUUGGAAAAGUAGUCUUUUUCUCUAGUAGUGCCUUAUAUUCUUGUAUGUGACGUACUCUGAUCUCCAUUUAAUGUGAAAAAAUUUAAAAUAUCCAUUUUUUAUUAUUUAUUUAUUUAUUAUUAUUAUUAUUUUUUAAGAGACUUUCAACUCCAACGAAAUUAGCCCUACUUAAUCAUAGAGGAAUUAUAAUAAUUGAACAUGCAUGAUAUUUGAUAGUCAAUAUUAAAAGUGUGUACAACUUUAACCUAAAAUAUAAUAAUAAAAAAGAGACAAGUUGAUAUGGUAUUACAUAUGCAAAUACAUAUUUAUUCAAGAAACGAUUAUAAAAAGAGCAUAUUCUUUAAAAAUGUGGGAAGCGGGCAAAUUGUUAACAUGUUUAACCUUCUUUAAUGGCCAGUCUUAAUCAGUCAAUUUCAAAGUCAAACCCCCCACGGCAUUAGGUAGAUUAAUUUUAUUAAUCCAAAACCACUUUUGAAAUAAAGUUAGCUCUUUCAAAUUUAAGUACCUUUCAUAAUUUAAUUUUUUGAAUUGAAGCUCAUGUGUUUUAUCACGUUGUAGAUUGAUUUGAGUUUGGAUGAAUGGAAUAGUUCAAGACACAAACUAAUGUAUUAACUAUAAGUGAAAACUUAUUUGCUAUCUAUAAAAAUAUUUAUCAAAUUAAUCUUACAUUUCAUUUAAAAUAUUAAGAAGUCAGAUAAUUAUAUUUUCGCCAUGCUCUCACAAAUUGAGAUUCCUACUUGUGACCAACUGUAUUUUUGAAAAUUCUGGCUUAUAUAGUGGUCGUUCAAAGACGUUUUAAAUUAGGCAUAAGUGCUUAAAGCAACAUAACGUCUAUUAUGGGACGAGUUGAAAGAGGAAUUCCUAAUUCUUACACGGAUAUUUAAAUUUAAAAAAGAAAAGGCAUAAAAAGUGAAGAAGAUAUAAAUUACGUGUUAACUUGGUAACAAGAAAAUCUUUUCAUUUUCAUUAACUUUCAAAGCAACUUCUUUUAGGUGAAAAAGACUUUCUUGACUUGCUUUUGCUUACCUCAUUUUAGGGACAUCCCACUAAGAGCAAACAAUAUUUUCAUUAUUUUUGGCCUACCAUACACACACAUACACGUGUGGGUUUUUGUGUGAGUUAAUUUAUAUAUUUUUACACACACUUGGCAAAACCCUUAAAAGCAGGUCUAAAGUUUGAAGGCUUAAAGGUAUUUAAGAAGAAGACAAGACAUUGGAGUUGGAGAAUCCACUUUCUCUAGCUAAGGGCAUUAAUUUAACUAGGGCCAUCCCCGGGUGUCCAUUCAUUCAUUCAUAUAAUAACUAGAAAAUUUGCACUCAUUUUGAUAUAUUCUUUCUAGAAAUAAAUUUUAUUUUCAAAGAGUUUAGAGUCAGCUAUAUAAAUCUCUUAAAUUUUGUUAUUUGGUAGCAUAUAUAUUUAUGUUUACUCUAAAAUAUAGAGGAAAUAAAUAUUGAUGAGUCGAGAAUAAAAAUUUGCCACCUGAGGAUACAAAACUUUAGUAUAAAAUGUGUCAUUAAUUCUUUCAAGAAUUUAUAUUUCGUGAAUAUGAUUGUGCAACUAAAUGCAUAUCAUGCUUUUAAAUACUCGGAUUUUUUAUACUUAUUUAAUACCAUUUUUUAAUUUUUUGAGUAUUUGUAUCAUCGCAAAGAUUUAUCCAACCACUUAACUAUUAAGCUUCUUUUUUAUCGCUAUUAUUUGGAAAAAAAAAACUUAUUUUGAAUAGUAAUUUUUAGGAGAAUAUGUGGUUAAAAACUAUAGAAAAAUUUUGGAUUUAUUUACAGAAUAUUUUAUUAUGUAAAUAUAUAGUUAAAAGUGAACAUGUAGAAAAAAAUUCAAAUGAGCUAUGCUACACUUAUAAAAGUGGGUUACAAAGUUGGUUGACAAAAUAACAUUCACACCAAUUAUUUUAAAAAUAGAUUUUUAAAUCAUUUCAAAUCAAUGGCUUAGAUUUUACGAACACAAUCUAUAAUCCAACUUUUGUAACUAACUUUGUACAAAUAACUUUAUUGAAUUCAAAUAAUGAUCGUCAAACCAGGACUAAGUUUCCUAGAUAAGGCAAUAACUUUAGGUUUUCCACGUCAAUGAUAUGUUUGAUUGCAUCCUUACAAGUUACAAGACCAGGCUUACUUGACCAAAUGUCAUGUCCGUGCUCCUCAGUGACAGUAUAUUAGAGUAGUAAAAAUGAAAAUAAUGCGAACAUAAAUGCUUUUAAUCAGCAUUGAACUUUAACUGCUUUCAAAAGCUUAUAGACCAAUAGUGCAUUUGAUUAUCAGUGUUUUUUAAUUUCAAAUUUCUACUUUUGUGUUGUUUGACUGACAUUUUUUCCAUGAAAAAUAUUUUUUUACUUUUAGUCACGUGAAAAUAUUUUCCUAAAUAUCAAAGAAAAUAUUUUCUUUAGAGGAGUGAGAUUUUAUUUUCUAGGAAGUUCACUCUCUCAUUUUCUCUCUCAUUUACCCAUCAAUAAAAACUGAACAAGUAUAAUAUUUUAUAGGCUGAAAAUUAAUCAAUUAAACACAUUUAAUUGACAAUUUUCAUGCAAAUAAAUUCUAAAAAAUUGAAUUAUCUAGAAUUUAUUUUCUUUCCAUAUUUGCAAUCAAACACACUACAAGUGAAAAACAAACUAGCAUGAUAAUCUUCUUAAACCCCAUUUCCUAAAACUUUGUACUAAAAAAGCAGUCACUCAAAAGUGAAAUAACUUAGUGGAAGCUAUUAGUUUUUGUCAAGUAAUUCGUUCAGUAAGCGUAAAAAUGAAAAUCUGAUAAGAGUUCACAAUUUUGUCGCAAGCAAACGAGGUUUCGUACACAUAUUGUUCACUCUGGUGUGUUUGGCAACGAUUUUUUUCAUUUAUAAGUUAAUUAAAGAUCUUGUUCAUCUAUACAUUCCAUAAGAUUUACUACUUUUAUCUACUCAUUUUUUUACGACCCACAACUAAUAAUCUUCAAAAAGAUUUACCAAGCAUACACUAACUUCCAUAGAUAAGGUGACUACUCAGAGUUCCAUACAUGCAAAGUCAUGUUCUAUAUCUAGUUGAUUAAACAUCAUGUCCAUGCUCCACAAUGCCCCAUAAGAGUAGGACAAAUGAAAAAGGGAACCAUAUAUAUUUGCAUUUUUUCAAAUUUAGAGGAACAUCGAUUCAAUUGAGGUCGAAGUAAUUUACUUUUAGUUUAUAGACCUUACUUGACUUGCUCCCAAAAGCUUAUAGAAUAAAGUUUAUGUGAUCACUUUUAACUGAAAUCUUGAAUUAUCAACGACGAUGAGUUGACUGGAAAUCAAAGUGAUUAACUUUUAAAUUGAGAGAUUUAACUUUAAUCACUUUCAGAAACCUACACAUGGCUAUGACAUCAGGGAGAAUCAAUGUCUUUUACCUAUAUGAAAUACAAUAAUACAGUGCCUUUUCUAGGAGUCUCCAAAACAAUCAUUGUUCAUCCAUGGAAAGAAAAGAAAAGAAAAGCAAAUUAAAGGGAAAGAUAAAAUUUCUGAUUGUGAGAAAGUGAUUUUUGUAUAAAGGAAAGAUAAGAUAUAUAUGUUUUCCUAUAAAAAUUGGACAUCAAUACCCAUUAGAUACCCUUAAAAUGUUGAAAACUUCCGGAAUUUUUGGGCUAUGUCUUGUUCUUGUAUUGCAAGUUCGACAAGAUUCUUGAAUUUGUAUUAUAUUUUUGCACUUACACACAUGGAUAAUGGCACACUCUAGUUGUGCUUAGAAGCGAAGUUUACUUUAAAAUUACUUAUUUUAUCUAACACAAUUAGUUCUCGUUUGGAAAAAAAUAAAAAAAAGGGGAUUAUAAUGAAGAGUAGGAAUAAGUUUUAUAUGAAUAGUGAAAUAAGUGGAUAAUACAAUAAAUAUGUAGUUAAAAUUAAUUUUGGCUUUAAAUUAUAAAAAGAUUAUAAUGAAACCAAACAAGUGAUUAACUUACCUUUUCUACUAACGGAAAAUAGUUUUCUAAAUAAUUAAAUUUAGACUAGAUUUUAGAAAAUUAAACUGCUAAUUUAAAAUCAAUUCUCGUAUUAUAUUCAAAGUAAGUAACUAUUUAUUUUUAACUUUGAAAUGAAAAAAAUAUUUUUCUUUAAACAUUACUCGAAUAAAAGUAAACUUUUUAAGCUUGAAAUUUUCCCGAGGCUAGUCAAACAUUCUCUAACAGUGAUUUUGAAACUGAAUUUAGCACCUUCCUUUUUUUCAAAACCAUUAAAAGAAGCGUACUUAUUGAUAAUAAAAGAUAAGUAAAAGUUAAAAGGAUAUAGAACCUGAAUUUUGAUCAAUUAAAACAUAGAGAACGAGACAAAUUAAACUAGUUUAAGCUUUGAAAAGCACAAGCCAAACUGAGAACAUACUUCGAAAUUGAGAAAAUCAAGUUUCGUCCUCAACAUAUUUAAAUUUAUAAAUUCCGGCCACGAGUAUGAAACCACCGAUGUAGAUGUUAAACUUGCGCUCAAAUAUUACAUGACUUACAAUUUGAGGGCUAAGCUCUCAAAUGACUUAACAUUUAUCUUUACUUCAGUUGAAAGUUGCGUGCGAUUUUAACAUCUACAGUAACGAUUUCAGUCAUGCAAAAUUUCAUGUUAAUCAUAUUUAGAUAGAUUAAAGACACACACGAAGGAAAAAAAAAAAACACAAAAAAACAAAACUCACUUUUGAAAGUAAGGGAAUCAUAUUCAUAUUAGUAAAAGGUUUAAGAAGCCAACCUUAAUUUUUCUUAUAAAUAUUAUAUCCAACUAAAGUUGAAAUUAAGAAAGAAAAUUAUUAUCAAAGCCUACAGCAACUUAAGGCUUUGUUUCAGCUCCUUUUUUUUUUAUUCUAUAUCUAGUUGAUUAAACAUCAUGUCCAUGCUCCACAAUGCCCCAUAAGAGUAGGACAAAUGAAAAAGGGAAGCAUAUAUAUUUGCAUUUUUUCAAAUUUAGAGGAACAUCGAUUCAAUUGAGGUCGAAGUAAUUUACUUUUAGUUUAUAGACCUUACUUGACUUGCUCCCAAAAGCUUAUAGAAUAAAGUUUAUGUGAUCACUUUUAACUGAAAUCUUGAAUUAUCAACGACGAUGAGUUGACUGGAAAUCAAAGUGAUUAACUUUUAAAUUGAGAGAUUUAACUUUAAUCACUUUCAGAAACCUACACAUGGCUAUGACAUCAGGGAGAAUCAAUGUCUUUUACCUAUAUGAAAUACAAUAAUACAGUGCCUUUUCUAGGAGUCUCCAAAACAAUCAUUGUUCAUCCAUGGAAAGAAAAGAAAAGAAAAGCAAAUUAAAGGGAAAGAUAAAAUUUCUGAUUGUGAGAAAGUGAUUUUUGUAUAAAGGAAAGAUAAGAUAUAUAUGUUUUCCUAUAAAAAUUGGACAUCAAUACCCAUUAGAUACCCUUAAAAUGUUGAAAACUUCCGGAAUUUUUGGGCUAUGUCUUGUUCUUGUAUUGCAAGUUCGACAAGAUUCUUGAAUUUGUAUUAUAUUUUUGCACUUACACACAUGGAUAAUGGCACACUCUAGUUGUGCUUAGAAGCGAAGUUUACUUUAAAAUUACUUAUUUUAUCUAACACAAUUAGUUCUCGUUUGGAAAAAAAUAAAAAAAAGGGGAUUAUAAUGAAGAGUAGGAAUAAGUUUUAUAUGAAUAGUGAAAUAAGUGGAUAAUACAAUAAAUAUGUAGUUAAAAUUAAUUUUGGCUUUAAAUUAUAAAAAGAUUAUAAUGAAACCAAACAAGUGAUUAACUUACCUUUUCUACUAACGGAAAAUAGUUUUCUAAAUAAUUAAAUUUAGACUAGAUUUUAGAAAAUUAAACUGCUAAUUUAAAAUCAAUUCUCGUAUUAUAUUCAAAGUAAGUAACUAUUUAUUUUUAACUUUGAAAUGAAAAAAAUAUUUUUCUUUAAACAUUACUCGAAUAAAAGUAAACUUUUUAAGCUUGAAAUUUUCCCGAGGCUAGUCAAACAUUCUCUAACAGUGAUUUUGAAACUGAAUUUAGCACCUUCCUUUUUUUCAAAACCAUUAAAAGAAGCGUACUUAUUGAUAAUAAAAGAUAAGUAAAAGUUAAAAGGAUAUAGAACCUGAAUUUUGAUCAAUUAAAACAUAGAGAACGAGACAAAUUAAACUAGUUUAAGCUUUGAAAAGCACAAGCCAAACUGAGAACAUACUUCGAAAUUGAGAAAAUCAAGUUUCGUCCUCAACAUAUUUAAAUUUAUAAAUUCCGGCCACGAGUAUGAAACCACCGAUGUAGAUGUUAAACUUGCGCUCAAAUAUUACAUGACUUACAAUUUGAGGGCUAAGCUCUCAAAUGACUUAACAUUUAUCUUUACUUCAGUUGAAAGUUGCGUGCGAUUUUAACAUCUACAGUAACGAUUUCAGUCAUGCAAAAUUUCAUGUUAAUCAUAUUUAGAUAGAUUAAAGACACACACGAAGGAAAAAAAAAAAACAAAAACAAAACAAAACUCACUUUUGAAAGUAAGGGAAUCAUAUUCAUAUUAGUAAAAGGUUUAAGAAGCCAACCUUAAUUUUUCUUAUAAAUAUUAUAUCCAACUAAAGUUGAAAUUAAGAAAGAAAAUUAUUAUCAAAGCCUACAGCAACUUAAGGCUUUGUUUCAGCUCCUUUUUUUUUUGGUUGUUAAAAAUGAGUUUUGUAAUAGUGAAUUCUUGAAUAAUGUGUGGUAAAAAGGUCAAAGAUUUACGUAUAAAAUUAUUUUAUUGAGAAAAUAUGUGAUUAAAAAUGAAUUUGAGGAAAAAAAAAAAAAAGAGUUUUCGAUGAAUAUGAUUCAAUCAAGAGCCAAGUUUAGUGGGAUAGGAUCGAAAGAGUCGAAACAUGCUUCUUGUAAAAAUCCCAAAUCUAGGAUGUUUUUGGUCCUAUUGGUCGAUGGGGUUUUAAUGCUAAAGGUAGCGUUUUUAAAUGGGAGUCCAAGGAGAAAGAAGUUUUAGCCCUCAUUUGGUUUGUCAAAAAUUAGAUUUCUAAAAGAUUUUGAUAAAAACUGAUGAGAUUCGUGAUUGGAAAGUUGAUAAAAAUUAACAGUUGACUUGAAAUUAGAUUUUUACCAAUUUUUUUUAGUUAAAUAAAAUAAGGAUUUAACCGAAAUAUUGGGCUACGAUAUUGUCACUAUUUGGUCCGCUGGGCCCAUUGCCUUGUGAGCAGCUUGUACUUGGCCCAAUAUCUAUGUCUCCAAAAGAAUAGACUAUAUUAUUAGCAGGCUACUUAAUGAGUCCAUUUUUAUUGUUGGGCCUCCAAUUGAGAGAUAAAGUUGUGAUUACUCAACCUUACUUUGAAGCAGCCCGAACUCAUAAUUAGCAACUAUGCUAAUCAGAGACGACUCAAUUCUCCAUUUUUCUUAUAAAAUAAUAAUAAUAAUAAAUUAUUCUCUGAAAAAAAAGAGAGUUUUCGAUGAAUAUGAUUCAAUCAAGAGCUAAGUUUAGUGGGAUAGGAUCGAAAGAGUCGAAACAUGCUUCUUGUAAAAAUCCCAAAUCUAGGAUGUUUUUGGUCCUAUUGGUCGAUGGGGUUUUAAUGCUAAAGGUAGCGUUUUUAAAUGGGAGUCCAAGGAGAAAGAAGUUUUAGCCCUCAUUUGGUUUGUCAAAAAUUAGAUUUCUAAAAGAUUUUGAUAAAAACUGAUGAGAUUCGUGAUUGGAAAGUUGAUAAAAAUUAACAGUUGACUUGAAAUUAGAUUUUUACCAAUUUUUUUUAGUUAAAUAAAAUAAGGAUUUAACCGAAAUAUUGGGCUACGAUAUUGUCACUAUUUGGUCCGCUGGGCCCAUUGCCUUGUAAGCAGCUUGUACUUGGCCCAAUAUCUAUGUCUCCAAAAGAAUAGACUAUAUUAUUAGCAGGCUACUUAAUGAGUCCAUUUUUAUUGUUGGGCCUCCAAUUGAGAGAUAAAGUUGUGAUUACUCAACCUUACUUUGAAGCAGCCCGAACUCAUAAUUAGCAACUAUGCUAAUCAGAGACGACUCAAUUCUCCAUUUUUCUUAUAAAAUAAUAAUAAUAAUAAAUUAUUCUCUUAAUAAAAUUAUUUUGUUCAUAAAUCUAAAGUUUUUUUCUCUAUUUUUUAAUCACUCAUUCUGAAAAAAUAUCAUGUACAAAACUCAUUUUUAUCACAAAAAAUGGGACUCAAAUAGAGCCUGAAUCUCGGGCAGAAAAUUUUAUGGUUCACUUUAAAAAGUUUAACUAGUGCUAACAUUUAAUGUCAUUUUGCAAAACGUUCUCACAUUUCAUUUUUUGGCAUUUUCACCUUCAUUUUUACCUUUCAUUGAGGAAAAUGUCAUUUCAUCCAAUUUUUCAAUUAAAAAAAAUGUAAAAUGACAAAUAUUUCCUUCUACUUAAAUAAAACAAAAAUAAAAUAAUUGCAACUAUAUUCCAAACUUUUUAAAAAACUACAAAUGAUUCCAAAAAUAUUAUUAAAAGGGUAAUUAGCACAAAACGUUGCUACCUUUUGAUAUUAUUGUGCAAAACGUUCGUAUCUUUCAUUUUUUGACAUUUUCGCCCUUGUUUUUCAUUUCAUUGCGAAAAUCAUCAUUUUCAUCCAUUUUUUUUAAAAUUAAAAGCCUCCUAAUUAAAUAAAACAAAAAAGAAAGAAAAGAAAAGAAAAAAUUGCAACUAUACUCUCAAAUAAUUUUAAUUAUUCAUUUGAAAUUUAUUUGAACUUUUUUCAAAAAUUUGAGAGUACAGUUGUAAUUUGUUCUUUAUUUUUCUUUUCAUUAUUUUUGUUUUAUUUAAAUAAAGGAUAUAUUCGUCAUUUUAUAGCUUUUUAUUGAGAAAAAUAGAUGAAAAUGAAGAUUUCGUAAUGUAACGUGAAAAUUAGUGAAAAUGCCAAAAAAAAAAAAUGAAAGUUAUGAACAUUUUGCUCAAUAAUAUUGAAAGGUGGCAACAUUUUGUACUAAUUACCCUUUUAUUAAUUUAUUUGAACUCAUUUGUAGCUUUUUAAAAAAGCUUGGGAGUAUAAUUACAAUUUAUUAUUUAUCUUUUCUUUUCAUUUUUGUUUUACUUUAAUAGGAGGGUAUAUUUGUUAUUUUACAUUUUUAUUGAGAAAUUGGAUGAAAAUAACUUUUUUUCGCUAUCAAAAGUGAAAAUGUCAGAAAAUAAAAUACAAGGAUGUUUUGUACAAUAACAUUGAAAAGUAAGUCCGUUUUGUGCUAAUUAUCCUUUUUAAUAUAAUAAAAUAAUCAUGGAUAAAAUUUUCUUCGAGGAUCGCCAAAAGUAUUAUUGUGAUUGAUAUGAUGAUUUGUCUACAAUUUCUACCAAAAUCAUUGAUAUCAAUAUUAUUGAUUAUCUUUUUUGCUAGGCUUUAGGAAAAAAUCGACCAAACCAAUCAAAUUGAACGACUCGGGUUGGUUGGACACAAAUAAUUGGUUUUGUAAAUCAUAGUUGGUUUGUUCAAUCAUGGUUUGAAGCUUCAAACUGCUAAUUAAUCGAACCAACCCCAACCCACUUACAUGUUUACUUUUUUAAAAAUAAAAAGAGAAGCCCUAAUCUCAUAAUUAUAUCUCGAUUUCCUCCAACCUAUGAUAUUGCAAGUAAGUAAUAGCACUGUCUUUCACAAGCUAGUGAACCAAAGAUGUAUUAUGAUGAAAAUAAAUUAUAGAAAGGGAAAACUAAUGUGGAGCAUGGUAAACCACAUAAUGAGGUAUAGGCUGGUGAAUGUAGGUUAUAACAUUGUGUACUAGAGAAAAUAAGGAUUUAACCGAAAUAUUGGGCUAGGAUAUUGUCACUAUUUGGUCCGCUGGGCCCAUUGCCUUGUAAGCAGCUUGUACUUGGCCCAAUAUCUAUGUCUCCAAAAGAAUAGACUAUAUUAUUAGCAGGCUACUUAAUGAGUCCAUUUUUAUUGUUGGGCCUCCAAUUGAGAGAUAAAGUUGUGAUUACUCAACCUUACUUUGAAGCAGCCCGAACUCAUAAUUAGCAACUAUGCUAAUCAGAGACGACUCAAUUCUCCAUUUUUCUUAUAAAAUAAUAAUAAUAAUAAAUUAUUCUCUUAAUAAAAUUAUUUUGUUCAUAAAUCUAAAGUUUUUUCCCUAUUUUUUAAUCACUCAUUCUAAAAAAAAUAUCAUGUACAAAACUCAUUUUUAUCACAAAAAAUGGGGCUCAAAUAGAGCCUGAAUCUCGGGCAGAAAAUUUUAUGGUUCACUUUAAAAAGUUUAACUAGUGCUAACAUUUAAUGUCAUUUUGCAAAACGUUCUCACGUUUCAUUUUUUGGCAUUUUCACCUUCAUUGUUGCCUUUCAUUGAGGAAAAUGUCAUUUCAUCCAAUUUUUCAAUAAAAAAAAAAUGUAAAAUGACAAAUAUUUCCUUCUACUUAAAUAAAACAAAAAUAAAAUAAUUGCAACUAUAUUCCCAAACUUUUUAAAAAACUACAAAUGAUUCCAAAAAAAUUAUUAAAAGGGUAAUUAGGACAAAACGUUGCUACCUUUUAAUAUUAUUGUGCAAAACGUUCAUAUCUUUCAUUUUUUGAUAUUUUCGCCCUUGUUUUACAUUUCAUUGCGAAAAUCAUCAUUUUCAUCCAUUUUUUUAAAUUAAAAGCCUCCUAAUUAAAUAAAACAAAAAAGAAGGAAAAGAAAAGAAAAAAUUGCAACUAUACUCUCAAAUAAUUUUAAUUAUUCAUUUGAAAUUUAUUUGAACUUUUUUCAAAAAUUUGAGAGUAUAGUUGUAAUUUGUUCUUUAUUUUUCUUUUCAUUAUUUUUUUUAUUUAAAUAGGAGAAUAUAUUCAUCAUUUUAUAACUAUUUAUUGAGAAAAAUAGAUGACAUUUUUAUUGAGAAAUUGGAUGAAAAUAACUUUUUUUCGCUAUCAAAGGUGAAAAUGUCAGAAAAUAAAAUACAAGGAUGUUUUGUACAAUAACAUUGAAAAAUAAGUCCGUUUUGUGCUAAUUAUCCUUUUUAAUAUAAUAAAAUAAUCAUGGAUAAAAUUUUCUUCGAGGAUCGCCAAAAGUAUUAUUGUGAUUGAUAUGAUGAUUUGUCUACAAUUUCUACCAAAAUCAUUGAUAUCAAUAUUACUGAUUAUCUUUUUUGCUAGGCUUUAGGAAAAAAUCGACCAAACCAAUCAAAUUGAACGACUCGGGUUGGUUGGACACAAAUAAUUGGUUUUGUAAAUCAUAGUUGGUUUGUUCAAUCAUGAUUUGAAGUUUCAAACUGCUAAUUAAUCGAACCAGCCCCAACCCACUUAUAUGUUUACUUUUUUAAAAAUAAAAAGAGAAGCCCUAAUCUCAUAAUUAUAUCUCGAUUUCCUCCAACCUAUGAUAUUGCAAGUAAGUAAUAGCACUGUCUUUCACAAGCUAGUGAACCAAAGAUGUAUUAUGAUGAAAAUAAAUUACAAAAAGGGAAAACUAAUGUGGAGCAUGGUAAACCACAUAAUGAGGUAUAGGCUGGUGAAUGUAGGUUAUAACAUUGUGUACUAGAGGUGCAUGAUGGUGAAUCUAAUGUACAACAUGAUGUACUGAAGGUGUAGGUUGGUAGAUCUAGGCUGCAAUAGGGUGAACCAAAGGUGCAUGACAAUGAAUGUGAGGUGCAACCAUGUGAAUCAGAACAAAGCUGUGAAGAUAUGUUCACUGUAAAUAUAGAUGCUACUAAAACUAUGCAAGUAGAAUCCGUAGAUCCUGAGCAAUAUGAUGAAUAUGAAAAUGUUAUUUUGGAAGAAUUCAAUGACUCAAAGUAUGAGCAAAAAGAAAAUAUUACCAUGGAUGAUAAUUAUGAUAAUACAGAUUUCAGGUUGUGUGAAAGUUUUGAUAUUGGUACUAAUAGUGUAAAGGGUGAGUAGGAAGGUAAGAGGUUCCUCAAGAAAAAAUGUAAUAAAGUAUGAAGACUCAGAUGAACUUAGAAGCUUACCCAGUGACAAUGAGGCUGAGAGAUCAUCUACCAGAAGGAUGAAUGAGUGCUAGUUUAACCCUACAACUGAUAUGGGUGAUCCAAAGUUCAAAAUAGGCAAUGCUUCUAUAAUACAUAUAUUGUUUUAUUGUUUGAAAAUAUAUAUGACAACAUGCUAUGUUCAUUACUCAAUUAAAAGUUCUAGGCAACUCAAAUAUGCAAAAAAUAUGAGGACACAGUUGAGAGCUAGAUGUCAAGAUAACUAUUAUGAGGUUUUAUAUGCAUACUAACAACCAGCCAAGAGUCUUGGAAUCAAUACAUUCAGAGAUGAGCAUACAUGUACUAUGGUGUGGCAAAAUAAAAGCGUUAAUGCAGGUUAUCUUGCAAAAAAUACAAAAGUUUAGGUCUAGUCCCAAAAUGCAAAUGAAUAGUUUUGUGAAAACUAUGAAAGAAGACUGUAUGUAUGAGAUUUUAAAGCAUCAGUUCUAAAUGGCAAGAUCUAAAUGUACGCAAGUAGUACAUGUGAUUGUUGUUGAGCAGUACACAAUUUUAUAAGAUUUUGGUGAAGAAUUAAAGAGAAAAAAAUCUUGGUAAUAUAGUGCAUAUUAAAGGUUCAGGUCACACUAUUAAGAGAUUGUCCGAAGGGUUUAAGGCUAGUUGCAAUACAAUUGUUGAGUUGGAUGGUUGCUUCAUAAAGUCUACAUAAGGUGGACAGUUAUUGGUAGCUAUUGGCAUUGAUGAUGAAAACUUUAUUUUCCCCAUAACAUGGGAAGUUAUAGAUGUUGAAAACAAAACAAAUUGAGAAUGGUUUAUAGAGUUGUUUGUUGAUGACAUAGGGAUUUAUGACUCUAGAGCUUAGACAUUCAUUUCUGAUAAAUAAAAGGAUUUGGUGUAUUCUAUUAGUAAAUUCUGUGAAGAGGCUAAGUACAGGUGUUGUGCUAGCCAUCUAUAUAGCAACUUUACCUUAGCACACAACGCUUGACCAUUAGGAACUUCUUUUUUUUCAAAUGCAGCAAGGGCAACAAUAGUGUCGGAGUGGAUGAGUGCAAUGAAUAAGUUGAAAGAUGUUAAUGAACAAGUUUACAAGUGGUUCAAUCAAAAACCACCUUCCUAGAGAAGCAUAUCACACUUUGAAGAGCAUUCCAAGUAUGAUAUUCUCUUGAAUAACUUAUGUGAAGCUUUCAAUUCUUCCAUUGUUAUUGUCAAAGAGAAUCCAUUAUCUCAAUGCUAGAGAAAAUCAAACAUCAACAAAUUAUCAGAAUGAAUGUUAAAAGAAAAGUAACAGAUAGAUAGGGUCUUGCAUUUAGGCUAAGAGUUGUGAAAAUUGUUGAGAAGGCUAAGUAUGUGGCAAGGCACUUGAUGGUAGACUACACAAGUAAUCAAAAGUUUGAGAUAAGCAGCGGAGAUGGAUUGAGGUAGAGUGUUGAUUUGACAAAACAUAAAUGUGCAUGCAAAAAAUGGUAGCUCGCUGGAAUACCCUGUUCCCAUACAAUAUCAAGCAUGCUUUCAAGGGAUAUUAGCAUAUAUGAGUACAUUGAUCCAUAUUAUAGCAAUGAAAUAUAGCUUAGGUGUUACUCCAAGUGAUCCAACUAAUGUCGAGACCUGAUCUAUGGCCAGAACUUGUCAAGUACACUCUAAAUCAGCCACAAAAGAGAAAAUAGACUAAGCCACCUGCAAGAACUAAGAUGGGAAGGACCAACAUGAAGAUGACAUGUAAAUAAUGUGGGGUUUUGAUAUAACAAAAGAAGUUGUAAGGGACCACUGUUUGGUGAAGUUAGUUCACAACGGGAAUUACAACCAACUACUUAACCCGAGUCUUAAGAAAAUACAUAGUUAGGAUAAGCAAAGGGGAAGAGAAAUGCACAAAGGGUGAACCAAAGGUGCAUGACAAUGAAUGUGAGGUGCAACCAUGUGAAUCAGAACAAAGCCGUGAAGAUACGUUCACUGUAAAUAUAGAUGCUACUAAAACUAUGCAAGUAGAAUCCGUAGAUCCUGAGCAAUAUGAUGAAUAUGAAAAAGUUAUUUUGGAAGAAUUCAAUGACUCAAAGUAUGAGCAGAGAGGAAAUAUUACCAUGGAUGAUAAUUAUGAUAACACAGAUUUCAGGUUGUGUGAAAGUUUUGAUAUUGGUAUUAAUAGUGUAAGGGGUGAGCAGGAAGGUAAGAGGUUCCUCAAGAAAAAAUGUAAUAAAUUAUGAAGACUCAGAUGAACUUAGAAGCUUACCCAGUGACAAUGAGGCUGAGAGAUCAUCCACCAGAAGGAUGAAUGAGUGCUAGUUUAACCCUACAACUGAUAUGGGUGAUCCAAAGUUCAAAAUAGGCAAUGCUUCUAGAAUUCAUAUAUUGGUUUAUUGUUUGAAAAUAUAUAUGACAACGUGCUAUGUUCAUUACUCAAUUAAAAAUUCUAGGCAACUCAAAUAUGCAAAAAAUAUGAGGACACAGUUGAGGGCUAGAUGUCAAGAUAACUAUUCUGAGGUUUUAUAUGCAUACUAACAACCAGGCAAGAGUCUUGGAAUCACUACAUUCAGAGAUGAGCAUACAUUUGCUAUGGUGUGGCAAAAUAAAAGGGUUAAUGCAGGUUAUCUGGCAAAAAAUACAUAAGUUUAGGUCUACUCCCAAAAUGCAAAUGAAUAGUUUUGUGAAAACUAUUAAAGAAGACUGCAUGUAUGAGAUUUUAAAGCAUCAGUUCUAAAUGACAAGAUCUAAAUGUACGCAAGUAGUACAUGUGAUUGUUGUUGAGCAGUACACAAUUUUAUAAGAUUUUGGUAAAGAAUUAAAGAGAAAAAAAUCCUGGUAAUAUAGUGCAUAUUAAAGGUUCAGGUCACACUAUUAAGAGAUUGUCCGAAGGGUUUAAGGCUAGUUGCAAUACAAUUGUUGAGUUGGAUGGUUGCUUCAUAAAGUCUACAUAAGGUGGACAGUUAUUUGUAGCUAUUGGCAUUGAUGAUGAGAACUUUAUUUUCCCCAUAACAUGGGAAGUUAUAGAUGUUGAAAACAAAACAAAUUGAGAAUGGUUUAUAGAGUUGUUUGUUGAUGACAUAGGGAUUUAUGACUCUAGAGCUUAGACAUUCAUUUCUGAUAAAUAAAAGGAUUUGGUGGAUUCUAUUAGUAAAUUCUGUGAAGAGGCUAGGUACAGGUGUUGUGCUAGCCAUCUAUAUAGCAACUUUACCUUAGCACACAAGGCUUGACCAUUAGGAACAACUUUUUUUUCAAAUGCAGCAAGGGCAACAAUAGUGUCAGAGUGGACGAGUGCAAUGAAUAAGUUGAAAGAUGUUAAUGAACAAGUUUACAAGUGGUUCAAUGAAAAACCACCUUCCUAGAGAAGCAUAUCACACUUUGAAGAGCAUUCCAAGUAUGACAUUCUCUUGAAUAACUUAUGUGAAGCUUUCAAUUCUUCCAUUGUUAUUGUCAAAGAGAAGCCCAUUAUCUCAAUGCUAGAGAAAAUCAAACAUCAACAAAUUAUCAGAAUGAAUGUUAAAAGAAAAGUAACAGAUAGAUAGGGUCUUGCAUUUAGGCUAAGAGUUGUGAAAAUUGUUGAGAAGGCUAAGUAUGUGGCAAGGCACUUGAUGGUAGACUACACAAGUAAUCAAAAGUUUGAGAUAAGCAGCGGAGAUGGAUUGAGGUAGAGUGAUUAUUUGACAAAACAUAAAUGUGCAUGCAAAAAAUGGUAGCUCGCUAGAAUACCCUGUUCCCAUACAAUAUCAAGCAUGCUUUCAAGGGAUAUUAGCAUAUAUGAGUACAUUGAUCCAUAUUAUAGCAAUGAAAUAUAGCUUAGGUGUUACUCCAAGUGAUCCAACUAAUGUCGAGACCUGAUCUAUGGCCAGAACUUGUCAAGUACACUCUAAAUCAGCCACAAAAGAGAAAAUAGACUAAGCCACCUGCAAGAACUAAGAUGGGAAGGACCAACAUGAAGAUGACAUGUAAAUAAUGUGGGGUUUUGAUAUAACAAAAGAAGUUGUAAGGGACCACUGUUUGGUGAAGUUAGUUCACAACGGGAAUUACAACAACGGGAAUUACAACCAACUACUUAACCCGAGUCUUAAGAAAAUACAUAGUUAGGAUAAGCAAAAGGGAAGAGAAAUGCACAUUUAAUAGUAACUUCCUAGUUACAGAUGAAAAAGUCCAAGAAUAAAGGAUCCAAGCCUUGAACAUGAUGUGACUUCUUAUUUAUAGUUUUGUUAGAAAGUGAACCUUUUUUUUAUGAAUGCUGUGAUUUUAUAGGGUGACCUAGAAUUUUUUUACAAAUGUUGUGUUUGUUUGUAACGUGAACUGAAAAUAUGUGCAACAAAUGCUGUGAUUUUGUAAAAUGAACUGGAAUUUCUAAUGGAAUUGUCACAUAUGUUGUGCAAGAAUGUUUAGAUAGAAUUCUUGGAUUAUAUUGAGGUGUAGACUAUUAGGAACUACGAACAAAUAUUUGGUACUUCUUUUGCAUAUCCUACAAAAGGUUUGGUACUGCUAGUGAAAAUAUUACAAAAGGUUUGGUAUCUCACUAAAACUAUUACUAAAGGUUAGGUACUUAUUAUUUGAUUCAUUAAAAGGUUUGGUAUCCAUGCUGCACCAUUUACAAAACAUUUGGGGUGUAAUCUGAUCUUUAAUUUCAAAUUAAACAAUGGGCAAAAAGAGAACAUUGAAAGUCAGUACCAGUGCUGAUACAAAAUGGGCCUUUUCAUUUUAAGUAAAAGGUACAAAACAAGUGUCACGCUUUUUUUAUAACUUGAUUUAUAUCGCAAGUAUGGGGUGUCAAGUUUUCUAAUAUAUGAAUGGAGUUAGGAUAUCGAACCCACAGGGUUUAUAAUUUAACUUUUACUAAGUACUAUAAUUGUGUAGCUUCUAUUUUAUCUAGACAAAUAAAAUUUGUGAUCAAUAGUGUCAUCUAAUCUAAGAGUAAUCGUUGUGACUAAUUCAAGUAAUGCAAUUUAUAUGAAUAAAUCAAUAUAAGACAGGCCUAUGGAAUAAUUUCACCUAACUAUCAAUUAUGCUUCAAUUAUGUUUAAUUAUUCUAGUCAAUUUUUUCAUGUUUAAAAGCAAGAAUUCUAAUGCAUUUCUCUCCCCUCUGUCGAGUGCCGGUUAAAAAUUAAUCUUAAAUUUCAAUCUCAAUAUCCCUAUUUCGAAUUAAAAUCAAGGAUUUAUAAAGUUUAUGAUUUUCUUAUGGAGUAAGCUUCAUAGAUCCUAUACAUUCUCUCGAAAUCCAUAAAAUCUACAUUGUGCCAAUUCUACGAUCGUGCCUCUCGAGUGCCAGAAUUGACUAGCAUCUAUUCAUUCAAUUAGUGGCCAAUUACUUGAAAGCAUUAAUUUCAUGACACAAUUAAACAUAUGUAGAAAAUCAAAUAGAAAUAACUAUAACAGAAUCAAACCAUAAUCCCCAGCGGAGAUGGAUUGAGGUAGAGUGUUGAUUUGACAAAACAUAAAUGUGCAUGCAAAAAAUGGUAGCUCGCUGGAAUACCCUGUUCCCAUACAAUAUCAAGCAUGCUUUCAAGGGAUAUUAGCAUAUAUGAGUACAUUGAUCCAUAUUAUAGCAAUGAAAUAUAGCUUAGGUGUUACUCCAAGUGAUCCAUCUAAUGUCGGGACAUGAUCUAUGGCCAAAACUUGUCAAGUACACUCUAAAUCAGCCACAAAAGAGAAAAUAGACUGAGCCAUCUGCAAGAACUAAGAUGGGAAGGACCAACAUGAAGAUGACAUGUAAAUAAUGUGGGGUUUGGAUAUAACAAAAGAAGCUGUAAGGGACCACUGUUUGGUGAAGUUAGUUCACAACGGGAAUUACAACCAACUACUUAACCCGAGUCUUAAGAAAAUACAUAGUUAGGAUAAGCAAAGGGGAAGAGAAAUGCACAUUUAAUAGUAACUUCCUAGAUACAGAUGAAAAAGUCCAAAAAUAAAGGAUCCAAGCCUUGAACAUGAUGUGACUUCUUAUUUAUAGUUUUGUUAGAAAGUGAACUUUUUUUUUAUGAAUGCUUUGAUUUUAUAGAGUGACCUAGAAUUUUUUUACAAAUGUUGUAUUUGUUUGUAACGUGAACUGAAAAUAUGUGCAACAAAUGUUGUGAUUUUGUAAAAUGAACUGGAAUUUCUAAUGGAAUUGUCACAUAUGUUGUGCAAGAAUGUUUAGAUAGACACAUAUGUUGUGCAAGAAUGUUUAGAUAGAAUUAUUGGAUUAUAUUGAGGUGUAGACUAUUAGGGACUACGAACAAAUAUUUGGUACUUCUUCUGCAUAUCUUACAAAAGGUUUGGUACUACUAGUGAAAAUAUUACAAAAGGUUUGGUAUCUCACUAAAACUAUUACUAAAGGUUAGGUACUUAUUCUGUGAUUCAUUAAAAGGUUUGGUAUCCAUGCUGCACCAUUUACAAAGCAUUUGGGGUGUAAUCUGAUCUUUAAUUUCAAAUUAAACAAUGGGAAAAAAGAGAACUUUGAAAGUCAGUACCAAUGCUGAUACAAAAUGGGGCUUUUCAUUUUAAGUAAAAGGUACAAAAUAAGUGUCACGCUUUUUUUAUAACUUGAUUUAUAUCGCAAGUAUGGGGUGUCAAGUUUUCUAAUAUAUAAAUGGAGUUAGGAUAUCGAACCCACAGGGUUUAUAAUUUAACUUUUACUAAGUACUAUAAUUGUGUAGCUUCUAUUUUAUCUAGACAAAUAAAAUUUUUGAUCAAUAGUGUCAUCUAAUUUAAGAGUAAUCGUUGUGACUAAUUCAAGUAAUGCAAUUUAUAUGAAUAAAUCAAUAUAAGACAGGCCUAGGGAAUAAUUUCACCUAACUAUCAAUUAUGCUUCAAUUAUGUUUAAUUAUUCUAGUCAAUUUUUUCAUGUUUAAAAGCAAGAAUCCUAAUACAUUUCUCUCCUCUGUCUAGUGCCGGCUAGAAAUUAAUCUUAGAUUUCAAUCUCAAUAUCUCUAUUUUGAAUUAAAAUCAAGGAUUUAUUAAGUUUAUGAUUUUCUUAUGGAGUAAGUUUCAUAGAUCCUAUACUUUCUCUCGAAAUACAUAAAAUCUACGUUGUGUCAAUUCUACGAUCGUGCCUAAAUUCUCCUCUCUCGAGUGCCGGAAUUGACUAGCAUCUAUUCAUUCAGUUAGUGGCCAAUUAAUUGAAAGCAUUAAUUUCAUGACACAAUUAAACAUAUGUAGAAAAUCAAAUAGAAAUAACUAUAACAGAAUCAAACCAUAAUCCCAAGUUUUGGCUACAAUCACACACUAGAAUAUGAAUUUAGUUCAUAAUAUAAUCCAAGAAAAUACUAAAAUUCAUAUAAGAAAACAUAGGGAAGAGAAUAGAAAAACUCAGUUGUAGAUCUUCAAUUUCUUCUCUUGUUUUUCUCUGCCUUGUUCUUGAAUCUCUUGAUGUUUUGCCCCUUUGAAUUGUUAAAUCUUGCUCCCUUGAAUUAUAUUUUUGGUUGGUUUAAUUCUUUGAGAAAAUAGGUUUUUGAUCUUAUAUUUAUAGUAUUUUUGGAGUCUUGGACGAAUUAGGGUUGAGUUGAGCUAAGAAAAGAAUAAAAAAAAAAAAUAAAUAAAUAAAUAAACUUUUCCCACACAGGUAGUACCUCGACGCCCAAGAUGGCACACUGCUGAUUUUCAGCAUCGUGGGCAUUGCAGCUCCAAUCUGCGCCUACUUCGGGUAGAAAAGAUAGUUUACAUCUCCGUUAGUAUUUUUAUCACCCGAUAUCUGAUUGAAACAAUUCAAGAUGCGAUGGAAAGUUAACUGAAAGAGCUACAACUUUGCUUUAGUUAUCGUUCACCAAAUUGAACGUUUGCUAUGUCAUAAAUGGGUCUCAAUGUAAGACUAAAAAUUCAGAACAUAACUUUUUGGGUUGGAAAUCGACGUACGAUCAUACUUUGGUUAUAUUUGAUCCAUUUGACAUUUUUCUUCUUCCAGUUGACCCGUAACACUCUCGAAUCUUCAUUGUUAGGUUCGACACAAUUUUUAAGUAUAUACACUUUAGUCCCCGAAAUUUAGAUCUCUUACAAUUUCUCCAAUUUUCUCCAAAUUUAUCAACUUUUGCUUAUUUCUUUUAAUUUCGUCAACCGAUAUCAUAUUAUCAAAACACAUAAUAAAACGUUUUAAGACUUGUAGGAAUAAGCUACUAUCAAGCUCAAUUGAUGUCUAAAGUAUGAGUGAAAUAUACUCAUCAACAAACACAUUUUACAUCUACAUUUCACAACAUCGAACACAAGUCCCCACAUCAAAACCCUAAACCCAAAUUUAUGAAGUUAACUAUCUCCAUCCCACAAAUCCAUCCGACAUACCUAGGUACAAACCCAUUUUAUAAACACCCCACACGCAAAUCCGAAGAGCUAGGUCUUCCACACAUUUGGUCUUGUUGCUUGGAAGGUGUUGGUUUCAGCUUCCAUUUUCCUCCUAACCUCGUAAUAGAUUAGGAAUCAGCUCCAUCAAUCUCUCACACAUUUCAAGGUUACACCACACAAAGAAGGUAUAUCUACACAUAUCUUGGCUUUGAGGACAAGUGAGAAAUCUUCUUCUUGGGUUCAGGUUCGUCCAUGAGGUCUUUAUUUGCACUGGGGAGCCAUAUCAACAUACAUUCAUCUCCAUGUACAUGCUAAUUUUUUUCAACUGGUUGUGGGGAAGAAAAGGAUAUUAAUGUGGUAAAAAUGGAGGAAAACGAACAGCAAAAUGCAAUAAUAGAAGGGAAAAUGUGAAAUGCCCAAAUUGCCCUUCACUUAUUUGGGGAAAAUUAUUAAAAAAUUUCAUUUCUAGGAUCAACUAAUGGUCUUGAUGAUCAAACACGCGAAAAUCGUUAUUUUAGACUGGAUUUGAGAUUUUUCUAAAGGUUUGGUACUUCAUGUGGUACAAAUGAAAUGUUUAAAUCAAAACUGCUAAUAAAUGAAAGAUUUGAUACCUUGACUGCAAUUUUCCUCAUUUUUAAUGGAUGAAGACUUUAAAUGAUCAAAGCUUAGCUUCAGAACUUACAUGGCAAGCAAAGGGGAAUAACUAAACAAAAUUUAUUAAAAAUGCUUGAUUAGUCAACAUUUCCGAGUCUUCAUUACAUCCUAGUAUAUAUUUUUAAACUUGGGAUCUAAAAGAACAAUCCAAUUGUUUUUAUAGUUUAUUACUUAAUAAUAAAUUUAAAAGACACUCUUAAUUUAAUGCAUGAAAUGUCUUGUUAGUAACAUACGAAUGAGAUUAUUGUUCGAAUGAACGUGAGAAAUACUAGAAUUCACUAGAGAACCGAAAUUGACAUAUUAUUUUCCAAAACGAGUGCAGGAUUUUCAAACCCUUGAUGCAUAUUUAAAGCAUCAAACAAAACUCUAAUUAAUAGACAAAUUCGAAUACAACUAAGAAACUGCAAAAACGAAAAAAAUACUCUUAAAUUAAUUUUAAAAAAAAAAAAGCUAAAAUGGUCCUUGAAAGGAUGAAAUUUGACCCUGAGAUUUCGACGAUGGAAAAAUUGUAGAAAACAGAAAAAUGCUCCCGAAUUGCAUUGCUUCCGUAAAUUUUACAUCGAGUUGAAAGUCACGCACAUUUUUAUAGGUCCUUAUUUAUUAUCUUUUUCAAAUGGUUUAUGAUUUUCUCUUCUAAUUGUUUUGCAUCAUAGUCAAUUUUUGAGUUUUCAAGUUUAGUCUAAAACCUAGUUCAAACUUUCCCAUGAUUUCACUAAUUUUGUGUAUUGUUUAACUGCAAAAAUUUAAUGAGGUUUGCAACGUUGAUACCAGUUCAAAAAAUUACCCAUUACUUCUACAUUUGUUCUGCUCUAUGAUAUCUUUUAACAUUUUGUUCUUAUUCAUACAAUAGUUACUUUUUGUAGCAGUGGUUCGAGUCAUCUAUGUGCUACGAUGUGAAAUAAGUGUCAGCCACGUAAAAGGCUAUAAAUAAAAUAGAUAUUGAUAUAAGCUAGCCUAAAGAACCACCCCCAACGACAAAUGAGACGGGUCACUACACGCUGAUGCAAGGCCAUCGACCCCCGGGAGUUACCUAUGUUGCCACCCCAACACUUAGUCAAAAAAUCUCAGGUAAACUGACAAAGCUCCAUGGCAGUUAUUAUGGGCACAACCUCCAGGCAGGAAGUUAGAGACCCCCCACCCAGAACGUGGGAAAGUCAACGUAGGACACGUGGCACCAUGAUCGCCCGACACUCACCCGACUUCCAGCACCUACAAAUACCCUCGAAGGCAACACAGGUAUGAGAAUUGACAUUUUUUAGCCAUCUAAAUUCCAUCUAAAUUUUUCCUAACGCAAAAACUAAUUCUCACGCUGAAGGUAAAACGGGGGACAAAGCCCUGCCCUUCAUUUUUUAGGUCAUACACGCCCGUCAAAACAGUAAGGACGGCAAAGGUUAGCAAGUGGACAAGGAGAUAUCUUUUUUUCACCAUUUCAUUGGAGCCGUCUGUGGGAAUUUUCUUCCAUUGAAAACCAAUGCCAUGUCAAGAAGACGACCAAAAAGUGAUACGCGCUUAAGAACAGUAACGACGGAGACCAAAUCAGAAUCAGUCGCCAGGGGCCUCGACUCGUCACCGCCAUCGCAGUAUGUGACACAAAGCCAGUUUAGCAACCUGGGGACCCAGCUAGCGGCUAAGAUGACCUUCUUGUAGAACCAAACGUAGAGAGUUUCCCUUUUCCCACAUUCGGUAGAAGUCGCGCCGCCACCCCGGGAGGCGCACAUAGAGUGUGGCGAUACACAUAGAGACACCGCCUGUCAUCCAACCGGUAACAGCAGCUCUAGGGGUUACGGUCUUGUAGCCCAUCCCACCUAUGGCGGAUCUGGAGUGAAGGAUGGAUGAGAUAAUGACACAGAAAAUAGAUGAUGUAAUAUCAAAGAGAAAGGAUAAGCGUAGGCAGAUGGUCUUAGAAGAUGACCCAUUCGCUCCAGAAAUCAUGGCGGUCCCCUUGCUUAAGGGCUUCAAGCAACCUAUGAUAGAAGCUUACGAUGGGGUCACAGAUCCACUUGACCAUCUCCAGACCUUUGUUGAUUUAAUGAGACUCUAUGAAGCACCUAAUGCAGUGAUGUGUCGAUCUUUCUCCCCGACCCUCAGGAGAGAAGCCAAAGACUGGGUGGCGACACUUGCCCCUCGAUCUAAAACAUUUGAUGAACUUUCCAGAAGUUUUGUGGCAUACUUCCUCAGUAGCAAAAGAAAGAGGAAGACGGCCAUCGAGCUAAUGUAGGUGGUCCACGAAAAGGAUGAGUCUCUGCAAGAGUAUUUAGCCAAAUUCAGCUGAGCGACCCUUGCAAUAGAGGAUCUUCAAAUGUCAACAGUGGUGACUAGGUUGAUGAACGAAACUUGAAAUUGGGCCUUCAAGAUGUCACUUCCAAGAACCCUUCAGAGUCAAUGCACGACCUGUUGAAAAAGAGAGACAAGUACGUUGAUGCCGAGGAAGCGGAGAAGGUCACAAAACACCUCAAAGAGGGAUGGGAAAUGGAGAGUUACAAGCGAAAGGUAGGGGAUGAGUUAAGAUCUGGCAAGAAAAAUAAGCCAAGAAGUGAGCAGACGGGUAGAGAAACCACCCAAGACCGACAAAUCAGGCAAAAACGAUAGGAGCCCAUGACGUUCACCCCUUUAAAUACCCCGUGCGCGAAGCUAUUGAUGGAGAUAUGAGAUAUGAAGGAGCUUGAAUGGCCGAUGCCCAUGGCAACGCCACCCGACAAGAAAAACCAGGGCCAAUAUUAUCAUUUCCACAAGGAUCACGGGCACGAUACUGAAGAGUACCUGCAGCUAAAGGAGGAGAUCGAGCGCUUCCUAAAGCAAGGGCUCUUGGGCAAAUAUGUGAAGGACAAUCGGGGUAAACAAAAAGUGAAGGAUUGUCCCCCGCCUAGGGCGGGAGUGAUAAACAUGAUUGCAGGGAAAAUAGCAGUAGGCAGAGAUUCAACUUCGACGAGGAAAAGCUAUGCGCGUUCUCUUGGGAACUGUUUCAUCGAAAGGAAAGUGAGGUUUAGUCAAAACAUCACUUUUGGGGAGGAGGAUUUGGCAGGCGUAGCACACCCCCAUGAUGAUGCUUUGGUGAUAGUAGGCGACAUAGCUGAUUUCGACGUGAAGAUGGUGCUGGUUGAUGGAGGAAGUCCUACAAAUGUACUUAUAUGGGAUGCUUUUUUAGGCUUGAUGAUCUUUUCUAACAGGUUGAAAAUAGUAACCACCCCCUUACAGGGCUUUAGAGGGGCCACAGUAAUUUCGGAGAGGACCGUAGAACUCCCUGUCACGCUCAGCACAUAUCCAAUUGCUGUGAUAAUUGUGGCAAGCUUCUUAGUUAUCAAAAUUUCCAUGGCCUAUAAUGAGAUCUACAAUCGACCAUUGCUGAACGUAGCUAGAGCCAUCCCCUCAACCUAUCAUCGAGUCAUGAAAUUUUCGACCACCAGAGGGGUCGGGUGUGUGCGGGGGACCAACAAGCAUCCAAAAAAUGUUAUGUCGACAGUAUAUCAGUCAAGGGAACACCAUCGAUCAUGAUGUUGGAGGCAGAACCUUCAUAGGGGCGGAUUGAACCACUUGACAUGAUUAAAAGGAUCUCCGCAUCAGAUAGAUGGGAGUUUAGCUUUGGGGCCAAUUUGGAAUCUGACGAAAAAGGAAAUUGGUAAGGUGCCUGACACACAACCUAGAUGUUUUCGCAUGGAGCCCGAAUGAUAUUAUUGGGAUCAAUCCAGCCAUUGCUCAACAUCGCUUUGGCGUCCUCCUCAGAGCCAAACCAGUGAAGUAGAAGAAAAUGAACCUCACCCCCAAAAGGCAGGAAGUAGCAAAAGCAGAUGUGGAAAAGCUACUACAAGCUGGUUUCAUUCGGGAAGUGCGGUAUCUUGAGUGGCUAGCCAACAUCGUGCUGGUAAAGAAGUCAAACGGGAAAUGGUGCAUGUGUGUAGAUUACACCCGGCUAAAUAAAGCAUGCCCAAAAAACUCAUACCCAUUCCCCCGGAUAGAUCACCUAGUCGACGCCACAUCGGGUCACGAAUGGCUCAGUUUCCUGGAUGCAUUUUUUGGGUAUCAUCAAAUUUCAAUGGCCGAAUUUGACCAGGAGAAGACGUCAUUUAUCACAGAUUCUGGAACAUAUUGUUACAUUGUGGAACAUAUUGUUACAUAGCCAUGCCGUUUGGCCUCAAAAACGCAUGAGCAACCUACCAAAGGAUGUGAAUAGAAUUUUUCAGAAAUUGAUUGGGAAUGUCACAGAAGCUUACGUUGAUGACAUGGUGGUAAAAAAGUAUCAAAGCCAAUGACCACGCGGCCUGCCUAAAGAAAGUAUUUGACGUAGCCCGACGGAAUAACUUGAAGUCCAACCCGGAGAAAUAUGUUUUUGGCACUGUCUACGGAAAGUUCCUAAGCUUCAUGAUCACCCAAAGAGGUAUAGAGGUGAACUCUAACAAAAUAUAGGUGAUACUAGAGAUAAAGAGCUCCACUAGUAAGAAGGAGGUCCAGCGGCUAACAGGGUUCGUGGCAGCCCUUAAUCAUUUUAUGAGCUAGGCGAUGGAUAAAUGCUAUCGUUUCUUUAAGGCCAUAAGGAGCUCCUCAAAUUUCGAAUGGACUCAAGAGUGCAAAGAAUCCCUGAAAUCCUUGAAGAGGUCACUACAAUAGCCUCCAAUUCUGACCAACCUAUGGUCGGGGAACAUACUGUGUCUCUACCUCACGGUAUCACCACAGGUAAUGAGCACCGUUCUUGUGAAAAAAUUUCCAAAGGCACAAAAGCCGAUCUACUACGUCAGUUAGGUCCUCAAAGGUGCAGAGAUAAGAUACAGCUGGCCGAAUAUCUAGUGCUCGCGUUGAUUGUUGCAGUAAGGAAGCUAAGACCUUACUUUCAGUCCCAUACGGUACAAGUAAUGACUGACCAACCCAUCAAGUAGAUCCUGGAUCGACUGGAAACAUUUAGGAGGCUGCAGAAAUGAGAAAUUGAAAUAAGUGAAUUUGACAUUGAAUUUAGGCCCAGGACGGCCAUAAAAGCACAAGCUUUGGCAGACUUCAUUGCCGAGCUCACCAUCCCAACGGAGCGUCUAGAAGGGCAACAGGCAGAUUGGAAGGUUUUUGUAGACGGUUCCUCAAAUGCAGAGGGAUCAAGAGCAGGGAUAAUAAUGAUCAUACCACACUCUGAAGAGUUGGAAUACUCACUGUGCUUCGAGUUCCCCACUACCAAUAACAACGUCGAGUAUGAAGCAGUAAUCACUAGCCUAGGUCUGGUAGCCAGGCUGGAGGUGUUGUCAGUAGAGGUAUGUCGUGACUUGCAGCUAAUAGUUGGGCAAGUGUUAGGGGAGUAUGAAACGAAAUAUGGAAGGAUGGCAGCAUACAUGAUGAAAGUAUGGGAUCUGUAAAGAUGGUUCACAAGCUUUAAAGUGACCAAGGCCCCAAGAAAAGAUAAUGAGUGAGCAAACGCACUGGCAAAGCUUGCAUCUGGCACCCAAGGAAUUUUCCACGGAUAACGAAUAUGCAAGUCCUACAACAACCCAGCAUUUAGCUUUGGGCAGAGGUGAAAAAUAUUGAACACAAGGAAAGUAGGAUAGAUCUACUGAUUAGAUAUCUCACAGAAGAUAAGGUGUCGAAAGACCCCUUUGAGGCGAGGAGGUUGAGAGCUCGAGUAGCUUCAUUUACCAUCAUCGAUGAGCAGCUCUACAAGAGGGGUCUUGCCAUGCCAUAUCUAAAGUGCAUACUCCCCACCGAAGCAAAAGAUGUACUGUUUGAGGUACAUACUGGGACCUGCGGUAACCACCAAAGGGCAACAUCCCUUGCCUUCAAAAAUUCUGUGACAAGGUUGCUAUUGGCAAACUAUAAACGAGGAUGCCAAAGAGUUGGUACGGAAAUAUGACACAUGCCAACAUCAUGGAAAUUUGAUCCAUGUCUUAGCCGAACAGCAAGCAGCUAUAUUUUGGGUAUGCCCAUUUUUCAGUAGGGAGUGGACAUUUUAGGACCUCUGCCCAUGGCUAAGGAGUAGAGAAAGUUUUUGUUGGUUGCCAUCGACUACUUCGCUAAAUGGGUAGAAGCGGAGCCACUGGCGACCAUCAUGAUAGCAAAGAUACAGAGCUUUGUAUGAAAAAAUAUAAUAUGUCGAUUCAGGAUACCCAAGGUAUUGGUGACGGAUAACGGCAGGCAAUUUGAUAAUCAUAGCUUCAAGACCUUUUGUGUAAAUCAUCACAUCGAUCAUAGACUGACCUCGAUCACCUACCCUCAAUCGAAUGGGCAAGUCGAAGUGACAAACCAAGUCAUUCUUUGGGAUUUGAAGGCCAGAUUAGAAAAGGAGAAAGGGCUUUGGGUAGAUGAGCUUCCCAAUGUGCUAUGGGCAUAUCAGACGACACCACAAGAACCGAUCGGGGAGACACCAUUCAGACUACCCUUUAGGAUGGAAGUAGUAGUUCCAGUUGAGAUCCUAAGUGACUGGUAGGAUGAAAGUCAAGUAGCCCGAUGACACAACAACUAGAGGGGAACUUGACCUGCUUAAGGAGGUAAGGGAGAAGGCAACAAUAAGGAUGAUGGCCUAUAAACGAAGAGCUACUGGGUACUUCAAUCGGAGGAUGAAACCAAGAAUCUUUCAGCUAGGAUACCUCAUUUUAAGGGAUGCAGCAACAGCAAGACACCCCUCGACAAAGUUCAAACCAAACUAGGAAGGCCCUAUAAAGUGAUCCACAGCCUAAGGAAGAGAGCUUAUAACAUGAAAGACAUGAAAGGAAGACCACUGGGUAGGCAAUGGAACACAGAGCAUCUCAAAAAAUAUUACCAGUAGACUUCAGGGUAGAUGCACAUGCUAUGUUUUUACAAAUACAGUAGGAUAGGUUAUGUUGUUAAUUCCCUCCAUGUAAUGGCUUUAGUUACAAUUAUCUAUCUUGUCUAAUGAAAGACCUUGGUAGGGACGGAUGAUGAGGUGCUAAGGAAGGGCCAGCCUAGCUGGGAUGUCUCGGUGCGCCUACUAUUUUUUAUAUGCUAACAUGCAUUUUUGUAACUCCUAUGCUCAUCCCGUAAGGACAUGCGAUCGACAUAGCCCAUGCGGCUAGGCGAAGAGUCUUGAAAAGCCAAAAAAUUGGUUAAGGCCCUUAAUCGCUAGAUCCCUCUCCCGACGGUCAACAUAGCCUACACGGCUAGGCGGAGAGCCUUGAAAAGCUAGAAAUUGGUUAAGGCCCUUAACCGCUAGAUCAUUCUCGCAACGGUCGACAUAGUCCACGCAACUAGGUAGAGAGUUUUGAAAACCUAGAAAUUGGCCAAGACCCUUAACUGCUAGACCCCUCUCUUGAUGAUCGACAUAGCCCACGCAGCUAGACGGAGAUCCUUGAAAAACCAAAAAAUUGGCUAAAGCCCUUAAGCAUUAGACCCCUCUCCCGAUGGUCAACUUAGCCCAUGUGGCUUGGCAGAAAGCCUUAAACGAUUAAAAUAUUGGCUAAGGCCAUUGACCAUUAGAAUCAAGCCUAGCAUGCGCGGGACGAAUGACAAUCACCUAUGCUGUCAAACGACUAAGUGGGGAAAACAACACUAGAAAAAAAAAAGUUAAAAGAAUGAUAAGUUCAAUAUUAAUAACCAUUGAUAACAUAGCAUUCAUACAAGAAAACAUGUGAUGUGCUCUGCCCAUACCCCGGACAAAUAGGGAAUGUUGCUACAAGUAGAAAUAAAAGGCAACACAAAAAAGAACGGGACUAGCAAAAGGUACUACUACUAAGCCAUGCUUCAACUCGAAGGGAAAGCACCGCCACUACCGUCCCACAACGAAUGACCAAGUGACCUGGAUGGCUGCGCCCUACUCUCCUUUCCCUUGCGCUGCACAAGGAACUUAUCGAAACUUGAGGGGUCAAUAGAAGGGUACUCGGUUGAUAUCCACUCCUUGGUUAGUUUGAUGGACGCCACCAUCGCCUUCUCCCAUACGAAUGCAAGGCCCUAGCAUAAUCAGACGAUGACUUGUACUGCUCCACAGAUGCCUCUAAGUCCCUAGAUACUCAGCAAAGGCCUUAUACCUCUCGACCGCCUCCUCCAGAGCACAAGCUAACACAGGCCGCAAAUUGUCAUUCUCUGUCUCCUGCUCGCGGGUUCGAGCCUCUGAUGCCUUUAGAGAUUUCUUCAAGGAAGAUAUCUUUUUCUUGUAAUGAUCAGCCUCUUUCUUCUUUUCUUCUGCAAGAGUCUUCAACUCUAGGGUCUGGCAAUGACUCGAUUCAGAAAACCCGGUCUGAAGGGCCACUACCUAGGGGAUGAGGAGACAAUGUAGAAGUUGAGUAGUAAAACCAUGCUCAAAAGAUAAGACUCGGCGUAAAAGAGAUAUGGAAUUAGCAAUAUACCCUCUGGAGAUAGACCUCACAACCCUCUCGAUGUCGUCUGCGCUACGUCCUGUAAUCGCCCUGGCCCGAGUGGGUGUCACCAAAGAUUUAAGCACCCCCAUCUUAUGAUAGCCUUUGGUGGGAAGAAACUCAAAAUUCGAAAGUGAAUCCUCGCGCUCGCACUACAUACGGCUGGAAGCGCUUGGCCUAGAGUAGGGACAACCUCAAUAGGCUCAUCUGAAGGCUGUGGAGUCUCUUUGGCCACAUGAGACCUUUUUCCUUGGACGACUAUCUUCUUCCUUUUUAAAGGAAUAGGGGAUGGAUCAACAUCACUCCUAUGCCCCUGUUUGGGUAUAGAAUUCAUGGUCCCCUCCAAAUCAAACUCCAUCCCUACGCAUGUAAAGUAAAGUCCAUUAAGUUUGGGAAAAAAAAAACAUGGGAGUGUCAAGCAAAAAAGAGGACCUUAAGAACUUACCAUCAUUGGGGGCAAGGUCCUCGUCGCCACCUAACAGGGUCUUCAAUAUCUCGUCAAGGUCAAAAUCCAUAUCUACGUACACCCGCCCAAACUCAUUAACCCUGAAAAACAACAAAUAAAAAAUAUGUACAAGCAAAGUUUGACUAGGGAUAAGGUGAAAUUCAUGUUCCUCAUGGUUAGAACCGAUCCUAAGUCAGGUGCAAGAGGGGGUAUAUCGACCGACUCCUGGACUUGAGUUUUUAGAAGAAAAGUAAUUUCUACUUGGCUAUUGAAAUGGCGAAUUUGGGGAUGCCGCCACUUUAUAUUGAAAGGGAACCGACCUUCUGGAGCUCAAGCAAAGAAGAACCUGAAUUUCUACCCACUGUUCAAAUUUCUAAACUUAGAAAAGAGCAAAAAGACCCUAGUAGUGAAAAAGACAAACACAUUACACCGAGUUAGAUCGUACAUCUCAAAGACACACUUGAAGUCUAUGGAAAGUGGAAUUCUCCUCUUAAGGUAAACAUACAAGAAAUACAAUGCCUUUCUCCAUGCAUUGAGGUUAAUUUAACUAGGGGUAGGGUGAAAUUCAUUGAAAAUCAACACCUGGAAUGGGUGAAUGAGAAACCAAAAACCCCCUCCACAAUGUCCUUAUACAUAGCUACAUCGCGCGAAUCGGAUCCGGUAAGUCUUUCUUUGGGACCUAGGGCUCUAUAAACAUAAUUAUCGACCCUAUCAUACCUACCGAGACAUUUUUCCAACUUAAGUAGGGAUUGUACAGAGUAUAACUUUUUGGGAUUUCAAGGAGGUCAAUCUCACUAGCCGAAUCCUACCCGAUUUCUAAGUUUUGGUUUGGAGACUUGGUGGGGCCAAUAUGUCUCUUGGGGGAGUUUGAAAUAAACACCUUAGAAUCUGCAGGAAGGGUUUGACUAUCAGAGUCACAAGGGAACUCAUCGAACGAAGGGAAGGAGGUCAAAAGACUUGGGCUGGUCGGACUGACUAGCCUUACGGCUGGACGACGGGGGGUUGGUCGAUUGACUAGCCCCAACAUGCUGGUCGCCUGACCAGCCUUGUCGAUCGUUGGCCGGUCGGCCGACCGAUCGACCGGACUUCUUCCGACAUCGAUCGGUCCCCCAUCACUAGUUUCGUCAGAAGAGGAAGAAAUGAUAGUCUUGUACAUAAUUUUACAAAAAAAAAAAGGAAGAAGAAAGAGGAAAAAGUCACCUUGGAAGAGAGGAAAGACUAAGAUGUUGGGAUGAGGUGAAAAUGAUUCACAUGUGAGGGAUCACCCCCUUUUUAUAAGCAAGAAAAUCCGAGUUUUUUUUUUUUGGGAAAAUUUCCUCCAAGUUAAGGCCCACUGGAUGGGUGCCAACUAUACAGUGAAAUAUGUGGCCAACUUUAAAUUGUACCGCUUGACUUACUUAGGCGAAUGAUACAUAAAAAAAGGGUAAUUAGCACAAAACGUCUCUACCUUUCGUGUUUUGACGGAUUACACCCUCACCUUUACCUUUUUUGCACAAAACAUCCUUCUGUCAACUCCCCGUUAAAAUGCUCCGUUAAAUCAAAGGGUAAUUAAUACAAAAAGUCCCUAUCUUUCAAUAUUAUAGUGUAAAACGUUCAUACCUUUCAUUUUUUAGCAUAAUUAGUACGAAAGAUCCCUACCUUUCAAUGUUAUUGUGCAAAACGUCCAUACCUUUCAUUUUUAGCAUUUUCACCCCUACCUUUCACCUUUCAUUGCACAAAAUGUCCUUUUCAUCUAUUUUUUCAAUAAAAUGACGAUUUUACCCUCCUAUUCAAAUAAAACAAAAAUAAAAGAAAAGAAAAAUAAUUAAUUAAUUGCAAUCAUAGUCCUUAAUCUUUCAAAACAUUAUAGAUAAGUCAUAAAUUCUUCACUACCGCCACUUUUACAACCCCACAAAGCCAUCACCUAUAGAUCCAUAUAGCACUACCUUUCGGCCACAACACCUAUCGAACUCCACCACCACUAGUCUCGCCUCACUCUCCCCAAUAUUCUCCUACAUAGUAUUGGUCACCAAUCUGUCCGAAAAAACCACAUUUACAGUGGUGGAGUCCGGUGGGCAUGGUGGCCAAAAUGUGGUAUUAUGUGGAUUUGUAGUUGGCAGCUUGAUAGGUUGUGAAAGUGGUGAUGGUUGAAAAUUUAUGAUUUCUUUCUAAUUUUUUAAAAAUUUAAGUACUAUGGUUGCUGUUGGUAAUUCAUCUUUUCUUUUUGUUUUAUUUGAAUAGGAGGGUAAAAUCGUCAUUUUAUUGAAAAAAGGAUGAAAAUGACCUUUUGCGUAAUGAAAGGUGAAAGAUAGGGAUAAAAAUGCUAAAAAAAUAAAAGGUAUGGAUGUUUUGCACAAUAACAUUAAAAGGUAGAGACCUUUUGUGCUAAUUAUGGUAAAAAACGAAAGGUAAUGACGUUUUGCACAAUAAUAUUGAAAGAUAAGGACCUUUUGUGCUAAUUACCCUUUAAUUUAACAGAGUAUUUUAACGGGGAGUUGACAGAAUAACGUUUUGUGCAAAAAAAGUAAAGGUGAGGGUGUAAUCCGUCAAAAAACGAAAGAUAUGGACGUUUUGUGCUAAUUAUCCCAUAAAAAAAUAAAAAGAACCAGAAAAGGGAAAUCGCUACCCCUUGCCGAAAAACAUCGAUAAGGGAUAAGGGGUUAAUAAUAUAAGCUAGCCUAGAGAACCACCCCCAACGAUGAAUGAGGCGGAUCACUACAUGUCGAUGCAAGGCCAUCGACCCCCUGGGGGCGCUCUACCUCUAUGCGAGGCCAUCAAUCCCCUGGAGCACUGUUACUCUACGUGAGGCCAUCGACCUUCGGGGGCGAUCUUACUCUACGCGAGGCCAUCGACCCCCCGGGGGCGCUCUACCUUUAUGCGAGACUAUCGACUCCUCGGGAGUUACCUAUGUAGUCACUCCAACACUUAGUCAAAAAAUCUCAGGUAAAUUUACAAAACUCCAUGGUGGUUAUUAUGGGCACAACCUCCAGGCGGGAAGUUAGAGACCCCCCACCCAGAAUGUGGAAAGUGGGAAAGCCAAUGUGGAACACGUGGCACCAUGAUCGCCUAUCACUCACCCGACUUCCAGUACUUAUAAAUACCUCCGAAGGCGACACAGAUAUGAGGAUGGACAUUUUUUUUAGCCAUCUAAAUUCCGUCUGAAUUUCACACAUACACUAAUUCUCAUGCUAGAGAUAAAACGGGGGACAAAGCCCCGCCCUUCAUUUUUUUAGGUCAUACACGCCCAUCGGAACAGUAAGAACACCAAAGAUUAGCAGGUGGACAAGGAGGUAUCUUUUCUCCACCAUUUCACGUAUUAUUGAUAUGAUAAAAGCAUAGCACUUUGUCAUGUUAGUUUGCGAGGUCUAUGUGCUACAAGUUGUAAUGCAUAGCACUGUUUAACAAUGUUGGUAUGACAGACUUAGUGACUUCACCCAUGCUUGGUGUGGCUAUUUAGCAGAUUCCUAUCAAAUUUUACUAGAUUUGACGUUGGAUUUUGUACAAUUUUAAAAUGAAGGCCUACAAAAUAACAGUUUGAAUAGAUUCAGUAGGGCAGACACACAUUUCUUACACUCUUUCGUUUCACCCUCUAUAAAGGAUGAAUACUCCUCCCAAAUAAAUACAUCUAAUCAACCCCUUUUUCACUUACAUUAGAGGACAAAAGGGAAAGGAAAACAAAAAAGCCAUAAGUUUGAGUUUGAAUGUUAUUGGAGAAACAUGCAAAUUGCAUUGGGGGGGGGGGGGGGGGGGGGGGGCAUUAAAAUUCAUAUAAGAAAACAUAGGGAAGAGAAUAGAAAAACUCAGUUGUAGAUCCUCAAUUUCUUCUCUUGUUUUUCUCUGCCUUGUUCUUGAAUCUCUUGAUGUUUUGCCCCUUUGAAUUGUUAAAUCUUGCUCCCUUGAAUUAUAUUUUUGGUUGGUUCAAUUCUUUCAGAAAAUAGGUUUUUGAUCUUAUAUUUAUAGUAUUUUUGGAGUCUUGGACGAAUUAGGGUUGAGUUGAGCUAAGAAAAGAAUCAAAAAAAAAAAAAAAAAAAUUCCCGCAUAGGCAGUACCUCGACGUCCAAGAUGGCACACUGCUGAUUUUCAGCAUCGUGGGCAUUGCAGCUCCCAUUUGCGCCUACUUCGGGUAGAAAAGAUAGUUUACAUCUCCUUCAGUAUGUUUAUCACCCGAUAUCUGAUUGAAACAAUUCAAGAUGCGAUGGAAGGUUAACUGAAAGAGCUACAACUUUGCUUUAAUUAUCGUUCUCCAAAUUGAAAGUUUGUUAUGUCAUAAAUGGGUCUCAAUGUAAGACUAAAAAUUCAGAACAUAACUUUUUGGGUUGGAAAUUGACGUACGAUCAUACUUUGGUUAUAUUUGAUCCAUUUGACAUUUUUCUUCUUCCAGUUGACCCAUAACACUCUCGAAUCUUCAUUGUUAGGUUCGACACAAUUUUUUAAGUAUAUACACUUUAGUCCCCGAAAUUUAGAUCUCUUACAAUUUAGCAAUUUUCUCCAAAUUUAUCAACUUUUGCUUAUUUCUUUUAAUUUCGUCAACCGAUAUCAUAUUAUCAAAACACACAAUAAAAUAUUCUAAGACUUGUAGGAAUAAGCUACUAUCAAGCUCAAUUGAUGUCUAAAGUAUGAGUGAAAUAUACUCAUCAACAAACACAUUUUACAUCUACAUUUCACAACCUCGAACACAAGUCCCCACAUCAAAACCCUAAACCCAAAUUUAUGAAGUUAACUAUCUCCAUCCCACAAAUCCAUCCGACAUACCUAGGUACAAACACAUUUUAUAAACACCCCACUCGCAAAUCCGAAGAGCUAGGUCUUCCACACAUUUGGUCUUGUUGCUUGGAAGGUGUUGGUUUCAGCUUCCAUUUUCCUCCUAGCCUCGUAAUAGAUCAGGAACCAGCUUCAUCAAUCUCUCACACAUUACAAGGUUACACCACACAAAGAAGGUAUAUCUACACAUAUCUUGGCUUUGAGGAUAAGUGAGAAAUCUUCUUCUUGGGUUCAGGUUCGUCCAUGAGGUCUUUAUUUGCACCGGGGAAAAUUAUUAAAAAAAUUCAUUUCUAGGAUCAACUAAUGGUCUUGAUGGUCAAACACGCGAAAAUCGUCAUUUUAGACUGGAUUUGAGAUUUUUCUAAAGGUUUGGUACUUCAUGUGGCACAAAUGAAAUGUUUAAAUCAAAACUGCUAAUAAAUGAAAGGUUUGAUACCUUGAUUGCAAUUUUCCUCAUUUUUAAUGGAUGAAGACUUUAAAUGAUCAAAGCUUAUCUUCAGAAGUUACAUGGCUAGCAAAGGGGAAUAACUAAACAAAAUUUAUUAAAAAUGCUUGAUUAGUCAACAUUUCCGAGUCUUCAUUACAUCCUAGUAUAUAUUUUUAAACGUGGGAUCUAAAAGAAUAAUCCAAUUGUUUUUAUAGUUUAUUACUUAAUAAUAAAUUUAAAAGACACUCUUAAUUUAAUGCAUGAAAUGUCUUGUUAGUAACAUACGAAUGAGAUUAUUGUUCGAAUGGACGUGAGAAAUACUAGAAUUCACUAGAGAACGGAAAUUGAAAUAUUAUUUUCCAAAACGAGUGCAGGAUUUUCAAACCCUUGAUGCAUAUUUAAAGCAUCAAACAAAACUCUAAUUAAUAGACAAAUUCGAAUACAACUAAGAAACUGCAAAAACGAAAAAAAUACUCUUAAAUUAAUUUAAAAAAAAAAAAACUAAAACGGUCCUUGAAAGGAUGAAAUUUGACCCUGAGAUUUCGACGAUGGAAAAAUUGUAGAAAACUGAAAAAUGCUCCCAAAUUGCAUUGCUUCCGUAAAUUUUACGUCGAGUUGAAAGUCACGCACAUUUUUAUAGGUCCUUAUUUAUUCUCUUUUUCAAAUGGUUUAUGAUUUUCUCUUCUAAUUGUUCUGCAUCAUAGUCAAUUUUUGAGUUUUCAAGUUUAGUCUAAAACCUAGUUCAAACUUUCCCAUGAUUUCACUAAUUUUGUGUAUUGUUUAACUGCAAAAAUUUAAUGAGGUUUGCAACGUUGAUACCAAUUCAAAAAAUUACCCAUUACUUCUACAUUUGUUCUGCUCUAUGAUAUCUUUUAACAUUUUGUUCUUAUCCAUACGAUAGUAACUUUUUGUAGCAGUGGUUUGAGUCAUCUAUGUGCUACGACGUAAAAUAAGUGUCAGCCACGUAAAAGGCUAUAAAUAACAUACAUCUUGAUAUAAGCUAGCCUAGAGAACCACCCCCAACGACGAAUGAGACGGGUCACUACACGUUGAUGCAAGGCCAUCGACCCCCGGGGGCGCUCUACCUCUACGCGAGGCUAUCAACCCCUGAGGGCGCUCUACGCGAGACCAUCGACCCCCGGGAGUUACCUAUGUUGCCACUCCAACACUUAGUCAAAAAAUCUCAGGUAAAUUGACAAAGCUCCAUGGCAGUUAUUAUGGGCACAAACUCCAGGCAGGAAGUUAGAGGCCCCCUACCCAGAACGUGGGAAAGUGGGAAAGCCAACGUAGAACACGUGGCACCAUGAUCGCCCGACACUCACCCGACUUCCAGCACUUACAAAUACCCUCGAAGGAAACACAAGUAUGAGGAUUGACGUUUUUUAGCCAUCUAAAUUUCAUCUGAAUUUUUCCUAACGCAAAAACUAAUUCUCAUGCCGAAGGUAAAACGGGGGACAAAGCCCUGCCCUUCAUUUUUUAGGUCAUACACGCCCGUCAAAACAGUAAGAACGCCAAAGGUCAGCAAGUGGACAAGGAGGUAUCUUUUUUCCACCAUUUCAUUGGAGCCGUCUGUAGGAAUUUUCUUCCAUUGAAAACCAAAGCCAUGUCAAGAAGAUGAACAAGAAGUGAUACGCGCUUAAGAGCAGUAACGAUGGAGACGAAAGCAGAAUCAGUCGCCAGGGACCCCGACCCGUCACCGCCAUCGCAGUAUGUGACACAAAGCCAGUUUAGCACCCUGGGGACCCAGCUAGCAGCUAAGAUGACCUUCUUGUAAAACCAAACACAGAGAGUUUCCCUUUCCCCACAUUCGGUAGAAGUCGCGCUGCCACCCCGGGAGGCGUACAUAGAGUGUGGCGGCACACAUAGAGACACAGCCUGUCAUCCAACCGGUAACGGCAGCUCCAGGGGUUACGGUCUUGUAGCCCAUCCCACCCAUGGCGGAUCUGGAGUGAAGGAUGGAUGAGAUAAUGACACAGAAAAUAGAUGAUGUAAUAUCAAAGAGAAAGGAUAAGCGUAGGCAGAUGGUCUUAAAAGAUGACCCAUUCGCUCCUAAAAUCAUGGCGGUCCCCUUGCUUAAGGGCUUCAAGCAACCUAUGAUAGAAGCUUACGACGGGGUCACAGAUCCACUUGACCAUCUCCAGACUUUCGUUGAUUUAAUGAGACUCUAUGCAGCACCUGAUGCAGUGAUGUGUCGAUCUUUUUCCCCGACCCUCAGGAGAGAAGCCAGAGACUGGGUGACGACACUUGCCCCUCGAUCUAAAACAUUUGAUGAACUUUCCAGAAGUUUUGUGGCAUACUUCCUUAGUAGCAAAAGAAAGAGGAAGAUGGCCAUCGGGUUGAUGCAGGUGGUCCACGAAAAUGAUAAGUCUCUGCAAGAGUAUUUGGCCAAAUUCAGCUGAGCGACCCUUGCAAUAGAGGAUCUUCAAAUGUCAACAGUGGUGACUGGGUUGAUGAACGAAACUUGAAAUCGGGCCUUCAAGAUGUCACUUCCAAGAACCCUUCAAAGUCAAUGCACGACCUGUUGAAAAAAAGAGACAAGUACUUUGAUGCCGAGGAAGUGGAGAAGGUCACAAAACACCUCAGAGAGGGAUGGGAAAUGGAGAGUUACAAGCGAAAGGUAGGGGAUGAGCUAAGAUCUGGCAAGAAAAAUAAGCUAAGUAGUGAGCAGACGGGUAGGGAAACCACCCAAGACCGACAAAUCAGGCAGAAACGAUAGGAGCCCAUGACGUUCACCCCUUUAAAUACCCCGUGCGCGAAGCUAUUGAUGGAGAUAUGAGAUAUGAAGGAGCUUGAAUGGCCGAUGCCCAUGGCAACGCCACCCGACAAGAAAAACCAGGGCCGAUAUUAUCAUUUCCACAAGGAUCACGAGCACGAUACUGAAGAGUACCUGCAACUGAAGGAGGAGAUCGUGCGCUUCCUGAGGCGAGGGCUCUUAGGCAAAUAUGUGAAGGACAAUCGAGGUAAACAAAAAGUGAAGGAUUGUCCCCCGCCCAGGGCGGGAGUGAUAAACACGAUUGCAGGGAAAAUAGCAGUAGGCAGAGAUUCAACCUCGCCGAGGAAAAGCUACGCGCGUUCUCUUGGGAACUGUUUCAUCCAAAGGAAAGCGAGGUUUAGUCAAAACAUCACUUUUGGGGUGGAGGAUUUGGUAGGCGUAGCACACCCCCAUGAUGAUGCUUUGGUAAUAGUAGGCGACAUAGCUGAUUUCGGCGUGAAGAGGGUACUAGUUGAUGGAGGAAGUGCUGCAAAUGUACUUACAUGGGAUGCUUUUUUGGGCUUGAUGAUCUUUUCUAACAAGUUGAAAAUAGUAACCACCCCCUUACAGGGCUUUAGAGGGGCCACAGUAAUUUCGGAGAGGACCGUAGAACUCCCUGUCACACUCAGCACAUAUCCAACUACUGUGGUAAUUGUGGCAAGUUUCUUAGUUGUCAAAAUUUCCAUGGCCUAUAAUGAGAUCUACGAUCGGCCAUUGCCGAAUGUAGCUGGAGCCAUCCCCUCAACCUAUCAUCGAGUCAUGAUAUUUCCAACCACCAGAGGGCUCGGGCGUGUGCGAGGAACCAACAAGCAUCCAGAAAAUGUUAUGUCGACGGUAUAUCAGUCAAGGGAACACCAUCAAUCAUGAUGUUGGAGGCUGAACCUUCGAAGGGGCAGAUUGAACCACUUGACAUGAUUAAAAGGAUCUCCGUAUCAAAUGGACGGGAAUUUAGCGUUGGGGCCAAUUUGGAAUCUGACGAAAAAGGGAAAUUGGUAAGGUGCCUGACACACAACUUAGAUGUUUUCGCAUGGAGUCCGAAUGAUAUUAUUGGGAUCAACCCAGCCAUUGCUCAACAUCGCUUCGACGUCCUCCUCGGAGCCAAACCAGUGAAGUAGAAGAAAAUAAACCUCACCCCCAAAAAGUAGGAAGUAGCAAAAGCAGAUGUGGAAAAGCUACUACAAGCUGGUUUCAUUCGGGAAGUGCGGUAUCUUGAGUGGCUAGCCAACAUCGUGCUAGUAAAGAAGUCAAAUGAGAAAUGGUGCAUGUGUGUAGAUUACACCCGGCUAAAUAAAGCAUGCCCAAAAGACUCAUACCCACUCCCCCGAAUAGAUCACCUAGUCGACGCCACAUCGGGUCACGAAAAGCUCAGUUUCCUGGACGAAUUUUUUGGGUAUCAUCAAAUUUCAAUGGCCGAAUUUGACUAGGAGAAGACGUCAUUUAUCACAGAUUCUGGAACAUAUUGUUACAUCGUGGAACAUAUUGUUACAUAGCCAUGCCGUUUGGCCUAAAAAAUGCAUGAGCAACCUACCAAAGGAGGGUGAAUAGAAUUUUUCAGAAAUUGAUUGGGAAUGUCACAGAAGCUUACGUUGAUGACAUGGUGGUAAAAAAGUACCAAAGCCAAUGACCACGCGGCCUGCCUAAAGAAAGCAUUUGACGUAGCCCGACAGAAUAACUUGAAGUCCAACCCGGAGAAAUAUGUUUUUGGCACUGUCUACGAAAAGUUCCUAGGCUUCAUGAUCACCCAAAGAGGUAUAGAGGUGAACCCUAACAAAAUAUAGGUGAUACUAGAGAUAAAGAGCUCCACUAGUAAGAAGGAGGUCUAGCGGCUAACAGGGUGCGUGGCAGCCCUUAAUCAUUUUAUGAGCUAGGCGAUGGAUAAAUGCUAUCGUUUCUUUAAGGCCAUAAGGAGCUUCUCAAAUUUCAAAUGGACUCACGAGUGCAAAGAAUCCCUGGAAUCCUUGAAGAGGUCACUACAACAGCCUCCAAUUCUGACCAACCUAUGGUCAGGGAACAUAUUGCGUCUCUACCUCGCGGUAUCACCACAAGCAAUGAGCACCGUUCUUGUGAAAGAAUUCCCAAAGGCACAAAAGCCAAUCUACUACGUCAGUCAGGUCCUCAAAGGCGCAGAGAUAAGAUACAGCUGGCCGAAUAGCUAGUGCUCGCGUUGAUUGUUGCAGUAAGGAAGUUGAGACCUUACUUUCAGUCCCAUACGGUACAAGUAAUGACUGACCAACCCAUCAAGUAGAUCCUGGAUCGACUGGAAACAUUCAGGAGGCUGUAGAAAUGAGAAAUUGAAAUAAGUGAAUUUGACAUUGAAUUUGGGCCCAGGACGGCCAUAAAAGCACAAGGUUUGGCAGACUUCAUUGCCGAGCUCACCAUCCCAACGGAGCCUCCAGAAAGACAACAGGCAGAUUGGAAGGUUUUUGUAGAUGGUUCAUCGAAUGCAGAGGGAUCAAGAGCAGGGAUAAUAAUGAUCAUACCACACUCCGAAGAGUUGGAAUACUCACUGUGCUUCGAGUUCCCCACUACCAAUAACAACGUCGAGUAUGAAGCAGUAAUCGCUAGCCUAGGUCUGGUAGCCAGGUUGGAGGUGUUGUCAGUAGAGGUAUGUAGUGACUUGCAGCUAAUAGAUGGGCAAGUGUCAAGGGAGUAUGAAGCGAAAUAUGGAAGGAUGGCAGCAUACCUGAUGAAAGUAAGGGAUCUGUAAAGAUGGUUCACAAGCUUUAAAGGGACCAAGGCCCCAAGAAAAGAUAAUGAGUGAGCAAACGCACUGGCAAAGCUUGCAUCGGGCAACCCAAGGAAUUUCCCACGGAUAGUGAAUGUGCAAGUCCUACAACAACCCAUCAUUCAGCUUUGGGCAGAGGUGAAAAAUAUUGAACACAAGGAAAGUAGGAUAGAUCCACUGAUUAGAUAUCUCACAGAAGAUAAGGUGCCGAAAGACCCCUUUGAGGCGAGGAGGUUGAGAGCUCCAGUAGCUUCAUUUACCAUCAUCGAUGAGCAGCUCUACAAGCGGGGUUUUCCAUGCCAUAUCUAAAGUGCAUAUUCCCAACCGAAGCAAAAGAUGUACUGUUUGAGCUACAUACUGGGACCUGCGGUAACCACCAAAGGGCAACAUCCUUUGCCUUCAAAAAUUCUGUGACGAGGUUGCUAUUGGCAAACUAUAAAAGAGGAUGCUAAGGAGUUGGUACGAAAAUAUGACACAUGCCAACAUCAUGGAAAUUUGAUCCAUGUCUUAGCCGAACAGCAAGCAGCCAUAUUUUGGGUAUGCCCAUUUUUCAGUAGGGAGUGGACAUUUUAGGACCUCUGCCCAUGGCUAAGGGGUAGAGAAAGUUUUUGUUGGUUGCCAUCGACUACUUCGCUUAAUGGGUAGAAGCGGAGCCACUGGCAACCAUCAUGAUAGCAAAGAUACAGAGCUUUGUAUGGAAAAAUAUAAUAUGUCGAUUCAGGAUACCCAAGGUAUUGGUGACGGAUAACGGUAGGCAAUUUGAUAAUCAUAGCUUCAAGACCUUUUGUGUAAAUUAUCACAUCGAUCAUAGACUGACCUCGGUCGCCUACCCUCAAUCAAAUGAGCAAGUCGAAGUGACAAACCAAGUCAUUCUUUGGGAUCUGAAGGCCAGAUUGGAAAAGGAGAAAGGGCUUUGGGCAGAUGAGCUUCCGAAUGUGCUAUGGGCAUAUCAGACGACUCCACAAGAACCGAUCGGGGAGACACCAUUCAGACUACCCUUUGGGAUGGAAGCAGUAGUUCCAGUUGAGAUCCUAAGUGACUGGUAGGAUGAAAGUCAAGUAGCCCGAUGACACAACGACUAGAGGGAAACUUGACCUACUUAAGGAGGUAAGGGAGAAGGCGACAAUAAGGAUGAUGGCCUAUAAACGAAGAGCCGCUGGGUACUUUAAUCGGAGGAUGAAACCAAGAAUCUUUCAGCUAGGAGACCUCAUUUUAAGGGAUGCAGCAACAGUAAGACACCCCCCAACAAAGUUCGAACCAAACUGGGAAGGCCUUAUGAAGUGAUCCACAGCCUAAGGAAGAGAGCUUAUAACAUGAAAGACAUGAGAGGAAGACCACUGGGUAGGCAAUGGAACACAGAGCAUCUCAAAAAAUAUUACCAGUAGACUUCAAGGUAGAUGCACAUGCUAUGUUUUUACAAAUAUAGUAGGAUAGGUUGUGUUGUUAAUUCCCUCUAUGUAACGCCUUUAGUUACAAUUAUCAAUCUUGUUUAAUGAAAGACCUUGGUAGGGACAGAUGAUGAGGUGCUAAGGAAGGGCCAGCCUAGCUGGGACGUCUCGGUGGGCCUACUAAGCUCACGAAUCCAAGUAUUUUUUUAUAUGCUAACAUGCAUUUUUGUAACUCCCAUGCUCAUCCCGUAAGGACAUGCAAUCGACAUAGCCCAUGCGGUUAGGCGAAAAGUCUUGAAAAGCCAAAAAAUUGGCUAAGGCCCUUAAUCGCUAGAUCCCUCUCCCGACGGUCAACAUAGCCUACACAGCUAGGCGGAGAGCCUUGAAAAGUUAGAAAUUGGCUAAGGCCCUUAACCGCUAGAUCCUUCUCGCGAUGGUCGACAUAGUCCACGCGACUAGGUGGAGAGUUUUGAAAAGCUAGAAAUUGGCCAAGACCCUUAACCGCUAGACCCCUCUCUUGAUGAUCGACAUAGCCCACGCAGCUAGACGGAGAGCCUUGAAAAGCCAAAAAAUUGGCUAAAGCCCUUAAGCGUUAGACCCCUCCCUCGAUGGUCAACUUAGCUCAUGUGGCUUGGCAGAAAGCCUUAAACGAUUAAAAUAUUGGCUAAGGCCGUCAACCAUUAGAAUCAAGCCUAGCAUGCGCGGGACAAAUGACAGUCACCCAUGCUGUCCAACGACUAAGUGGGGAAAACAACGCUAGAAAAAACAAGUUAAAAGAACGAUACGUUCAAUAUUAAUAACCAUUGAUAACAUAGCAUUCAUACAAAAAAACAUGUGAUGUGCUCUGCCCAUACCCCGAACAAGUAGGGAAUGUUGCUACAAGUAGAAAUAAAAGGCAACACAAAAAAGAAUGGGACUAGCAAAAGGUACUACUACUAAGCCAUGCUUCAACUUGAAGGGAAAGCACCGCUACUACCGUCCCACAACGAAUGACCAAGAGACCUGGAUGGCUGCGCCCCACUCUCCUUUCCCUUGCGCUGCACAAGGAACUUAUCGAAACUUGAGGGUUCAAUAGAAGGGUACUCGGUUGAUAUCCACUCCUUGGUUAGUUUGAUCGACGCCAUCAUCGCCUUCUCCCAUACGAAUGCAAGGCCCUAGCAUAAUCAGACGAUGACUUGUACUGCUCCACAGACGCCUCUAAGUCCCUAGAUACUCAGUAAAGGCCUUAUACCUCUCGACCGCCUCCUCCGGAGCACAAGCUAACACAGGCCGCAAAUUGUCAUUCUCUGUCUCCUGCUCGUGGGCUCGAGCCUCUGAUGCCUCUAGAGAUUUCUUCAAGGAAGAUAUCUUUCUCUUGUAAUGAUCAGCCUCUUUCUUUUUUUCUUCUGCAAGAGUCUUCAACUCUAAGGCCUGGCAAUGACUCGAUUCAGCAAACCCGGUCUGAAGGGCCACUACCUAAGGGAUGAGGAGACAAUGUAGAAGUUGAGGAGUAAAACCAUGCUCAAAAGAUAAGACUCAGCGUAAAAGAGAUAUGGAAUUAGCAACAUACCCUCUGGAGAUAGACCUCACACCCUCUCAUGUCGUCUGCGCUACGUCCUGUAAUCGUCCUGGCCCGAGUGGGUGUCACCAAAGAUUUAAGCACCCCCAUCUUAUGAUAGCCUUGGGUGGGAGGAAACUCGAAAUUCAGAAGUGAAUCCUCGCGCUCGCACUACAUACGGCUGGAAGCGCUUGGCCUAGAGUAGGGACAACCUCAAUAGGCUCAUCUAAAGGCUGUGGAGUCUCUUUGGCCACAUGAGACCUUCUUACUUGGACUGAGACCUUCUUCCUUGGACGACUAUCUUCUUCCUUUUUAAAGGAAUAGGGGAUGGAUCAACAUCACUCCUAUGCCCCUGUUCGGGUAUAGAAUUCAUGGUCCCCUCCAAAUCAAACUCCAUCCCUGUGCAUGUAAAGUAAAGUCCAUUAAGUUUAAAAAAAAAAAACAUGGGAGUGUAAAGCAAAAAAAAGGACCUUAAGAACUUACCAUCAUUGGGGGCAAGGUCCUCGUCGCCACCUAACAGGGUCUUCAAUAUCUCGUCAAGGUCAAAAUCCAUACCUACAUACACCCGCCCAAACUCAUUAGCCCUGAAAAACAACAAAUAAAAAAUAUGUGCAAGCAAAGUUUGACUAGGGAUAAGGUGAAAUUCAUGUUCCUCAUGGUUAGAACCGAUCCGAAGUCAGGUGCAAGAAGGGGUAUAUCGACCAACUCCUGGACUUGAGUUUUUAGAAGAAAGGUAAUUUCUACUUGGCUAUUAAAAUGGCGAAUUUGGGGAUGCCACCACUUUGUAUUGAAAGGGAACCGACCUUCUGGAGCUCAAGCAAAGAAGAACCUGAAUUUCCACCCACUGUUCAAAUUUCUAAACUUAGAAAAGAGCAAAAAGACCCUAGUAGUGAAAAAGACAAAUGCAUUACACCGAGUUAGAUUGUACAUCUCGAAGACACUUGAAGAAGUCUAUGGAAAGUGGAAUUUUCCUCUUAAGGUAAACAUACAAGAAAUACAAUGCCUUUCUCCAUGCAUUGGGGUUAAUUUAACUAGGGGUAGGGUGAAAUUCAUUGAAAAUCAACACCUGGAAUGGGUGAAUGGGAAACUGAAAACCCCCUCCACAAUGUCCUUAUACACAGCUACAUCGCGCGAAUCGGAUCCGAUAAGUCUUUCUUUGGGACCUGGGGCUCUAUAGACAUAAUUAUCGACCCUAUCAUACCUACCGAGACAUUUUUCCAACUUAAGUAUGGAUUGUACAGAGUAUAACUUUUUGGGAUUUCAAGGAGGUCAAUCUCACCAGCCGGAUCCCACCCGAUUUCUAAGUUUUGGUUCGGAGACUUGGUGGGGCCAAUAUGUCUCUUGGGAGAGUUUGAAAUAAACACCUUAGAAUUAGCAUGAAGGGUUUGACUAUCAGAGUAACAAGGGAACUCAUCGGACGAAGGGGAGGAGGUCAAAAGACUUGGGCUGGUCGGACUGACCAGCCUUACGGUUGGACAACAGGGGGCUGGUCGAUUGACUAGCCCCAACAUGCUGGUCGCCUGACCAGCCUUGUCGAUCGUUGGCCAGUCGGCCGACCGAUCGAUCGGAAUUCCGACAUCGAUCGGUCCCCCAUCACUAGUUUCGUUAGAAGAGGAAGAAAUGAUAGUCUUGUACAUAAUUUUACAAAAAAAAAAAGGAAGAAGAAAGAGGAAAAAGUUACCUUGGAAGAGAGGGAAGACUAAGAUGUUGGGAUAAGGUGAAAAUGAUUCACAUGUGAGGGAUCACCCCCUUUUUAUAAGCAAGAAAAUUCGAGUUAUUUUUUUUGGGGGGAAAUUUCCUCCAAGUUAGGGCCCACUGGAUGGGUGCCAACUAUACAGUGAAAUAUGUGGCCAACUUUAAAUUAUACUGCUUGACUUACUUAGGUGAAUGAUACAUAAAAAAAAGGUAAUUAGCACAAAACGUCUCUACCUUUCAUGUUUUGACGGAUUACACCCUUACCUUUACCUUUUUUGAACAAAACAUCCUUCUGUCAACUCCCCGUUAAAAUGCUCCGUUAAAUCAAAGGGUAAUUAACACAAAAGGUCCCUAUCUUUCAAUAUUAUAGUGCAAAACGUCCAUACCUUUCAUUUUUUAGCAUAAUUAGUACAAAAGAUCCCUACCUUUCAAUGUUAUUGUGCAAAACGUCCCUACCUUUCAUUUUUAGCAUUUUCACCCCUACCUUUCACCUUUCAUUGCACAAAAGGUCUUUUUCAUCUAUUUUUUCAAUAAAAUGACGAUUUUACGCUCUCAUUCAAAUAAAACAAAAAUAAAAGAAAAGAAAAAUAAUUAAUUAAUUGCAAUCAUAGUCCUAAAUCUUUCAAAACAUUACAGAUAAGUCAUAAAUUCUUCACUACCGCCACUUUCACAACCCCACAAAGCCAUCACCUAUAGAUCCAUAUAGCACUACCUUUCGGCCACAACACCUAUCGAUCUCCACCACCACUAGUCUCGCCUCACUCUCUCCAAUAUCCUCCUCCAUAGUAUUGGUCACCAAUCUGUCCGAAACAACCAAAUUUACGGUGGUGGAGUCCGGUGGGCAUGGUGACCAAAAUGUGGUAUUAUGUGGAUUUGUAGUUGGCAGCUUGAUAGGUUGUGAAAGUGGUGAUGGUUGAGAAUUUAUGAUUUCUUUGUAAUUUUUUAAAAAUUUAAGUACUAUGAUUGCUGUUAGUAAUUCAUCUUUUCUUUUUGUUUUAUUUGAAUAGGAGGGUAAAAUCGUCAUUUUAUUGAAAAAAUGAUGAAAAUGACCUUUUGCGUAAUGAAAGGUGAAAGAUAGGGGUGAAAAUGCUAAAAAAAUAAAAGGUAUGGAUGUUUUGCACAAUAACAUUGAAAGGUAGGGACCUUUUGUGCUAAUUAUAGCAAAAAAUGAAAGGUAAUGACGUUUUACACAAUAAUAUUGAAAGGUAGGGACCUUUUGUGCUAAUUACCCUUUGAUUUAACAUAGCAUUUUAACGGGGAGUUGACAGAAUAACGUUUUGCGCAAAAAAAAAGUAAAGGUGAGGGUGUAAUCCGUCAAAAAACGAAAGGUAUGGACAUUUUUCACAAAAAUAUUGAAAGGUAGGGACGUUUUGUACCAAUUACCCCAUAAAAAAAUAAAAAGAACCAGAAAAGGGAAAUCGCUACCCCUUGCCCAAAAACAUCGAUAAGGGAUAAGGGGCUAAUAAUAUAAGCUAGCCUAGAGAACCAUCCCCAAUGAUGAAUGAGGCGGAUCACUACACGUCGAUGCAAGGCCAUCGACCCUCUGGGGGCGCUCUACCUCUAUGCGAGGCCAUCAACCCCUGGGAGCACUGUUACUCUACGUGAGGCCAUCGACCUUCGAGGGCAAUCUUACUCUACGCGAGGCCAUCGACCCCUCGGGGGCGCUCUACCUUUAUACGAGGCUAUCGACUCCCCGAGAGUUACCUAUGUAGUCACCCAAACACUUAGUCAAAAAAUCUCAGGUAAAUUUACAAAGCUCCAUGGUGGUUAUUACGGGUACAACCUCCAGGCGGGAAGUUAGAGACCCCCCCACCCAGAAUGUGGGAAGUGGGAAAGCCAAUGUGGAACACGUGGCACCAUGAUCGCCUGUCACUCACCCAGUGCUUAUAAAUACCUCCAAAGGCGACACAGGUAUGAGGAUGGACAUUUUUUUUAGCCAUCUAAAUUCCGUCUGAACUUCUCCCAACACAUACACUAAUUCUCAUGCUAGAGAUAAAACGGGGGACAAAGCCCCGCCCUUCAUUUUUUUAGGUCAUAAACGCCCGUCGGAACAGUGAGAACACCAAAAGUCAGCAGGUGGACAAGGAAGUAUCUUUUCUUCACCAUUCACGUAUUACUGAUAUGAUAAAAGCAUAGCACUUUGUCAUGUUAGUUUGCGACGUCUAUGUGCUACAAGUUGUAAUGCAAAGCACUGUUUAACAAUGUUGGUAUGACAGACUUAGUGACUUCACCCAUGCUUGGUGUGGCUAUUUAGCAGAUUCCUAUCAAAUUUUACUAAAUUUGACGUUGAAUUUUGUACAAUUUUAAAAUGAAGGCCUACAAAAUAACAGUUUGAAUAGAUUCAUUAGGGCAGACACACAUUUCUUACAAUCUUUCGUUUCACCCUCUAUAAAGGAUGAAUACUCCUCCCAAAUAAAUACAUCUAAUCAACCCCUUUUUCACUUACAUUAGAGGACAAAAGGGAAAGGAAAACAAAAAAUCCAUAAGUUUGAGUUUGAAUGUUAUUGGAGAAACAUGCAAAUUGCAUUGGGGGGGGGGGACCCACAUUGCAACGGCAUACAGUCGAAUUUUUGAAAGAUUAAUGAGAUCAGACGGACGCUUAGUGUUGUCUUCGACUCUAGGGAUUUUAAUAUUUGUUAUGUCCCGUUAUCUUUUGCCUAAUUGACACAUUUGGCACUUUCACUUAGUAACACUUGACGCAGUUCAAGAAACGCGUGCUAUAGUGUUGAUACAAUCAAGUGUUAAAUCCAAUUAUUACUACUAAUAUUGUUGUCAUUUAUGUUACUUUUCUACGUGUAGUGUGGUAUUGACACAGUCUAAUGUUAACUCAGAUAAUUACUACCAAUAUCGCUGUCAUUUUGUGUUACUUUUCCAAUCUCUUGUGGGACUAUAAAAUAAUUAACUGCUUUCUUUAGAGCCAAACAAAUCUUUGUAUUAAUUCUCACGCCAACAGCCAACCGACCGACCAAUCAUAACAAUCUGAAAUGACUAAACACCAAAAUUUUAUUAUGUAUUUAAGUUAGGUGAACGACUUAUUUUUCUCAUUUUAAAGGGGGAAAAAAUUAAAAAGCAUGGAAAAAUUCUGCAUAUUGCAUCAUGCACGAGAUUAAUAGUGAUUAAAUAAAAUUAACGUACGUUAGAAAGUCAAAUCUAAUUAAUUAUUUUUCUGAAAACUAUAUUCUUCCCAUAUUUAAUAUAUAAAAAAUCUUUAAUAUUUGUCCAUUUUAUAGAAUGUAUGUCAUCGUGAACAUGAUAAUCCUGAACGAUAUUAGAAAGGAGAAAAAAAGGAAGUAAAUAAAACUCUUUAUGCCCUCUACAACCUAAUAAAUAGUUACACUUUAAAGAUCGUUUUCGUAUGAUUGUUACUUUCACUUUCGCUUCUUGUAAAGAGUUUCAUGAUAAAAUUAUCUUAAUUUUUGUUUAAAAGUUAAUUUUUAAAAGAGUUCUAUAUUCGAGAAGUACAUUUAAAGAAAAUCAUAUCGGAUCAAUUUAAUUUAAAAACUCUUUUAACUGAAAAAAACACUUUCAUGAAAUUAGUCACGACUCAAAAAACAGUUUUUGGGGCUCAAAAACUCACUUUAACUUCUUAAAAGUCAUAUAAAACGAGUUGACGUCAGUUUUUCAUAUUAAUUUAUAGGCUUUAUUUGAUUAUAAUAUAAUUACUUAUUUUAAAAUGAAAUUAAGGCUAAACUCUCCCACAUUUCACUUGAUGUGAUUAUAGAAUUUUAACAUUUAAAAAUGAACUUAUGGCCUCCAAAUUAUUUAAAUAUGUAAAUUCGAAUUCUUAUGGACCGAAUUAUUAAUGUAGUUGCUAAAAUUGCACGUAAUAUUCAUGAGACUUAAAUCUAGUGAAUAAAAUCAUCGAAGCACUUCAUAUUUCAACAUUGAAAUUUAAUCAUCUAUACAAAUAGUUUUCAUCACGAGUAGAUUGAAACUCAUUAACUUAAAUAAAUUAGAUUCUCAAAAUUUCACUUUUAAAUGUUGAAAAUUCGUGUAUCCAACAGGAUCAAUAGCUCGGACUCCCAUAGGGCAAUAUUGGGGAAUCUUGAACAAUGGACAAAAGCGCUAGUGGGGCCCAGCAGCCCUAAAUUUCUAUAAUUUUAAAGGUGUUGCACCAUAAUUGGCUUAUCUUCAUGGACAGUACGAACACACGAUUUAACACCGGCCAACGUGACUGCUUUAACAUAAUUGGAGCUUUUUGUAUUAAUUAAAGAUUUUAGCGCGGUGUCGUUUGCAUCAUCAUUGACCAUACUUUGAUGGUGACCAGAUAAAGAAUCGAACAUUUAUUCUGAAAUAUCUUAUUUUUUUCUUGAAAAUCAACUCAUACUAUAUUAUACUACCCUUCUAAUCGGAUUCACUGAAAUUGAAGUAGAAUAUUGAAAGAAAAUGUGAGGGUAAUUUAUCAUUACAGAUCCUUCUGAUCCAAUUCGGUGAAAUUGAAGGGAAAUUGGGUGAAUUGUGCAGAAAUUGCACGGAGUUGAGUAGAAUUAGUCGAUAAUUUGAGUUUCCAACUGAGGGGGAAAAAAGUGGGAUUGGAUGCGGAAUUCUGAUUUACGAGUUGGAAUUGAAGAUAGACAAGGAGCGAUUUAAUAGUGAUAUCAAGGAAAGCAAUUGGUCAAUUUUUGCUGGUAAAUUAUCGAUAUCAUUUUUUUCCCUCUUUUUUGUUUUAGGUUUGGUUGAAUUGUACUUGAAUUUUGUGAAUUUACAGUGCUGAUUACCAGUAUUUGUGAUUUACACAUAAUUGUUUAAUUUCUGUCACUGUCUAUAAUUUUUUUUUUUUUUUACCUUUCUUAGAAGAUUUUUAUAUAGUGUUUCUUUGAAUUUUUAAAAAUGGAAUAAAAUGGGAAAGUUCAUCUUUUCAACACAAGUCAGCUCUUUUUCUACACUGUUAAUGUCCUGAAAUUUCAUUAUGGAAACUACUUCAUUAUACUGAAUGUGGGAAGAAUUUCUUCUCAAUGAAAGCUAAUUUGCGUAAAAAAGAUAGUUUUCGAAAAUAUUUUUGUUGGGUUUCUCAAUUGAAUGAAGUGAAGUCCAUUCAUUAGUUGAAAGCAUGUUUAAAAUUCAAAUCUCCGAAUUAUUCUGUAUGAUUUCUUUAUAAGUUUUAUCACUUGAUUAAGUGCAGUCCACUCAUUAGUUGAAUGAAUGUUUAAAAUCUUGGAAUUAUCUUGUAACUACUCUGCAUCUGUAUUUUCCUUAUUGAGCAUUGCAUUUGAGUGAUCUCAUCAUUGUUUAAUCGUUUUUGAAUUUUUUCUCUUCCUUGUUUCUGUACAAUAUGCAGUACAGUCAUUUGUCCUGUUAUAACUAAUGGUGCAUUGCAUCAAAUAUUUGUCGUUAUUUGGAUGGUAUUGACUGAUUGGUCACAUUAGACAGCCACAUGGUUUAGCUGUCCCUUGAAAGGUGGACAAAAUGUGUGAGGACUGUCCAUGAUCAUAGGAACGAGAACAUGUUAAUUAUACAAUGCAUCUAAAAUAAUGGAAACUAUCACGAGGUAGAAUGAUAUUCUUAAGGUUCAUUUGUAUGGAAUGCUCCUGGAUGAUGUGAUAGGUGCACUUAUGUAGGCCCAGUUUUUUUUAGGAUUCCUUGUUCUAUAACUAUGUGUUGCAUAUGGAUCCUUUGGAAUUUGAUCCGUUUUGUAAUCAUUUCAGUUGUAUGGCAACUCAUGUUGAGCCUCCGAAUGGGGUGGGAACACCAGGGAAGCAUUACUAUUCCAUGUGGCAAACACUGUUCGAGAUUGAUACGAAGUAUGUGCCAAUCAAGCCUAUUGGUCGAGGGGCGUAUGGUAUUGUCUGCUCGUCUGUCAACAGGGAAACCAGUGAAAAGGUUGCAAUCAAAAAGAUAUAUAAUGCCUUUGAAAACCGCAUUGAUGCACUAAGAACUCUGCGUGAAUUGAAGCUCCUCCGCCAUCUUAGACAUGAAAACAUCAUAGCUCUGAAGGAUGUUAUGCUUCCAAAUCAUAAGAGAAGCUUCAAGGACGUCUACUUGGUUUAUGAGCUUAUGGAUACUGAUUUGCAUCAGAUAAUUAAGUCGUCCCAAACACUGUCGAAUGAUCAUUGUCAGUAUUUCCUAUUCCAGGUACAUAGGGUGAUUAUUCGAUAAGCCAUGUUCAUUCCCUUGCAACUUCUGCUCUUAACUUGCAUUAUUACAAUGGCGAGGAACUUCUGAAGCAAAAAUUGAUAAUAAUGAAAAUAGAAGAAAUAUUUUUUUACAUAUUUGAUCGCCUAUACAAAGCUUCACCUUGUGCUUGGCAGAUCUGAUUACUUGACAUAUUUUGUAUAUUACAAUGCAGUUACUUAGAGGUCUGAAGUAUCUACACUCAGCAAACAUUCUUCAUCGGGAUUUGAAGCCUGGGAACCUACUUAUCAACGCAAACUGUGAACUGAAAAUAUGCGAUUUUGGGCUAGCACGUACAAGCAGUAGCCAGGGCCAAUUCAUGACUGAAUAUGUGGUCACUCGAUGGUAUCGUGCACCAGAGCUACUUCUCUGCUGUGACAAUUAUGGCACCUCUAUUGAUGUGUGGUCUGUCGGUUGCAUUUUUGCCGAACUUCUUGGUCGAAAACCCAUUUUUCCUGGUACAGAGUGUCUUAACCAGAUUAAACUGAUUAUCAACAUCCUCGGUAGCCAGAGGGAAAAUGAUCUCGAGUUUAUUGAUAACCCAAAGGCGAGAAAGUACAUUAAGUCACUUCCUUACUCCUUCGGAACUCCUUUCUCCCGCCUUUAUCCAAACGCCCAUCCUCUGGCCCUCGAUCUGUUACAGAAGAUGCUUGUCUUCGACCCUACGAAGAGGAUAAGUGUAACAGAAGCACUUCAACACCCAUACAUGUCUCGCCUUUACGAUCCAAGAUGUGACCCUCCCAUUAAUGUUCCAAUCAAUCUCGACAUAGACGAGGAUUUAGACGAAGAUAUGAUUCGAGAAAUGAUGUGGAUGGAAAUUCUUCAUUACCAUCCUGAAGCUUCUGCAGCCAAUAUGGAGGUGAACAAGUAAUGGUUAGUUUCUCCAUUGCUGGUGAUUUGAUCUUUGUUUUUGUAACAUCAGAACUUUAUAUGUAUCUUUGGUUGUCUUUUUAUUUAUUUCUAUAAUCCUUGAAAAACAAUACAUUAGCAGUUUAGGCUGUUAAUGCGCUUUCUCUGUUUAUGAAAGUUGUUUCACUUCUUGGAAACUUUUUGGACAAGUGCCUUCAAAUCAAGAAGCUUUUUCUCUGUAAAAUACUAGAAUUGUUCGAAUUGGUGAAGCUUAACUGUACUGUUCACUUGUCCCCUCGACUGGCUUAACAUUCUUACUAUAGAAAGGCAGUGUUUGAGUGUGCGAUGCGUGGCAAUCUAGAAAACUUUUAAAAUUUAGUAACAUUUGAGAAACAUUUAGGAAAAUACAAUAGCAUUUGGGAUAUUUAAAGUGUGAGCAUAUUUAGACACCUUACAUCUUAUAUUAUUAAGGAAAACAAAGUGUUUUUUUUUUUUUUUUUANNNNNNNNNNNNNNNNNNNNNNNNNNNNNNNNNNNNNNNNNNNNNNNNNNNNNNNNNNNNNNNNNNNNNNNNNNNNNNNNNNNNNNNNNNNNNNNNNNNNNNNNNNNNNNNNNNNNNNNNNNNNNNNNNNNNNNNNNNNNNNNNNNNNNNNNNNNNNNNNNNNNNNNNNNNNNNNNNNNNNNNNNNNNNNNNNNNNNNNNNNNNNNNNNNNNNNNNNNNNNNNNNNNNNNNNNNNNNNNNNNNNNNNNNNNNNNNNNNNNNNNNNNNNNNNNNNNNNNNNNNNNNNNNNNNNNNNNNNNNNNNNNNNNNNNNNNNNNNNNNNNNNNNNNNNNNNNNNNNNNNNNNNNNNNNNNNNNNNNNNNNNNNNNNNNNNNNNNNNNNNNNNNNNNNNNNNNNNNNNNNNNNNNNNNNNNNNNNNNNNNNNNNNNNNNNNNNNNNNNNNNNNNNNNNNNNNNNNNNNNNNNNNNNNNNNNNNNNNNNNNNNNNNNNNNNNNNNNNNNNNNNNNNNNNNNNNNNNNNNNNNNNNNNNNNNNNNNNNNNNNNNNNNNNNNNNNNNNNNNNNNNNNNNNNNNNNNNNNNNNNNNNNNNNNNNNNNNNNNNNNNNNNNNNNNNNNNNNNNNNNNNNNNNNNNNNNNNNNNNNNNNNNNNNNNNNNNNNNNNNNNNNNNNNNNNNNNNNNNNNNNNNNNNNNNNNNNNNNNNNNNNNNNNNNNNNNNNNNNNNNNNNNNNNNNNNNNNNNNNNNNNNNNNNNNNNNNNNNNNNNNNNNNNNNNNNNNNNNNNNNNNNNNNNNNNNNNNNNNNNNNNNNNNNNNNNNNNNNNNNNNNNNNNNNNNNNNNNNNNNNNNNNNNNNNNNNNNNNNNNNNNNNNNNNNNNNNNNNNNNNNNNNNNNNNNNNNNNNNNNNNNNNNNNNNNNNNNNNNNNNNNNNNNNNNNNNNNNNNNNNNNNNNNNNNNNNNNNNNNNNNNNNNNNNNNNNNNNNNNNNNNNNNNNNNNNNNNNNNNNNNNNNNNNNNNNNNNNNNNNNNNNNNNNNNNNNNNNNNNNNNNNNNNNNNNNNNNNNNNNNNNNNNNNNNNNNNNNNNNNNNNNNNNNNNNNNNNNNNNNNNNNNNNNNNNNNNNNNNNNNNNNNNNNNNNNNNNNNNNNNNNNNNNNNNNNNNNNNNNNNNNNNNNNNNNNNNNNNNNNNNNNNNNNNNNNNNNNNNNNNNNNNNNNNNNNNNNNNNNNNNNNNNNNNNNNNNNNNNNNNNNNNNNNNNNNNNNNNNNNNNNNNNNNNNNNNNNNNNNNNNNNNNNNNNNNNNNNNNNNNNNNNNNNNNNNNNNNNNNNNNNNNNNNNNNNNNNNNNNNNNNNNNNNNNNNNNNNNNNNNNNNNNNNNNNNNNNNNNNNNNNNNNNNNNNNNNNNNNNNNNNNNNNNNNNNNNNNNNNNNNNNNNNNNNNNNNNNNNNNNNNNNNNNNNNNNNNNNNNNNNNNNNNNNNNNNNNNNNNNNNNNNNNNNNNNNNNNNNNNNNNNNNNNNNNNNNNNNNNNNNNNNNNNNNNNNNNNNNNNNNNNNNNNNNNNNNNUGUGUCAUUUGUAUCGAUCUUGUGAACCAUCCAUCUGUACACGUAGUGUGGCUCAAAUUCGUUUGCAAAGCUCUUUCAUCGAGUGAAACAUGGGGCCCAGCAGCCCUAAAUUUCUAUAAUUUUAAAGGUGUUGCACCAUAAUUGGCUUAUCUUCAUGGACAGUACGAACAUAACACCGGCCAACGUGACUGCUUUAACAUAAUUGGAGCUUUUUGUAUUAAUUAAAGAUUUUAGCGCGGUGUCGUUUGCAUCACCAUUGACCAUACUUUGAUGGUGACCAGAUAAAGAAUCGAACAUUUAUUCUGAAAUAUCUUAUUUUUUUCUUGAAAAUCAACUCAUACUAUAUUAUACUACCCUUCUAAUCGGAUUCACUGAAAUUGAAGUAGAAUAUUGAAAGAAAAUGUGAGGGUAAUUUAUCAUUACAGAUCCUUCUGAUCCAAUUCGGUGAAAUUGAAGGGAAAUUGGGUGAAUUGUGCAGAAAUUGCACGGAGUUGAGUAGAAUUAGUCGAUAAUUUGAGUUUGCAACUGAGGGGGAAAAAAGUGGGAUUGGAUGCGGAAUUCUGAUUUACGAGUUGGAAUUGAAGAUAGACAAGGAGCGAUUUAAUAGUGAUAUCAAGGAAAGCAAUUGGUCAAUUUUUGCUGGGUAAAUUAUCGAUAUCAUUUUUUUCCCUCUUUUUUGUUUUAGGUUUGGUUGAAUUGUACUUGAAUUUUGUGAAUUUAGAGUGCUGAUUACCAGUAUUUGUGAUUUACACAUAAUUGUUUAAUUUCUGUCACUGUCUAUAAUUUUUUUUUACCUUUCUUAGAAGAUUUUUAUAUAGUGUUCCUUUGAAUUUUUAAAAAUGGAAUAAAAUGGGAAAGUUCAUCUUUUCAACACAAGUCAGCUCUUUUUCUACACAGUUAAUGUCCUGAAAUUUCAUUAUGGAAACUACUUCAUUAUACUGAAUGUGGGAAGAAUUUCUUCUAAACGAAAGCAAAUUUGCGUAAAAGAGAUAGUCUUCAAAAAUAUUUUUGUUGGGUUUCUCAAUUGAAUGAAGUGAAGUCCAUUCAUUAGUUGAAAGCAUGUUUAAAAUUCAAAUCUCGGAAUUAUUCUGUAUGAUUUCUUUAUAAGUUUUAUCACUUGAUUAAGUGCAGUCCACUCAUUAGUUGAAUGAAUGUUUAAAAUCUUGGAAUUAUCCUGUAAAUACUCUGCAUCUGUAUUUUCCUUAUUGAGCAUUGCAUUUGAGAUUAAUCGUUUUUGAAUUUUUUCUCUUCCUUGUUUCUGUACAAUAUGCAGUACAGUCAUUUGUCCUGUUAUAACUAAUGGUGCAUUGCAUCAAACAUUUGUCGUUAUUUGGAUGGUAUUGAUUGAUUGGUCACAUUAGACAGCCACAUGGUUUAGCUGUCCCUUGAAAGGCGGACAAAAUGUGUGAGGACUGUCCAUGAUCAUAGGAACGAGAACAUGUUAAUUAUACAAUGCAUCUAAAAUAAUGGAAACUAUCACGAGUUAGAAUGAUAUUCUUAAGGUUCAUUUGUAUGGAAUGCUCCUGGAUGAUGUGAUAGGUGCACUUAUGUAGGCCCAGUUUUUUUUAGGAUUCCUUGUUCUAUAACUAUGUGUUGCAUAUGGAUCCUUUGGAAUUUGAUCCGUAUUGUAAUCAUUUCAGUUGUAUGGCAACUCAUGUUGAGCCUCCGAAUGGGGUGGGAACACCAGGGAAGCAUUACUAUUCCAUGUGGCAAACACUGUUCGAGAUUGAUACGAAGUAUGUGCCAAUCAAGCCUAUUGGUCGAGGGGCGUAUGGUAUUGUCUGCUCGUCUGUCAACAGGGAAACCAGUGAAAAGGUUGCAAUCAAAAAGAUAUAUAAUGCCUUUGAAAACCGCAUUGAUGCACUAAGAACUCUGCGUGAAUUGAAGCUCCUCCGCCAUCUUAGACAUGAAAACAUCAUAGCUCUGAAGGAUGUUAUGCUUCCAAAUCAUAAGAGAAGCUUCAAGGACGUCUACUUGGUUUAUGAGCUUAUGGAUACUGAUUUGCAUCAGAUAAUUAAGUCGUCCCAAACACUGUCGAAUGAUCAUUGUCAGUAUUUCCUAUUCCAGGUACAUAGGGUGAUUAUUCAAUAAGCCAUGUUCAUUCCCUUGCAACUUCUGCUCUUAACUUGCAUUAUUACAAUGGCGAGGAACUUCUGAAGCAAAAAUUGAUAAUAAUGAAAAUAGAAGAAAUAAUUUUUUACAUAUUUGAUCGCCUAUACAAAGCUUCACCUUGUGCUUGGCAGAUCUGAUUACUUGACAUAUUUUGUAUAUUACAAUGCAGUUACUUAGAGGUCUGAAGUAUCUACACUCAGCAAACAUUCUUCAUCGGGAUUUGAAGCCUGGGAACCUACUUAUCAACGCAAACUGUGAACUGAAAAUAUGCGAUUUUGGGCUAGCACGGCUAUGAACACAUGGUUUAAGAUCAUCAAAAAUCAUUCUAUUCCUCGCCAUCCAAAUUUGGUAGGCUGUGCAAGCAAGUGCAAUCAGGGACGGAUCCAGGAUUGGAUCCAAGAUCGGUUUACAAAAUUUCAAACCGGGCUACUACGUGGAAAAAAAUUUUACACAUAAAAAAACUAGUAUUUUACCCAAAAAAAAAAAAAAAACCUUUAAAAAAGCUAUUUGCCAUAGGGGGUGGGGCUACAACCCAGCCCAGCCCCCAACUAAAUUCGUCUCUCAGUGCAAUUCUCUUGCCCUUAGCUUGCCAAGAUGUGCCUCGAGCUUUUUUCUUCAUCCACUUUAAUGCACUAAGUAUUGUCGUCAUCGACCUUUUAAUUCCUAACCAAUCUUUAAUAUGCCCCCAGAUAUUUGUCACAUUGGAAAAAAAAUGUGUUUCCUAUAUUCUAGGUUUGAAUCACAAAAGACACACGUUCUAUCAAUGUUAAGAUACAUUAACAUGCUUUUUUUUAUUCUAGUGUUGGAAAUACGUAUAAAAAAUAACUUGUUUUUAAUUUUGACCUUAAAAGAUUUAAUUAUUUUAUAAUAAACUAAUUUACUUCAAAAUAACUUGCUUAUAAGUACAAUUUUAAGCUUAGUCAAACAUGGACUAAUGAGUUGUGAAAAAGACCAGAAAGAUGCCUCAUUUAACAAUAAAAAGUUGCCUAACACAGAACCCCCAACCCCACGCCCACGCUCACCCCCCAACCAAAGCAAGGUAUAUAUGCUACCUUGAUUGUUAAUUGCUUCAUGUAAAUAAUUUAAACUUUUAGAUAAAGUAGUUAAUUUGUUGCUCAAUUCUUAUAGUCAAUUCAUAAAAAAAAUUGUACACAUAUUAAACUUUUAAUGAAAAAUAAACGUCUUCAACAAAUAAGGGAGUAAGUAAGUAAAUGCCACAUUCACCUCCCAGGGCAUAAUCCAAUGGUACAAAGGAUAGGAGUAUGAUUAUUUCACGCCUUGCUGGCAGUCGCAAGGGGUUCAAUUCUUGAAAUAUGGAAUUGGACUCCUUAUAGGCGCAGUGUAUAAACAGCUUUUGUUCCCUAACUUUCUGGGACAUAUCCUGCGAUUUACCUUCCCCCACAAAAUUCUAGGGGCGGGGUGGUAGAGGCUCUCAAAGUUAGGGUUCAAUCUUUUGAGUAAAUGCCACAUUCAUCACCAUGUGAUCGAGAAAGGCUACUCAAUUUAACCCGAUCUCACAUUUUCUUUUUACAUUUUGCGUAUAAUUUGUUUACCCCGUAAAAGUUUAAACACAAACAUUAAAUUCUCUCCAUGUUCUUGAUCGGAUUUAUAGCAUAAAUAUAAUGGAUAUUCAAAUAUUCCUCAAAGAUUCUGUUAAUCCAAGUCCAUGGAAUUAAUAUGUCAAUCUAAAAGACAUUACUACAAAAGAAUCAUAUUACUGGUAACUAAUUGUGUUCUUCACCAAUGUAGGUGGCAGUAGUCCUGAAUCAUUGUUCAAUGAGUUAUCACCUGGAUUGAUGAUGAUCAUAAUUAAUAAUUAAUAGCAUUACUCUACGAUAAAUUCGUUAUCACCGACGCGUUACCAAACAUGAGUUUUUUAACGUUAACCUCCAAAAUAUAAAGGAUUAAAGAAAGUUAUUAAAUUAGAAUUUAUUUAAUCAAAUUGUAUAAUCUUAACUUCUUCUUUUUUUAACUUAUAAACUUAGAAAAAUACCGAACAUUAAAAAGUUGCCUAACACAGAACCCCCAACCCCACCCCCACGCUCACCCCCCAACCAAAGCAAGGUAUAUAUACUACCUUGAUUGUUAAUUGCUUCAUGUAAAUAAUUUAAACUUUUAGAUAAAGUAGUUAAUUUGUUGCUCAAUUCUUAUAGUCAAUUCAUAAAAAAAAUUGUACACAUAUUAAACUUUUAAUGAAAAAUAAACGUCUUCAACAAAUAAGGGAGUAAGUAAGUAAAUGCCACAUUCACCUCCCAGGGCAUAAUCCAAUGGUACAAAGGAUAGGAGUGGGAUUAUUUCACGCCUUGCUGGCAGUCGCAGGGGGUUCAAUUCUUGAAAUAUGGAAUUGGACUCCUUAUAGGCGCAGUGUAUAAACAACUUUUGUUCCCUAACUUUCUGGGACAUAUUCUGCGAUUUACCUCCCCUCACAAAAUUCUAGGGGCGGGGUGGUAGAGACUCUCAAGGUUAGGGUUCAAUCUUUUGAGUAAAUGCCACAUUCAUCACCAUGUGAUCGAGAAAGGCUACUCAAUUUAACCCGAUCUCACAUUUUCUUUUUACAUUUUGCGUAUAAUUUGUUUACCCCGUAAAAGUUUAAACACAAACAUUAAAUUCUCUCCAUGUUCUUGAUCGGAUUUAUAGCAUAAAUAUAAUGGAUAUUCAAAUAUUCCUCAAAGAUUCUGUUAAUCCAAGUCCAUGGAAUUAAUAUGUCAAUCUAAAAGACAUUACUACAAAAGAAUCAUAUUACUGGUAACUAAUUGUGUUCUUCACCAAUGUAGGUGGCAGUAGUCCUGAAUCAUUGUUCAAUGAGUUAUCACCUGGAUUGAUGAUGAUCAUAAUUAAUAAUUAAUAGCAUUACUCUACGAUAAAUUCGUUAUCACCGACGCGUUACCAAACAUGAGUUUUUUAACGUUAACCUCCAAAAUAUAAAGGAUUAAAGAAAGUUAUUAAAUUAGAAUUUAUUUAAUCAAAUUGUAUAAUCUUAACUUCUUCUUUUUUUAACUUAUAAACUUAGAAAAAUACCGAACAUAGUAAUUUGAAAUGUGUUUUGUUUUUUAUUUUUUUUUCUAAUAUUUAAAAAAAAAAAAAAAAAGGCUAGCUGGAAAAGCUUUCUAUAGUUGUGCAGUGAGCUUGCAAAAAAAAUUUGACCUAGUAGACCUUGAUGAAAAUUUAUGAAAUUUUAGAGGAAAGAAUAAAACUCAUAUAAGUACAACAUAAAAAAUUUGGAAUCUCAACGACAACGUUUGGAGCAUGAAAUUAUUUUUCAAACAAGCUGGCCCGUGUUUCCCGAAUUUGACUGUCACAGUUUUCUAAAAUUGCUAUAAUAUAUUUUAUGGGACUCCGAUAGACCGGUUUUCAAUUGCAUAUGAUAGAUAACUCACAUCAUUUCCAAUUAAAAACAAGCCAAAAUUCUAAAUAUACCGACCAUAGUACAAUUUUAAAAACAGUGGCAGAAUGCUAGAAGUUACUAAAACACAUAGUCAAACGUUAAAAUUUUCUGUCUCAAAACAUGAAUUUAAACUACAAUUUCUAGGACACCUCGUGAUUAUUAAACAUAAAAUGACAAUCUAAAACAUAAUAAAUAAAUAUCUCUAAAAAUAACAUAUAUAUGACAUUUGUGGUGAACCACCGUAGGAUCUCCAAUUACUCUGAAAAAGUUAAAUAGAAGUAAGCAUAUAUAUAUAUAUACACACACACACACUCAACAAGCUGUACAUGCUAUAAGAACAUAAUAAUCAUAUAUUUAAUUAUGCAUCCUUACAAAUUGCCUUUAUAAAUAAGUAAAUCAAUAAUCAAACGACGAGUUCUUUAACAUUAACCUCCAAAAUAUAAAGGAUUAAAGAAAGAAAUUAAAUUAGAAUUUAUUUAAUCAAAUUGUAUAAUCUUAACUUCUUCUUUUUUUAACUUAUAAACUUAGAAAAAUACCGAACAUAGUUAAACAUGUAAUCUUUCUUGCAUCAACAUUUAAGAGAAAUCCUUAAAGGCAUUUCAUAUACUUCAUGAGCAAACAUAAUGGAUAACACGUUUAAAUGAAAAUUUAAUUCAUAUAACAAUAACUUUGCAUAGGGAUCCUACUUUAAUUUGUGGUGAUGACGUAGUGACUACAUUGAAUCGAAAUUCUUUCCAAAACUUUUCUAAAGACUAGUUUGCCACCUGUGCAAUGCAUGGGUUGAAUUAUUUUGAACGUAAUGUUAGCAUUUUUAAUGUUGGUAUGAGUUUAGUGAUUAAAGAAGUUGAAGAAAAUUUAUGAAAUUUUAGAGGAAAGAAUAAAACUCAUAUAAGUACAACAUAAAAAAUUUGGAAUCUCAACGACAACGUUUGGAGCAUGAAAUUAUUUUUCAAACAAGCUGGCCCGUGUUUCCUGAAUUUGACUGUCACAGUUUUCUAAAAUUGCUAUAAUAUAUUUUAUGGGACUCCGAUAGACCGGUUUUCAAUUGCAUAUGAUAGAUAACUCACAUCAUUUCCAAUUAAAAACAUGCCAAAAUUCUAAAUAUACCGACCAUAGUACAAUUUUAAAAACAGUGGCAGAAUGCUAGAAGUUACUAAAACACAUAGUCAAACGUUAAAAUUUUCUGUCUCAAAACAUGAAUUUAAACUACAAUUUCUAGGACACCUCGUGAUUAUUAAACAUAAAAUGACAAUCUAAAACAUAAUAAAUAAAUAUCUCUAAAAAUAACAUAUAUAUGACAUUUGUGGUGAACCACCGUAGGAUCUCCAAUUACUCUGAAAAAGUUAAAUAGAAGUAAGCAUAUAUAUAUAUAUACACACACACACACUCAACAAGCUGUACAUGCUAUAAGAACAUAAUAAUCAUAUAUUUAAUUAUGCAUCCUUACAAAUUGCCUUUAUAAAUAAGUAAAUCAAUAAUCAAACGAUCUAUUUAAAGUUCUAAUGAAUCUUUAUGACCAUCGUUUAAACAUGUAAUCUUUCUUGCAUCAACAUUUAAGAGAAAUCCUUAAAGGCAUUUCAUAUACUUCAUGAGCAAACAUAAUGGAUAACACGUUUAAAUGAAAAUUUAAUUCAUAUAACAAUAACUUUGCAGAGGGAUCCUACUUUAAUUCGUGGUGAUGACGUAGUGACUACAUUGAAUCGAAAUUCUUUCCAAAACUUUUCUAAAGACUAGUUUGCCACCUGUGCAAUGCAUGGGUUGAAUUAUUUUGAACGUAAUGUUAGCAUUUUUAAUGUUGGUAUGAGUUUAGUGAUUAAAGAAGAACCAAUUAGUUGUAAAUGUAAUAAAAUGAGGUAAGUUAUUUAUGAUAUUAAGGUAUGAAUGGAAUUGUUGAAUAUACUAGUCAUUUGAAACACAUUUGAUAGUUGAUAAUAUUGUUAACAUAAUUAUGAUGUUUAGGAUGAAGUAUACUACAUGAGUCUAUUUAUUGAUGAUGAAUCAAAAUUCAUAUGUUAGUAUGAUUCAGUCAUUGUUCAUAAUGUUUGUAUUUACAAAAUCCUUUAUUUUCUCUAUAGAAUUUUCAUGCAUUAAAAUGUCUACAAUAAAUACCUGGUGGCAAUACAUAUGCAUUAGAUGGCACAUGAAGUACAUUGUUAUUUUGUUUGUGUUGAAAGUCAAGAAUUUUAUAGUUUCGUUAUCUAAAGUAUAAAAGUCAAAUUGUUCAUAAAUUACAAGUUGAUUAAGUCGAGGAACAACAUAAUGAUUAUUUUCAGACAACGCAGACUCAUUUAUCCUCUUACGACGAUUAAUAUAAAAAGUUUUGAGAUGGCCUCACCUAUCCCCAUUUUUUUUUAUUUUUUUUUUGGGAGUAUGGAAGCAUUAUACAAGUUCUUUUGAGUUUCUGAAAUAGUUUCAAGAUAAAUAGAACUAGGGUCAACUUCAGCAAAUAAUUCCGAAAUUUCCAUUACAGCAACAGAAAAAUAGCUGAAUAUUCGUACUCCAAGCAAAUUAGUAUACACUAAAAAAGUAGAGAAAAUUAGAUAAAAGAAAAUAUUGAAAAUAAAUAAGAUUGUUCACAACACAGAAAUAAAUAAACUGCUGCACAGUAACAUUUAAAAUAGGAAGAAUUUCAUAUCUACCAGUAAAUUUACUCUAUUAGAAGUUGACGUAAAAUUAGUUCACAAACAAUUCAACGUUGGUACAAUUUAAGUAGACAAGAACAAAACAAAAGAUGUCAUAAGAGGGUGUUUAGGAGCCUUUUUUUUUUUACGUAAAAAUGCAUUUUGGAAUAGUAAAUUGAUGAGAAAUGUGUGACUGAAAAAUAAGAAAAAAAAUUUGAUUUACGUGUAAUAUUAUUUUAAUGAAGAAUGUGUGGUUGAAAAGAAAAGAGAGAAAAAUACAUUUUGAAAAAAAAUGGGUACCAAACGAAUCCUAAUUCAAGACUUCUAAAGUAAACAAGAGUUUUUUUGCGAAAAUCCCUAUCCAAAUGAUUCUAGAUACUCUACGUAGAUAGUUUCAUACGUUUAGCUUCAAGUUUUUUUAAUGUCAAUUAGAUUAUGCAAUUUACACCCGAGUAUGCUGAGAUAUUACUUUUCUUAGAAAUGAAUGAAAACUGAAAUUGUAAUUGUAUAAUAGAUAACUUCUUUUCUAGGAAAGGAAAUUAAAUAAUAUAAGAAUUAAUUAUAUAUUUGGCGAACAAAUGAUUGAGUAUCAUCAGUCAUUUGAAACACAUUUGAUAGUUGAUAAUAUUGUUAACAUAAUUAUGAUGUUUAGGAUGAAGUAUACUACGUGAGUCUAUUUAUUGAUGAUGAAUCAAAAUUCAUAUGUUAGUAUGAUUCAGUCAUUGUUCAUAAUGUUUGUAUUUACAAAAUCCUUUAUUUUCUCUAUAGAAUUUUCAUGCAUUAAAAUGUCUACAAUAAAUACCAGGUGGCAAUACAUAUUCAUUAGAUGGUACAUGAAGUACAUUGUUAUUUUGUUUGUGUUGAAAGUCAAGAAUUUUAUCUGUAUCUUUAUCCGAAGUAUAAAAGUCAGAUUGUUCAUAAAGUAUAGGCUGAUUAAGUCGAGGAACAACAUAACGAUUAUUUUCAAACAAUGCAGGCUCAUUUAUCCUCUUACGACGAUCAAUACAAAAAGUUUUGAGAUGGCCUCGCCUAUCCCCCNNNNNNNNNNNNNNNNNNNNNNNNNNNNNNNNNNNNNNCCCCCCCCCCCCCCUUUUUUUUUUUUUUUUUUUUUGGUGGAGUAUGAAAGCAUUACACAAGUUCUUUUGAGUUUUUGAAAUAGUUUCAAGAUAAAUAGAACUAGGGUCAACUUCAGCAAAUAAUUCCGAAAUUUCCAUUACAGCAACAGAAAAAUAGGUGAAUAUUUGUACUCCAAGCAAAUUAGUAUACACUAAAAAAGUAGAGAAAAUUAGAUAAAAGAAAAUAUUGAAAAUAAAUAAGAUUGUUCACAACACAGAAAUAAAUAAACUACUGCACAAUAACAUUUAAAAUAGGAAGAAUUUCAUAUUUACCAUUAAAUUUACUGUAUUAGAAGCUGACCUAAAAGUAGUUCACAAACAAUUCAACGUUGGUACAAUUUAAGUAGACAAGAACAAAAAAAAAGAUGUCAUAUUAAGAGGGUGUUUAGGAGCCAUUUUUUUUUUAUGUAAAAAUGCAUUUUGGAAUAGUAAAUUGAUGAGAAAUGUGUGACUGAAAAAUAAGGAAAAAAAGUUUGAUUUACGUGUAAUAUUAUUUUAAUGAAGAAUGUGUGGUUGAAAAGAAAAGAGAGAAAAAUACAUUUUGAAAAAAAAUGGGUACCAAACGAGUCCUAAUUCAAGACUUCUAAAGUAAACAAGAGUUUUUUUGCGAAAAUCCCUAUCCAAAUGAUUCUAGAUACUCUACGUAGAUAGUUUCAUACGUUUAGCUUCAAGUUUUUAUAAUGUCAAUUAGCUUAUGCAAUUCACACCUGAGUAUGCCGAGAUAUUACUUUUCUUAAAGAUGAAUGAAAACUGAAAUUGUAAUUGUAAAAUAGAUAACUUCUUUUCUAGGAAAGGAAAUUAAAUAAUAUAAGAAUUAAUUAUAUAUUUGGCGAACAAAUGAUUGAGUAUCAUUUAAACCUAGCAAAAAAUCAAUCAACAAACAUAAAAUUGAACUGGUAAAACUAACUUCUAUAUAAAUGAAAAAGAACAUAUCAUUCAUAGAUUAAAGAAUUUUAAAUUUAAAAGAAGAUAAAAAUAAAUAAAUAUCAUACUAAAUUCACAAACUUCAUUAAAUAGACCAUGCCCAAACUCCAAAUUGACUUUACCAUAUCUUUUCAGUCAUUGAAUUGCUUCAACGUAGUCGAUGCUCUAGAUUUUUCAAAAAUUUUGGCAAUUUAUGACCAAACUUCAAAUUUCUAAAAGCACAGUGUCCGAUUGGAGACACAAAAUCUACUAAAUUCAAAACAAAAAUGCACAAAACUCCCUGAAUCAAAACUUCAAAUUUUCUUCAAAAACUCAACUUUCUUUUUUAUAUCAAUUGAAUCAUAAAACUUAAUUCCAAAACCAAAUUAGUUUAUCUAAUAUACCCUUCUUCUUUUUUCAAAACCCAACCGAACAGCAGGCCAAAAGAACAUAUUAACCAUAGAUUGAAAUAUUUUAAAUCUAAAAGAAGACACAAAAAAAAAAAAAUAAAACAUGAACAAGAUAACAAUUUUCAUAGAAAAUGUAAAUAAAAAUUAUAGAAGAAAUUCAGAUUUAUAGAGAAAAGAUGAAGAAAACUUACUUUCAACCUCUCUCCAUGAACUUCAUAACACGAAACCGAAAAAAAAUCAACAAAAGCCGAGCGGAGACAAAGUAAGAGAUGGAAAAGAAAAAGCGAAAAAAAAAAUAGUUGCAUAAAAAUACAAAAAUGAAAUAAAAUAGAGAAAUAAAAAAAAAACACGAACAAAUUUACCUUUAAUACCACGUUAAUAUGCAAAUCUAUCAACGAAAGAGAAGAGCAGAAAAAGACGAUUUCUAGGGUUUCUUUUUUGCUCGAGAAUGGAGAAUAAGGGUGCGUUUGAUUGCAAGAAUGAAAUUUGCAUGGAAAAAAAAUAAAUUUUAGGUAAUUCAAUUGUCUAGAAUUUAUUGGUAUGUAAAUUAUCAAUUAAAUGCGUUUGAUUGAUUUAAUUUUCAAUCUAGAAAAUAUUAUUCUUGUCCAUUUUUUAUUGGUGGGUUAAUGAGAGAGAGUAGAUAAAUAAAAGAGAGAAAGAAAGAGGAAAUUUCGUCGAAAAUAAAAUCAUACUCUUUCUAAAAAAAAACUUUAAUCCGGUCAAAAAAUGAAUAUUAAAAGAGGAUAGACUAUUUAAUGUGGGCCACAGUACAAUUGGGCCAAAAGUAAAAAUUUCAAAUGACAAAGUACAGAGAUAAUAAAUUCGACUAAAGUAAAAUUUCACAAUUACCAACAGCACUCAUAAAUGUGGACCCACAAUUGGAAAAAAUUGAAACCAAAUACAUGUGUUCUGUUGCUUUUCUUCCAAUCUAAACCGGUUAAGCAUCAAAAUAGAAGAAAACUUCAAUCUAAUCAAGUGUGAACACGAGUGGACAAAAAUGAAUAGAAAAAGAGGAUGGACUUUUUUAAAGUAAAGGGGGAAAAAGGGGAUAAAAGCUAGGAUUUAAGGGUAAAAUGGGAAAUACAUAAAUGAAUGAACAGUGAAGGCAACAUUGCCUCUUUUAAGGGAGUAGAGAUAGAGAAAUACAUGUGAAAGAGUAUAUAAUAGCUUAGGAAAAAUAUGAUGAUAAUUAAUCGAACUUUGUCUUUGUUGUUACUUGAUGAGUUUUAGAGUUAGUGAUAUCAGUAAUUUUUUUUAUCGAUAAAUGUAAAAUUUUGUAGAUAAAAAUUUCAGUAAAAGUACACUGGACAAGAUAAAUAGAAGUUCAUAUAGACAUUGAUAAAGCAUGAAUUAAAAAGGAAUUAUUUAUAUCAUAAAAAGAAAUUUAAAUUGAACAAAAAAAUAUUUAUAAUAAGAAGGAAAAAUAAAAUUUAAAACAAUUUUAAAAAAUAUAUAUAAUAAAAUAAACAAAAGGAAGUUAUAAAAAUUAAAUAAAGAAUAUAUAAAUAAUAUUUAAUUGAAAUUGAAAAAAAUGUAAGUUUUAUCAUAAUGAGAAAAGAACUAAAAAAAUUAUAUUGAAAAAAAUUAUUUAUAAUAUGAACAAAAUAAAUUAUAAAAAAAAUAAAUGAGGGACAGAGUGAUGAAAAGAAAUCUCACUAUGUUAUGGAUUUCUCUCUGUGUUAUGGACAUGGAGAGUUUCUCUUUGUGUGAUGGAGGGAAACUCUCCAUUUCUUUUUUAAUUUAUUUUGUUCAUAUUAUAAAUAUUUGUUUUUUUGAUUUAAAUUUUUUUUUCUUUUUGAUAAAACUUAAUUUUAUCAAUUUUCAUUAAAUAAUAUAUUUUUUUUAAUUUUCGUAACUUUUUUUGUUUAAUUUUUUUUUUAUUAUUUACGUAUUUUUUAAAGUUGUUUAAAAUUUCUUUUUCAUACUAUAAAUAAUUUUUUGUUCGAUUUAAAAUUAUUUUUGUUUUAUGAUAAAAUAUAAUAUUUUCAGUUUUAAUUAUUUCAAUUUAGUUAAAUAACUUUAUAACUUUUUUUUUUUGCCUGCAAUUCUUUUUUUUUUUUUUUUUUUUUGUCGUUAAAUCAAUUAGUUUGGAUUGGGACUAGUAAGUAGAUAGUCAAAACAAAGAAAUGAUAAUAGGAUAAAUGAAAUGAACAGUACAAGACCAGUUUGAAAAUAGAGUGUGGCAAAAAUGAUAGUACUCCUCCAAGUCUCUCUUUCAAGAGAAAGUAAAUUCGAUGUGAAAAUGAUUUCUUCGUUGCUGUGUUUCUUCGGAAUUUUGAAAUGGGAAGCCGCGUGACACAGAAAGUUGGAUAAAAAUUGAAUUCAAAAAUAGUAGAAUUUGGAUAGGAAAUGAUUUCUUGUUAUAAUAUUAGGAUAGGGGUUUAAUAAAGUCCAAUUUUUAUUUAUAACCUAAUAAAAAAUACAUCUAUUCAUUUGAAAACAAACAAACUUAUGCAAAUCGUAAUUUAAUUUCCUAUCUCAAAAUUUGUAAAAUACCAAAUUCCAUUUCACAUGUUGCGGUCCAAAAUCCAUUUAAUCCUUAACUUUAAUUAAAUAUGAAUUCUUUGAACUUCAAUAUCAUGGACCUAACUUAUUCGAAAUAACUUUUUCUCGAUUCCAAAAUGCGUUUAUUAAUAUUAGCAACAAAAGGAGCCCAUUAUUAAAUGGGAAAUUCUCACUAAAAGAAAACUUGAUUAUUUGAGCGAAUAAAAAUAGUGGCGUCAAAUUUACAUAUUAGUCUCACAGCAUCCUUCUAUAGACAAGUACCAAAAUAAAAUAAACAAAAUUUCAUUUUCGUUUGCUACAUAUGCACUAUCACGUGGUUGGUUACAAAAUUGAUUACACCAUCUAUUGUAACGUGCUACUUACGCAUGAUGCUUAGUAUAAAUUAAGCACAUAUGUUUAGGAAAUCAAAUUCGUGUGUAUAUGUAGAGCUUGUUUUGGAGUGAUUUUUCACCCCAAAAGAUUAAUUUUUUAACUGUUAUUUCACUAUUUUAACCGUAAAAUUUGACUUUUUCUCUUACAGGUGACCUCCAGUUUUCUUCCAACGAUCACAAAAUCAAUUCUCAAAAUCACUUCCAAACAGAGCCAUAAGUUUUAAGAAGAAUUGCUUGUGCGUUGUUCCCAAAAGUCAUUAACUACUUAAAACUUUUAAAUGGUAUGAUUCAACAUAUUCAACACAUCAACGUCCCAAUUCAGAACAUCAAAUUACCAAAAAUAUAAAUAUGAAAACUUUAAAUGUACAUAAGCACAUGCAAAGAUAUACAGAAGAUUAUAUUUGGUUCAAAUUGUUUCCUUUGGAACAAAGCAAGUUGCAAGAUUGGAUGGAAAAAAUACUUUUUGACUCUCGUUGGCUAGUCAAGCACUAAACCAAGAAAGUUAUAUAUCGACAACAACACAUAUUUUUUGUAAUACUGUUAUACUUUGAUUUUCAACACUCUUUAUCCUGCCCUUGCCUGUGCAUCUAUAUGAUAACCCUAAUUGCUUUUCAGUUUAGAGAUUGGGGAACAUGAUACCUGAAAUAUAUUAAAGUUGAAAAGGAAAAAGAAAAGGAGAUUUCUGCUUUUAAGUUAAGCCCUAUUUGGUAGAAAUUAAAAUAAGUUUUUUAAUAAAUUUUCAUAAAACGUGUGGUUAAAAUUAAUAAUUAAUUUUGACUUAAAUUAAUAUUUGGUUUUAAUCCCAUCAAAUAUGGGCUAAAUUUAAUUGGUUAGAUGUGAGAUGCACAUGUUUUACUUAUAGGUCCAAUUAAUAGAACUUGGCAAAAAAAUUGAAAAAUCGACCAAACCAAUCAAAUCAAAUCCAUUCAGGUCGAUUCGGGUUGGUUGACAUAGGCAAUUGAUUCGGGGUUUUUUUUUUUUUUUUUUUUUUAACCGACGAUUGGUAGGCUCAUUCAUGGUUUGAAAUCUCAAACCGUCAGUUAGGUGAAUCAACGCAACUCACUUACGUGUUUACCUUCUUUUUUUAUUUAAGAAAAAUAAAAAGAUAAGUUAUAAUCUCAUAACUAUAUCUCGGUUCCUUCUAAUCUAUAAUGUUGUCGAUAAAUAAUAGUACUGAGAAUUUCCUUUCACAAGCCUAUUAUGUUAUGCUUAGCAUUUCUCAUAUUCAGACAAUCAGACUACACAAUACAUAAGCAACAAAAUGUUUAAAUUUUCUAUUGAUCUGUCUUUAUUAACUUAAUUUUAUUUAUUAGUCAAUAAUUUUUGUAACAUGAAAUUAUUUGGUUAUUUUAGUUCUUGUAAUCUAAGUAGGCCCAAAACUCGAACAAUUUCUUUAAAAAAAAAAUUGGACUAAAAGUUCAAACCGACUAGCCAAACCAAAUGAUUUAACUUGUUCGGUUUAAAAGUUAGAGUGUGGUGGUUUAGGUUGAAAUUCGCUUAAACCAAUUAAUUCGGCUUUCUUUCGAGUUAGAGUUGAAACCGACCCGAACCAAACCACGCUCAGACCUAAUUAAUAGUGUUAAUUUCACUUUUUAGCGAGUAUAUGUAUAUAUAGUAAAGCAUGAUAGAUUAUUUAGAUGAAAUAACGAAGUUGUCCAUAUUGGCAAAAUUAACAAAGACAACAACCAAAUUCAAAUCUCAUAAAAAGUUAUUUGCUAAAAAAUUGUAAAAAUAAUUUAGUUGUUUGUUAAAAAAAGAAAAAUUAGUUUACACUUUUUUUUAAAUAAGUUAUUUUUACAAGCUUUUCUUUAAAGUACUACAAUUUAUAAAAAUUUAAAAGCUAGUAAAAUAAUAUAUGAUAUCAUUUUUAAAUUGAAUUUCUCAUUUAUUUUAAGUUGAGGUUAUAACUUUAUAAAUAUCAUGUUAGUAGUGUAGUCAACAUACUUGAAUGUAUAGAAAAUUAAAUUAUGAAAAGUUAGGUGCACGAAAAUUAAAUCAUAUGGAUAGUGCCUCAAAAAUUUUCUACAAAAUGUGAUUUUUGUUACCAAAACAUAUUAUGAAAAUUGAUUUUGUAAAUUUCCCUCAAAAUUAUCUCAGAUUAAAAAUCAUUUACAGCUUGUCAUUAUAGCCCAUGAUUUAAAAGUUCUGUAUUUUGUCCUUCAAUUUCUUUAUUUUAUUAGAAAAAACACAAUUUUGGAAAUAUGAUUUCUACAAGGCAUCAAAGUUUGUCUAAAGAAAUCAAAUUUUGUAAUAUUCUGAUUCUGAUUCUAAUUCUAGAAAUCUACUUACCUCAUCGAAACACUUCUCUAUAAAUUUAUUCAAACUAUAAUUACCUUUGGUAUUUAAAUGCAUUUGGAUAGAUUAUCUUUCAUUACAAUAUAUUAUGAACUAUAAAUAUUUAAGAUGAAGUCUAUAAAUUUUUCCUAAAGAACUUUUGACAAACACCAUUAUGGUAAGUUCGAUACGUAGUAUUCGACUGAAUUGAACAAGAUUUUUAAAUAGAUUUUUCUUCUAUAAUUUUUAGUACUUUAAAGUAGGGGGGGCAACUUAGUGGGUAUAGACCGGAUCGGUCACUCUCACCUCCCAUUUCGUCGGACACUUUUUCUCACUUUCCCUCGUCCCCGUAUUCAGUUAAAGCAAUAUGGGGGCGGCGGGGGACCUGAGCUGCCCCGCCUCCAUUUAUCGUCCCUGUUUAUUUAUUUAUUUUUGUUUUCUAUUUAUUUUUUUUUAUUUUUUUAUGUGUUUAGUUAAUAAAUGUUAUUUUUUUUAAUUUUUAAAAAAACAACUCUUGUGUCUCUUUAAAAAUGAUGAUAAAUAUUUUAUUUUUAUUUGAUUAAAAAUUAAAUUUGAUAUUAACUUUAAACGGGACGGAGAUUAUGUUUCACGUAUCUGUGCCAUACCCACUCCGAGGCAAUGACCCUUGUCUUGUUUACCCGAUUAGACUGGUAAUCUCUAUCCCAAUCAGGACGGAGUCCGCGGGUAUUGAGAUAAAGGAUUUUUUUGUCAACCCCACUUUAAAGAUUACUUUAUCAAACAAGGCAUUAAUGUUUAGAGCCGAGAAGUAAGACAUUAGUUUAGUUUUCUUUUUUCCUUCCUUUUUGACAGUUAUGAACAUGUUUGCAAAGUUAAAAUUAUAAUUCAAGAUAGUCAAACAUAUUUUUUACUAUAUAUUUCAUAAGACUCAAAAUUUACUACACUUAGUCCCUUUUUGAUUUGUAUAAAAUCAAUUUUUAAUAAAUUUCGAUAAAAGUUAAUGGAUUUUAUAGUUGAAAAGUUGUGAAUUCCAUGAAAUGUAUGGUUAAAAUUAAUUUUUAAUUUUAAUUUAUAUUGAAAUCAAAUUUUUAUUUGAAAAAACAAUGACAUUAUUCACAUAAUUUGUAGUGUAACAAUUUAUAAGUACUUAAAAGUCCAACCAAACGAGUAGUUGUGAAAAUCUUCAUGCAUCACUUGUCACAUGCAUAAAGUUUAAGGCAACCUCAUUCCUAACAACCAACCACUUUCAUUUUCAAGGAUGUCAUCUUCUGUCCCUACAAACCGACCUUUCAGACCAUUUUUGUUCUUUAAUGUAAUAAUACAAACACACGCACAUUGAACAAAUUCUUGGUGUAAUUAUUGUUUUAAUUAAUACAAAAAAGCAGUCCAAAGGUUUUCUUGGUCCACCUAAUUUGUGCACUUGGAGCUUAAUUUUCUAUGAUAAGCAACAGUUAUUUUCACUGAUUAUUUGUGUGAAACGAGUUGUUGCGAAUAGCUUACGCAAACAAGACAUGACGUUAUAAGAUUUAUUAAGACUGUGUGGUUACUAACUAUAUCUCUCGAGGACACUAAUCCAAGCAAGAGUUUUCCUGACACCAAUAAAGCUCUGAUUAAACAAAAGCUACCGAAAGCAAUAUACAACUUCUUUAAAUCUUGAGACGUGACUAACCAUUCACUCAAGAAAUGACAGUGAUUGUAGGUGCAGAAGCAACCCAUCGUCAUACUUUAUUAAUAACCAUCAUAAAGAAUCUUAUGUAUCUAAAUAUUCGUGAACCUCUUUUUUAUGGAAAUUUUUUAAACCUCCAACCCAAAAUUUUUAAGAAAAAAAUACAUACGUACAUGCAUACAUCAUAAAUGCAUACACACAUAUAUAGCAUUGGUGUAUAUAUCCCUAAAAAGUCUUGGGGCAACAUAUUUGGGAUAGUGUUGGUUGCUUUAUUUGCUUUUCUAAAGGCGAGAAUGGAAGACAUGAGUGAAACCAAUAUAUUUGGAAAAGUACAUUCUUUUGGAGCCAAAGAUUCUCACCAAAUGCUUUUGAUUGCAUAUCAUUGAGUUUAACGGACAAUUUUCCUUUUCCUCCUGUUUUUCCUCCUCUUUUUUAUUUUUUAUUUUUUCGAAUGGCAAAUCACAGUUUAACCUUUUAGAUAGAAUUUUUCUUCCCAUCUUAAUUAAUUAUUAUUUGUUCCCAUAAUAUUCUUUUAGGUUAAAAGGACAUUUAUUGCUUUGUAGGGUUCUUGAAAUAACAUGGAACCAACAUUGUAAUCAAGUAUACGACUAACUUAUGAAGUUGUGACGUUCUUUAGUAUAAAUAUUGUUGACAUUGAAAAAAUUGUUAUUUUAGUUUUCUAAUAAACUUCGGAAAUUUGUUUUAGAGGAAAAAUUACGAAAUAGAUGAUCGAUCAUUGAAGCAAGAGAUCAUGUCCGAAAUAACUCAAAAGAUUGCGCAAAGUUUUAGAUAGAGUAACACUAAGUUUGCAAAAUAUUUUUCAUACCUUAAAAUAAAAUAGCGAUAAGGCUUUUAUAGGAGAUUGAGCCGAUGUGUAACAUACAUUGUUACAUUUUCGUACACUAAUUAAUAGUGCUUGUUUGGUAGGGAGAGAAGAAUUCAAAAAUGACGGCUGAAAUAGUAAAAUAAUGGUUAAAAAAUUAAUUUGAAUUGACUUUUAAGAUGUACCAAACAAGCUCAUAGUUUAAAAAUCUAGCUUAUAGAAAAAUUAAGUUGAUAUAAGGGGGAAUUGCACAUUUGGUCCCAAUCUUUUCAAAUUUUACUAACACCAUACAUCCCAACCUUUCAAGUAAUUAGCACUGUACGCUCAUCUACACGUUUCCAUCCAACUUUUCAUUUAAUGCGAUCUGUCAAAUGGAUUGAAAUUGUGUAAGGGACGAACUGUGCUACUUACAUGAAAGGUUGAGGUCGAAUGGUGCCAAUAAAAAAGAUUGGGGUAUAUCCCAACUAUUUUGGAAAGAUUAGGAACCAUAUGAAAAUAAUUUUAAGUUUGGUGAAAACAAGGUAAGACAUUUGUCAGACUUCUUGGAUUAGUUUUCCAGCAAAUUUAACUGGCAAUAUCCUUUGCUUUUCAGACCACAAUUUGAAUGUCACCUAUUAUGUUGGAAUAAUAAGUUGAUAUCAUGGACAUUUUGCUGCAGUUGCACAGGAAAUUUCUUGCGGUGAAGAAGUUCCAAAAUUUGUUAAAUUCUCCUGUCGAUGUUACAUGUCUAUCUUUACUAACGUUAAAAUUUUUUAAAUCAGUCAUGUUUCAACAAGGACGUGUCCCGAAUUCUAGAGUCUUUGAACUGUGGGGAUUGAUUGUACGCAGUAAAACCUCUAUAAAUUAAAAAGUUUACUUUGAAGAAGUUAUAUAUAUAUAUAGAUCACGUGAAGUUAUAUCUAAUAUGUGUUUCAAUAAUGUGACAGAUGUUGAACAACUCUUAAAUGAUCUUAGGGCUUGUUUGAUACAAGCCAUUCUCCAUGGAAAAUGGAAAAUUUCCACAUUUUACUUUGUUUGAUUGCAAGAAUUUUCCCUGAAAUUGAUUCCCCCCCCCCCCCUCCCACCACGUGACCCAUUUUUCUUUGAUUUGGUGGAAAAUUAAUUCCUUUGAUUUUGGUGAAAAUUUGUUUUCUAGCUUUUCUUUGCUUUUUUAAAUUUUUUGGCAAUUGGAACAAAAUCUAUUGACAAUUGUAACAAAUUCUAUUAUUUUAAUUGACAAUUUUCUUGAAAAAUAAAGUCAAAUGAACACCAAAAGAUAAAAAAUUUUAACAUUUUCUAGGUGAAAAAUUAUAUUAGUCAUACACAUUUAAUUAACAAUUCACAAUAAAACAAGUUCUAGGUAAUUCAAUUACUUGAAAUUCGUUUUCUUUUUACCCAAAUUUCAUUCUUGCAAUCAAAUGGAUCCUUAGUAAAAUUGAUGUAUAAAUGCAAUUGACAAAACGAUUAUUAAAGGUGAACUGAAUAUAUUUAAUGAGGAUGAUCAUAUUUAGAUGAUAGCUGUAAUUUAUCAACUAUUUCUCCCUCGAAAAAAAAAAAAAAGUCUUCGAACAACUGCAACAGUAAAUAAUUACUUUCAAAAAAUGAAAAAUUAUUUCAAAUGUAGUACAUAUAUUGCAAAAAAUGAGGACUAAUGUUGACUUCGGUUGGAGUAGAAAGAAAAGGCAAGCAAUUUAAGAUCAAUAUUUUUCAGAAAAAAAAAUAAAUUGAAUAAAUAGAAGUUGUCAAGUAAAAAUUUUAUUAAUUUGCAUUACAUUAUUUUAUAUUUUCGUUGGGCCCCAAAGGGUUUUAAAUAAAAUUAUUAUUUUAUGCGUUUAGCGAGAUUAUAAAUUUAGUACAUUUUUUUACGUGAUAUCGAAAAUUUUUAUUAAUAGAAUAUUUUAAUUAAUUUAUUCAACUUUCAUUUAUCAAAAUUUUAAUAUAAUGAAAGAUUGACGACUAGCUUCACUCUAUAAACGUUGGAACAUAAGAAUAAAUUCUUCCAUUUUCUUGAUUUUCUUGCCUACCUUUUCCUUCUAUAAAUCAGCCUCCCAUCAACCUCAUAAACCUCCUCCUCUACUCUUCCCUUUCAUCCCAAUACAUUCUGAGUUCUCCUCUCUUUUCUUUUCCUUCAGAAUUCUUAUUUCUUAAGUAUAUUCUGCUAAUUUGGAACUGGGCAUUUGAUGAUUCAAAAACCCAUUUGUUAAAUCAUCGCCUGUUUCCCUAUAAAAAAAGAUUUCAAUAUGCUCUAAAAAUCUGACCCUGCAUAUUUUGUUCUUGAUGUUAUGUCUCAUGUACUCAGUGGAAUCAUUCGUUUAAGGUUUAUGAUAAAUUUCUCUCUCACACGCAGGACUCUUCUUGUUCAAUCUUUCUCUGUUAUCUUCCUCUACUGGUUCUAUGUGUUUUCAUAAGUAACCUUUUUUUUAAACACUUGUAAUAUUUAGCAUAAGAGGUCCUGCAAUUUUUAAGUUUUUGUUCUUCAGAAAUUUAAGUUAUUUAUCGUACUGUCUCGACUCUCGAGUUUAAUCAUAGUGUGGACUUAUCUUGACCACAUAUCGACCUAAUAUUUCAGGGGUCGGUUUAGUGUGUAUGAGAAGUGGUAUACCAUUUAAACUUGAAAACGUAUUUGUAGUAACAAAGUGGACGUAACUCUCACAUACUGUUAUAAUACAUUUUUUUUGCUUGUUUUCUGAUUUUAUUGUUGUUUGUAAUCUCCACGAUUUCGUGUAAACAAAAAAUGGCUUCUCCUAGUGGAAAUUCCUCUGGAUCGAUACAGAUUCAGAACUCUGGUUCUGAAGAAAACUUGCAGGAUUUGAUUGAUCAAAGGAAGAGGAAAAGAAUGGAAUCAAAUCGGGAAUCAGCAAGGCGAUCAAGGAUGAAAAAACAGAAGUAUUUGGAUGACCUGACGGCCCAAAUUGUUCUACUGAGGUACAAAAACAGCCACAUUUUAACAAGCUUAAACCUCACCACACAGGAUAAUAUAAAAAUGGAGGCUGAAAAUUUAGUCAUCAAGGCUCAGAUUAUGGAACUCAGCCAAAGACUGCAGUCCCUAAAUGACAUUCUUAGUUUCUUCAAAUCCAACAAUCCCAUGUUUGAGGAUUCCCAGGGCUGUCCUGAAAGUUACUUUUGCCAACAACCCAUCGUGGCCUCUGCUGAUAUGCUUUAUUUUGAUUAUAUUUUUGGGUAGACGGUGAAGUAUUGCACGGUAUUAAUAUUAUUCUACUUUUCGAAUAUGUAAAGAUGUUAAUAUCUUUUCAUGUGGUUUGUAUAAUGGUAGAUGGAUUGUAUUGUUUAGUUCGAUCGAGUAUUGUGUAUAAAAAUAUUUGUCAAGUGUCCUUUCUAUCUUAUGUGUCAAGAAUAUCAAAUAUGUUACAAGUUUAUUAAGGCUCCAUUUCGUAAGAUUUUUACUUGUUUUUGCUUUUGCUUUUGCUUAUUGCAUAAGAGUUUUCUAAGAAAGUUACGAUGCGUUUGACUGCUAAUAUUUUACAUGGAAAAUGUGUUUUUCUACCAGAAUUCUUUCUUUUGUGUUGUCUGAUUGAAAAUUUUUUCUAUGGAAAAUAUUUUCCCACUUUUGUUCACAUAACCAUAUUUUCUUCAAAAUCAAGAAAAAUAUUUUCUUUAAAGGAAUUAUGAUUUAUUUUUCAAGGAACCCACUCUAUCUUCUCUCUCUCAUCUGUCACUUCUCACUUAUCAAUCCACUAAUAAAAAAUAAAAAGUGCAAUAUUUUCUAAAUUGAAAAUUAAAUCAACUAAACACAAUUAAUUAAUAAUUUUCAUAUGAAUAAGUUCUAGACAGUUGAAUUGCCUAGAAUUUAUCUUUCCAUGCAAAUUUCAUGCUCUCAAUCAAACUCAUCCUUAAUUUUUUCUAAAAACUCUUCUAGUCAUAAAGGAGUAUUUCUAUAAAAUUAUUUAAAUAUAUUCAAAAACAGUUUUUUGACUUUAAAUGCCUACCAAACAUGCCAUAUUCAUCAUUUGGGCCGCAACCAAUUAAGCCAUUGUAUUUUGAAGAAAAUGUAUUUUGGAAUAGUAAUUUUUUAAAGAAUGUUUGGUAAAAAUGUAAAGAACAAUUUUUGGUUUACGUAUAAUAUUAUUUUUAUUGAAGAAUAUAUUGUUAAAAAUGGGAAAAAAAAAGAAGAGAAAAAUAAUUAAUUAGAAUGGAGCCCAAAGGGGCAGCAACGGCGGCUCUGUCAAUUGUCAAAUAAAAUUGGAUGGAUAGGGGAAAAAAACAAGGUUCAGAAAAUAGGAUGAUUUGACAUGAUUUGAUUGAAUGUUUUUGUGUAGUUCUUUUCUAACUUCGAAUGUUAAAUUGUCAAGUAUUGUCUAUCAAUGAAAAUCUGUCAUUUUCCCAGUUGUAUAGCUUGGUCGAAAAUAAAUUCAUGGUGUUCUUUUUUUGUUGACUGUUAAAGUACGUUUGAAGUAUAUUUAUGAUACAAUCAAAAGGUGCGGUGGCAAUGUUGCACCUUUUGUAUUUUCUUUGUUAUAUUUUUAUAAAUUUCCUACUAAACACAACCUAUUCGCGAUUCAUCCAAAUAACGAAUGAAUAUUGUAUCAUACUAAUGUUGAAUUGACAACAGCCUUGUGUAGCUUUCGAUAUUUUUAUUUAUUUAUUUGUUUUUUUGGCGGGAAAAGAAAAUGCAAGACUAAAAGCAAUUCUAGUUCAAAUUUAUAGUUCUAGCUCUAGCUCUAGCUCCAAUUACUCUCAACUCCUAAGCUAAAAAAGAAAAGAGGUUUUUCAACUUUUGCUUGAGGCUCUUCCUAUUUUAUGCUAGAUUAAAAGACAAUUCAACUUGAAUUCAACACCUCCUUCAGCUCGACUUUAACUCUCUCUUAAGUCAACUCUCUCUUAAGUCAGAGUCUAUUUUGGUGUCAAAUGACCAUCAAUAUCAACUAUGUUAUUACUCUUAAAGCCUGUUUAACAUGACUUUUACUUUUAAUUUUACUUAUGCUUCCUGUAGAAAAGUUUUUUUUUUGGGAAAAAAAAACCACCUUAAUCUUAUUUGAAAAUUAAUUUUUUAAAGAGCUUCAUAUUUCGAAAGUGUUUUUAAAAGAAACCAUAUUGAACUAGCUUUCUCUAAAAUCUCUUAUUAAAAGAACCACUUUCAUAAAAUUACUCAAAUGGGUUCGAAAGCAACUUUUUUUUUUCUUUUCUUUCUUUCUCUCUCUCAACUUUUUUUUUUUUUUUUUUUCAAUCUCUAAAGUUCCUUUUAAUUUUUUAGAAGUCAUACCAAAUGAGCCAUUAACAUGGUUCAAAGGCUCAAUAUUAAAUGAUUUAUGUUCGCAAAUUUAAUCAACAUAUCUUUGAUCCCAAUUUACUUGUCAAUCCUCAAAAGAUAACAUUAUAAUUGAGCUAGAUGUAGACAGAUAGAUAUAGCCAUAGAUGACCUAUAGAUACAUGAUUUUACAAGCUCAAAUCAAUCUAUUCUUUGAAGCAAAACAUCAUACUCCUGUAAGAUCAAGUCACUUUAAGCCUUUAGCAUUUUUCUUGGCCUUUUGCAAUUCCUCCUUCAAGAUCAAGGAAAUUCUACAUUCACAUAACUCUUUUGAGAAGUGUCGAGUUAUGAGCUUAAUUUUCUGAUCACCUCAUUGCUCAACGAAGCCUUCGGUGAAUUCCACCCAUAGAGAUUUGGAACUGAAAGGCUUGGAGAAUAAUUGAGAAUUACUCAUUUCCUGUGCUUACCACAAAAAAGUUUAUUGUUGACCGGAACUAAUAAAUGUGAUUGGUAAUGGGAGCUAAGAGACAAAGAGUUUUACUGCUACACAGUUAGAGCGUCAAUUUAACUCGUCGACUCGGACGGUCGGUGGCUCAAUUCAGAAAAAACCCUAGUCGGCCCAGCUCGCUGCUCAAUUCUACCUUAGUCGAGGCUUGGGUUUAGCCCAUUUUAAAGCUUUGGUCAGAGCCCAAGCCAGAGCUUGGGCCAUUUUUGGACUGUGAGCAAAAUUAUAAAAAUAAAAUAAAAUAAUCACAGCCAUGUUGCUGCCUUUUUAAAAAUUAAAUAAUAAUAAUAAUAAUAAUAAUAAUAAUAAUAAUAAUAAUAAUAAUAAUAAUAAUAGCCGGCUCAGCUUGGAUCGAGUGUAGAUUUAUUUUGCUGAGCCUCGGGCUAAAAAAGGCCAAAAACUUUUUCACUCGAGCCGAGCCCAAUCUUUGAUUUUCGGCUUGCAAAGAGAUUCGACUCAAUUCGUUGACAUCCUUAUACACACUACAAGAUUAGAUUAUAUAAUAAGCCCUUGUCUGGAGUCCAUUUUUUGGGCAAAAAAAUGAUUUUUAUUACCGUUGGCAACCGUCCUUUUUGACCACAAAUCUCACAUACCAAAAAGCGUAAAAGUUUGAUUUGAUUUGAUUUUAUGUUUUUGGGGAAAAAAGUUGCGACAGACAGGCACUGAAUAAGAUUUUACUUCAUUUGCAUUCUUAAUAGUGCGGAAUAUAAUCCAAGAAAUUGUAUUCAAGCAAACAUCUUUGGCAUUUCCACCAUGACCUAGACUUUGUACUGCCGGAAUUUGAUAAACAAAUAGAAAAACGUGUCGCAAAGAUUUUUAUAUUUCAUACUCGAAGAUUUAAAUUUUUUGGACAAGCCAGUAUAUGGAAUUGAUAAAUCCAGAAACAGAAUUUAUUCAAUAAUAAUAAUUGAUAAAUCCAGAAACAACGUGUAGAAAGCCAUUAUAUUUAUUCAAAAGUAAGCUCCUUUGGGAAACGGAAUGUUACAAGAAAACUUAAAAGUGCCUGUAGUUCUGAGCAUAUGGAAUUGAUAAAUCCAGAAACAGAAUUUAUUCAAUAAUAAUAAUUGAUAAAUCCAGAAACAACGUGUAGAAAGCCAUUAUAUUUAUUCAAAAAGUAAGCUCCUUUGGGAAUCGGAAUGUUACAAGAAAACUUAAAAGUGCCUGUAGUUCUGAGCAUAUGGAAUUGAUAAAUCCAGAAACAGAUAAUCCAAUUAUAUCAGUCAAAGGCUUACAAAAACAGGAAGCUGAAAAGCCAUAGCUUCAAUGGUAAUCCUCCCAAAACACUCUCCCCAUGCCUGCAUGUUGAAAGAGACGGAAUAAAUAAAUAAAUAAAUAAAAUAAAAAUAAAAAAUUGCUUCUUCAGUAAGAUGAACAAAAAGAUCAGUUCUAAGACAUGGAUAUCAUUAGAUUACAUUUUAUUUUAAAGAACAAUGUUUUCAUUGACUAAAGAUUUUGUGAUGUAGGACAUAAUAAGUAUAUUGAAAAAAGAGUGCUAGUAGGAAUAUAACAUCUUAAUUUCGGAUGGGGCCCAUAAGAUCAUUUUGGAAAGAAAAUGACGAGGGAAACAAUACUCACCUGAUGUACAAUGAAUUUCGGCCAUUCGAGUUCGUUUAGGACUCGAAAACUGAUUUUUAGAGUUUUGGCGCUAUUUUUGUCAAUUUGAUUAUUUUGGUUUUUUUUUUUUUUUUUUUUUUUUUUUUUUUUUUUUUUUUUUUUUUUUUUUUUUUUUUUUUUUUUUUUUUUUUUAAAUUUUUUUUUUUUUAAAACUUUUUAAAAAAUGGGUUUUUUUUUUUUUUUUUUUAAAUGUGUGAUUAAAAAAGAAAAAAUAUUUUUAAAUUAUAAAAUUGGUGAAGCUUAUUUUCUCUUUAAUUUAGUGGAUUCCGAAUUUCGUGGUUUCAAGGUUUUCGCUUGAAUUCUUUUCUUUUGCGGCGUCACUUUAGUUUGCUUUCCGAACAAAAAAGUUUAUAUGCACUUCGACCCAAAAAAAACUCAAAACAAUUCCUUGUCAAGAUCCAACAAGGCAUAGAAGACAUUGACCUUAACCAACUUUAUUUAGAGCAUUUCCAGUUCGAAUCAAAUCUAUGAUUUUAAUUGAUUUACUAUGUUUCUUUCACUAAAUCAUCGAUCCCACAUAAUAUCCAUUAAUAAAGAAGUACAAGCAAAAUAAAAUAUAAGAUUUAAACUAGAAUAUGUAAAUUAUUGUCAAAGAUAUUGUUAGGAUUUUUCUUCAUCUCAUCUCUCAGGAACAAUGAUCAAUUCUUAUUUGCAAACUAGAAAAGAAAGCACAGUAAUGACAGCACAUAAAACUAGGAAAGAAUCAAGAUUAUGGACACAAGAACAUCAUGUUUUGGAACAAUUUUCAUCAAUCACUUUCAGAGAAUUUACCCAAUCUUCCAUAAAAGAGAAGAAAUUACACAAUGUUUAUUACACAAAACACUACCACUCACCACUCAAUCGGGAAUACAUCAGAAACUUCACACAGAAAAUUCUCACAGAAAGUUAUAAAGAUUGCCUACAGAGAACUUUCUCUCAAUCUUACUUUCUUUGUCACGCUACAGAAUUUUCUCACACUACAGAAAUCCCCCUCUUGCUCACUCAUUCAUGCUAACAGCCUUGGUCCUAUUUAUAGACAUAGGAACCUAGAGAUAUACAAGAAAAUGUAUCUAAUAUUCAGUUAAAACUACUACCAGAAAUUUUUUUAGAAUCUAAGAGGCUCCAACUGAUUUUCUAACUCAUUAAACUGAUUUCUAACUAAAGAGUUUAACCAACCGAAUCAAGAGUCAAACAAUUUCUUUACGAUAUGAAUUCAGUGCCGUACCUGUGCUUUGCGGGGCCUGAGACGAACUUCAAAAUUUGGGCCCUAGGCCCUAAGUCGUAGUAAACAAUUCCUUUUUAUAAAAAAUAAAAUAAAAAAUUAGAAGUUUACGGAAUUAAAUUUGUUAACUUAAAUCAACAAUAAAACAACAAAUAAAUUUUUCAGUAUUCCUUCUUUCUCUUCUCAUUAAAGUAUUUAUUCGUUUAUCCAAUCUGACUUCGAAUUAAUGCCUCUACUCUUUUCUCUCUCUCUCUCUAUCUUUUUUUUUUUUGAGCUCCAGAUGCAGAUUUAGGAGCCAUGGUAUUUGACUCAAGUCACUCGUUAGCUAACAAUUACUGAAAAGUGAAAAAAGUAAAGGCAAAAAACAAGCUGUAGGGAUCCCAAAGCAGUCUAUAAAUAAUAUCUCAGCAAAGGCCAUAGAACAAAGGCAAAAUGAAAAUGAUAAAAUCUUUAUUUUCUUAACUCUCAAUUUCUAUUUUUAUUACUUGGGAUUGGGACUAAACCUUCCCACCCCCUUUUUUUUGGAAUAACCUCACUAUUAAUCAUUUCUAUGUAAGAAAUAAAAAACUUGGUGACUGCAACAUCCUCUUCUUUAAGUGCCACUCCACCACUUUUCUAUGAACAAACAAUAUCUUGUGGAGUGACAUCCUUAAAAUUGUCUAGUUGCUCCUCGAAAAAAGCAUACUCAUUACAAAACUGAUAUAAAUUUUUCUGGCGAAUGCGAAGGAUCAAGUUCCUCAUUCCUUUAAUUCUAGGUCUGGAGCUGUCUCACUAGUUUGGAUUAUUGUGUCAUCUAACUUCCAAUAUUGUGAAGGAUCAUGUAUAUGAGAUGCUAUCUCUAGAAAAUUAUAUGCUUUCAAUAAGGCAUCUAUAACCAAUAACUCGAUUGCCUUUCGAACUAGCAAGUAUCAUUUCCUUUACUCUUUUUAUAGCCUCGGAUUCUAUUUCAAUAUGAUGUACAUCUACAAUAUGAUCCACCACGUCUACAGGCAUUUGCUCUGGUGAAUUGAGAGGUGGAUUGUUGAUGGUGAAUCGGUGAGGACGGCCACAACAUUAGCUCCGACCACCACCGCUGAACAUGUAGGUUUUGCCGUUGAUUUCUCGGAGUCUGGAGGUCUUUUCUUUUGAAUGCAUGGGCAAAGUGGGUUUUUUCCAAAAAAAAAAAAAAAAAAAAACGUAAAAAUUGAAAAAAUUAGCCCCCUAAAAUUUUGGGCCUGAGGCGGAGGCCUCUUGGGCCUCCCAUCAGGUCCGGCUUUGUAUGAAUUCACCACCAGAGAAUCCUGAACAAGAAUAUUGAUAGAGGCCAGACAGGGAGCGACAUUUAGCAUCUUGUUCACAAAGUGAACACGAUUCUGAAGUUUCUUCUCAGCCACAAAGUUACGAAGUUCUGUUUCAAAUUCAGUCUGUGCUAAUAUGCCAUUUCCCACUACAACUGCAUGCAUAGAUGGCACUUGUAGUUUUUUCUCUUGGACAAGUUGCAGACUUUCAUAGAAAGACUUGAGAAAUAGAUCCUGACCUUUCCCACGUGAAACACCUAAAUUAAAUGUAAUAGAAGUUAAGAUCACGGAUUAACAAAUGAAAACAUGAAUAUAUAGAGGAAAAAUACUGCACAUAAAUUUCCACUUGAAGGUGGUCAGAAGUUCAAAUGGUGCCUCUCAAUAAAAUGGUCAGAAAAUCAAUCAGCUCAAUGAGUACAAGAAAUAUGUGCUUUGGUGACUGAAUUGUAUUUAUUAAAAGGAAAUAAACGGAUUUUAGGAUUAAAAGUUGAGGAUGAUAUAUCAACAGUAGAUGACCAUGACAGUUAAGGCAACCGGUCCAAUUUUUUCUUCAUUCAACAAUUUUUUGAUCAGUCACAUAAUUUUUCAGGUAAAGAAACGUGAUCUGAAAAAUACAAUUGACAUCUCCAUCAAUAUCUCCAAUCUCCAUGAAUCACCAGUAUUAUCUCUUUAGCAUUUUUUCCAUUGAAAAUUUUAUAUGGCCUUGUUUGAGCCGCAUUAUUUCAAAAAAAUAUAUUAUUAAACAGUGAUUUGAUAUAAUUUCAACAAUACAUUCCUCAAUAAAAAAAAUAUGACACACAAAUUUAAGACUUUUCCUUAUUUUUUAACUAUACAUUCUCCAUUAACCUACUAUUCCAAAAUACAUUCUUUCAAAAUAAUGUGACAGUUGGGUUUUGAUACCCAAUAAAUUCGAGCAAUGAUUUAAAACACGAAUUUUUUAUCAACACCAAAGUGAUGGCUCGACUCGAAAACAAUUAAUACACCUUUGGAAGGCCUAAGUUUUGAGUUGGGUUGGUAGCUUGGUUAAUGUAUAGAUUUCGUUAUUGUUAGCCCAUUAACUUGGCCUAUUAAGAGUAAGUGGUGGCCCAAACCUAAACCUAAUGCUUAUAUACACAUAGCCGUGUCUUUCUUCUCUUUGUGGGAGUGUAUUGUUGCAAGAGAGAGAUGUAGCCUACUUGAAGGGUGAAAGGGGGGUCGGUUUUGGUGUGAAAGCAAGAGAGAUUCAACUAUUGUUUCUUCUUCUCCUUCCUCCAUUUGUAGCUUGCAAGUACCACCACCAAAUGUCUCCUUUGUGGGGUUAAAACUGAGGAAACCAAAGGUGUUGAGGCUUGUUGGGUUGAGUCGAUUGAUUGGUGUUUGUUUGAUUGUUUUCUGAGCUGACAAUCAAUAUUUCUCGUGAGAAUUCCGUGUCAAAUGGUAUCAGAGCUUGUGUUGUCAAGAAAUAUAUGAUUUUUGGGUACCAAAUCUGACUGGAAAUUGGCCAGAAAUGGAUCUAAAAAAGAGCAGAAAACAGAGUACGAUUCUGUAUAGAUUUUUGCAUUUCUAACCAAAUUUGUUUUGGUGUUUUUCAGCCAAACCAGUGGCUAGUUGGAGAAAUGGUGACCACUAAUGGACUGUGCAGGUGGAGGCGCGUCUGGAGGUGCAUCAGGAUCUAGUCCCGGCACGUGGCUUAGAAUCCGGUGAUGAUUUCAAAAGACAUAAUUUUGCUGGUGUUGAUAUGGACCCUGCGGUAUUUUCGGAUUUCAAUUUUGAACAAUGCAGUGAAAGUUGGAUGAUUUUGCAUUUGGACAUUCAGCUGUCAAAUGCCUUUUUGUGUUGCUGGGAUUGCUGGUGACUUUAGGAUGAACAGUGACAAUCCUAAAGUGGUGAAUUCACGUCUCUUGAUAUUUACGGACCUUCAGACGUGAUCCACUUAGUAUCAUUUCCUUUGCUUUUUAUUAUUGCAAUUAAAUCUAUUGUGUAGAUGAAUUAUUUACUUUUCGCAUUAGAAGUCAUUGUGUGGAGUGGCGUUAGGUUUGGGGUUAUCAUGAAGGGAUAACCAUUACUUGUUGCUAGACUUAGAAAUUAUUUGUCUUAAAUUCUUUGUGAAUUUGUUGCUAAUUUUUCUACACUAUUAGAAUUGCAUGUGACCAUAGGAAAGCUUAUUUGAUCAUUCUAUGUGAAUUAUGUUUAUACUUUGUUGGGAAAUACUUGGAAUUGAUCCAUUUGAGAAGGCCAUUUUGGACCAUUCAAAGAAUAAAAACUACCUAAAAUCCCCCCAACAUAAAAUUUAUAACCAAGCCAUCUUAAUUUUAAAAGAGUUCAAUUAAGCUCUCAAAUUAUUAUCUUUAAUUUUUCUACCUCAUAAAAAAUUGGUAUCAGAGCCUAGUAACGAAACUGAAGAAUAUAUUAUUUAAAAUGAAUAGAAAAGAUAAAAUGAUUUUAGAAGAAUUACAAAAUAUUGGUAUAUUAACUAAUACUAAUCGUAUUAAAUUGCAAGAAUUAGCAACAAAUUUAAGUACCGAAUAUAAAUCUCUAAGUGAAGAAAUAAAACAAAUUAAUAAUUCUCAACAAUUAGUUGAAACAAAAAAUAAAGUAUUACAAAUCUUGGUAAAUGAGUCUAUCAAAUAUGAAGAAGAAGAUAUUAUUAUAAAUCAAUUUUUAAAACAAUAUGAUAAUUAUGCUAAGCCUUUAGGAAACCCAGACAUUAUAAAUCAAGAUGUCAUAACUAGUAUAAAAAAUAUGGAAUCAAAUUUAGAAAUUGUUAAUAACAAUAUUAAGAUAGGACCAAAAAUCCUAUAUAAACAAAUUAAAUCAAAAUUUAAAGAAUUAAAAAAUAAAAAAGAUUCUUAUAUCUUUAUUGAACCACCCUUACCGGCAUAUGUUAUAGAAGAAUUAGAAACAAAAUUCUUUGAAGCUACUGGAGAAGAAUUAGAAGCUUAUAAACAAAGCUUAGAAUAAUUAGCUAUGCAAACUGAAAAUAUAUAUAUGAAUGAUCCUCCACCUAAAGAAGAAACUACUGAAAUUAAUACUCCACCUUUAAAUCAACAAGUUAAAAACUGGCCGUUAAUUGGAGAAACUAGUAGAACUAAUAUUAAUACAGAUUGGACUCAAGUUGAAUCUGAUGACUGAAAUUUUGAAUGGAUAAAAGAACAAGAAGGCUACAAUUUCAGAAAGGAACCAAAAACUAUAUCAACCAAACAUCUACAUCUUAGAGAUAAUAAUCCAGUAAAAUUAUUUACUGAACAAAUUCCUACUACAGGAAUAUGGUUAGAUAUUGAUGAUAGCAUUAAUAAAAGUGAAAUUAUUGACUCUUGGACAAAAGCUACUGAUUUAGCUGUUGCUUUUCAUAAAUAGAAUACCACUCAAGCGUAUAACUUUAUAAUCCACACCUUUAGAGGAAUUACUUCAGAUAUCUGGAGAAGAACAUCUGAAGAAACUAAAAAUAAAAUUAAAUAUGGCAAAAAAUCUACAACUACCAUAGAUAGCAAUGAAAGUUUAGAUGUUAAAAAUUUUAAAGAAGCGUUAAAACGAAUUGAAAUUUUUUUUAGACACAUAUUAUUAGGAGAAGUUAUACCAAAAACUAAAAUUGAUAUGAUUACUCAAGAAACUUUACAAGCUGAAAGAGAAAUGGAACUAUUAAAAUUUUGUGAUAUGUGUGAAUUAAAUGAAUAUACUAAGAAAUUUGAAAGAUAUAUAUCAAAGCAUCUAAAUAUAUAAAAGAAUGUAAUCUAUCAGAAGAAGAUAAAAAAUUAUUAAAUAGAUAUUUUCUUAAAUUAAAAUACAAUUGACAUCUCCAUCAAUAUCUCCAAUCUCCAUGAAUCACCAGUAUUAUCUCUUUAGCAUUUUUUCCAUUGAAAAUUUUAUAUGGCCUUGUUUGAGCCGCAUUAUUUCAAAAAAAUAUAUUAUUAAACAGUGAUUUGAUAUAAUUUCAACAAUACAUUCCUCAAUAAAAAAAAUAUGACACACAAAUUUAAGACUUUUCCUUAUUUUUUAACUAUACAUUCUCCAUUAACCUACUAUUCCAAAAUACAUUCUUUCAAAAUAAUGUGACAGUUGGGUUUUGAUACCCAAUAAAUUCGAGCAAUGAUUUAAAACACGAAUUUUUUAUCAACACCAAAGUGAUGGCUCGACUCGAAAACAAUUAAUACACCUUUGGAAGGCCUAAGUUUUGAGUUGGGUUGGUAGCUUGGUUAAUGUAUAGAUUUCGUUAUUGUUAGCCCAUUAACUUGGCCUAUUAAGAGUAAGUGGUGGCCCAAACCUAAACCUAAUGCUUAUAUACACAUAGCCGUGUCUUUCUUCUCUUUGUGGGAGUGUAUUGUUGCAAGAGAGAGAUGUAGCCUACUUGAAGGGUGAAAGGGGGGUCGGUUUUGGUGUGAAAGCAAGAGAGAUUCAACUAUUGUUUCUUCUUCUCCUUCCUCCAUUUGUAGCUUGCAAGUACCACCACCAAAUGUCUCCUUUGUGGGGUUAAAACUGAGGAAACCAAAGGUGUUGAGGCUUGUUGGGUUGAGUCGAUUGAUUGGUGUUUGUUUGAUUGUUUUCUGAGCUGACAAUCAAUAUUUCUCGUGAGAAUUCCGUGUCAAAUGGUAUCAGAGCUUGUGUUGUCAAGAAAUAUAUGAUUUUUGGGUACCAAAUCUGACUGGAAAUUGGCCAGAAAUGGAUCUAAAAAAGAGCAGAAAACAGAGUACGAUUCUGUAUAGAUUUUUGCAUUUCUAACCAAAUUUGUUUUGGUGUUUUUCAGCCAAACCAGUGGCUAGUUGGAGAAAUGGUGACCACUAAUGGACUGUGCAGGUGGAGGCGCGUCUGGAGGUGCAUCAGGAUCUAGUCCCGGCACGUGGCUUAGAAUCCGGUGAUGAUUUCAAAAGACAUAAUUUUGCUGGUGUUGAUAUGGACCCUGCGGUAUUUUCGGAUUUCAAUUUUGAACAAUGUAGUGAAAGUUGGAUGAUUUUGCAUUUGGACAUUCAGCUGUCAAAUGCCUUUUUGUGUUGCUGGGAUUGCUGGUGACUUUAGGAUGAACAGUGACAAUCCUAAAGUGGUGAAUUCACGUCUCUUGAUAUUUACGGACCUUCAGACGUGAUCCACUUAGUAUCAUUUCCUUUGCUUUUUAUUAUUGCAAUUAAAUCUAUUGUGUAGAUGAAUUAUUUACUUUUCGCAUUAGAAGUCAUUGUGUGGAGUGGCGUUAGGUUUGGGGUUAUCAUGAAGGGAUAACCAUUACUUGUUGCUAGACUUAGAAAUUAUUUGUCUUAAAUUCUUUGUGAAUUUGUUGCUAAUUUUUCUACACUAUUAGAAUUGCAUGUGACCAUAGGAAAGCUUAUUUGAUCAUUCUAUGUGAAUUAUGUUUAUACUUUGUUGGGAAAUACUUGGAAUUGAUCCAUUUGAGAAGGCCAUUUUGGACCAUUCAAAGACUAAAAUCUACCUAAAAUACCCCCAACAUAAAAUUUAUAACCAAGCCAUCUUAAUUUUAAAAGAGUUCAAUUAAGCUCUCAAAUUAUUAUCUUUAAUUUUUCUACCUCAUAAAAAAUUGGUAUCAGAGCCUAGUAACGAAACUGAAGAAUAUAUUAUUUAAAAUGAAUAGAAAAGAUAAAAUGAUUUUAGAAGAAUUACAAAAUAUUGGUAUAUUAACUAAUACUAAUCGUAUUAAAUUGCAAGAAUUAGCAACAAAUUUAAGUACCGAAUAUAAAUCUCUAAGUGAAGAAAUAAAACAAAUUAAUAAUUCUCAACAAUUAGUUGAAACAAAAAAUAAAGUAUUACAAAUCUUGGUAAAUGAGUCUAUCAAAUAUGAAGAAGAAGAUAUUAUUAUAAAUCAAUUUUUAAAACAAUAUGAUAAUUAUGCUAAGCCUUUAGGAAAACCAGACAUUAUAAAUCAAGAUGUCAUAACUAGUAUAAAAAAUAUGGAAUCAAAUUUAGAAAUUGUUAAUAACAAUAUUAAGAUAGGACCAAAAAUCCUAUAUAAACAAAUUAAAUCAAAAUUUAAAGAAUUAAAAAAUAAAAAAGAUUUUUAUGUUUCUAUUGAACCACCCUUACCGGCAUAUGUUAUAGAAGAAUUAGAAACAAAAUUCUUUGAAGCUACUGGAGAAGAAUUAGAAGCUUAUAAACAAAGCUUAGAAUAAUUAGCUAUGCAAACUGAAAAUAUAUAUAUGAAUGAUCCUCCACCUAAAGAAGAAACUACUGAAAUUAAUAAAUCUUGUAUAUAAGAAAAUUAUAUUUACUAUAAGACCUGGAUUUGCCAUGUCUAUAUUAGAUGAAAACUUAAGUUUAGGAUUUAAUCUAUAUCACAAAAUUGAUAGAUUAAGUAUGCCACCAAGAAGUAAAGUUGUAACUUUACAUUGUAAAGCUUUAUAUGCUUUUACUACUACACACCAAAAAGAAAUCAAUAAAAUUUCAGGAUAGAAAUUCAUGAAGAAUUUAAAAACCUAGCACAAUUUACAUCACCAAGAAUGCUAAGUGAUUGUAACAUUUCGUUACCACAAGAGAUAUUACUUGAUUUUCAUCAACGAUCUAGAAGAAUAGACAGUAAUGUAGGUAAUCAAGGAUUAGCAACUUUGAAUACUUUUGGACAAUUUGUAAUUAGUAUGCCUAGUAGAAGAAUAUAAAGAAGUAUCAGUACUAGAGAACUCUCAAGCUCUAGUAGACCAUCUACAAGUAGAAAUUACACAACUAUACCUAUAAAUAGUAUUGAUAUUGAUUCAAGAAAAAGUGAGGAAGAUAAUUUCCUUAGGGUGUAUUUGAUUACAUUUAUUUCCCAUGGAAAAUAUCAGUUUUUCACUCAAAUUCCUAUUUGGAGUGUUUGAUUGCUAUUUUUUUUCCAUGGAAAACAUUUUCCAACUUUUGAAAAUAUACGUAAUUUUCAUUGUUUUUAAGGAAAAUAUUUUCUUUGGGUAGAUGUGGUUUUUAUUUUCCACAAAAGAUGGAAAAUAUUUUCUUUUCUAAGUGGUAUUUUUCAUGUCAAUCAAACACACUUUUAUAUUAACAGAAUAUUUCAAUAAUCAAAAUAACUACGACGAAAUCAUAGCCCUUGUUAAUACAGGAGCUUGUACUAGCCAUAUAAGAGCAAACUUAGUCGAUCAUUUAGUAGAAGAAAAUCUGCCACAAGGAAUAACUCUUACAGAUUAUCAUGGAAUUAAACAUGAAAUUAAAACAUUUGUUAAUCUUGAACUAAGUUUUACUAACAUAGAAGGAGAACAAUUUAAGCUAAACCUUAAAAUUCAUAAAGAUUAUAGAAAAGGAAAAGAUACUAGCCCAAUAUUACUUGGAAUGAACUUUUUUGAAAAGGUAUCACCAUUUGUUAUUCAGAAAAACAUAUGCAAAUAACUGUUGAAGGUAAACAAAAAAUGUUGCCUAGAGUUAAUCAAAACUAUUAUUUUGAGCCCAUAUAUUGAGAUAACUCUCAAUUUACUAGACUAGUGUAUGAUAAGAUUUCAUGCAACACUUGAUACUGGAUCAGGAAUUUGCCUAUGUAAAAGAAAUGUGUUCCCAGAACACUAUUAUAAAAGAGAUUAUAAGAAAACAACUUACGGUCAAACAGCUAGUGAUAUUGUUGAAAUAUAUAGAGAUUUUGUGGAAAAUGUUCCUAUUAUUAUUGGAAAUAGAGAAUAUUUUAUUCCACGAAUAUUCGCUACAGAUAAAAUUGGAUGUGAUAUUCUCUUAGUAGAAAAUUUUAUCUAUACAUAUAGCCCUUUUACGCAAAAUAAAGAUAGUUUUGAAUUUAUUGCACUUUGUAAUUAAAAAAUUAAAACAUUCAAAAUUUAUAAAGCAAUUGGAAUUGCACAUCAUCCGAUUAACCAUAAACCUAGAUAUCAGAGUUCUGCAGGUAAUCGUGGUGGAUGUUAUACAGAAAUCAAUCAAAAACAAAGAAUUCAUGUAUUAAGAAUUAACAAGUUAGAAGAAGAAUUAGAAAAUAUUAAAAUUGAACUAAAAGAAUGUUAUCAUGAAUAUCCCUUAGCGAGAUGGGACAAAGAUAAACCUAUGGCAACCAUUGAAUUAAAAAAUCUAGAUGUUAAGGUAUCAGGAAAAAAUUCCCUUAUAGCGAAGAAGAUAAAAAGGAAUUUGAAAUACAAAUUAAAGAACUUUUAGAAUUAGGAGUUAUAAGAGAAUCAUCUAGUCCAUAUAAUAGUCCUGCAUUUAUGGUCAGAAAUCAUAGUGAAAUUAAAAGAAGAAAAGCUAGAAUGGUAAUUGAUUAUAGAGAUCUAAAUUCUAAAACUAUACCUAAUAGCUAUAAAUUACCAAUAAAAGAUUUGUUAAUAAAACAAAUACAAGGAAGUAAAUUAUAUUCUAAAUUUGAUUGUAAAUCUGGAUAUUGGUAAAUAAAACUAGACGAAGCAUCAAAACCUUUAACUAGUUUUACUACCCCUAAUCCAUUAGGACAAUUUGAGUGGAAUGUUAUGCCAUUUGGAUUAAGAAUGCCCCACCAAUAUUUCAACAAAAAAUGGAUAAGAUUAUUAGACCAAUAAAAUUUUUUUGUAUUGCUUAUGUAGAUGAUAUCCUUAUUCAUAGUAAAAAUUUAAAAGAACAUAUCAAACAACUUAAAUUUUUUUAUUAUAUUGCUAAAAAAUAUGGUCUAGCCCUAUCAGAAAGAAAGGCAAAAAUAGCUAAAACUGAAAUUGAAUUCUUAGAAUAUAUUUUUACAGAAGAGAAAAUACUCCAACAACCUCAUAUUGGAAAAAAGAUUAUCGAAUUUCCAGAAAUAAUUAGAGAUAAGAAAGAGCUGCAAAGCUUUAUUGGAUUAUUAAAUUAUUCUGAAAAUUUUAUAAAAAACUGUUCAAAAUACAAAGUUCACUUUACCAAAAAGCUUAGAAAAGAAGUUGUAUGGGAAUGGACACAAGAAGAUAUUGAAAAGAUAAACAAAAUAAAGAAAAUAUGUGAAAAUUUACCUGAAUUAAAUAUUCCAAAUGAUGAUGAUUUCUAUAUUUUAGAAACUGAUGCAUCUCUAUUACACUGGGGAGCGAUCCUCAAAAGAAAAGAAAAUCAUAAAUAAUUUCUUUGUAAUCCAUUGUGUAAAUGCCCAGAAGAACUUGUUGCAUACACUUCAGAUGCUUUUAAGGAUGCAAAAACCAGAUAUGAUAUUAAUCGUAAAGAAUGUUUGGCUAUUAAGAAAGGAGUAGCAAAAUUUGAACCUUAUUUGUUACCAAAGAAGUUUCUUAUUAGAACUGAUAAUACUCAGGUGAAACCAUUAUUGACAAAUAAACUUUGAACAAGUGCAGGUGAAAGGCUACUUAUUAGAAUGCAAAUGUGGUUUGCGCCAUUUAAAUUUGAUAUUGUCCAUAUUAAAGGAAACGAGAAUUUUAUUUCAAAUUUCUUAACUAGGAAUGGAGCAAAUCAAGAAGGAACUCGAAACAUUGAAGCUCGAGAUGAAUGUGAAGAUAGUUGCGAUAGAAUCCAGGAUAAUAAUGAUGGAAAUGGUUGCUGCCAAGUCAGUAUCUGAGAAAGCCAAUAGGGCUAUAUUAUCUGAAGGCCCUAGUGCUAAUGAAUCUGAAGGUUUUUAUGCCAAUAUUGAACAAGAAACAUUAAACCUUCAUAAUCUAUUGGUCAAGGAGAAUACUACUUUGUCUUCCUCAUCGGAGAAAAUUUAUACAAAAGAUAAUAUCUCUAUACCAGAGCUAAAUCACUCAAAUAUUAUCAAAUCCUGCAACACCCCUGGUGUUAUGGAUAUCAAAAAUAAAGAUGAUUUUAUUUUGGUCUACGUAUUGUUCAAUCUUGCCUGCUGCUGGUUCACCAGUAUAGGAGGAUGGAUGAAAACUCUAACGUAUGGAACUUAUAAAAAAGUUAAUCUAUAUCCAGGAGCCCCAGCUUAUUGGGUUCGCACUCUUUAUGAAAUGGGAAAUAUAAUUUGUAUUUACCCGUCUGAAUCAUUAAAAGAAAUUUCUAUGCUGCCAAAGGAUGUUGUCCGAGCUAUUGAAAGAUGUUGUCAAGUUCUUAAACACAAGAAAAUUUAUAUUAGGUUUUUCUCUACUUGUCCUGAAUGGGAAGAUGAAGAAGAGAAGUUGCUUCCAGUAAGCCAUGUCAUAAGAAUAGCUACCACUUCUAAGCAUUUUCAACCUGAGAAAAGUGAAGUUCAUGAAAUUACACCAGAAGACACUAUCAAGAUGAUAGCUUUCUGUAGAGCCAAAGGAUAUAAGGAGUAGUUCGAGCAUAUCCAAAAUGUUAUUAUAGAANGAGUGGUUUGAGUCACAUAUGGAAAAGUAAGGGACCCCUUUAUCACUACUUUAUCAAAAUCAUUUUGAUAAAGAAAAACUGUGGGUUUACCUCAAUUAUUUCCAGAUUACGACAAGAAAACUUUAGGCCAUAGUAAGAUAUCCAAUAUCUUACACAGUUAAAGCAACAAUAAUGAAUGACAACUGUGGAGCUUUUUCCAGUCUAUAAAUUGAAGACUAAUUCUCAAGAGCGAGGAGGGAGUCAAAAAUCAAAAAUUUAUCUUUCUACUUUGUAUUCCAAGUCUUGUAACAAUUUCAAUUUUUUUUCUUUGAUGUGAAGUGUGUAAUAAGGUAAUCUCUAUGUAGUUCUAAUUUCCUUUGAGAAAGUACCAAGAGUGUAGCCGAAAUAUGUAUAUGUACUCUUAUAUGAGAGAGAUUAGUGUGAUGUGUUUAUAAAAGUUGUUUGGAAAGGGUGUAUUCUCAUCCUUAUUACUUUCUCAAAAACUCUUUUCUUACUUAUACUCUAACGGCGAAAACCUUGAGGGUUAGUGCAAGUAUCUUGUUGCUAUUUUACCCAUCACUUAUAUAUGAGUAUAUUAACAUAUAGGUGCAAGCUCAAGGGAAAUCUCAUUGAUAUUACUCUGCAUUUAUCUUCAGCUUCAAUACUGUAAGAUCUUUUUUAUUUAUAUCAAAUACUUGCAUUAAUUGUUGCACUCAUGUUAUUUAUGAAGUUUUUAUAACUUUUAUUCAUAGCCUAAGAAGAAAAUCUUAGGGAUUAUUUAUCAUAAUAUUGAUAGUUUGAUGCAAGGAUAUACUAUUAAAGGAUUAGAUAAUUUACUAGAAAAUUUGUUAGAAAAUAUAAAUAAUAUUACUUCUCAGUUAGAAAAUAUUAAUAUACUAUCUGAAUAAUAUAAUAGACUUAAAGAAAAAUGCGAACAAUAUGUUAUAAAUUAUUCUAAUUUAUUAGAUCAUAGAAUGAAUUUAUAUUUUGAUAUUCAAAAUAAAAGAAAUACAAGAUAAACUUAAAAGAUAGGACUAAUUCUGCAAUAUACUUAUUUGAAUUCAUUAAGGGUAAUUUAGACCUUUUAUCAAUUGAAAAGGUUAAGUGUUUUGACCCGGCCAUUUUGAAAAUUAUCCCUACUUUGUUUGUGGUCAUUAUUUGGUAUUGAUGAAUGUAGAGGUCUAAGGCAAGUGCGAAAAAUAAGAUGUGUUUUGACUGUGGUAAAACUGGACAUGGUGAGAUAGAUUGUCCUAGUAACAAUAAUAAAAGGAAAGAUAAUGAGAGAUGUGAGGCGAAUGUGACUAUAGGGUCGAAUGAUGACCUGUGUGAGGUCUAUUAAGAGUAAACCUGGUUACUAAAUUUGCAUCUAUGUGUAAUCAUUUUUGGAUGCAUGUGAUUGCUUAAUUAUGUUGAGUUGGUAUGUUACACUUUCAAUUUGUUUGAUGUGUGUAAUUGCAUGAAUUAGAGNNNNNNNNNNNNNNNNNNNNNNNNNNNNNNNNNNNNNNNNNNNNNNNNNNNNNNNNNNNNNNNNNNNNNNNNNNNNNNNNNNNNNNNNNNNNNNNNNNNNNNNNNNNNNNNNNNNNNNNNNNNNNNNNNNNNNNNNNNNNNNNNNNNNNNNNNNNNNNNNNNNNNNNNNNNNNNNNNNNNNNNNNNNNNNNNNNNNNNNNNNNNNNNNNNNNNNNNNNNNNNNNNNNNNNNNNNNNNNNNNNNNNNNNNNNNNNNNNNNNNNNNNNNNNNNNNNNNNNNNNNNNNNNNNNNNNNNNNNNNNNNNNNNNNNNNNNNNNNNNNNNNNNNNNNNNNNNNNNNNNNNNNNNNNNNNNNNNNNNNNNNNNNNNNNNNNNNNNNNNNNNNNNNNNNNNNNNNNNNNNNNNNNNNNNNNNNNNNNNNNNNNNNNNNNNNNNNNNNNNNNNNNNNNNNNNNNNNNNNNNNNNNNNNNNNNNNNNNNNNNNNNNNNNNNNNNNNNNNNNNNNNNNNNNNNNNNNNNNNNNNNNNNNNNNNNNNNNNNNNNNNNNNNNNNNNNNNNNNNNNNNNNNNNNNNNNNNNNNNNNNNNNNNNNNNNNNNNNNNNNNNNNNNNNNNNNNNNNNNNNNNNNNNNNNNNNNNNNNNNNNNNNNNNNNNNNNNNNNNNNNNNNNNNNNNNNNNNNNNNNNNNNNNNNNNNNNNNNNNNNNNNNNNNNNNNNNNNNNNNNNNNNNNNNNNNNNNNNNNNNNNNNNNNNNNNNNNNNNNNNNNNNNNNNNNNNNNNNNNNNNNNNNNNNNNNNNNNNNNNNNNNNNNNNNNNNNNNNNNNNNNNNNNNNNNNNNNNNNNNNNNNNNNNNNNNNNNNNNNNNNNNNNNNNNNNNNNNNNNNNNNNNNNNNNNNNNNNNNNNNNNNNNNNNNNNNNNNNNNNNNNNNNNNNNNNNNNNNNNNNNNNNNNNNNNNNNNNNNNNNNNNNNNNNNNNNNNNNNNNNNNNNNNNNNNNNNNNNNNNNNNNNNNNNNNNNNNNNNNNNNNNNNNNNNNNNNNNNNNNNNNNNNNNNNNNNNNNNNNNNNNNNNNNNNNNNNNNNNNNNNNNNNNNNNNNNNNNNNNNNNNNNNNNNNNNNNNNNNNNNNNNNNNNNNNNNNNNNNNNNNNNNNNNNNNNNNNNNNNNNNNNNNNNNNNNNNNNNNNNNNNNNNNNNNNNNNNNNNNNNNNNNNNNNNNNNNNNNNNNNNNNNNNNNNNNNNNNNNNNNNNNNNNNNNNNNNNNNNNNNNNNNNNNNNNNNNNNNNNNNNNNNNNNNNNNNNNNNNNNNNNNNNNNNNNNNNNNNNNNNNNNNNNNNNNNNNNNNNNNNNNNNNNNNNNNNNNNNNNNNNNNNNNNNNNNNNNNNNNNNNNNNNNNNNNNNNNNNNNNNNNNNNNNNNNNNNNNNNNNNNNNNNNNNNNNNNNNNNNNNNNNNNNNNNNNNNNNNNNNNNNNNNNNNNNNNNNNNNNNNNNNNNNNNNNNNNNNNNNNNNNNNNNNNNNNNNNNNNNNNNNNNNNNNNNNNNNNNNNNNNNNNNNNNNNNNNNNNNNNNNNNNNNNNNNNNNNNNNNNNNNNNNNNNNNNNNNNNNNNNNNNNNNNNNNNNNNNNNNNNNNNNNNNNNNNNNNNNNNNNNNNNNNNNNNNNNNNNNNNNNNNNNNNNNNNNNNNNNNNNNNNNNNNNNNNNNNNNNNNNNNNNNNNNNNNNNNNNNNNNNNNNNNNNNNNNNNNNNNNNNNNNNNNNNNNNNNNNNNNNNNNNNNNNNNNNNNNNNNNNNNNNNNNNNNNNNNNNNNNNNNNNNNNNNNNNNNNNNNNNNNNNNNNNNNNNNNNNNNNNNNNNNNNNNNNNNNNNNNNNNNNNNNNNNNNNNNNNNNNNNNNNNNNNNNNNNNNNNNNNNNNNNNNNNNNNNNNNNNNNNNNNNNNNNNNNNNNNNNNNNNNNNNNNNNNNNNNNNNNNNNNNNNNNNNNNNNNNNNNNNNNNNNNNNNNNNNNNNNNNNNNNNNNNNNNNNNNNNNNNNNNNNNNNNNNNNNNNNNNNNNNNNNNNNNNNNNNNNNNNNNNNNNNNNNNNNNNNNNNNNNNNNNNNNNNNNNNNNNNNNNNNNNNNNNNNNNNNNNNNNNNNNNNNNNNNNNNNNNNNNNNNNNNNNNNNNNNNNNNNNNNNNNNNNNNNNNNNNNNNNNNNNNNNNNNNNNNNNNNNNNNNNNNNNNNNNNNNNNNNNNNNNNNNNNNNNNNNNNNNNNNNNNNNNNNNNNNNNNNNNNNNNNNNNNNNNNNNNNNNNNNNNNNNNNNNNNNNNNNNNNNNNNNNNNNNNNNNNNNNNNNNNNNNNNNNNNNNNNNNNNNNNNNNNNNNNNNNNNNNNNNNNNNNNNNNNNNNNNNNNNNNNNNNNNNNNNNNNNNNNNNNNNNNNNNNNNNNNNNNNNNNNNNNNNNNNNNNNNNNNNNNNNNNNNNNNNNNNNNNNNNNNNNNNNNNNNNNNNNNNNNNNNNNNNNNNNNNNNNNNNNNNNNNNNNNNNNNNNNNNNNNNNNNNNNNNNNNNNNNNNNNNNNNNNNNNNNNNNNNNNNNNNNNNNNNNNNNNNNNNNNNNNNNNNNNNNNNNNNNNNNNNNNNNNNNNNNNNNNNNNNNNNNNNNNNNNNNNNNNNNNNNNNNNNNNNNNNNNNNNNNNNNNNNNNNNNNNNNNNNNNNNNNNNNNNNNNNNNNNNNNNNNNNNNNNNNNNNNNNNNNNNNNNNNNNNNNNNNNNNNNNNNNNNNNNNNNNNNNNNNNNNNNNNNNNNNNNNNNNNNNNNNNNNNNNNNNNNNNNNNNNNNNNNNNNNNNNNNNNNNNNNNNNNNNNNNNNNNNNNNNNNNNNNNNNNNNNNNNNNNNNNNNNNNNNNNNNNNNNNNNNNNNNNNNNNNNNNNNNNNNNNNNNNNNNNNNNNNNNNNNNNNNNNNNNNNNNNNNNNNNNNNNNNNNNNNNNNNNNNNNNNNNNNNNNNNNNNNNNNNNNNNNNNNNNNNNNNNNNNNNNNNNNNNNNNNNNNNNNNNNNNNNNNNNNNNNNNNNNNNNNNNNNNNNNNNNNNNNNNNNNNNNNNNNNNNNNNNNNNNNNNNNNNNNNNNNNNNNNNNNNNNNNNNNNNNNNNNNNNNNNNNNNNNNNNNNNNNNNNNNNNNNNNNNNNNNNNNNNNNNNNNNNNNNNNNNNNNNNNNNNNNNNNNNNNNNNNNNNNNNNNNNNNNNNNNNNNNNNNNNNNNNNNNNNNNNNNNNNNNNNNNNNNNNNNNNNNNNNNNNNNNNNNNGAAAUGUGAUUAAAUGUUGGAAUACUUUAUCUAUGAAGAGACCCAUACAUGUGGAGUGUGAGAGAGACACUUCUAUUACUUCUGUUAGGUGGAAAUCCAUUAUUUACGUAGGUUAGGAGAAGAGAUGUGGUGAUAAAGGAUUAUCCCGAGAACUUAAAAUCUAUUGUGAUUUACAAGUUAGACACGAAUUGAGUGAACAAUCUAGUGAGCAUAGUGGAUGAUGAGAGAAGAUAUGUGUUCUCGAGGUGUGAGCAACACAGAAUGAGAUAUGAUAAGUGUGGUGAGAUCUUUUCGUGGGCCAUUUAUGCAUUUGUCGUAUAUGUGUUUGACCUUGUGUUUUGAUUAACUUGGUAUUAAUUUGUGGUUCUGUGUGGACAUAUUUAUGAAAAGAUCAAUGUGUGUUAUCCUAUAAUAUAUCGUUAUCGCAUGUUUAUUUGCUCUUGCUUGCUUAUUGUGACAAUUUGCUUCUACUUGGGUAUUUUUGAUCUUAACCCUGGUGAGUACAUGGAGUAGGUAUGGUAUAUGUUUCAGGCUGGAAACACGAGGCAAGGUCUGUGAUACCAAUUUUAUUGGUUACCUUAUGCAAAUAUAAACUCUGUGUUUUGAUUGGUUGCAGAUUUAUUGAGUAUCAAGGUGAAGAUUUGUUGGGUUUUGAUACUAAUAAAUUUGGACGAUGAUUUAAAAUAAUUGUCGAAUUUUUUAUGAACACCAAAGCGAUGGCUCGACUCGGAAACAAUUAAUACACCUUUGGAAGUCCUAAGUUUUAAGUUGGGUUGGUAGCUUGAUUAAUGUAUGGAUUUGGUUAUUGUUAGCCCAUUAACUUGGCCUAUUAUGAGUAAGUGGUGGCCCAAAUGUAAACCUAAUGCUUAUAUACACAUAGUCGUGUCUUUCUUCUCUUUGUGUUAGUGUAUUGUUGCAAGAGAGAGAGGUAGCUGACUUUGAGGGUGAAAGGGGAGCCGGUUUUGGUGUGAAUACAAAAGAGAUUCAACCAUUGUUUCUUCUUCUCAUUCCUUCAUUUGUAGCUUGUAAAUACCAUCACCAAUUGUAUCCUUUGUGGGGGUUAAAACUGAGGCAACCAAAGGUGUUGAGGGUUGUUGGGUCAAGUCAGCUGAUUGGUGUUCGUUUGAUUGUUUUCUGAACCUAGAAUCAAUAUUUCUCAAGANNNNNNNNNNNNNNNNNNNNNNNNNNNNNNNNNNNNNNNNNNNNNNNNNNNNNNNNNNNNNNNNNNNNNNNNNNNNNNNNNNNNNNNNNNNNNNNNNNNNAACACGAAAAAUGUUAGAAAUAAUACAAGGAACAAACUGUCUGAAGGAAACUUCCCCAGAAACUUCCGCACGCGCCCACACGCACCACGCCGGAGAAGCCACGCGCCGUCGCCGCCGGCGUCCGUCUCCCACACGCGCCGAUCACACAGCACCGCCUCCACCUGCAGAUCACGAAUCCGACCUCCUUUUCACCAAACUCCUUCUGGAUUGGUCAGAAAACACCAAAACAGUGGCUGAUUUUUGCAGUUUUCUGGACAGUUUUUCGAUCUGAUUUCUGCCUCGUUUCUGCCGAUUUUUUGGACGAUUUCUGGUAGAUUUCUCGAGCCAAAACCUUCACCUUGAAGCUCUGAUACCAAUUGUUGCGGAAGCUCUCUCAAAAGGAUCUUCAAACGGUGAUUUUCCAGGCUCAGUCCAACGUACCUUUCUCUACCAACAACCAAUCCACACGGCUCCAAACCACAACCAAAUUGAUUCACCUUGGUUGCUAUACAAUCUUACCCACGUAGGACAAGAAGGGAUGAUGAUUUAUCGCCACAAAGGCUAGGAGAAGACACCACAAAGGUAUAAUAUGAAAGAACUACCAAUUGCACACGUUAUACAAGCGUUUUGGACACUUCUGGACACCUUUUUCUCACACAAAAGGAGGGCAGCCGGGAUUCACUAGUUUCUUCUCUCAAAAUCACAUAAUCAUCAUCAUAAAGAGGCUAGGGUUAUAUUCAUAUAUAUACUCUAGGGUUAGGCUUUAAGUUGGGCCACUAAAGGGGGUAAGCGGGCCAAGAUUCAAGCCAUCCAUAAGGAAUACAAUUGGGCCGGGUGUAGCUCAUGGACUUGGUUGUUGGACUUAUUUCAUUCAUCGGCCUAUGCCUAUGAAAUAAUAUUAACCCACGUUAACAUCAUAGCCUAGGAUUUAUUGGGUAUCAAAAACCCAACAGUGUGCCACCCCAAUAUCACACACAACGAUUAGAAGAAUCAAGAUUCAAUCACUAAUAGUGAUGGAAAAUGCAUUCCCUUUUCUAGGACUUGUUUGCUAAUGAUAAUACAAUGACUUCACGUCAAACAGGUGAUGAUGAUUAAUUUGUAUGCCAUCUUAGACGUCGUAAAUUGCAGCAAUUAACUCUACGAAGUUGGGAAGAUUGCAACAUUUAUCAUGAUGCUCGUAGUUGAGAGUAUAGGAAGUUCUCCAACGUACUUUAUUUAUGACUUAUCUUAUAUUAUUAUGCAAUCUAAAUUUUAUCAACUGAUCUAUUGUCCCUACCACUGGAAUAUUGUAAUUAAAGAUUAUUUAUUGUGCUUCCUUCGAAUGAGUGAAUUUCAGAUGAGUAAUGUUUAUACAUAUAAAAAUAAAAGAGGUAGCAUUUCAAAUUGAAUUCAGUUCCUUGUGCCAAUCCCAAUACCUCUUACAUCAUCUUCAAUGGCUGCAAUACAAGCAA